CCUGGUGGGGUCGCUGGACACGGGAGUGAAGUGUCUGGACGUGAGCAUUUCGUCGCAGUGCGCUUCGGCGGUGGACAAUCUGGCGGCGUUCUACUUCAACAACAUCACGGUGGAGGAGAGCCCGAGCUCUGCGGCAGCGGUGAACCUGGCGAGACACAUCGCGGAGUGUCCGACGCUGUUUCCGGAGAUAUUGAAGUCGCUGUUCGAGAUCGUGCUGUUCGAGGAUUGUUCGAACCAAUGGAGCCUGAGCAGGCCGAUGCUGUCGCUGAUUCUGAUAAACGAGCAGAUAUUUACGGGGCUGAAGUCUCAGAUACUGGCGACGCAGCCGCCGGACCAACAGCAUCGACUGGCGGGGUGCUUCGACAAGCUGAUGGCGGACGUGACGCGGACGCUGGAGCCGAAGAACAGGGACAAGUUCACGCAGAAUUUGACGGUAUUCAGACACGACUUCAGGGCGAAGUAGGAUAGUGCAAUCGGGGCCGGAGGUCCUGGGCAAGCUAGGCAAUUUUGGAUGGCAGGGGAUUCGUGGUCCGGGAGGAGGGUGCAACUGGAGGCGAGCGGGGCGAGCGGAGAGGAGGCAUGGCGGGGUUGGCGAGCGGACGGUUGGAAUUCGCGAAGGGGGGAUGGCGGCAGGUUGGGAGUUGACUUGCGCGUGGAGGUUGUGAGCCCGUGAUCCCUGGCGGGUGUGGUCGGUGGGGAUGUUGAGUCGAUCUGCGCGGUGCAGACGUUGGGACGCGGGAGCGGGUGAGGCGGUGGUUCCGUUUUAGACCGGCGCCGGAGAAGACGCCCGUCCCGUGUGGACGCGGGCGUCUGGAUGCCCGUGAGUGGGUGGGCAAGUCUUUGUGAGCGUAUAGUGUACAUGUUGUGAACAGAGCAUUAUUUUCAUAUUGGAACAGUGAAGCAUAGCAGACUUGCAGACGAAGAACUUGCGAUGCCGGAUGUGGUGUUUUGAGAUUGUCACCUUACAUACACGGGCUUUUUAUGCUUCCUCUCUUUUUUGUGUAGUAGCGUGGGCUGUUGUGUGUGGUGGUGAACGAAGUGCGGCGCGUCGUUGGACGUCGUGGGCGCCACCCGCUUGGGAGGGACAGGCGGAGUCAUGAGUCGAAGUGGCAAUGGGCAGGUCGGAUAGGGUGGAGAGCCAAGGAGUUUGGAUGAGGGUGUACUUGUGUGCUUGUGCAGUUGGAUGCGUGCAUGUAGAGCGAGGCCGAGGAUGACGUGAUUUUGCGUGCGUCGCGGGGUUUGGGAUAUAGCUGGAAGCACGUGCAGUUGUUGUGAUGGCAUACGGCGCGUGUGAAAGUCUGAACUCGGGUCGGUGGUGUGAUUGAUGACGCGAGGUUAGGAUGAGGUGGGGUUGUGGUUGUGUUGAAGUCCAUGCACCGCAUACGAUGGGAUGGAUCAGAGGGGGGACCUAGCUCUGUGAUUCGAGCAGAAGGUCGUGUGCAAUCGGGAGAGGCGCAGUAGUCGUUUGCCUGUGUUGGUCAAGGGCGCAGGGGGUGUGUGGUUGGAAGUGGGCAAUGUUGAACGGCGUGAGCACGAACCACUUUCGGUUGCGGGGAUUCGGUUGUCGGGUUGGAAGGGGUGCUAGUCCUGCUGCACAUCACUGCGGAAUAGAUGGCAUGGGAGGUAGUGAGAUUGUUGAGGUCCAUGUGGGCGAGGCCGCACGAUUCCGUGAUGGGCGUGAGACAAUGCACGAGCCUAGCAGGGUUCUCCAGGAACCUGUUUUCCAUGGAGUCCGGAAACUCUCUUGCACGGCUUGUGGUUUAUGUCGUGUUGCAAUAAAUGGAUGAGUCGAUUUGUGCCAGAGUACGUGGAUCUAUGGAGGGUUGUGGUCGGAGGUGAAGAGUGUUAAAGUGCUUGCGAGAAGAGUGGAGGUGGUUAUGUCUUCGAUUUCAAAUGUCGUGCAGGCAGCAACAAUGAUGAAUUUGGUAUCAGAUUUCUAGAUACUUGGAUGGUAAUCGCAUGAUGAGAUGAUGGUGUGGCAAGCGUGGGUGGUAUCUUGAUCUGUGUGUGUGUGUGUGGGCGGAUGGGCGGUCGUAAAUUGUAUGGACACCGCUCUGCAUUCUGAGACUACAAAUUGAUUUGCUUGGGCGUGGGCGUACAAAGUACUGGGUUUUGAUGUCUGUCACUAGGUGUCGUCCUGAUGCAUUGUAUUUAAUCCCUGGGAGGACUCACGGAUAAGUGUUCUAUAGUGGAAGUACGCGAAGAGAACGAGCUUUGACUGAAAUCGCGAAUGUGUACUCACGGAACUAUGUUGGACGUGAACGUGUUGCGAGAACAAGUCACUGUCUGCCAGAAAGGCACACACCCUCCACUCGCUUUUGUUAACAUGCGUUGCGUGACGAUGUGUUAUCCGCGUCAGUCGCCAUGUUCACGACAAACACUGUGUAGGUCCUUACAGUGGAGUGGUCACAGGGCAGCCGUGCGAAAUCAAUUAUUCCGAUAGGUUUCUCGGAAUGCCGUUGACAAUCCCUACUGAAAUGAACACCCUUACUGAAUUGAACACCCUCGCUGCAUUUGUACUCGCCGAUGCUCCAUGUUUCUGUGUAGGCGUGGGGCAUGACAUGGCGCCAAUUUGUCCAGCUGGGACGAAGGGUCUGCUGAAAAAGAUGUUCAGUUUUGUUCGCAGCGUGGUGGCUGGGUGCGAGUUCGUCAGUUCGGGAAGCUAGGGCUCAAUUUCAGGGGAAGCUUAGACGACUCAUGGAGCGUUUUCGUUUGGUUGGUUGUGCGGUAUCUGCUGCCGGCAUUUGCUGAGUUGUCUGCCAUCGGCAGAAUUUGCUGACUGGGUUUUGUCGCAACGUUUCUGGCUAUGACAAGAGGUGCCUCUGUUUUUCAAUGACGUCGCGUGUGCGCCACCUCUUUGGGUUUGGUGAGCUUCCGUGCGAACCGUAAUAGUGCGAGGAAAUGAUGAUGGGUGUGAAGUGUGGGCGAGUGGUUUGAGUUGGCGGAACCCCUGUGUGGAUUGCGGUGCAGGCAUCCAGGGUGCGGGGGUGGCAAGCGAGUGGGUGCAAUGUCGGUGCUACGGGAGCGGGGGCUCUAGCCCGUUGGUAAUGUACAAGGAUAGUAUUCGGAGAGGCGAGUUGGAAUCCGGCAAUUUGGCGCAGGUGCGUGUGGUAGAUGGGUUGUUUUUCUUCAGCAGUUUCAUGAGAUUCUUUGGUGAUGUUUCGGUUGGGUUUUAGCUGUGCGAAGGUUUCGAAGGUUUGCGGUCUCCCGAGAGCUGCAGGACUGCAGAAUGGGGGAGAUUCUCGGUUCAAGACCGCAUCAAAUGUGGUGACGACAGUGUGUGGUUGUAGUAUUGCAAGCGAGAGCAGCACGGAUUGUUGGCAUGCGUAUGAUUAAUUUGUAGGCAAAUAGGCGAGUUGAGGAAGGCAGAAUCGUACCAUGUGUAUCGUCAGUUUGACGCCUGGUAUGGUGGUUGACACCUAGGCAUGAAAGGAAUGGUGAUGGUGAAUUUGACAUCUAAAGAUUGUGGGUUUGAGUAGGUGAGAGCUGUGGAAGCUCUUGAAAAGCUUCACCAUGAGUUGGAACGGGCUGAAGAGGCCAGGUAGUGCCCUGUUGACGGUCACUUUUUGCAUGUAUGUGUUCAAGGCUGUUACGAAGAGUCGGUUGCGCAUUGUGGAAGGGUUUUGGUGUGUGCAUAUGGACGGGGUGGGAUGAUGGACGUUGUAAAUGGAGAGCAUACGUUCGUGUGGGUGAGGUCGUUGACGGAAUGCAGUGUUUACCGGCAGGUGGUGGCAGCGAAUGGCGAGGUGGUACCAGCCCUCCGCGCAGUUGGGCAUAUACAUGCAUGGGAGCGUGGGAACCGGGAAGACAUUGCUGAUGGAUCUGUUCUACAAUCAAGUGCCUGUGCGCCGAAAGCGUCGCGUACACUUCCAUUCAUUCAUGUUGGUGCCUCGGAUGACCCGGAGAUUGUUUCAAGCUUGCUUGUUGCUUGUGUUGCAUGUUGAGGCGCUACAGCCAGGAUUACGGGCUCGGGAUGACGGAUGCUGAUGGUGGGAAUCGGAGGCUGGCAGGCUGGAUGUGCAAAAACGACUGCACAAGUACGGGAGGGUCGACGACGCAGUUCGAUUGGUAGCAUGGCAACUGUUGGAGCAAUCUCGCGUGCUGUGUUUGGACGAGGUUGAGGGUAAGCCGUCUUGUUUGCACAGACGUGCGCUGCGUUUUCAGAGAGGAGAUGGUUCGAUACAGGUCUUGGGUUGGAUGGACGGAGGGGCACGAGAAGCGUGCAUUUUGGAGGACGGAUUAGGUUGAAAUCUUCUGCUAAGGGCAGAUAUACGCAGCUUUGAUUGUGUUAGGAUUUGGGCGGAGGAAGGUGAUGAUGAGAAUAUGAGGGUGACUUACAGAGUGUUUGACGGCAAUCGCAGUAACAGAUAUAGCAGACGCGCUGAUGCUGAAGCGGUUGUUCGAGGUUUUGUGGGCCAUGGGCAUCGUAGUGGUGGCGACUUCCAACUCAGCCCCAGAUCAGCUGUACGAAGACGGGCUGAACCGGCAGCUGGUCAGUGAGACUGUCAUUUUGAUAAUGGGGUGUGAAACUUCUUAGGAGCAUGCAGCUGUGCCUGAUUUAGCUGUUAGGGCGCUUCGUGGUUACGGCCGAGUCACUAACGGCAGAGGUGCAGUUGUGGAGCUUGGCACCACGGAGUUGGCGAGCGUGGGAUAGGUGUGGUACUCACACAUUCAUGUGCUUGACAGUUCUUACCUUUCAUCCGCCGGCUAAAGGAGAACUGCAAUGUCUACAGUUUGAACACAAUGGAUGGGAAGGAUUAUCGGCGUCGUCACGCGUGGUCGGGACAUUUGUAUCAUUGUCCCGUCGCGGAAAAUGUCGACGGCAUCAUGGAUGAAUGGUUUUUGAAACUGACAGGUGAGCAUCACUGUGUCCACCUGCGAACUUGUCCACUGUGUUUGUUGGUCGGAGCGGAAGAGUACUUGGCGCUUAAUGAGAGUCACUGACGAACAGCAAUGUAGGGAUUGGUUGGAAGCACCGAGCAGUCACUUACAUAAUCCAAAUUCGCAGCUCGCAAAGGGUAGUGGCAACCUUCCCGGCCAUGUGGUGCAAGUUUUUCACUUCCUAGAUGCCUUCUGGUUGGGAAGGUUGAUGCGUAAAUGGAUGAGAAAGAUCGGUCAUGACGCUGAACCUAGCACUUUCAGAAUUUAGCUUGUGGAUUCUGCAAAUUUUGCCAUGUACGUGGUCAUUGCUUCUAGAGCCAAGUGCAAGGAGCUGAGUGAAGCGUUGUGUGAAGCAGGAGUGGAAGGGACGGAUCAGCGGAUAGAGGGUUUCAUGGGGAGGUCUUUUCGCAUAUUGGCCGCGGAAGAUGUUGGAAGAGCUUCUUUUAGUUACUUGUGCAAGUCGGCAUUCGGAGCUGCAGACUACAUCGCAAUUGCUGAAAUGUAUUCCGUACUACUUCUGGACAGGUAGGACCCACGUGGAGUAAACGAUUCGUUGUUGUGACAAGGGAUUUGAACUUGUCACUGGCACGCAGGUGAAGAGUGGUACCGGCGUGUCUGGAUGAAAGAAAAUGCAUCGAGGCUUGAUGUCAGGGUGUGGUAACGAAUGCAGGGGGUAUGGUGUGCAGGAUUCCCAGACUUUCAGAUCCAAGCUGUGAGAACGAAGCCCGGCGUUUCAUCAACCUCAUCGACAUACUGUACGAAACCAACACCAUACUGAUAUGCUCGGCCGAGGUUCCGCCGGAUUCGCUGUUCUUUGAUCCUUUGCAAAGAUGUGUACUUGGGAGAGGACAUAGCCUGGACGCAACAGAAGAGAAAGGAAUUCGGAUUGUGGGCGAGGGAGGCAGUUCGGGCAGGUCAACGUUGAUGAUAGGCAACAUGGAAUGGAGUGCCACUGGAAGACAGGGCGCUUCAUUGGCAGACCUGACGGGGGCAAGUUUUACGAGGAAGGCAGCCCCUCGUGCCGUGUCUCGACUUGUGGAGAUGCAAAGUGACAUGUAUGUCGCAAGGGCCAGAAGCACUCACAUCCGAACCCGAUUGGCGGAAUUGGACCGCAUGGAUGUGGGGUCCAGAGGUGCACACUAGGGUCACUUAGAUGCAGUGAUAUAGAUGAAUUGUUUCUCGAGGGAAAACGUCUCACAGCGCCACAUUGCAUGCUCAUAGAAGCGAAGGUGUUCAUCGCGUGCAUGAACAAGGAGUCUUGUGAACAUGAUGAAAAUUGUGGAUGUCAUUGUGUGAGACAUCACUACGGUACUGUAUCAGCCAUUCAGACAACCAUUGGUAAUAUACUUGGAAGUGUGGUUGAAAUUAUAUUGUGUCUUAUGUAUUUUGUGGUGCAUCCUCUGUUAGAAUUGUGUCAGUUUGUGGUGUAAUUUUUGUUUGUUAGCCACUUUGAAGAAUCUGAUGCAUCGAGCAUUAUAUUUGUGUUUAGUUGAGUAUCGUUGGUUAUGCUUCUUAAAAACUACAUUUCUGGAAGGAUAUGAUAUAAGUUUACAUUUUUAUUAUUAUAUAGUUAUGAUGUUUUGUAGUACUCAUCACUUGAAGUAGCUUUAGUUGUUGCAUGAUAUUAUUUCUACAUGUGUUGUAUACCAACUAAAUAUAUUACUGCUUAGUUUCAUCCUAGGAAGGGUUUAUAAUAAUUAGAUAUGUGGGUAUGAUUUAUUGAAAAAGUUCAUUUGUUUUUGAUACCUCAGAUAGGGUUUCUAACAUUGAGAGAUAUGCAUAUGAUUUGUUUAAGCAAGUGUAUAUCUCUCAAAGGUUUUUAUUAAUGAAGGAGAGGUACUUACAUCCAAAUUAAAUUUAAGGACAAAAUAUAUCAUAUUUUCAUUGUGCUGAUUGCAUUGCUUUGCCUUCAUAUAAAUAAUUAUUUUGGAGGAUAAAACACAAGUUCAUAUAGCAUUUAACAAUAUAUGACUAAAAUUGUGAAACAUUUAAUACUCAAAAGAUAUAAGUAAAUUUUGGGGAUCUUUAAAAGUAAAAGAGGAUUAAGAUAGUAUAACACCUUUGUAAGUAGUAAGCUGAUAUAAAUUUAUUUAUAUUUAUAUUUUGUAGAAAUAAUGGUUUAAUAUAAAUAUAUUUAUACAUUUAUAUAUUUUAAUCAUUGAUGUUAUGUAAAAAUCUAAUGGUUUAAGGUGAUUUUGAAAUGAUAUUAAAGAAAAAAUUGAAAAAUAUUAUUUAAUAUUUUUUGUGUUGAUGUUUAAUUGUAUUUAUUCUAAUUUAUUUCUAUAUUUAUAAAGAUAAAACAUCACAAUGCAAUUAUUGAUUUCAAAUGUAAUUUUUAAGUUAACUUUAUUUAGAUAACUGUAGAAGGUAAGUAGAAAUGCAAUAAUAAUCCUACCAAAUCUAAUAGAGUCUUGAAUAAACUUUAAGCAAUUCUUACUAAUCUUAAUCAAACUUUAGCCAAUCCAAGUAAAAUUAAAAAGAAAAUACAAAUGAAAUGUAAAGAAAUCAUAAUUAAUCUCAAAGAAAUAUAAAAAUAAGUUUUAAAAGAAAUAACAAUAAUCUUAAAGAAAUACAAUAAAUAGAUUUUUUUUAUAGGAAUAAUAAAGAAUUCUAAAAAUAUAAUAAAAAUAAAAACUUUAAAUAAAUCCUAAGUAAAUCUUAACUAAAUCCUAUAUCAAACUUUAACUAAAAUCCUAAUUAAAAUCCUAAUGAACCUUAAUCAAACCCAAGAUUAAACCCUAAUGAAAUCCUAAAUUUUAGACCAAUCCUAAUGAAAUAUUAGACGAAUCAAAAUCAAAUUCUAUUCAAACCUUAAUGAAAUUCUAGUCAAACCUUAAACCAACUCUAAUUAAUCCUUAAUCAAAUCCUAAAUCUUAAAUAAACUCUUAAUAAUCCUACAACAGAUUAAAAAUUCAAUAACUAAUGAUUAAACCGUUGAUUUUGACUCAAUAUUUUUACACCUUGUAACAUCUAAGUUAGCAAUAAGGACAAAAAAUUUAAAGAUCACACAUACCAAAUAACUACCUUUGAGAAAAAAAUUAUAUCAAUCCAACUAGCAAAUUAGCAAAUAUCUUAGAAAUCCUCAUUGAUUCUCUAAACCCCAAUUUCCUAGACAAUAAUAUAUAAAAACCCUCAUAUGAUUCAAUCUAAUUGUAUGAUUGGCCUCAAAUUUUUCACACACAUUCACAAUAAGCACAACAAAAAAUUGCCCAAUUUUCACCUAUAAACACACUACAAAACUUACAAAAUCUUGAAAUUUGUAAGCUUGCUUUUAUUCUUAAAAUCCAAAUCUACUAAGUACAUUACUAACUUUGAAAAUCCCUCAAAAUCUCAAUAUGAAUCCAAAUGAUAUGAAACCAACACUCAAAUCUCUUUCCUUAAGUUUUUUCUCAAAUUCCAUUUUUUGACUUGCAAAAGAACCUUGGAGUUGCAAUAGAUAUGUGGUUAUGUGGCUUGGGGUCUGAUUUUAACUUAGGUUGACAACUAAUCCUCUUCGGAUAUCAAUUUUUGAUAAUUUGAGGUAGUUUUUGCUUAAAUCUAUUGUUAACUCUCUCCUAAACAUGAUUAUAUUAAUUUCUUAUCUUAUUUACUUUGAUUUGGCUCAUUUAUGCCUCUACAAAGUAAAUAGAAAUCUCUUCUUCAAAAGUCAACAUUGAGACUAAAUUUUUUACUACCUUUAUAUAAUUUAUCAUUGUUUUUUUAUUACGUCUUUUUAUUAUGCUCUUCUAUAAUAACAUCCAUAUUUUUAUUUUUUGCCAUAUAGUCAUGUUAUCACAUGACAUCCACCUCUUUUGAACUUGUGCAUCUUCUAAUAUAUACCAAAUAAUCCAAAUCUUAUUUGAUUCAUAUUAUGUUCUCCUUGUCUUCAUUCAAUUCUUCUUCAUCAUUUUUGCUAUCCAAAUCAAAAUCAUCUUUUUGUCUUGAAAGAUUUAUGUUUUCAAUAAGAUCAUUUAUAUUUAUUUCCAUUUUUCUUCAUUUGAAUAUCUUCACUUGCUUUCUCACAACUGGUAUUUUUAACCUUGUUCCAUAUAACUCUCGUAAUGAAUAAGUUACAUUAUCAUGAACAUUUGUUAUUACAUAUGGUCCAAACCAUCAAUAAAAAAACUUCUUUAAAUUAUUAAGUUGAUUGUCCAAGCUACUAUCAUAGACCAAAUUCCAAUCACCUUCUUCAAUUGUUGUAGGUCUCAAGUUACUAAAAUGAUAUAUUAACUUCUAUGAAUAGGCUAUUAAUCAUAAAUAUUAUAAAAAUUAUAUCUUUAUCUUCUAUUCUAAAAUAAAUUAGUUUAAAAAAAUGUUUGAAGACAUGUUUUGCUUAUAAUAGUUUUUUUUCCACAUAAGUUGAUAUUCAAAUAUGUUACAAGUUAAGAAAUUUUUGCUUCUAUAACAUUAUUUUUUGUAAUUACUCCAAUAUAAAAGAAUCUACUAACAUUACAAAUGUAUAAAAAUGUGAAAUACAUUUUACAGAUUUAUAGAUAACACAAACAUAUUUUAAUUUUGCUUAUAAUAGUUAAAAUACAUGUUUUGUUUGUAAUAGUUCUAUCAUGAUCAUAGGUUAUUUGAUACUUAAAUUUUAUUACUAAAAAACAUCAUGUAAUCAUGGUAAUUUUAAAAAUCAAACAUUUAUCAAAGUAGCAAGAACAUUUGCUCAUAUUUUUUGGAUUUGUUAGAAGAAAAUUUAUCCUGUGAAAAUUUCAUUACAACUGAGAGGAUUUUCUUCAUAAAUAGUUAAACAAUUAUGAAUUUUUCUUAGCAUAGUCUCAUAACCGAGGACCAUGACAGAAAAUGCUCGUCCAUAGUAGAACUGUCCAUAUGGACCGCUCUGAAUUCAAACCUUAGUUGCCCAAGCCAUGUAACUCCUCACUCAUUGCACUAAAUCAGAAAGAAAGCCCAUUUGAAGACAAGUAAAUAAACAAUUCAUUUGUGAAGAACAUGGGCACGGAAGAAUACGCACUCUGGAUGAAGACUGCCAGUGGCGUUUUGUCAUGUACAUUAGUUUGAAUGCAUGUCGCAAACAAUCUGCUGAAUGUCUCGGAUACCAGCUGAAUCAAUGUAAUGUGUUGGAACAUAUGUACACUGACCUUUACAUCAAUAAUGCAGUUAAUGUAUCUUGGCUCGCAGCUAGUCCAACUAUAUGCUGUCAAGGCCAUCAACGUUAAACCGAAUCUUGCGGCUGUCACAGAACAGGCGUUAUUGUGUACAUUAAAACGCUUUACCAUAUAAGUUUUUCAUUGCGUACUUCGUGAAAGGGCUAAACUGUGCUCAAGGGCGAAGUCGUGGAGUCCAGGAUUCUAAGACCAACUCUCUGUGCUCAACUCGAAUCACUGUCAUCAGAAACCUGUCAUAAAAGACCCAAUAAUGAGUAGAAGUCCCAUUACACAAUUAACAUCUUCGUAGUUGCAUGACAAGGAAUGGAUAACAAAACGCGAAUUCUACUUGAAAUUCAAUAUUCAUUCAACGAUAUAAAAAAUGCACCGGUUACUUAGACAACCAAUAUAAACUAAUUGGUUCAAAUUGUACCAGUAUCAGCUGAUCCUUUGCCCGAGGCUCCUACGCACAAACAUACAAACAUAACUAUCAAUACUUGUUCUACAUGGUCACAACCUACAGUACUACAUUUAUGCAUACUUCCAGGGUGUAAUUUGAACAAGAGUGAAAUUUGGUCAAAUUGAGCCAACUUCUCAAUGCUUUGCCAAACGCCGUAUGUGAUCAUAUGAUCUACAACAGGAUGAACCCCUACAUGUCAUUUUGUUGAAUUAUGUUUGGUGCACAAAUUUCACCAGUUGAGGCAACCAAACCUAGAGCCAAGACACAGCAAUCGAUAAAAAAUGAUGUAUUGUUAGCCAGAGGCAACACAUACUCGGAUUAUGAUUUGAACAACACAUUUGUAUAGAUUACUUUCCUCAAUUACCUUGUCUUCAGCUAUUUUCUUUCUUCUUUUUACAGGAGUCUUACCCUUUCCUUCAACUCCUGCGAAGUAGUCAUUGAAAACAAUCAAUUAUGCACCAAGGAGCCUUGAACCAACCAAUCUGCUACGUAGAGUUGUGUAUAAACAUUGCAGGAACAUAGGAGCUUUAUUUUAUAAAUUAUUAAAAAUAAUAAAGGAAUAAUAAAACAUACUACAAAUAAAGAAAUGAAUUUAUUAAUGUGCAUAUUAUGCUGCUACCUUUUGAAAUUUGUUUUCUUUCUGAUGGAGCUUUUCUUUUGCGCUUAGAACCGUUACUUUCAGGAGGUGUAAAUGGUAAUACAGAUUCCACCUGUGAAAAAUUUCAGAGUUAAAGUAUGCAAAAAAAAAAUGAUGCUUUGAACGACAGGCUUCGUCACUCCAGUAUGUAAUCAGUACACACAACACGUUAUAGCUGAAAAACACAAUUUGGGGCUAACUCUUCAUACUUGGAAGAUGUGUAAGCCAGAGAUGGUGCUGAUGUAAACUACUAGUCAGAGAUUGUCAUUUUGUAUUCAAAGAAAUGUUUCUCGAAGGGUUAUUGCUCAGUGAGAAUUUACUUCGGUUUUAGAUGCCACAUUUUCAUCAUCUUCAGCAGCGCGUCCCUUGUCAAAAGUUGACUGCAGCUGCCAUGAAAAUCAAGUCAAAGCUUUGCACUGAUUGAAAAAUUCUUGAAUUCUCACUUCCGAUUCUACGAAACUUUCAACAUUAGAUGUGCGCUUGAACGAUCUAAGACUUCCUGAAGGUUUCAUGACGAUACAAUUCAAUAAGGACAAACUAAAGUGUGGUAGUAUAGGCAGCACCUCUAAGAGAAAUAAAGUUCAUGAGCCAUUCUCACCUUUGUGAGUUUUUCUCUUUGAUAAGUCCUUGUGAAACCUGCACAAAAGCACCAACAGUUAAUGUUGAAAGAAAACGAUCUCCAUCGCAAAAGAGAAGCUGUACAAGAGUUUCUGCAGUAAUAAGAAAGUCUUUAAAUCCUGUUCCACCUGGCUACUUCCACACUUCAAGUUCAAAAGAAAAGAGCAAUGAGACCACUAGAAUGCUUAAAAACAGAUGGAUACCGCACACCCAUGACAACUACAAUAACUUCAAAUUCCCAUAACUUAUGUUGCAAAUGUGUCAUAUGAUGAACUUUUGUCCACAAUUAAAUAUAAAAAAGAGAAAAACAGAAUCAAGGGGCACAUCAUUAGAGAAGGAGCUGACCUAUAUCUACCACAGAAUUCUGCGGCUCCACAUUUUUAACCUUUUCCUGUACAGCAGAGUGAAUACAAAGUCAUCCAUGCACCCAACACAAGGUUCUGUUCAUAAACCAUAUAAGAUACUGUCUAAAAAUGUUUGUUGAAGCAAAUAGCUGACCUUCUCGCUUGACUUCAAGAAGAACGUAGACAGAGUAGAUUGCCUGGACCCAGCUCCUGUAGUACUUGCAUUUGCAACUGCUUGAACGGAAGUUGAAAGAAGCAUGUCACCUGCAGUGCUUGGAGCUCUGGUUUGUGACAUGGCUAAAUGGUCGAUGGCACUAGCCUCUUCGUCAUCAUGUUCAUCAAUUGUGAUAGUCAUGUUUGUAGAAGGAUUUUUAUCCACUGCAUCUGGAGAAAACGACGAGGUUGUAAAUAUCGGCUAGAAUGUUUUUUCUGAGAUUUUCAAUUCAAACAUACUAUGUCUAUGCCGACGUCCUACAAAUCAAAACAUCCUCUCAAGUUGAAGUAAAGCAGAGUAAUCAAACAGUUCCAGGUAGCUCAACGGCUAUAUAGAAUCGAAUACAAGAACAGAGAGUUUCACCAGUCACGUCCUUCUUAGAUGCUUGUGAUUCGGGAACCAAGAGAGUAUCGUCGGCAUCCUCAAAUUCAAUAGCCUUAUUGGCAGCCUUGCUUCUAGAUUCCCCCUGUUUGCCAUCUAAAUCGUCACUUUCAUCAGCGUCGUCUGAUAGAUUCUCUUCUGAAGAUGAUUCUGCAUACCUAAUGAUAGAAAGAUCAAAACAUGUGAUGUAAAUAACUUUGCAAGCAACAUUUCCCCACCAGAAAUGAGCAUAAUAAUCAGAUUGUCAUAUGUGCUAAGAAGUCGACUUGCUAGAAAAGUUUUUGAGACUUACGAGUAUUUCUUUCCAGCUGUGCGAGCCGAUUGACGUGAUGGUGUCGGAGCAGCUCCCACAAUGGCAAAACCAGGAUCAUCAUCAUCAUCAUCUGACUCCCAUUCACUUACAACUUUGUGCUUCGGAAUUUUCUCUGAAGGUUUUCUCUGAGAAACCUGAGCCUUCGGAGUGCUAAGUUUGCUAGAAUCUAGUUGUGUUUCCUGAACCAGUUCCGAUUGUAUGGGUUGAACAUCACCAUAUUUCCUGGAAUCUCUUGGCUCACCAGCUCCGCCUGUGAAAUCGUACACCUGAUGUUUUUCCUAUAUUAACAGCACACGAAUCGAAAUACUUUUAGCUGGAUGGCAAUAAAUCUGAAUCAUAUUGAAACGCUAUGAAGCCAAGCAUCAAGAAAUGAAUGAGUAAAGGCUUAAAAGAGUUUUAAAGAAACAGCAGAAGGAUGUGAGGUCUACUCAAAGUUAUGACUCGUCAAAACUUUAACAGUGCGCUGAUUUCAGUGUUACACACUCGCGACCAAGAUCAAAAGAUUAUUAAACAACAGAAGAGGACCUUAAUGCAUAUGGAAUGCAUUCUCUAUAACCAGCAUUGGACUCAUAGAAACAAUGAAGGACACAAUUAUUCCCUCCCAACUUUUACAUCAUUUGUGCAUAUGAAAUAUUUUUCUCAUACAAUAACCGCAACUUCAGUUAAAUAGCACCUAUAUUAACAUGUGGUACCUGUUGAAGGUCCAGAGGCAUAUCAAGACGCAGCUCAUCCGGGUUUUCUUCUUUUUUGCCGACCCACCAAGCCUCCGGAAAUACCACCUGCGAAAUAUUAAUAACUGACUUGAGCUAUGUGCUAAAAAUAAUUUGAGCAUAGAGCCCCAGUAAUCUGCUGAAGGAAUGAUAGUUGUCAACUAUCAAGCAUAAGCAAUCCCAUGUAAAAAUUGUGCUAGUAACUAGUGCUUGAUGAACUCGUCGAUUAAACUUUAGUUCCCCUUGCAAUCAAGUUCGUACUAGACUACUUUGUCAACACUUCCUGUGACUAGUAACAACAAACACGCUAAUGUAAUUCAUUUGGAUUAUUUGCCACAUAAUUCGACAGGUUUAAAUCGAGAGAUCUCUUUAAAUACAUUGUUGACGCAUUGGUAGUGCAAAGAAUUAGAUCACCAAUGCUCACUUACCAUACUUUCAAAGAGAUCUUCGCAUAGAAUGCUUCCUGCUCCGCGAACAAAAUUCAUUGUAAUGUACUUGUUGAUGGGAUAUACGAUGGUUCCAAAUAAUUUAAGUCGACCCUGCUAUGACAAAGCAUGACGAUUGAUUAGGUUGUCGCAGAAAGGCAAAUAAAAAGAAAUGUGUUAGUGUGAAUAUGUAUGCAUGUCUCUCUAUCUCUCUCUCUCUCUCUGUGUCUCUCUGUGUGUGUGUAUAUAUAUGUUUGCAUAUAUUGCCUACGGAAAAGAGCACACAUAGAGUGUCAAGAAGUAUUACUUACCUGUGGAAAAUCAAUAUAAAGGAUUGGAUUUCUCGAGUCCAGUUGCGUCAGUUCACCGAACUUACCACCAGAAACAGGAGCUACGAGACCCGGGAAAGAAAACAGAUAUUUGUUCUUUCUAUGUCCUUUUUUACAAAUAUCUUUACCAUCGCAUUUUACGAUACCUGUAGUCAAGCAAAAUAGAUAGACAUAGGAUUAAUUGGAUUCACCGCAUUGCUUAUCACGAACAAUGCCUCCAAAGACAAUGAUCUCACUUCAAUAAAUCCUUGAAUAAUUUGAAAAAAUCAAUGGAAAUUGUCAGUUUACUUACGCUGUUGUAAUUGGCAUUUAGAAAUAACAACAUCAAGCUAGACAACCGUUCAAAAUAUUAUUCGAAAGAGAAGCCAAAUUUUCUUAAGACCAACAAACUACCCCAACACCUCAAUGAGGAAUUAGUCCACUUUACCCCAUUUAGGACGCAACGCCUCUGCUGGUAAAGCUUUCUUCUCCGACACCAAUCCGCACGAUCGAGCUAGCUCCCGCAGCUUCUUACUCUGCUUCUCCAGCGACUUAUCCUCCUUCGUCUGACUCACCUCUUCUACCUGCUUCUUCUUCCCCAUGCUUGCUAAACCCUAAGCCACCUCCACAAAAUUAUUCAAAACAACCAAAACAACGACACCAGUAAAACACAGCUCCAAAAAAUAAAACCAAAAGUAAUCGUGCCGUCCACUUACAUUUAACCACCGCGCCUCAACGAUGAAACGGCCAAACAAAUUAGGAAUCGGUAUCCCGACUACCACGGCUUCCUCACCCAAGCUCAGACAGCCAGUUUCAUGAGGAAUUUCUAAAUGAACGAAGAGCUUCCUCCUAGAUAGAUACCCCCAGUGCACUCCUAGUUACGGCGUUUUGUUACCAAUCGACGGGAAAUGCAGUAGCGUAGAAAAAUCCAAUCAAUCUUCGUAAUGAGAUUCUCGAAACAAUGUGGAAAAUUUCCUAGUACACUUGAGUUAUCGAUCAAAGGACAGCUGACGACGGAAUCGCCUUCACAAAAACUGGCGCUAAACAUCUGGUCCCGUUCACACCUUGAAUUCAGUGUUGCAUAUCCCGGCUGACGUGUCUUAUGACGUGACGUGACGUGUAACUUGAAUUUGUUGGAUAAAACCUCGUCCCCUGGAACGUGGGACAAUCCCGACCAUAAUUGAGACUUAAACAUACAUAUUGUGGGCUAAAAAGAAAAAGAAAAAAGUGCACACUACACAAAACUGUAUAAUAAUAAAAAAUUUGAAUGUUUAAUAAAACCAGGUUUGAUAAGUUUGUUUGAAUCAAUUUUAAAAACGUCAUCCAAAAGGUUUAUCAGCUUUUUUACUAAUUUUCAUAUGGUAAAAUGAAGAUAAUCUUUAAAAAUGAUAGAAAUGUUUAAAUCCAAUAAAAAUAUUUAAAUUUAGUUUAUUUACAUAAUAAUUUAGAAUUGUAACAUAUAUUUGUUUAAAAAAAACUUCUAAAAUUACUAAUUGUUAUAUAAGUAAAAAUAUAAAGUAAUUAUGUAUUGAUAUUUGUAUAAAGGUGAAUUAGUCCUAUCAAUGGAUUUUAAUUGAUGGAAUGUUUAAAAUAUAUUUUUAAUUUAUUUAGUUACAAAAUAUUAUGAUUAGAGAGUCUAUUUGAUUAUUGGAGUAUGUAUUCAAAUUUAGAAGUGUUUAUAAUUUGCAAGAGUCUUAUUAGAAUAUAAGUCAUGAAAAUAGAGUCUUAAUAAGGCUUAGAAUCAAUUAUCUUAAUUGGUUUAGUAUUUUUUCUUAAUUGUGAGAAUCAGUAUUUAAUUAAUGACACAAAUGUCUACAUUGGCCUUCUAUUCCCAUGUACUAAUUAUAAAUGUUAGUUAGUAGGUAAAAGAAGCAUGAGAAGGAACUUCAUGUCUUUUAAAUUAUUUAUGUAAGAAAUAAAAAUAUUAGUUAAUUGAAAUAAAUUUUAUCAUUGUAUAAAAUUAGAAAAUUAAAAAAUAUCCAUAAAUCAAUAUCAACAUUAUAAAAUUUUAUGACUUAUUCAUAAUUACUUAGAUAUUAAUAUAUUUUAUAUCAUUAAAAAGAUAAAAUAAUUAUCCACCUAAAAAUAUAUUUUUUCUAUAAUAAAUUUAAAUUUAUUAUAAAAUAAAUAAAUAAAUAUAUAAAACUAAAAUUAAAAUACAUAAAACUUUUAAUUCACAUUAAAUUAAUAUUUUCACCUUUUUUUUAAUUUUAAUUUUUUUGGAUUUCAUUUUUUUGAUUUUAUUAAUAAUUUCACUUUUUUUAUAUUUUUUACAUGCAUGAUAACUUUCAUAUACUAAUGUAAGUUUAGUAAUUAUUUUUUCAUAUAUUCACAUUGUUGCUUCUAAUUAUAAGUGGUGUUUGACCAAUCUAGUGUUAGUGUUAUUAUUAUUUGAUUAUAUUGGUAUAUUGCUUAUUUCUCCAAGAGCAAAAGAAGUGGAAUUAAAAUAUAAUAUAAAAUUAUAGCAAUAACCCUUAAUAAGUUUUAAACCUUAGUUCCUUAAUUUAUUUGAAGUCUUAGACAAAAAAAAAAAAAAAAAAAAAACAUAGUUUAGAAAAAUUAGAUGGAUUUCAAAUCUUAGCUCUUUAAUUCUAUUUGAAAUUUUAGAUAAAAGUACGGCUUUGCAAAGAUAGAUGAAUUCUAAACCUUAGGUUUUUUUUUUUUUUUUUUUUUUUUUUUUUUUUUUUUGAAAUUUAAGUAUACAUGAGAAUGAGCAUAGUAGGACUUUUUCUCCUAAAAGUAAUUUCUUAACCAUUUUAUCAUCUUAUAGUGUAAUUAAAUAUUAAAAAUAUUUCAUUACAUACACCACAAAAUUCUCUAGCCUAUUUUUUUUGUUAAAAAAAUUAGUUAUGCUUGUGAUAGAUUUAAAAAAUUUAGAAAUUUUGUAAAAAAUAAAGUUGGAUUAAUAGCCAACAUAAAUUUUUUUCGUCAUUGAAUAUAUACUUAUAGAAAGUAAUGACUACUAUGAAACAUGCUUAAUUAUUACAACUUAUCCUAUAAGUUGCUAUUUACUAAGUUCAUCUACUUUUGGUGGCAUAUACAUAUUACAAAUUUAAAAAAAUUACUUGUAAAUUCAUUGGUCUUAUUUUUUAUUUCUAUUAUUAAAUAAAUUCCAAUUAAGAAGUAAUUCAGCUAUUUUAAGAUUAGCACUUGAUCUUAACUUGAUAUUUGAUUAAAAUAUGUGUAUCUCUUGUGAAAAGAGGUUUAAUUAAAAGAUAAUAUAAUUAUCUUAAGAUUGGCAUAGGAUUUCAUUUUAGUACAUAAUUAAACCAUGUAUCUUAUAAUGAGAUAAAAAAAAAUGAAGGAUUUUAUAUUAUUUUAUAAAAUAAAAAAUAUAUAUAUAUAUUUUAAAAAAUAUUAUUUAUUUUUGUAAACCAUCUAAUAGAUCUUUUUAACUUAAGAAAUCAACUUAUAAUUAUAUACCUAAUUGUAUGCUACUUAGACUUAAAACUAAAUUAGUUUACUAUGAAGGAUGUGAAUCACAAACAACUAAAAGGUCAAUACAUCCUUGUGUUCUUAGAAAAGAAUAGAAAAUCACUCAAAGAUAGUAUAAGAUUAAAAUUACAAAGGCUAUUGCUAAAAACAAGAAACUCUUGAAACAAAACUAAGAACAAAAAUGAUUUUGAUAAAAGUGAAGAAGGCUUUAUUCUUGCAUUCCUAUAUACUAUUUAAUUAUGAGUUACAUAGCAAUAUUCUAUAGGAAUUCUAAUAUAUAUCUAAUUUGUAAGAUAAGUUUGUUAAAUGUCUGCUUUAUAGUCAACUCAUACUACAAAUUGCCAACAUGUGCAAUAUAUGGCCAACUUGUUGGCAAAAUUAUCUUCCUAUCUAGGUAAUUAUGUAUGUCUAUGAUACUUAUCAUCUUAACAAUCAUAUUUUUCAAUCUAGAUGUAUUUUACAAAUUAAAAUAAAAUUAGAAGCUAUAGUUUUAAAAACUAACGUAUUAAAAGAACUUUUUGAUAAAAUAUUAUAUGUUUUUGUUGGUAUGAAAUAUAGUAGAGGCCAUCUUAUAAAACAUCAAGUAAAUUCUUUACCUUUUUCAACUUAAAAGGCUAAUCUAAUCAAUAAAAGUAACCACUUCUUUUCAAUAAACAUCCAAAUCAAUCCAAUGAUAUUACAUAGGAAAUUAUUUAUUUUAGUCUCUUUCAGAUCAUAAGAGGCAUCAAUUCUAUCUAAUCUCUUAAGAUUUAAUUGAUACAUUAAUGAAGACCUAGUAGCUCAUAUAAAAAGAUUUGUAAAAGUAUUAAUCAUUACCUUUGUAAUCAACCACGUGCAUUACUUGAUAUGAUUUUUAACAACUUUAAUAGAUUCUACAUAUACAUGGUAUAGAUUUCAUACAAAGAAGUCAUUUAUUAAAUAGAGGCAACUCCUAGCAGUUUUUUUUUUGUCAAUUUAGACAUAUAAUUAGCUAAUAAUAAACUCUUUUAGCUAUAAAAAAUAUUAGACAAGGUUCUUUAGAAGAUAUUACAUUUGAUGUGAGAUGAUUUUAUAUAGUAUGCAUCCAAUAUAUUAGUAAUCUUUUAAAUAAAGAUACCAUAAGAUACUAUUUUAUCUAAGGUUUUAUUAUAUCUUCUAUAAUUUGAGAUAUAUUAAAUAAAAGAUCUAAAAAUUUGGAAGGAAUCAUUUAAUUUACUUCAGAAAUAGAUGUUAUUAAUGUAAAAAAUAAUUGUAUGCUUAAAAAGAUAGAAUUACUAAUAUUUUCUUUUAUAAUUUAGAAUAUUGAUUUACUAAAUUCUAACAAAAAAUAACUUUGAUCUAUUCAAAGCCUUCUAUCUUUCUAUUGUCAAUUAGCAAUCUAAUGCCAUUAGCUAUAUAAGCCUUACUUGAUCAAGCUCUAAAUAUAACUUUAAAUGAUUUUAAAUUAAAAAAAUUAAAAAUAGAAUAAGACAAAUAAAUGAUGUGGUUAAAAAUGAAAUGAUGAAUAUUUUAAAGGCAAUAAUAAACAAAUAUUUUAUCUCAUAAAAAAUCAAACUCGAACUAUAAAACCUAGGUAUGAUAAAUUAAAAAUCUAUACCUCUAGAUUAUAAUGUACAAAUUAUAACCAAACCACACAUUCUAAUUUUGUUUAUAAUUUUACAAAAACCACUUAUAAAUAAAUCAAUCACAAUAUUACAAAUUUAAUUCUAUUUGAAUUUUAUGUACUUAAUUACAAUAAGUAGAUUGAGAUGUGUAAAAAAAUUAAAUAAAAAAUUAUCAAUUAAAAUUUCUUUAAAUCAAAAUUAAUGGUUAGAUAUUUUUAAUUAUUAAAUUUUUUUAAUUAUUUUUUUUGAAUAAAAAAAAUUUAAAAAUUAUGUAGAAGAAUUUGAAAGCUUUACAUAUAUAAAAAGCUAAAAAUAUCUAAUUUUGAGGCUUUGGAAGAAUUUUCAAGUAAGUUAGAUAAUCUAAUUGACUUAAAAAAAUUAAAUUUUUUAAAGUAUAAAAAGUUUUAAAACUUCCCAAAAGCAUUUAAAAACUUGAAAUGUUUAAAAGAGCUGAAUAUAUAAGAACAUGAGUGUUACUUGCCUAAAAUAAUGAUACUUGCUUGUAAUAGUAUUACUUAUAUGAGGAGCUUAUAUUUGCCUACACAUGAUAUCUGCUAAGGAUCCUAAUAAUAUAGCAUCUAAAGAGAAUUAAGCAAAGAGAUAAAGUGCUAUUACAAGGCCAUCACAAUUAAUAAAGAUAUAGUAAUGUAGAAGAAUAUUUAAGAAUUGGAGAAAUUACAAUGAGGCAAUUGAGAAGUAGCACAAUACUUAGUGGAUCCUAGGCAAUAGUACCACAAAUUAACUAGUAUUGGAUUGGAGGAUGUGCGAUUCUAAAUAAGUUAUAAAUUAGAUCUUGUUUCUUUUUCAAUUAUUGUAUAUGCCAAGUUUGGUCUUAAAAGUUCUUGUCUUGUAUUUGUCAAUAAUCUCAAAAAAUUGAGUAAUAUUUGGUAACAUAUUAGGGAGCAUUGUAAGAUAGAGCUUUUAGAGUAUUUAACGGUGUUGUACUGUAAUUGCUUAUAGUAUGUAAAAAAUAGUUAGAACAUAUAAUAUGUUCAUAAACCUUGGUGUAUGUUAGAAUGGUUAAUAAAUUAAUUUAAAUAAAUUAGAUAUAAGAAACUUUAUUUUAAAUUUUAUCUAUUUUGAUUAUGGCAUUUAAAACAUUAUAAGACGUAAAUGUUUAGUAUGAAGCCUUAAGAGGAGAUUAGAGCCUAAAGAUGAAAAUCUAAACUAGUAGGAAGCUUAUUAGAAGGAAUGAAAGCAAGGCAUGGUUGGGUGAAGGCAAGGAAUGGAGAUCUUCAUUCCUAUUGGUUGAAGGCCAUGUCCAAUGGACUUCAAGGAGGCUGCCCGAGACCUUAUUAGGGAUUAGGAUUUUUUUUUAGAGGACAUUCGAGCUUUUGAUGCUAGGAUCAAAAAAUUUAGGUUUUAGGUACAGAUUGGAUGUAAAUUUUGUGUAAUUUGGAGUUUUUAUGAAGGAGUUAUUGGCGCUCAAAGUUAAGGUAUUAAUUUCAUAUCUAUUGUCACUCUUUAGGACAUAACAUACAUUUACAAAGAGCAAUAAAGGAUCGGCAAUUGAGAUUGGAGAGAUCACUUUUUCAACUAUACUUUUUAUAUACUAUUUGAUGAAUUUGGAGUUUGGAUGAAGAAGUUAUAGAGAGUUAAAGUCAAUGCAUUCAAAUCAAAGGUAGUAUAUAAGUGAUUUUGUUGAUAGUAAUGGUUGGAGCCAUAACUUACAUUUUUAAAUAAAUUUUUGGCUAGAACCUUUUGAAGAAGGUAGAUUAUUAUGUUAGAAAACUUUAUAUAUAAAUUUUGUGGUAUUUAAGGGCUUAGUUUGUGAUAUAUGAAGAAAAUUUCAUGCAAGUAUAUAAAAACUAGGGUUUGAAGCUAGUGUUAGGAUUUUGGUGAUAUCUUAAGAUUCGUGAUGAAUUUAUAGUUGAAAUUUGUUGUGGUAUUUUUUAGAAGUACAUCAGUACUUCAUGUAAAAUUUUAGUAUGUUUGAAUGGUCUGAUUGAAAGAUAUGAGUUUUUGAAGUUCAAAAAUAAUAUCCCAGAAGGAUAUUUAAGGAUUUAGAGUUUUUUUUAAUCAUAUUUUGGGUGUUUUUGGAAACUUAAGACUUAUAUAUUUGGUAUAAUUGCUCUUAAAAGUAUUUUACAUAUAUACAAACUUGGUCUUUCUUAUCUCAAGUCUUGAUUGAGCAAUUAGUGGCAAUCAAGAACCAAGUGCUUUCUUGAGGCUUAACUCUCUCUACCUUGACAACAAAGGAUGAAUACAUGAUCUACAAGUAAAAUGAACAAAAUAAUCAAAACAAGAAGAAACACAAAAAGAUUUUCUCUAAUUGACUUAAGUUUGAUAAGCAAAACUUAGUAGAGACUGUCAUUGUCUGUGAAGAGGUCAAAGACUUAUAUAGUUGGUUAUAAAAAUAUAUCACAAUGAUGUAAGUCUAUAUGAAAAUAAUUUUAUAAAAAAUAUUAUAAAAUUACAAAGAACUUAUGCAAAUAGUCAUGAGUUUAGGACUUGAGUCUUAGACACCUCAAACACAACAAUCAAAUGAAAAAAUAGAAGAAGGCUAUAGUUAGAUCCCACAUGAAAGUCUAUUAGUGGCCUCUAUUUUAAUCCUAGCAAUAGUAGUCAACUUAGGGUAAUCCAAUCUUAAGUAUCUUAUUUACAAUUACACAAGUGUUUUCAAUAGAUAUUCAAAUUAUAUUUAAUUAUAGCAAAGAUUAAUGGAAUGUAAUCUUUAAAAUAUUAAAAUAAAUAUUCAAAAUGAUAUUAUAAGAAGUGGAUAUUAUAUGAUUUUUAUUAUUUAUCUAUAGGCUUGUAAAGGUUAUUUGGAAAAAAUUUAAACUAAGCUUUGUAAAAAGAUACAUAAAAAUUAAUGAUAAUAUUUUAUUAGAAUUAUCAAAAAUUGUUAAAAAAGUCAAUCAAAAGAUAAUGAAAGAUUGUGUAGACUAAUUUAUAGAUCUUGUGGAAAAACUCAAUGCUAUUUUUAUUGAUUCCAUCUAGACCUUGUUAUUUAAACAUGGCUUAUUAACUAAUAUCAAGUAAGGUAUGAUGUAUAUAUGAUCCAAAAAUAUAUAAGAAAUAUUCAAGGCUAUUCUUGAAAUUGAACAUACUUUAUUAUUUGCAUAAUUAUUCAAAAAAAAAUCUAGGUAGAACAUUGAUAAUGUGUAAACAUUACUAUAAGAUACACUUUAGAAAUUAUUGGUAGGAUCCUUUAAAUUCAAAAAAUAAUUUUAAUGAUAUACAAAGAAAGUCAAAUAUUACAACUAUAGAAUUAGAAGAAGAUUUUAAAUAUAAUAUAUUCCAUCUACAAUGCAAUGAAAGCCAAAGCAAUUGGCCAGCAUGAACAAACUUAUAUUUUGAAUGUAAAAGAAAUAACCAAAUUAGUGACUAUAUUCAUGCAUGACAACAAUGGACAAAGUAUCAAAAUCAGCAAAAUGUGCACACUUAUCAACAAUAUUAAUAAUAGAAGCCAAGUAUGCUAUGGUAAGUACUUAAGCUAAUUGAUCCUUACUUGAAGUACUUUGGAAAAUGGAACAAAAACCUUGUCUUUUAUAUACUAGAAACAUUGAGAGUUGCUCAAUAAGAUUUUAAAACAAAUAUAAUAAGUACCACAUGUAGACAAGGCUAUAAAAUUAAUCAAUUUCAAUGCCAAAGAAACUAAAAUUAAUAAUGUAGUUAAUAACAUUGUGAUUACAAUUUUGCUUGCUUAGUUAUUUAAACCAAAUUCCAAAAUAUUGACAUAUUUAAAACAUAAGGUAUGCCUCAAAUCAUGACCACAAGUAGUUACAAACUUUAAUAUGACAACCAUAGAUGCUAAUGUUGUAGUUAUCAAAAUUUGCAUCAAAAAAUAUCAUUUAAUUAUUAUACUUGUCGAUAGAAGAUCCAACAUUAAUGUCAUAAAAAAUCAUAUCUAUAGGUUCUUUGAACUUCUUCAAUCUAAAGCAGAUUUAUUUAUACUUCAUGUAGUAAUUAAUACUUAAAUUAAGUCCCUUGGAAUAUUAUAAAAUAUAAUCAAUACAAUUAAAAAGAUAUAAAUACCAAUUACCUUUUCAAUAAUAAAGAUACUUGAUAAAAGAUACUUCUCAAUCAUUUUAAAAAUAUCAUUGUCAUGAUGCACUUAAUUUAAGAGCAUUAAAUUUAUUUGAAAGGUAAUUAGUUUUACUUAUAAGAAGGGAAGAAUAUAAUGCUAAUAAGCUUAUAAAUAUGAAUGGAAUUUAGAGUAGGAGAUUGUUGCCUUGGAUAGAUUAUUCAAGCUUUGAGAAUAUUAUCUUUUAGGAUAUAUAUCUAGCUCUAUAAGAAUUCAAGGUGAAUAUUGGAAGAAAGUUAGGGUGGAGGUUUUUUACAUCAAGUAGAUUUUCUAGGACUAAUGUGAAUAGAGGGGAGGAUUGCUAGACUUUUAGAAUGAUGAGAUUUAAGACUAGUUUGAAUUUUUUCAUACCAUCAAGUAUAUUUUUAUCUUUUUGUAUUGAUAUUUAAAAAAAAAUAGAUCUUAUUAUUAGCUUUCUAAAAAGACUUUGCACACAUGAAAGAGAGUUGUGAUGAGGAAUAUAUAUGAAAAUUUGUAGAUAAAAGAUUAUUGAAAAUUUUAGAUUAUAAAGUUUAAAAUUGAUUCAUCUUUUUGUGUUGAAAUUUUAAGAAAAGCUAGAUCUUAUUAUUAGCUUUCUAAUAAGCCAUUGCACGUAAGAAAAAAAAUUGUGAUGAGAGAGAUCUAAGCUAAUUUAUAGAUGGAAAUUUUAAGGGCUGCUACUAAAUAAGUAACUAACUUUUUUUUAGUUUGGUUCUCAAUUUCUUUAAAAUUUAUUUGUAGACUUUAAUAUUUUAAAAUUUGUAGCUUGAAUUAAACUCAAUGAGCUAAAUUUUAUCUAGAUUGAAUUAAUAAUAAGUAAUUUAUAGGUAUUUUAAUAAAAGAGAUUUGAAUUUAAGAUUAGUGUUAGGAGUUCAAUGUAUCUUAGUAAAAGAAAGGAAUUAAUCUAAAAUUUAUACUCAAUCUUUGGAAUACCUUUUUAUAUUUGAAUUCAUUUGACACAACAUUGUACUUUUAUAACCUAUUUGCAAUCAAAGAUCUUAUAUUUUCCUAAGAAGGCUUAUCUUCAUGAUACUAAUUUGAUCCUUCUAUUGAAAGCAACUUUGGAGACAAUUGAAAGUACAAGUAGAGCACAAUGGAAUUAUAGACCUAAAUGUAAGCUUGGAGUCUGAGAAAGAUCUCAAGAAUUUAAAAAAAAAUGUGAAAUAUUUAUGAUAUUUAAAGAUGAUGGAUGAUUUUUAAGAAAUUAGUACAAGUAGCCUAAGAGGAGGAAGUGAUAUUGAUUUGCUCUUGGCUUUGGACAUGUUCAUAAAAAAACAAAAAAAAAUAUAAGCAAGUAAGAAGGGAGUAAACAAGGCAUUGCAAGGCAUAGUCAAUAAGUAUAAAAGGUUUGAUAGUAGAAACAUGUCCAAGUUUCUCCAAGUAUAUGUGAAAGAGAUAGAGGUUUAUCAGGACCUCAAGUCUUCAAAUAUUCUUAGUUUUGAAUUGGCAUAUAUUUCUAAAAUUAAAAAUAAAGUAAAAGAUUUACAUAGAGAUAAUUUAGAGGUUUUGAUUGACUUUUAAGAAAGAUUAAAAGAUGAAUUUUAUAAUAAAGAUUCUAAUAGAGUUAUUGAAAGGUCAUUUUUGGAGUGAAUUAAGAAAUAAUUGGAGAAGUCUAUGGCCCUCUAACAAGUUGCUUAGGGAGUUUGAAAAAAAAUUCUCUCAAAUUUUAUUUUUAGAGAGACUUUUAUUAGAUACAAAGCAUAAAUAAUAAAUAAAGUAUUAAAGGAUACGCUUUUUAUAAUCUUAGCUAAUAAAUCCACCAAGAAAGGUUUAAGUAAUGAUUAAAAAAGAGUAAAGAAUGCGGUGCUAUUAGUGACUGUAGAAUAGAUAUUAGUUUGUUUUUAUAAGAUAUUGGUAAAAUAGACUAAUAGUCUAUAGAAUGAUUAGUUCAGGAGGACAGAGGGUUAACUUAGUUAUUAAAAGCGGUUAAUUAUAAGAUUACGAUUAGAAUCUAGAAAUAGGGAGUAAGUAUAUAGGAAUUAUAGAAGUUAGUCUGAGGGCUAGACUCUGAUAGUCAUGAGCCGGGGUUAAGCUUGGUGCUACCUCUUCGUUUCUAUGUUGAAGAGUAAUGGAUAGUUUUUGAAUAUUGAGAAGUGAGUCUAUGGAAUAAAUCAAAGAUUGAUUUAUGAGUUAUUGAUUAUGUAAUUGGAAUAUUAUGUGAUUGAAUUAUAUGAGAAGUUAUUGGAAGAUUGAUUAUAGAUGGAAGAUUAUGAUUGUUGUUUAUUGAGAGUUAUGUAUGUGUUUUGAUAGAGAAAGUUUGUGAUUAUAGAAAUUGUGUGAAUCUAGAUUGGUUGGAGUGAAGUCUAUUAUUUCUGGUAUUGGAUGGAAUUUUUGUGUUUUGAACAGUCUUUUAAGAGUGUAGGAUUACACAUUGAGGUUAUCAAUUGAUGAAGGAGUAGUGUUACUGAGAAAAAGCAUCGUAGUAUUUUUUGAUGUUUUAGUGGUUCAGAUUACAGUUAAUUGAGUGACCCUAAUAUAUAAGCUCAUGUGUUUAGUCUUUCCUUAAGUUUGAAUCUCCCUCUACAGGUUUAUUCUAAAAGAAAUUUGUAGAAUAAGUAAAACGAUAAUUACAUUUUGGCAUUGCUAGUGGGGAUUGACAAUUGCAUUGAGUAUUAAGAAUUAACUACCAGAUGAGUAGAUGGGAAAUAGGAAGCAAAUUCAAUAGUAUAUAAUGAAAGAUUAUGGUUAUUAAGAUUGAGAACAUUACAGUAAAGAAGACACACCAGUGGAAAGAAAGACAAGAGAGAGGGCAAGUAAGAGAAUCAUUGUAAAAUGAGCAAGAAUAUAAGUUAAAAAGGAAGCGUCGAUAAAGUUGGAUUAAGCCUUGAUUGCAUGCAUGUCAGUAUAUCCAAACAUAUCCAAAAGCUGACCGAUCUCUAAUAUUUUAGACAUAUAUAUCAUUAAAAAAAUUGCCAAAAGCACUUGCAAGAAAUUUUGUUAACAGCCCAGCGUAUCUCUUGAGCUCAUUAACUGCAAGUGGAAGAAACACAGAAGAAUUGGGUACUCUGUUGGGUACCUUCUUAAUAGCAAAAACUAUCAAUUUUGUAAAAACUGAUUCCGUAGAAUGGUAUAAAUUGCUUGCCAAUAAAGGCCAAUUCAAUGUAUUUCAAAAUCCAUUGUUUUCACCUCCAAUUCAACUGACAAACUUAUUCAGGGAUAAUAAUAGCAAAUUGAGGAGGUUGAAAAGUCUAAAAAAGAUAAUUAGAGAGGCAGUGGUAAUUUUAAUAAGAGAUUAAGCAACAAAUUGUCCUCUUCAAUGACGACGAGUGGUCUAGCAAUUCCAAUCGCAGUCCAAAUGGGUGACGUGGGUGGUCGCACAACUAGCAUGGCUCCAUUAUCUACUUUUAGGGGCUUUUCAAAUGUGAAUCUCGAUCAAUAUUCAUCUUAGUUUCUGACAGCAUGUGUAGCCAAUAAUAGAAGAACCAAAGAUAUUUGGUUACGAUGGUUGCCAACAACCUUAAAGGACACAACAUUUGAAUGGUACAACUACCAACCAGUGGGUCAAUUUCCGAAUUGGGAAGCAUUGAAGAAUACAUUUUUAAUCCAUUUUUGGUGAAUAGGUUUUGAGGAUCGUCUUUGAGAGAGGUUAAUGAAUAGAAAAAUGAUCCUAGGGGAGGCGAUGGAAUCGUAUUAUCGCCGGAUGGCUGAUAUAUUCAAUAAGUGGCCAAAUCACCAAAUGCUGGAGGCAUUUAUCUUAUCCAUAUUAAUCAAUGGUUUGUACCUACCAGAAUUAAAAAUGUUUGUAAAAGAAGCUCAAUCCGUUACGGUGUCUGCAUCCCUUAAUAGAACCAAGGUUUGGGAGAAAUGCCAUUAUGAUCAAUUUUUAACUGCGGGAGCUACAAUGAUUCCAGUUCAAGGCAGUUAUCAAAAUCCAACUUGGAAUGGAUCAGUAGGUAGUUAUCUACGGAUGUUAGAAACAGGGACCAAUUCUAGUGCGAAUAUUUAGGGGCCAAUUAAUGUCACCCCAUUGCAAGCUAUACCACUAAACGUGACAAUAUUGUAUGCUCCAUAUUUUUCGUAUCAACAAUAAGCGUUAAUUGCGACAGAGUUACCCAUAAUACCAGUCUUAAAAGAUUCCAAUGAAACCUUGUUAUUGAACUUGACAAAGAAAACGGAAGAAAUGGCCGUUAAUAUGGCCAAAGAUAAGGAGAAGAGGCAAAAGCCUAUCAAUAAUAGGACCAAUGUAUGGUGCAGUAAUUGUAAGGGCCAUGGUCAUUUGGUAACAGAAAGUCCUUUACCCUCACAAAUAAUGGGUCAAUGUACAUUUUGCGGAGGAAAGCACUUAAUAGCUAAUUGUUGGAAUUUGUAAAGGCAACAAUAAUUCAGUAAUGAGACCAUGAUCCCACCAACUCAUUGGGACAUCAAUCAAGUUCAAUUGAGAAAUACGUUUGGAUGGAAUGGAAAGGGAACUAAUCAAUAAAAUCAAGCAUUCAAUAACUUUUAAAGUUCCAAUUUUAAUCAAGGAUGUGUAUCGAACCCCAAUAACUAUAUUAAAGAGAAGGAGAGAUAUCAGCAAUAUGCUCUAUCGAUGCCAUCAAACCAAGUUUCCUUCAUUCCAACGAGAUAAAUAGGAUCAUUUUCUAAUCCUACAUAGAAGAAGCCUAGUAAGUAUGUACCAGUGGAAACAUCGAAUAUGCUUGAUGGGGGUAUAAGAAGACCUCUUUAUUGUUUUCAUUGUCGAUAGAUUGGUCAUUAUGCGAGUGAAUGUCUCAAUCCCAGAGUCAAUGAUGAAUAUGUGCUAGUUUGUAGAAAUUACAAGUAGUUGAGGCACAUGUAUCAUCAAUGUAAUGCUCUUUUCAAUUUAAAUAAUCGGGAUCAGUAGAACCAAAGCCAAAGAAAAAUCGAGGAGAUAAAUCAAGGUCCUCAAGAUUCUCCAGUAAAUUGGGUAGAAUGUAUCCAAGCCAUUCUUAUUAGAAGUCAGCAAAAGAAAAAAGAAUCAAUUCAAUAUUUGGGUGAUCUUGAAGCAAAGGGCCAAUUGAAUCUAAUUACGAAGCCAUCCAAUCUAGGUCUUGACAUGGAUCCCUCACUCAGUAUAUGACUUGAAUCAGUUGUGUACCCUAAUGAGGUAUCAAUUAUGGAUGCUUCAGUUCCAUUCUAAGCAAUUUUGUUCUCUAUGUUGUUUCGGGAAACAUCCUUUCCAUUGAAAGAUCCUGUUAGAGGCGUGAAUUCCAAGGAAGUUUUGUGUGAUAUUCUAAUUUUGAGUCCAAGGUGGAAGAAUAUCUUACCUCACAUAGUUAAACUCCAACUAAUGAAAAGAAAGAGGGCAUUGAAAAUUAUCCUAAAAUGAAAUCCUAUGUCAUUUUGAAGGAUCUAGAUGCUCUUCGGCCUUCUAUUUCUAUGAAGCAACUUCUAACAGUCGCACCAGAGUACCGUUCUACAUUGAAUUCAUUGUUAAUACUACAUAAAUAACGUAAUAAGAAAGUUUGUGAAGUCAAUUUGAACCCUGAUCCAAGUGCACCAACCAUCGAUGUUUUGAUUGAUGGUGUUAUGAUCUCAGGUAUUCAAGUGGAUGGUGGUUCCAGCAUCAAUUCAAUGAACGUUGAUAGAAUGGAUGUUUUAGAUUUGGAACACUUAGUACCCACGACAUUGGUAUUACAGAUGGCAGAUCAUAGGCGGGUUAAACUAAUGGAUAUUUUACGCAGUGUUCAAACUAUAAUUAUUGGUAUUGCAUAUGAAAUCGACUAUAUUAUCUUUUGGCUACAACGUUUGAUUUUAUCAUAUCCAAUUUUAUUACGACAACCUUGGCUUUAUCAAGCAAAGGUCAAGAAUAAUUGAGGUCGGGGUACUUUGACAAUUGACAAGGAUGAAGACAAAAUGGUGUUACAAAUGUACCCAAUACACUAUCAUGGGGAGUCUCAAUUGCCAGCAUCUGAAUUGACAUCGGACGAUGAGCUUAGCUCCAAUUAUGAUGCAGUUGCACUAAUUACGAAGGCAUCCAUAGAGGCAGUGCAAUACCCUAGAGUGGUGUACCAAUGUGGAGGUCAGUGGGAGUACUUGAUAUACCCAAUAGAUUUGGAAAACUCUGAUUAUGUUAGUAUUGAUUGGUUGACCAAGUAUGAUGUGCACCAUAUUAGUGCCAUAGACGUAGGAUUCAAUACUUCACAUGUGUCGAACUUAUAAACUGAUUUUCAACCAACGCGGGGAUUAAAACAGAACAUCGCCAUUGCACCUGUAUAUCAAACUAUCAACUUAGCGACCACAACAGAACCUCAGACAAUUAAGGUCUACAAAGAUAUUAAAGAGCAGGAGUUGACCUGUUGGACAAAAUUUUUCUUACAUCAUAAGUUUGCUUUUGCUUGGACUUAUGUUGAUUUAAAAGGUAUUCCUGCUGAAGUCUAUGAGCAUUGUAUCAUUUUAGAGGAGAACGCUAAACCGGUAUGGCAGAGACAAUAUUGCCUUAAUCCUAAAUAUUCUCUCAUGGUGAAGGAGGAAUUGGACAAGCUUCUUGUGAUUGGUUUUAUUUACCCAGUACCAAAUAGUGAGUGGGUUUCUCCAAUCGUCAUGGUACCAAAAAAGAAUGGAAAAAUCCGCAUUUAUCAAGAUUUUUGAAAACUUAAUGCGGCCUCCAAGAAAGAUUACUUUCCAUUAUCUUUCAUAGAUAGUAUAUUGGAUGCCGUAGCUGAUCACCAAUGUUAUUCAUUCCUCGAUGGAUUUUUUGAAUAUAAUCAAGUUCAAAUUACAACUAAAGUCUAGCUCAAGAUGACCUUUAUUAUGGAUUGGGGCACAUUUGCUUAUCAGAUGAUGCCUUUUGGGUUAUGUAAGAUUCCAGCCAUAUUUAAGAGAGUAAUAACUCAGGCCUUCCAAGACUAUCUCCGAAUGUUUAUGAAGAUCUUUUUAGAUGACUUCUAUGCAUUCAAUAUCAAAUAAGAUCAUCUUAAUUGUCUAGGCAAAUAUUUGACUUAGUACGCUAAGUUUGGGAUAUCGUUAAACUCGGAUAAGUAUCAAUUCGAUGUUCCAUCAGAAAAAUUAUUGGAACAUAUCAUCUCCAAUACUAGUAUUACUAUGGAUCCUGACAAAGUGAAGCAUAUCAUGAACUUGCCUAGACUAGAGACGAUCUCCGGUGUUCAAAGAUUUGUCGAUCAUGUCAGUUAUUAUUGACGAUUCAUUCGUUUAUUUACAAUUAUUUGUCAAUCUUUAACAAACUUAUUGAAGAAACCUCCAUUACAUGGGACUAGUCCCAUCAGGACUAUGGAGAGUACUGUGGCCUUUGAAAUGUUGAAGUCAAAAUUGGUCUCUACAACAAUAUUAGUAGCUCUUUGUUGGACAAAGCUCUUUCAUGUGUACAUUGAUGCAUCCAAUGUGGCUAUUGGAUUGGUGCUAAAACAAAAGGAUGACAAGAAUUUGGAUCAUCCUAUCUAUUAUACCACUCGAUAAUUGAUGGGUGCUGAACGUAAUUAUACUACUACUGUACGCGAAGCAUUGGGUAUAAUAUACUCGGUUCAAAAAUUUUGGCACUAUUUACUUGGGUAUCCGUUUGUAUUUUAUAUGGAUCAAGAUGCCCUCAAAUACAUAAUUAAUAAGCCUCAAUUGAGUGAGUACAUUGUCCAAUGGAUCUUACUCCUAUAAAAGUUUAAUUUUAUGAUUGUCGUACAACCUAGGAAGAAACAUGCAAAUGUUGAUUAUUUAUCCCGAUUGUCUAAUAUUCUUAGCAACGAGCCUGUCUCAGAUGCUCUUUCUGACACCAAAUUAUUUGUGGUCGAUGUGAUUUCCCCCGAGUAUAGUAAAAUCAUUCAGUUUCUGACCUUCCACACCUUUUUGCUCACUUUCACCGACAAGCUUAAGAAGCGAUUCAUUCUGAAGAGUACUUUGUAUAUGAUGAUUCGUGAUGCUUUGUAUAAACAAGGCCAAGAUGGCAUUUUAUAAUGCUAUAUCUUUCCAAGUGAAGUACAGUCGAUCCUUGAGGAUUGCCAUUUGGAUAAUUGUGGUAGUCAUAUUGCAGGAGAUUGUACUGCUCGCAAGGCUUUAAUGGCCGGAUAUUGGUAGCCCACAAUGUUUUUUGAUGCGCACCAAUUUGUUCGUUGUUGUAAUUCCUGUCAACGAAUUGGUCGACCCACGGGCACUUCAGCCAUGCCGUUAGUACCAAUCUUGGCACAGGCACCAUUUAAAAAAUGGGGUAUUGAUUUUGUUGGUCCCAUCACACCAACAUUCAAACUUGGCGAGAAGUAGUACAUUUUAGUCGCCACGGACUAUGUAACCAAAUGGGCUGAAGCUAUUGCUACCCACAAUGAUAAUACGAGUACGGUGGCUUUUUUUCUAUACAAGAAUAUUAUAACUCGAUUUGGGUGUCUAAAAAAAUUAGUUAGCAAUUGCGGCAUCCAUUUCCUCAAUGCUACCAUCACAGCCUUGACGAAUACAUAUGAGAUCAAGCAUCAGAAAACCACUCCAUAUCAUCCUCACGUUAAUGGGCAAACGGAAAAGACCAAUCAAAUUUUGUACAAGGUCUUGACUAAGAUAAUUUUGGAGGUAGGUAUCGAUUGGGAGACCAAACUCUUUGCGACUUUUUGGGCAUAUCAUAUCGCAUAUAAAGUAACUACCAACUCUAUUUUAUUUCAACUAGUUUAUGGUCAAGAGAGAAUUUUAUCUAUCAAGUUGGAAGUUCACAGUUUACAGAUUGCCUUGGAUGAACGACUUAGUGACAAAGAAUCAUUACAUUCUCGGUUGGCAAAAUUGGAGGAAUUGGAUAAAAUACAGGCUAUAGUUAUUUUUAACAUGGAAGCAAUUUAAAAAUAGAAAAAGAGUUAUUAUGAUAGUAAACUGCGUCCGAAGAGUUUUAUGUCCAAUGAUUUGGUCUUGCUGUAUGAUAGCUAGUUUAAUCAUUUUCUGAGAAAAUUUUAAGUUCGCUGGUAUGGGCCGUAUCACGUGGUUGAAGAUUUUUUUAAUGGGUCUGUUGAAUUGGAAGAUUUCAUGGGCCAUCGAUUCAGUAUCCGCAUUAAUGGGAACUGAUUACGGUUAUAUAAUACAUAAAACUCGGGAUGGAUUUUCAUUUUUUUUUGGAAGAGGUGAGAAAUGGACAAUAUGGGUAACAUGUUGUCAUGAUCACCGGUAGUAAGAAAAUAGGAGUGGGGCACCAAUUAGAGGUCAUUAUGUAUUGUCAUUUUUGGUUGUUUUUCUGAGAUUGCUAUUUCUUGUAUUCCUUGUGUUUUCGAGAGUAGUAGUUCCAACUAAGCGCUUGACAGAGGAAGCAUCAUGGCAAUUAAAAGUGUAAAGCGAGCUAUGGACAAAGAGGACAAUGGCUGAAAUAUGAAAGCUAAACCCAUACCAAAACCACUUUCUGUGAUAAUUGUUACUAAUAUGGAGCCAAUGAAGUUAGAUAUCUGCUGGAUGUUGAGAAGAAUAAGAGACUUUUGGAAUGCGUAGUUGGGUUAGAGGAAAUAAUAAUUUUGUAGAGUUUGAUUAAGUAGUUUUUAGGAAGGUAAUAACUGUGUGUUUGAGAGGACACUGCAUAGAUAGGAGUGGGGCUAAGUAGAAUAGAUAUUAGUUCGUUUUUGUAAGAUAUUUGUAAAUAGAUUAAUAGUCUAUAGAAUAAUUAGUUCAGGAAGACAGAUAGUUAAUUUAGUUAUUAAAAGCGGUUAAUUACAGGAUUACGAUUAGAAUCUGGAAAUAGGGAGUAAGUGUAUAGAAGUUAUAGAAGUUAGUUUGAGGGCCAGACUGUGAUAGCCAUGAGCCGAGGUUAAGCUUGGUGCUACCUCUUUGUUUCUAUGUUGUUAAAGAAUAAUGGAUAGUUUUUGAAUAUUGAGAAGUGAGUCUGUGGAAUAAAUCAAAGAUUGAUUUAUGAGUUAUUGAUUAUGUAAUUGGAGUACUGUGUGAUUGAAUUAUAUGAAAAGUUAUUGGAAGAUUGAUUAUGGAUGGAAGAUUAUGAUUGUUGUUUAUUGAGAGUUAUGUGAGUGUUUCGACAAAGGAAGUUUGUGAUUAUAGAAAUUGUGUGAAUCUAGAUUGGUUAGAGUGAAGUCUAUUAUUUUUGGUGUUGGAUGGAAUUUAUGUAUUUUGAACAAUCUUUUAAGAGUGUAGGGUUGCACAUUGAGGUUAUCAAUUGAUGAAGGAGUAGUGUUAUUAAGAGAAAGCAUUAUAGUAUUUCUUGUUGUUUUAGUGGUUCGGAUUACGGUUAAUUGAGUGAUCCUAAUAUGUAAGCUCAAUGCUCUUAGUCUUUCCUUGAGUUCGAAUCUCCUUCUAUAGGUUUAUUUUGAAAGGAAUUUGUAGAAUAAAUAAAAUGAUAAUUACAGUGACCAAGUAAUGGCAAGUAAAGGCAAGAGGAGUGAUUUUAAGGCAUGAAGCUCUACCACCUAUGAUGCAAAUUACUCCACAAAGUUUAUAACAUCUAUUCUAAUCCAAGAAAUAUAUAAGAUUCUUUCCAAAGACAUCCUUGAGGAAUUGAUUAAAGACAUGAAAGAAUUAAAAAUAAGAAUGAGUAAGUUAAAGAAGAGCCAAAGAACUAUUUCUAUGUAUGUAUUGAAAGAAUCAAAGAGAUUUAUUAAGAGGCACAUGUAUUAUGACAAUUUCAAGCAUGAAAAGAAAAAUUACUCCAAUUAUAAUGAAGACUUGAAAAAAGAAGUUAGUUUCUUUAAAGAGCAUAAAGUGAGGCUCAUUGCUAUAAGAUAACUUUUAGAACUCAAUUUUAAAAGAAGAGGUAUGAAAAAACUUAUUGAGAACAUUGUAGGAAGAAUAAGUAGACUGUAUGUGAAAGAAGAUGAACCUUAUCUCAUUGAAAUAGAGAGUGGGAGCAUAGUAGCUAUUUCAAGGCCACUAAAAGAAGCUAUGCUUACAAAGGCAGGAGCUAUUAGUAAGAUAAUGAAUUAAAAUGAUCCAUGUGAUGCUAUUAGCAUCAAAAUCUUUUUAAAUGGUAAUUAAGAUUUGGAGGACCAAAAUGUAAUUGUAGAAAAAAAGAGGAUUACGUUUCCUUAAGAAGAUUAGUAAAAUUCUCUAAUUGUCAUGGAUAUACGCAUGUAAGCUAGUAAUUACAUGUAUAAAUAGGUAAAAAUAAGUAAAAGUAGAUAAAAGUAAGUUAAUUCUAUAAUAUUUGCUAUAGAAGCUUUUUAGAAGCUUCAUAGAUAUUACUUUGACUUUAUAGGUGUCUUUAAUUGACUUUUUGGAUUAAAAAUAUUGUUGUGAUGUAAUACUACUAUAUAAUGAAAUUGUAAUCAAAGUUGAAUUUCUAAUUAAUAUCUAAUUAUCUUAGUUCAAUAAUAAUUUGAGGUAUCUAAACAUGGCUUUUAUAAAAGCCUCUUAGGUUAUUUUCUUGUCUUAAUAGUUAGUAGAUUGAAGGUUAGUUAGUAAUUUUACCUUCUAAAUUGUAGAGACUCUUCUAUUACCUUAGAAAGACCAUAGAUUAAUAAAAUCAGAUUAAAAGAGAUAAAUAAUUAGUAUAGUUGGUACUAGGAUUAAGUUGAGAGUAGGGUUGGGCUAAAAACACCUUAGGAUAGGUUAGAUCGAUACUUGAGAAUCGACCAUUUGUGAGAUAGAGUCAAAAUCAGACCUCUAGCCACUAACACAACGGCCUAGGACAAAAUAGAGGGGCAUUUGAAGAUCGAAGAUUAAGAUUUGAGAGCUAGCUUGAAGUUCUUUCUAAAGACAUAAGAAUUUUUUUUAGAAGGUUUUGGAGGACUUAGAAAUCGUUGUUCAAAGUCAAGAUUUGUAUUAGUGAUUUGGAUUUUAUAUAAUAUAAUUAAGGCUAGUAAUUUUGGCUAGUUCGUAUAAUUGGUAUGACAUCUACAAUUGAAAAUUUGAAACUAUUUGGAUUAUUGGGUGUGCUAAGUGUACACAAAAUUUUGUGAUAAUCUAAUGGUGUGGUUUAGAGAUAUCUAGUUUUUAGCACAAGAGGAUUUCAAAAGGUGGUAGUUUGAGGUUGGAUAGGAUUUCUAUGCUAUUUGAAGAUCUAUUAGUUGAAUUAAGGUAAAAAUUGGCAUGGUAUUGGAAAAAUUGAUGACCAAGCUACACACCAAUUUUGAAAUAAAGUUAAUGGUUGAAAAAAGAAAAACCAUUGCUGGAAUUUUUGCUUCACUUUUCAAGUUGGCAUCCAAGUGAUAUCAGUGCAAUUUUUGGAGGUUUUCUUAAAAUUUGUAAGUUGGAUUGGUCUAAAAAUUCUUGAGCAUAUAGAAGACUUACAUUGACAAUUGCAUACAAAAUUCCACAUCAAGUGGAUGGUUGGAUUGGAUAUUACAACUUAUUAAAGCUCACUGAUUAGGAUUGGGGUUUACAAGAAAAAUCUAAAUUGCUUAAAUAUGAAAGUAAGAAGGUAAUUGGGAUUUAUGUAUGAUUAGCACUACUAAGAAGAGUGUGUUAAGCACUUUUGAAUUGAAAUUUAGAUUAUAUUCUUCUUGUAUGGGCAAAAUCUAUUAAGGUUUCUUGACUACUUAUAAAACAUAAUCUCACCUUCCAUAGCUAAGUACUCGAUGUCGUGAUGUGAUUCAGCUUUUAUAUGAAAAUAAUGUAAUUAUUUAACUAAUAUAUAAUUUAUUAAGUAACAUGAUGAUUGCCAUUUUAUUAGAUUUAAGUUGGUUGUAGAAUACAUUUUGAUUAUUACUUUGAGUAGAGGUUAUUUAAAAAGAUUACUAUAGAAUUUGUAUAACUUUAAUUUCCUUUUGAUAGUGGCUUUUAAGAUUGGUUUUGGUUGAUAGUAACUUCUAAAUAUUUAGAGUCACCUUUGUUAGACAUUGGUGACCUUUGAAAACUUAUUUUGGUUCUUUUAUUUGGUGUUUAGAGCAUAAAUUAUGUAAAUCUUAUAAGAAAAAGGAUUGAAAAAGGAUUUUGGUAGCAAAGGGAGUAAUUAGGGCACCAAUAUAGAUGAAUGGAGAGGAAUGAUGAAAAUCUCCAUUCCUAUUGGUCAAAAAUCAUGACCAAUAGGCUUUGAGGAGGCUGCCCGAAGCCAUAUUAGGGAUUAGGGUUAGAUUCUUAGACCCAUUUGAGCUUUGUAGGUUAGGGUCAGCAAGUUUAGGUUUUUGGCUAUGGUUUUGGUGCAAGUUUUGUAUGGUUUGGAGUUUGUAUGAAGGAGAUAUAGGCGCUCAAAGUUAAGGUGUUGAUUUGAGAGCUACUGUCACUCUUUUUGGCAUGACGCACGCGUAUAGAAGGCAAUUGAGGAUCGGCGACUGCAACUAAAGAGAGCACUUAUACAGCUACACUUUUUGCAUACUGCUUAUUGGAUUCCAAGUUGAAUUGAAGGAGUUAUUGGAUUUUGAAGUCAGCACAUGCAAUCUAAGGGUAGUAAGUGACCUGAUUUACUAGUGGUUGGAUCUUGAGCUAUAUCUUGAGCAAUUUGAUAAGGUUUUAGCUCAAAAUUUCAAAAAAUAUGUAAUUUUAUGUUAAUAAACAUUGUACAUAAGUUUUAUUACAUUUGAAUAUCGAAUUCUUGAGAUAUUAAGAAAAUAGUGCUCGAAUACUUGUAAAUUAGGGUUUAGAGCGUCUCCUAGGAUUUCAUAGAUGUCAAAAGAUUGCGAGUGAAUUUGCAAUUGGUUUUUUUUGUGAUAAAAGUUAACAAUGAAUUCUACAUAUUCUAUAAAUUUUAGACAAUCUAAAUGGUUAGAUCAAGAGUUAUAAAUUUCUAAAGUUUGGAAAAAGAAAACCUUUUGUAGAAAAAAUAUGUGUUGAAGGGAUUUUGUUAUAUUUUGAGUUUUUUGCAAAAUAAAGGAGUUUUGGGAGGCUAAGCCAAGACUCAUAUAAAGGUUUAAGCUACAAUCUCUACAGUUAGAUAUCCAAUAUAUUUCCUAAAAGCAAAUCACGUGAUACAACACUAGUGCAUUCUUGAGCAAAACAAUACAUAAUAUGACAUAAGUGGUGAAUCCGAUAUGAAAGUUUGGAGUAGAAGAUAUUAGAUUAUAUUUGUGGUUAUUUGAAUUUGAUGGUGCAUGUAGAAUAAGUAGUUAUUUUCAAAAUAUAGAUACCUAGUAUAUAGUGUAAACAGGGAUAGAUAACUGCUGAAAAGGUGGUUCAAUAGGUAGAAUAGAUGAAUAGUCAGGAAAAUUAGUUAUCAUCUAUAGUAUAGGAAUUGGUAUCUCGGGGAAAGUAUAUAGAAGUUGUAGAAGUUAAUUUGGGUGCUAGACUGUGUGAGUUGUGAGCCGAGGGCUAGACUGUGAGAGUUGUGACCUGAAGGCCAGACUAUGAGAGUUGUGAGUCGAGGGCCAGACUGUGAGAGUUGUGAGCCGAGGGCCAUCGCUAUGAUAGUGUGAGCCAGGGUAAGCUUGGUGCUACCUCUUUUCUUUUGUUUGUUAUUUUCUUUGAAUAAGAGGAUUGAAAGUUUUUGAAUAUUGUGAAGUGAAUUAUGGAAUGGAAAUGUGAUUGGUAUUAUUUGAGAAGAAGAAGAUUGAAUGCUAAAAUUUGAUUGUAGUUCAGCAGAGAGAAUGAGUCUGUGUUUGUGUAAAACACUGUAAUGUGAAUGGCAGUUCUAUGUGAAAAAUUCUAGUGAUUGGAAUGAGAGCAAUUGUGUACUGAAAGCUAUGAGGGCGCAGUAUUAUAGUUGGAGAUUAUGAGGGUGAAUAUAUUGGUAGAAAUAGCAGUUAUUGGUAUGAUUGAAUUGUUCUAAGGAAGAGACCGAUAAGGUGAAGGAGGAGAUUAUAGUUUUUUUGUGUGUUCAGAUAUUGGAAAUAGAGAUAAUACAUUCAAGAGGUAAUUGAUUGUGUCACCCUAACGUUGUCGUGUUGUAACACGAGUAUACUGUGAAAAUAUAAAGAAAAGGGACUUUUAUUAAUAUUCAGUUACCUCAAAUAUUGGGAGCAACGACCAACUCCAGUGCAAAUAUUGAGUGGUCAGGUUCAGUCACCCCGUUACAGUGAGCUGGGGCAUAUUGAAAUACUCCAUUCGAUUCCAAUAACGGGAGUCAGCAGGAAGGGAAAGGACCAAUUCAUGCGACGGAUGAGGUUCGAAGAGCCAAUUGGAUCUAAUUUCGAGAAUCCAAUACGGGUCCUCUUACCCAAUAUGAGACCUGCAUUGGUUAAGCAACCCAAUGCAGUCUGAUUACGGGAAAAUCCAGGUCUUACUCCGGGUCCUUUUAUUCAAUAUGAAACCUGUAUUGGUCAGGUAAUCCAAUGCCCAGUAAUUACGAGAAAAUCCAGGUCUUACUCCGGGUCCUCUUACCCAAUAUCAGACCUGUAUUGGUCGGGCAACCCAAUGCAGAGUAAUUACAGGAACAUCCAGGUUACUACAGGUCCUUUUACCUAAUAUGAGACGUGAGUUGGUCGGACGACUCAAUGUGGAUCCAAGUACGGGGUUUCGAUUUUGUUUCAGGCUGUCGUAUUCUCUGUGCCAUUUUGAAAGCUCUGACGGCAGGAGCCAAUUUCGGAACUAAGCUCUGACGAUGGGAGCCAAUUUCGGAUCUAAGAUGGAAGAUUGAAGAAAUUCAGAGGAUAAGGUUAGGGAAAGGGGAGAUCAAAAGGGGGGGGGGUUUUUUUUGAUCGGAGAGCUAGCUUCAAGUUUUUCAAGGUUACUCGUUCGAUUUCAUGGGAGGUUUUUGAAGACCAAGGAGAUUGGAGAGGAGCUUCAUGCUUCGGGUCGGGGAAGAAAAGACAGAGAAUUGGAUUUUUCUUCUUCAUAGAGUUUUGGGAAGACGGAGGCAAUCGUUGCUGAAGUCAUUGUUGUAAUGGUGAAUCGGGAUUUUUAAUGAAGUGGGUGUGAUCACUCCUGACUGUUUUGUGAAAUCGAGUUACGUUUGUGAUUGAAGGAUUAAAAAGGUGUCUAUAGGAUUGAGUAUGCGGAGUGAAUGAAAUUUAUUGGAUUAAUCUAACAAGACAAUUAGUGGAUUCAAGAUCAUAAAUACAAAGCGGUAUCGGAGAUUAGCAGAUUGGAUUGUUCGGGGUUCUCUGUAACGUCUAGAGACCUACCAGCUGAGACAAAAAGAACUUCGAUAAGCAGUCGAAGGGCAUCCGUAUAGAUUUACGGUGUAUUCUUGCAGUCGUUUAUAUUCCAGCAGUCAAAAACUGAUAGACUGCUUGACUAUUGGCGAAUCUCCAUACUACCUUCUACAGCCAAACCCCCGGCGCAUUCUCAAGCAGAAAAGUACGUAAUACGACAAAAGUGGUGAACCCGACGUGAAAGCUUGAGGUGGAAGGUAUUGGAUUUUGGUUGAUUUUAUCUUUAUUUUAUGGAAAACGAAAAUAAAAAUUUUGAAGGAUUUUCGGGAGGAGUUUCUGGUGGGGAGUCUUCUAAAGGACAAGGUAUGCACAUGGAUCCGUCAAUUGCUAGUAUGUUUCAAGCCUUCUCAUUGUCAAUGCAGCAACAGCAAAGCAAUGAUCGAAAGGAAGCAUUGGCAACCAAAGCAUUGCAAGCAGUGGUCAAUAAAAUUGAUCAAUUUGAUGGGAGGAAUAUUUCAAGGUAUUUAAGAUGUUAUGUUCGUGAAAUGGAAUUAAAUCGGGUUUCUGAGAAGAAAAUGGUUGCACUAUUUGGACUUGCCAUGAUACCGGAGAUAAGAGACCACAUUACAUUGAUUACGGAUCGUUAUGGGAAUUCAUGGGAGGAUUUUUUACAUGCAUUGAAAGACGAAUAUUUCUUGGAAGAUGCUGAUCGCGUUACUAAGAAGCUGUUUCUGGGAUGGAUUGAACGGCCCUAUAAGAAUUUGCAAGCAAUAAAGCUACUAAGGGAAUUUGAGAGGCAGUACUCUCAAUUAUCGAAGGUAGAAAAAUUGACAUUGGAGCCGAACAAAGUUGAUCUAUUUCUUCAAGCUGCUGAUGGAGAAUUGCAAGAGAAAUUAGAACCCCUUCUUGAAGACAAAGAAGAAGAUGAAGGAUUGACAACGAAGUGGAAGAACGUUGAAGAUGCAGUGGGGUUGCUCACAAAAAAAGAAAGGAGGAAGGAUAGGAGCAAUAUUCCGAAAACAGUAUAAGCACCCAAAGCUCCAGUACGUACAACACCACCAACAAUGCCUACAGUUCAACCUUCGACAUCCUUGUCAAAGAAAGCAGAUAUGGGGAUAGAAGAAAUUAUACUAGGAAUGCGAGAUCUUCAAAUCAAAUUCGCAAGACUUGAAGAGAAUACUUCUAUAAAUAAUUCGAAGAAUGUUUCAAAACAAGGAUAUGUACAAAGAUGCAUUUGGUGUGAUGAUGCUUCACACACUAGAAAAGAUUGCAAUGAAUUUAAUAAUAUGAUACGGCAGGGAAUUAUUUGCUGGAAAGAUGGGAAGAUAGCAUUGAAAAAUAGAGAGGAUCUUCUUCAAACCAAUUUUGGCAAGGGAGGAAUGAGAGCAUUGGUUCAAGAUUACCUAAAAGAGCAUGAAACAGCAGGACGAGAAAGUGCAAGUUAUGGUGCUAGAGUAGAUGAUGAAAUUGGUGGAAGUACGGAAACUAGUGAAUUUUGAGCUUCUACCAUUUCUACAAUGCAAGAAGGGAAAUUACCUCGAGAAGCGUUAUCGAGGACUGCAGCUACAAUACGAAGUAGAACAGGUUGGGAGGAUCCUGUUGAGUCUCUUUCAGUUCAUGCAUAUAUUGUUAAGAGCCAACAUGAAGCUUUGAUGGAAGAAAAGAGACGAGGAAAUUUUGAUGAUACUAGAGAAGGAAAUUCUUCUAAGAGGUAAACUCGAGGAGACAGGGCUCGGGAGGCAGCUUCACAAGAAUUACCUGUAAAGGAUACAUCAGCAUCAUUGGGAGAAAAAACAAAGGAGACAAAAGAUAAGGGCAAAUCAAUUGCUUAUAAGCUACUUUCUGACAUUGAAGCGGCAACAAAUUUGAAAGGGGUGUUGGAAGAACGUAUAUUAAACGCUAAGGUAGAAUUCACAUUGAAAGAAGUUUUGAGAAUUGCAAAGAAGGAGUUUCAUGAUGUCAUCAUUCACAGCAUUAAGCGAAAGAGGAAAUUAAUGGGCGAAACUGGAAUGAGUCAUGCUAUUGAUGCAAGAAUAUAUAAACAUGAAGAAGAGGUUGAUAUUGGUUAUAAGCAACCAACAAAUGAAAAGAAUGGGUAUAAUCAACGAGUACAUUUCGAAGAUUCUAGUGACAAGAAAUAGAAACUUUGAGCCAUUAUACUCGAAAGCAUUAGGCAAGGGCAACUACUGAGGUAUUGGUGAAAAUAGGGGAUAUAGAAGAACCAAUAGUUGCUUUAGUCGACCAUGAUUCUGAAAUAAAUAUUAUGUCUAAAGAUCUUUAUAAGAAGCAAAAAUGGCCAAUUGAUAUGGAACAUGGAUGGGCAAUUCGAGCGGCUAAUAACACACGGGGCGAAUUAUAUGGAGCUUGUCCAGAUGUCAAAAUUCGGAUUGGGGAUGUUGCGAUGGAGCAACAUUUCUUCGUUCAAGAUACAACGUCUUAUCCGUUGAUUUUAGGACAACCUUAUAUUACGGCAACACGGAUGGAAACAAAAGUACUGGAUGAUGGUUCUGCUUAUGCAAGGAUACGUAGCGAGGAUGGGAGGAAAGCUGUACAAUUUCUAACAGUACCUCCUAACCAUAAACGGAAUUGAGAUAGGUUGAGGGAAAAACCAUUGCUUAAGAUUGUUGAAGGAUUUAAGGAUUUUGGGGAGGUACCACUGUAAAGCGAGAUUAUGGAGGUACAAAAGAGGAGGUACUCUCGCGAGAUGAAGGUGCCUUUGAUGCGAGUUUUAUUGAUAUAUCAGAGAAUGGAAAUAUUAUGUAUAAAAAAGUUGAUGAUUUUAAAAGAAAAGAAAGAAAAAGAUUAUAUGAUAUUGAAGGACAAUUAUGCAAGUUAGGUACAUUGCAAGAUGAUGAGAGGAUUUUAGGUGUUUAUGAAGAAAAUGGACUGGAAGAUUCAUUGGAAUUGAUUACAUCUAUUGGGUUAGGGGAUAAUGAUAAGAUUGUUGAGAUUCAUUCGAGAGAGGUUUAUACCAUGCUUGAAUCUUUUCAAGCACCAGAAGUCACUAUAGAGACGAGAUAUAAAACGGCAGAUAAGAAGGUAAAGCCUAUUGCCGGACCAUUACCAGAAGAUUCUAAAGAACAAAUGGGAGAAGCAUCAAAAGAAGAAAGUUUAAGAGAUCCAGUGAGUAUUGGACAUCAGUUUACUAAAGAGACUUUUGAAGAAUUGAAGAUUGGUUUUGAUGGUUCUUUAUUUCCGGAGGAAAUUACUUGCUUGAAAAAGAUGUUGGCUAGACAAAGUAGAUCGUUUGCCUUCGAAUCUCAUGAAAUUGGGUGUGUGGAUCCAAAUAUUAUAACACCUAUGGUUAUCUUCACUGUACCACAUGUACCUUGGAAUCUAAGACCGAUUCCAGUACCGAGGACACAUUUACCUAAAUUGGUUGAACUGUUAAAAGAAAAGAUAAAGAUGAAAAUAUUGGAACCCUCAUUUGCGCCGUAUUCUAGUCGAUGGUUUACGGUACCUAAGAAGAAUGGGUCACUACGGUUUAUUCAAGCUAUGCAACCGGUGAAUGCAGUAACUGUCAGGAAUACAGGAAUUGGACCUAUUGUGGAUGAAUUUGCUGAGGCGUUUACUAGAAGGGCAAUCUAUUCAAUGGGUGACUUGUAUUCAGGUUAUGAUCAAUUUCAACUUGCCGAAGGAAGUAGAGAUAUGACAACAAUGAGGACACCACUUGGAUUGGUUUGAAUGUGCACUCUUCCUCAAGGCGUGACCAACUCAGUUGCGCAUAUGAUGAAUGAGAUGAAUAAGGUAUUGAGAGAUUUUAUUCCAGAAAAGACUAUGCCUUUUUUGGAUGAUGUUCCUAUAAAAGGAUGUAGAGAAGGAGACAAGGAUGAAACUUUAGAUACGAGGGGGUGUCGCAGAUAUGUUGUUGAUCAUAUACAAGAUUGUGAAAAGAUUUUAACUCGGCUUGGAGAAGUUCAUCUUACAUUAUCGGGUAUGAAGUCCGUAUUUGGUAUACGAGAGGUUGUAAUUAUUGGACAUUUAUGUGGAUCUUACGGAAGAAAACCAGAUCCGACUAAAGUUGAUGCAAUUGGAAGGAUGAAAGAGGAUUGUGAUUCUUUAACAGAGGUUCGCAGGUUUUUGGGUGCAUGUGUAUUUUAUCGAAUCUGGAUCCCUCAUUUUGCUCACAUAGCGGAUCCAUUAUAUGAACUGUUAUGCAAGGGUUACCGAUUUAAAUGGGAAGAAAGGCAUAUUCAGGCAAUGCAAAGAUUGAAGAAUUUAUUGAUGUCACCUCCAAUAUUGAGGAAGGUUGAUUAUAAGUGCAAUAGAUAAGUGAUUCUUACUGUGGACGCUAGUCCAAUUGCCAUUGGAUGGGUUGUGGGUCAAGAUGAUUCCAGUGGAAAUAGAUUUGCAGUUCGGUUUGGGGCUAAAGUUUUAAGUAUUCAUCAGCGUACAUAUUCUCAAGUCAAAAGAGAACUUUGGGGAGUCGUUUCGGCUAUGAAAGCUGAAAAGGACUAUUUGAUUGGGGUAGUAGUAGUAAUUGAAACAGAUUACUUGCCAUUGCUUGGAAUGAUUAUUAACUGUUCAAUGCCAGAUAUUACAAUGUUUAGAUGGAUUGCUUAUAUUAAGUCAUUAAAUCCAAAAUUUAAGCAUAUUACUGGGAAUGACAAUUUAGUAGCAGACAUGCUAUCUCGAGCAAGAUACGAGAAGGAGGACGAAAUGGUUGAAGAUAUUGAUGAUGUCGGAUUGAAAUUCUAUUCAAUAUCAAAUCUCAACAGAGAAGACAAGCUAUUUCUUGAAGAAUCUUAUAAAGGAGAAUUAUUGGAUAUUGGUCAUUACUUGAAUACCUUGACUAAGCAGAGGAAUUGGUCUAUAGAAAAAUUGAAAUAAAUAAGAAAAAAAGCAUAUGGAUUUUUACUUCGAGAUGGAUUCUUAUGGAAGAGACCGAAAAAAGGAAUUGGGAUGCCACAACGAGUGAUAGGCAAAAGGGAAGAAAAACUAAAAUUAUUAAAGGAGUUCCAUGAUAGUUUAUAGGCAGGGCAUAGAGGAAUCUGGACUACUUUUGCUAAACUCAAGGAACGAUAUUGGUGGAAAAAUAUGUAUCGAGAUGUGCUCUCAUUUGUAGAGUCAUGUGAAAUCUGUCAAUCGUAUUCUAAUAUCCGACAUCGAGAUGGUCUUCAUCCUACGUAUCCUCUGGCUAUUCAUUUUAAAUGGGUUGUUGAUUUGGUUAUUAUGCCGGUUGGGUUAUGGCAGAUGAGAUAUUUGAUUUUAGCUCGAGAAGAUUUAUCAAAUCAGGUAGAAGGAAGAGCAUUGAGGACAAAAUCUACAGAGAGGAUUUGUAGAUUUUUGCUUGAAGAUGUCAUUUGCCGCUACGGAUGCGUAGGAAAAAUCACUGCAGAUCGUGGAGAAUUAAAUGCACAAGAAGCUCGUAAGUUCUUUGAAAGAUGUGGAGUUAAACUAUCACUGACUACUGCUUAUAAUCCGGAAGGGAAUGCAAAAAGCGAACGCGGUUACCCGCCGAUUAUGAAAGCAUUUGUUAAAGCUUGUAAUGAGAAAGUUAAAGAGUGGCCACGGCUUUUGUCAUUUGCAUUAUGGGCUGAUCGAACAACACAUAGUUCGGUGACAGGAUAUAUGCCAAUAGAACUUAUGACAGGUCAAAAACCAAUUAUGCCGAUUGAAGAAAAGGUACUUACUUAGAGUAUGCUACUAUGGGAAGAUGGAUUGACAAGAGAAGAACUUCUGGCUAUUAGGAUUCGAUAAUUGGAGCAAAGGACGGUAGAUGUCCAGAUAGCAUUGGGAAGGUUAAAAAGAGCAAGGUUACAAAACAAGGCACGAUUCGAUAAGCAACAUCGAUUGAGACCAAAAGCAAUCGAGGAAGGUGACUGGGUACUUGUUUAUGACAAUAGUCUGGAUAAUCAACAUAGUACUUUGCGGGAAUUUUCAAAACGUUGAUUUGGACCAUAUGUGGUAACAACUAUUCAUGAUAAUGCGACUUACUCGUUACGGAAGUUAGAUGGUACAAAAUUGAAAAUACCAAUUGCAGAGAAGCGAGUAAAAAUAUUUAAACGAAGACACGCAGAGAUGAAUAUGGAAGACCUUAAUGAAGGUAUAGAGAUUCCGCAGCAAGAAGAUGAAAGUGAUUUGGAUAAUGAAGGUGACGAAGAUGAACAGGACAAAGACGUAGAGGAUAUAUUCUGAAUCAAACAGCAAUUGGGAAAAUUGGUGCAUACCGGAGGAUGCACAAGUUCAGAGGGAGUAGAUGUCGUUUUGUAACACGAGUAUACCGUGAAAAUAUAAAGUAAAGGGACUUUUAUUAAUAUUCAGUUACCUCGAAUAUUGGGAGCAACGACUAACUCCAGUGCAAAUAUUGAGUGGUCAGGUUUAGUCACCUCGUUAGAGUGAGCUGGGGCAUACUGAAAUGCUCCAUUCGAUUCCAAUAACGGGAGUUAGCAAGAAGGGAAAGGACCAAUUCACGCGACGGAUAAGCCUGGUUCGAAGAGCCAAUUGGAUCUAAUUUCGAGAAUCCAAUAUGGGUCCUCUUAUCCAAUAUGAGACCUGACUUGGUCGGGCGACUCAAUGUGGAUCCAAGUACGGGGUUUCGAUACUGUUUCAGGCUGUCGUAUUCUCUAUGCCAUUUUGAAAGCUCUGACGGCAGGAGCCAAUUUCGGAUCUAAGCUCUGACGAUGGGAGCCAAUUCCGGAUCUAAGAUGGAAGAUUGAAGAAAUUCAGAGGAUAAGGUUAGGGGAAGGGGAGAUCAGAGGGGGGGGUUUUUUUUGAUCGGAGAGCUAGCUUCAAGUUUUUCAAGGUUACUAGUUCGGUUUCAUGGGAGGUUUUUGAAGACCAAGGAGAUUGGAGAGGAGCUUCAUGCUUCGGAUCGGGGAAGGAAAGACAGAGAAUUGGAUUUUUCUUCUUCAUAGAGUUUUGGGAAGACGGAGGCAAUCGUUGCUGAAGUCAUUGUUGUAAUGGUGAAUCGGGAUUUUUAAUGAAGUGGGUGUGAUCACUCCUGACUGUUUUGUGAAAUCGAGUUACGUUUGUGAUUGAAGGAUUAAAAAGGUGUCUAUAGGAUUGAGUAUGCGGAGUGAAUGAAAUUUAUUGGGUUAAUCUAACAAGACUGUCAGUGAAUUCAAGAUCAUAAGUACAAAGCAGUAUCGGAGAUUAGCAGAUUGGGUUGUUCGGGGUUCUCUGUAACGUCUAGAGAUCUACCGGCUAGGGCAAAAAGGACUUCGAAAAGCAGUCGAAGGGCAUCCGUAUAGAUUUACGAUGUAUUCUUGCAGUCGUUUAUAUUCCAGCAGUCAAAAACUGAUAGACUGCUUGACUAUUGGCGAAUCUCCAUACUACCUUCUAUAGCCAGAUGCCCGGCGUGUUCUCGAGCAGAAAAGUACGUAAUACGACAACGUGAACGCUUAAGCAACUAGUCAUUUCUCGUGUUCGAAUCCUCCUAUACGAGUUUAUGCUGGGAAGUUUCUUCCGGAAUAAGUAAAACGAGCAAUCACAUUUUGGCGCCGCUGCCAAGGAGUGAUAAUAGCUUUGAGUAUUAGGAAUUAAUUGCCAAAUAUGUGAGAAAAUUGGCAAUGGAAGAUAAUUUCAGUAGUGUUUGAAGCAAGAUUAUGGCUAAUAAGAACAAGAGCAUUGCAUCGAAGAAAAUAAAUCAGUUGAGAGAAAGAUAGAGAAGAGCAUAAAGAAGGAACUUGCUUAGAGAGGAGCAAGAACGUAAUCUUAAAAGGAAGCAUUGACAAAAUUGGAUUAAACCAUGGUUGCAAGCUUGUCGGUACAUCCGAACAUAUUUAGAACCGGACAGACUAUUAAUUCUGCAGUCGUAUGUACCGUUAGAAAAACUGCCAAGAACACUCACGAGAAAUUUUGUUAACAUUCCAGUGAAAAUCUUGAGGCCAUUAACUAAAAGAGAAGGAGGCGUAGAAGAAUUUGGUACUCCAUUGGAUAUCUUUUCAGUAGGGGGUACCGCUUAAAUGAGCAAUAGUGGCUCUUCAGAUUGGUACAAAUUGGUCACCAAUAAAGAUAACUAUAUUAUAUUUCUAAAUCUGACGUUUUCACCUGCAAUUCAACUAAUAAAACUAAUUGCAAAAAAUAACAGUAAAUCGAGGAGCAUUGAGAGCUCGAAAAUUAGAAUAAGGGAAAGCAAAGAUUAUUUUAAAUGGAGUUUAGCAGAACAAGAAAUUCAAUGGCAUCAAGAGGACCAGACGUUUCGAUUGCAGUACAAAAGGAUGUAGUAGACAAUCGUACGACUAGUGUCGUGCCAUUACCUACUUUUCGGGGUUUGCCAGGUGCGGAUCCAGAUCAACAUUUGUCUCAAUUCUUGACGGCAUGUGUAGCCAAUAAUGGAAGAACAGAAGACAUUUAGCUGAGAUGGCUACUAGCGACAUUGAAAGACACAACGUUUGAGUGGUAUAACCGCCAACCUGUGGGAUAAUUUAUUAAUUGGGAGGUAUUGAAAAAUGUAUUUUUAGCCCAUUUUUGAUCAAUUGAUUUUAAAGAACGUCUUAGAGAAAAAUUAAUGAACAGCAGAAUGGUACGACGGGAAGCGAUACAGUGAUAUUAUGGUCGUGUAGCGGAUAUACUUCAAAAAUGGCUAAAUAACCAAAUGUCAGAAUCAUUUGUAUUGUCCAUAUUGGUUAAUGGACUACACCCACCAGAAUUGAAAAUGUUUGUAAAGGAGGCCCAAUCAGCCACCAUUGCAUCAUCUCUUCAGUGAGCAAAAGUAUGGGAGGAAUGUCACUAUGACCAGAACUUAAAAAUUGGAGCCACAAUGAUUCCAUCUCAAGGAGGUUAUCAAAUGACAAAUUGGAAUGACGCAUCGAAAAGUUAUCUAGGAAGGAAUGAUUAUGGUACAAUUCUAUAGGAAAUAGUGGAUGCCGUUCCUUUGCAAGCUGUACCACCAUCAUCAUCACAUCCAUAUGCGCCUUAUUCCGCAUGUCAAAAACUAAUACCUACAAAGGAAUUGCCAAAUACAUUGGUAUCAAGGGAUCCUAAUGAGUCAUUGUUCUUAACAUUGAUGAAAAAAAUAGAUGAAUUGGCUGUGAAUCUGGCCAAGGAUAAAGAAAAAAGGCAUAAAUCAAUCAAUAUGCAUCCCAAUGUUUAGUGCAGGAAUUGUAAGGGGCAAGGUCAUUUAGUAAUAGAAUGUCCUUCACUACCCCAAAUGACUGUACAAUAUACCUUUUGCGGGAGUAAGCAUAUUACCACCAACUAUUGGAAUUUACGGAAGCAACAACAACUCAGUAACGAGAUAAUGACUCAACCAACUUCAUGGAAUGUCAAUCAAGUACAGAUGAAUAAUAGGUUUGGCUGGAAUGGAAAUCGAGCAAAUAAAAAAAAUAAAAAUUAUUCUAAUUUCUUCAACUCUGAAUUCCACCAAAAAGGUGUAUCCAAUAUUCACGGAUUGGCGAUGAACCAACCAAGAUACCAUUAAUAUUCACUGAUGACGAAGCCAAUGCCAGACUCUACAGUAAUAAUGGGUCAUCCAAGAUCCUUUAUUCAUCCGACAUGGAACAAAUCUAGCCGUUAUAUACCAAUAGAGACAUCCAUUAUCCCUGAAGGAGUUGGCAGGAGACUACUUCGUUCCUAUCGUUGCAAACAAAUUGGAUAUUAUGUGAGUGAAUGUCUUAAUCCAAAGGCCAGUGAUGACUAUGCUCCAAUAUGUGGAAAUUGUAAGCAGUCUAGCCACACUUAUCAACAGUGCAAUGCGUCCUUUAAUUAUAAUAAUUGGGACCAGCAAAUGCAAACAAGCCAACCGGUGAAGGACAAAGGCCCUAUUCAACGAGACUCACCAAUACAUCGUGUCGAGGUGGUGAAUGCAGUGCUUAUUAGAGGCCAACAAAAAGACAAGAAUUCAAUUCAGGACAUGGAUGAAUCAAUCACAGGAGAACAAGUAGUACCGUCCAUGGGGCUAAACAAACCAAUAUCAGUAUUGGGACAUAUCCCAAUAUUGAGACCUCAACAGACUGAGGAAUCCAAUUCGGUUCCACAUGCCAAUUUAUCUGGACCAUCCAAUCCAGGUCUUAUUACGAGCUCGAUAUCCAGUAUGAGACCUGAAUCGGUGGCACAACCCGAUGAGGUCCCAAUAAGGAGGCUUCAGUUUUGUUCCAAGCAGUUCCGAUCUCUACGCAGUUUCGAGAAACGUCCUACCCGUUGAAAAAUCCUCUCGGGGGUGAGAAUUCUAAGAAAACCUCGACUACUAUUCUAAUUCCGAGUCCAGGGUGGAAGAAUAUCUUACUUCACGGAGUAAAAUCGAAACCAAUGAAAUGCAAAAGAGCAUUGGAAAUUACUCUCAAUAUGGAACCCUACGACAUUCUGAAGGAUUUGGAUGUUAUUCAGCCUUCAAUUACAAUGAAGUAACUUUUGGCUGUAGCACCGGAAUAUCGAUUUACAUUGAAUUCAGCACUAAUACGACGAAGAUCCUGCAUUAAAAAAAUUCAUGAAGUUAGCUUAAACCCAGAUCCAGGAGCACCAACAAUCGAUGUAACAAUCGAUGGAAUUUUAAUUCGAGGGGUACAAGUUGAUGGUGGCUCCAGUGUAAAUUUAAUGAACGUGGAUACAAUAGAGGACUUAGAUCUAAAGCAAUUGCUACCUACGACAUUGGUCUUGCGAAUGGCACAUCAUAGUUGAGUAAAACCAAUGGGAAUCUUAUGCAAUAUUACCACUGUAAUCAUGGGAUUGACAUACAAAAUCGAUUAUAUUGUAUUCGGAUUAUAGAGUUCUACAUUAUUGUAUCCCAUUUUAUUAGACAAACCUUGGCUUUAUCAAGCCAAAGCUAAGAACGAUUGAGGCCGAGGCACAUUGACAAUUAGAAAAGGCCGAGAUCAAAUUGUUCUACAGAUGUAUCCGGUAUAAUAUCAUGGAGAAUCUCAAUUGCCAGAAUCAAAAUUUACAUUGGACAACGAGAGUCAAUUGAUUGAGGCAGAUGAUGAUUCUAUAGGUUCACCGCAAUUUGAGGUAGGACAAAAUACUUCAACAGCAAAGGCACGAGUCUACCAAUGUGGAAGUCCCAGCGAAUAUUUACUGCAUUAGGAAAAUGUGACUAACUUGGAUCAUGCUAUUGCCGAAUGGAUGAACAAUUCCGUAGUCAAUAGAAUCAGCACAUUGGAACCAGAUUUGAGUGGUUCCCAUAUGUCAGAUAAUACAUGAUAUUCAGAUCAAGAGAAGACAAUUAAAUCAGAGGUUGUUGAAGACCCUAAGUGUCAAUCUAUUAACCUCGACACCAACGAAAUGCUACAGCUAAUUAAAAUAUAUGCCAGUAUUUUUGGUACAAAAAUAGAUGCUUGGAAACAAUUUUUCGUCCAUCACAAAUCUACCUUUGCGUGGUCAUAUGUGGAUUUGAAAAGGAUUCUAGUCAAUGUGUGUGAACACCAGAUUAUUCUGGAGGAGGGUGUUACACCAGUUCGUCAAAGACAACACCAGCUUAAACCAAAAUAUUUCCUUUUAGUGAAAGAAGAAUUGGAUAAACUUCUCAAUGUGGGUUUUAUUUAUCUUGUUUCGCAUAGUGCAUGGAUGUCGUCAAUCGUGAGGGUACGGAAGAAGAAUAGAAAAAUCAAGAUAUGUCAAGAUUUUUGAAAGUUAAAUGUGGCUACCAAAAAAGAUUACUUCUCAUUACCUUUCACGGAUAGUACGGGUAACAUGUUGUCAUUACCACCACUAGGUAAAAGAAUAGGAGUAGGGCACCAGUUAAAGUCAUUCUAUGGUGUUGUUUUGGGUUGGCUAGAGUACCAUUUUCUUAUAUUUCUUGUAUUUUUGAGAGUAGUAGUUCCAGUUAAGAGUUAACAAUGAGGAGCCAGUCACAAGAAAGAGAAUGCAUGGUGGAGACCCAUAGGCAAGAACUAUUUUGGGCUCACAGUAAUUCAAUUUUGGAACUAGAAAAAGUAAAAGAUCAGAUGGUAAUGGAACGCGAAAAGGUUGAAUUAUUGGCAUAAGAGAAAUUGGUAUUGAGUGAUCAAUACAAAUGUGAAACGGAGUAGUUAAGGACUGAAAUUGAGGCCUUGAAUGCCGAAGUCACAAGAUUGGCAGAGGAUUUAGUCAAUAUUGGUCAAGCACAAGUAUCGACAUUGCUAGUUCCCAAAGUUCUAGAAGAGAGGAGUCACUUUCAGCGCCAGUUGGAAUUGAGAGAUGCCCAGAUCCUGAAAUUGGAAGCUCAAGUCCGUGAACUGGGUGAGUACAAUGAAGACCUUUCAGCUCAGUUGAGGCAAGAGCUGAUGGAAGGAUUGGAGGAGGAUGAAGAUUAAUAGUUGGAACUGGAAUCGGUGGAACCAAUAAUAGAUACUGCGGCAAUUGAUUAAUUAGAUAGGCCAGAGGAAUCACAAUUUUUGUAGAGUUUUGUUAGAUAAUUUUUAGAUAGGUAUCAAUUGAGUUUUUGUGAAGAUGCUAUAUAGUUAGGAGUGGGGCUAUAUAGAAUAAGUAGUUAUUUUUAGAAUGCAGAUACUUAGUGUAUAGUGUAAACAAGGAUAGAUAACUGCUGAAAAGGUGGUUCAGCACGUAGAAUGGAUGAAUAGUCAGGAAAAGUAGUUAUCAUCUGUAGUAUAGGAGUUGGUAUCUCGAAAAAAGUAUAUAGGAGUUGUAGAAGUUAAUUAGGGUGCCAGACUGUGAGAGUUGUGAGUCGAGGGCCAAAUUGUGAGAGUUAUGAGCCGAGGGCCAAACUGUGAGAGUUGUGAACCGAGGGCCAUCGCUGUGAUAGUGUGAACCGGGGUAAGCUUGGUGCUACCUCUUUUCUUUUGUUUUUUUCUUUGAAUAAGAGGAUUGAAAGUUUCUGAAUAUUGUGAUGUGAAUUAUGGAAUGGAAAUAUGGUUGGUAUUAUUUGAGAAGAAGAAAGAUUGAAUGCUGAAAUCUGAUUGUAAUUCAACAAAGAGAAUGAGUUUGUGUUUGUGUGAAACACUGUAAUGUGAAUGGCAGUUCUGUGUGAAGAAUUCCAGUGAUUGGAAUGAGGGUAAUUGUGUACUGAAAGCUGUGAGGGCGCAGUAUUACAGUUGGAGAUUAUAAGGGUGAAUAUAUUAGUAGAAAUAGAAGUUAUUGGUAUAACUGAAUUGUUGUAAGGAAGAGACCGAUAAUGUGAAGGAGGAGAUUAUAGUUUCCUUGUGUAUUCAGAUAUUAGAAAUAGAGACAAUACAUUCAGGAGGUAAUUGAUUGUGUGACCCUAACGUGAACGCUUAAGCAACUAGUCAUUCCUCGUGUUUGAAUCCCCCUAUAUGGGUUUAUGCUAGGAGGUUUCUUUCGAAAUAAGUAAAACAAGCAAUCACAGUGUAAGAAGGUAAGAAGGUUGAAUUUGGACUUUUUGAUGGAGUUUUGGAUUGAUCUUCAAAUAGAUUGUCAAGCGUAACUUCAAGUGGAAUUUCUACUGGUGAACAAGGUAUGUACCUUGACCCAAAUACUACAAAAAUAUCUCAAGAAUUUAUAUUAUUUAUGCAAUAACAACAGGGCAAUAAUCGCAAAGAGGCUUUGGCAACCAAAGCAUUACAAGCAAUGGUUAACAAAGUUGAUCAAUUUGAUGGGAGGAAUAUUUUCAAAUAUUUAAGAUGUUAUGUACGGAAAAUGGAAUUGAAUCGCGUUUCUGAGAAAGAGAUGAUUCAAUUAUUUGAGCUUGCUAUAGUAUCAGAGAUAAAAAAGCAUAUAAGAUCUAUUAUGGGGCAAUUUGGAAGUUCAUGGGAGGUAUUUUUAUAUGCAUUGAAGGAUGAGUAUUUUUUGGAUGAUACUGAUCAAGUUACCAAGAAAUCAUUCUUGGAAUAGAUUGAGCAACCUAAUAAAUAUUUGCAAGCUAUAGAAUUAUUAAGAAAAUUUGAAAGGUAUUUUUUUUGAUUAUCAAAAAUAAAAAAAUUAACAUUGGGACAAAGUAAGGUUGAAUUGUUUCUUCAAGCUGUUAAUAAAGAAUUACAAGAGAAGUUAGAAAUUCUCCUUGAAGAUAAGGAAGAAGAAGAAGGAUUGACAACAAAGUAGAGAGCUGUUGAAGAUGCUAUUGGAUUACUUGCAAAAAAAGAAAGGAAAAAGGAUAGGUUUAGUACUUAAAGAGUGGUACAAGUACCAAAGACCCCAAUACCUACUACAAGAUUGACUGUGCCUAUUGUCCAACCUCCAUUGACUACACUAAAGAAAAAAGAUAUGGGACUUGAGGAGAUUGUAUGAAGGAUGCGAGAUCUUCAAAUCAAACUUAUAAAGCUUGAAGAAAAUACUUCUACAAUAAGUUCAAAGGCUACUUUUAAAAAAAGUUAUGUGAAAAGAUAUAUUUGGUGUGAUGAUGAUUUUCAUUCUCAAAAAGAUUGUAGUGAAUUUGAUGAGAUGGUACAACAAAGCAUCAUUUAUUGAAAAGAUGGAAAGAUUACAUUGAAAGAUACUGGUGAUCUUUUCUAAACCAACUUUGGUAAAAGAGGUAUGAAAGUAUUGAUUAAAGAUUAUUUGACAAUGUAUGGAAUUGCAGCAAUAGAAGCUGCAAGUUAUGGAACUAGAGUAGAUAAUGAUAGUAGACAAAUUUUUUUUAGAAAUGUUCAAUCAAGUGGACUUUGGUCUUCUAUUAUUUCUACAAUGCAAAAAGAGAAGAUGCCACGAGAAGCUUUAUUGAGAAUUGCUGCAAUAAUUUGUGGUGCUACGGGUGUCAAAGACAAGAAUAUGAUAAAGACAAAUAACAAGUGAGACUUCUCUCAAAGAAAGAUGAAAAAAUAGAAAUAACUUGAUAUAUAUAUUGAAAAAGAAACGGGAAUGACUAUUGCCAAAAGUCAAGAGAACUAGAGAUCCUUGAAACUAGACUUGAAAUAAGAAAGGAGUUGACAAGAGUGAAGAAGGCUUCACUCUUGUCUCUAUAUAUACUAUCUAACUAGGGGCUACAUGGCAAUGUUCUAUAGGACCUCUAAUAUGUGUUGACUUUGUAGGACACAUGCCUUGACUUACAAGACAAGUUUUUUUAUAUAUGGGCUACAUAGUUAGCUUUAUCUUCAAGCUAGCAACAUGUGUGGCACAUGGCCAACUUUUUGACCAUGUUUCUAAUCCAAAAAGUUAAUUAAAGACACUUAUAAAUUUAAAGCAGCAUCUAUAAAGCUUCUAGGAAGCUUUUAUAUUAAAUACUAUAGAAUUAAUUUACUUUUACUUACUUUUAUUUACUUCUACUUAUUUAUACAUAUAAUUAUUGGAUUAUAUGUAUAUGUCCAUGACAUAACCUCCCCUUCUAGGGACGAGUUCCAUGAGGAGCGAUAAUCAUAUGUUGAGAAAAUCUAUGAUGUGACAAAUUGUAUUUGCCACAUACUCUGAUCUUUGUUCUCUUUGAAGAUGAUUGAUAGGGCCUCUCAACCAUCAGUAUUGUCUCAUAUCAGGGCAAGAAGACCACCCAGUUAUUUGAUCAUUGUUGAGGCCUUCAUAACUUCCUUCGAAUAAAAUAUUUGGAACACCAUCAGGAAUUGUUCCUACCUCUACUAAAAUAAUCAAACAUCGGGAGUCCCUUCUAAGGUCGUGAUACCAAACGCAUUGUAUUUUGCCAUCUAUUCGAGGAAGAACAUGUCGUUCUUGAAGAUUUUUAAUUUGAUUGCGUCAUCUUGAAGGAUGUGACAAUAGUAAUGUCUCGUUUGGUAAGUCAACAAACGAAGGUUCUUGAGUCGAAUCCAGUGGUUGUUGGUUCUCCAUCUUUUGAGCAUCACAACUACAAAGAAGCUACAAACAAGGAUUGAAAAUAGAAUGAUAUCUUAUCUAGAUCUUGUUUCUUUUAUAAAGAAGGUUUUCAUCUUAAUUUUGAUGGAUGUCGUUGCUGAAAAGCCUCCAUCGCCUUUGUUGCAUUUGUAAUAUUCUUUAGUAGCUCCCAUGUGUAUUCACUAAUAUCAUAUCCAUGCCAAUAGAUAAGAUAUUUUAAUUUAUUUUGGCGUUGCCUUGAAUCUAAGACUUCUUCCAUUUCAAACUUUUUAUUAUUGUCUACUUGUCAAGGACAAAAACUCGAUGAAAAAAAAAUUCAAAUAAGUGAGCCUUCACUCAAAAAGAGGUAACAAAAUAUAUAUAAACAAGUAUAUAUAUUGAAAGAGAAACUGGAAUGGCUAUUGCCAAAAGACAAGAAAACUAGAGACCUUUGAAACUAGACUAGAAGCACGAAAGGAGUUGAUAAGAGUGAAUAAGCCUUCACUCUUGUGUCUAUAUAUACUAUCUAACUAGGGGCUACGUGGCAACUUUCUAUAGGACCUCCAAUAUGUGUUGACUUUGUAAGAUACAUGCCUUGACUUAUAAGGCAAGUUCUUCUACGUGUGGGCCACAUAGUUAGCUUGAUCUUCAAGCUAACAACAUGUGUGGCACAUGGCCAACUUGUUGACCAUGUUUCUAAUCCAAAAAGUCAAUUAAAGACACCUAUGAAGUCAAAGCAGCGUCUAUAAAGCUUCUAGGAAGCUUCCAUAUUAAAUACUAUAAAAUUAACUUAUUUUUACCUACUUUUACUUGUACUUAUUUAUACAUGUAAUUACUAGCUUACAUGAUUAUAUCCGUGACAUUACCCCCCCUUCUAGGGACGAGUUCCAUGAGGAGCGGUCAUCAUAUGUUGAAGAAAUCUAUGAUGCGACGAAUUGUAUUCGCCACAUACUGUGAUCUCGGUUCUCUUCAAAGAUGAUUGAUAGGGCCUCUCAACCAUCGGUAGUGUCCCAUACCAGGGCGGGAAGACCACCCAGUUAUUUGAUCAUUGUUGAGGCCUUCGUAACUUCCUUCGAAUAGAAUAUUUGGAAUACCAUCAGGAGUUGUUUCUACCUCUAGCACAAUCACCAAACAUCGAGAGUCCCUUCCCAAAUCAUGAUACCAAAUGCGUUAUAUCUCGCCAUCUAUUCGAGGAAGAACAUAUUGUUCUUGAAGAUCUUCAUCUCGAUUACAUCGUCUUGAAGGUUGUGACAAUCGUAAUGUCUCAUCCGAUAGGUCAACAAAUGAAGGCUCUUGAGUCGAAUCCGUUGGUUGUUGGUUCUCCAUCUCUUGAACAUCACUACUACAAAGAAGCUACAAACAAGAAUUGAAAGUAGAAUGUUAUCUUGCCUAGAUGUUGUUUCUUUUAUAAAGAAGAUUUUCAUCUUGAUUUUGAUGGAUGUCGUCGAUGAAAAGCCUCCACCGCAUUUGCUGUAUUUGCAAGAUUCUUUAUUGGCUCCCAUGUGCAUUCACUAAUAUCAUAUCCGCACCAAUGGACAAGAUAUUCUAAUUUAUUUUGACGCCGCCUUGAAUCUAAGACUUCUUUUACUUCAAACUCUUCAUUAUUGUCUACUUCUAUAGGAGGAGGUGGAGCUUGUCAUCUUCUUGGUAUGUCCAUUAUCUUGUAUGGUUUAAGAAGAGACACGUGGAAUACUGGAUGGAUUUUUAUUGACUUCGAUAGAUGUAAACGAUAUGCAACUGGAUUGAUUUGUGCAGAAAUAAAAAAUGGUCCGAGCCUUCGAUAGUCCAACUUGUCACAAUACUAGUGAUUUUCAUAUUGUGACGAAGUAGCAACACCUUAUCAUCCAAGACAAAUGAUGGUUGUUUCUUUUGAUAGACAUCCGCAUUGACCUUUUGUUGUUCUUAAGCCUCUUUUAACUGCACCUUCAUCGUUGCAUGUAGCUCUGAUAAAUGAAUUGCCAAAUCUUUCGCAACAGGAUUAUCAACUUUUGAAAAGUCAAAAGUAUCAAGUCAUGGAUGAUAACCAUAAUUAGCAAAGAAAGGUGUUUAUUUUGUAGAAGAAUGUACUGUGUUAUUCUAAGCAAACUUUGCCAAUGGCAAAAGAGUUGUCCAAUCAUCUUGUUAGUAAUUAAUGGUACAUCUUAAAUAUUUCUCCAAAACUUGAUUAACACGCUCCGUUUGUCCAUCAGUUUGAGGAUGGAAUGUCAAAGAUAGUUUUAUAUCCACUUUAAGAAUCUUGAAAAGAAUCCGCCAAAAUCUUGAUACAAAUUGAGUUCCUCUAUCUGAUAUAAUAUCCUUGGAUAAUCCAUGAUAGCGAUAGAUAUUGUCAAGAAAGAGCUUAUUUAUUUCUUCACUUGUGAUAGAUUUUGUACAUGAUACAAAAUAUGCCAUCUUGGUAAAAUGAUCUAUUAUCAUGAAUAUUGAGUCAUAAGAACCUGAGAUUGGAAGAACUGUGAUGAAGUCCAUAGAAACAGUAGACCAUGGUUGUUCUAGAAUGGGUAAUAGCUGAAGAAGUCCAAAAGGUCGAUGAUGAGGAGUUUUCGAUCUUGAGCAAACAUCACAUGAUUGUACAAAAUCUUUAACUGCCUUCCACAUUUGAGGCCACCAAAAAUUCCUAGAUAUCAGCUCUAAAGUCUUAUUAUAUCCAAAAUGUCUUGCUGCUGGGAAGUCAUGACGAGCUUGAAGAACACGUAAACGUGCUUCUCCUUCUGGAACAUAUAGGCGUCCUUCGAAAUAAAGUAAGUUGUUCUUGAAUUCAAAUUUAGAGGGAUCAUGAGAUUUAGAAGAAUUAUUCUUGAUAUCAUGAACAAGAGGGUUUGAAGACAUACUUAACUGGACUUGCUUAAGAAAAGUUAAAUCAACAGUCAAUAUUGAUUUUAUUGCUCGAAGAUGAAAUUGCUCCAGCUUCAAGAGAACCGUUCUUUAUUGCUCAAAAGCUACAUCUCCUUCUUUUGGUGCAAGAUAAGAACAUCUAGACAAGGCAUCGGACAAACCUUGUUGUUUUCCUGACCAAUAAGUGAUGAUGAACUCGAAUCUUAAUAAAGACACGCUCCAACGAGCUUGGCAACGAUUUAAUACGCAUGUUGACAUAAAAUAUUCGAGGUUCUUGUGAUCCAUAUAUACGAUGACUGGACUAGAAGCGCCUUCUAGAUAAUGAUGCCAUUCUUGAAAAGAAUCCACAAUUAUAAGAAGUUCUUUGUUAUGGAUCUCAUAAUUGAUUUCUGCUGCUGAGAAUUUUCUUGAAUGAAAGGCUACUCGAUGAAGUUUGUCAUCUAUUCCAAUUUGUAAUAAAACCGCAUCCAGAGCAAAGUUCGAUGCAUCUGUUUCCAUAAAGAAUGCUUUGGAAAAAUUAACAUGAUACAAGAUUGGUGCAAAAAUAAACGUUGUCUUCAAAGAUUCAAAAGCAACUUUCGCUUCUUGAUUCCAUUGGAGUUUGUCUUUACAAGUCAAACGUGUAAGUAGAGCUGUAACUCGAGAGAAGUCUUUAAUGAAGAUCCGAUAGUAGUUGGUAAAUCCCAAAAAAUAUUGGACAUCUCUUAUUGUUUUUGGGAUCUUCCAGUCUAUAAUAGUUUGAACUUUCUUAGGAUCCAUCAUAAGUCCAUCAUUUGAAAUGAUGUAAUCUAAGAAAUCGACUUCAGUGGUGUGGAACACACACUUUUCUAUCUUGGCAUAGAGUCCUGUAUCUCUUAAUUUUUGUAAUACACGAUGAACAUGAAGUUCAUGUUCUUCUGGAUUCUUAGAAUAGAUCAAGAUGUUGUUUAGAUAAUAGACCACAAAAUCGUCCAAAAACUCUCAAAAAACAUCAUUCAUUAGAUGUUGAAAAGCUGCUGGUGCAUUUAUAAGUCCAAAAGGCAUGACGUUGUAUUCAAAAUAUCCAUACCUAGUUCGAAACGCAGUCUUCCAUUCAUCUCCUUCUUUGAUGCGUACUAGAUUGUUUGCUCCUCGAAGAUCUAUUUUUGUAUAGAUCUUAGCUUGAUUCAGCUGAUCAAGAAGUCCAGAUAUUUAAGAUAGUGGAUACCUGUUCUUGAUGGUAAUCUUGUUGAGUCCUCGAUAAUCAACACACAUCCGCAAUGAUCCAUUUUUUUCUUCACAAAUAAAAUUGGAGCUCCUGCCGGAGAUUUAGAAUGGCGUAUGAAAUUCUUGCCUAGAUUUUCUUCAAUAUACUCCUUGAGUUCAGCCAACUGAUUUUGUGAUAAAUUGUAGAUUGGUCCGAAUGGCAGUUGUGCUCCUUCUUGAAGGUCAAUUGAUCAAUCAUAGAGACAAUGUUCCAGGAGUGUAUCCGCAUUUUUUUUUUCAAAUACAUCUUGAAAUUCUUGAUAUUAGCUUGGAAUGCCACUUGAAGUUUUUUCACUAGUAGAAACGGAUGUGGCAUAAAUAAUAUAUGGUGAUUCUUUCAUAGCAACAUGCAAGAAAGCUUUUGCACCUAUAAAUACGGGUUUAAUUGAACUGGACUUAUGACUCUCUACUUGAUUAACUACACUGUUAGUUAUACUUUUAGAGAAAGUAAGAGUUUGGGAAAUCCAAUCUAUUUGAGGGUUGUAUUUUUCUAACCACAAUAAACCUAAAAUGAUUGGAUUAGAAGAAGAUCUAAUGAUAUUAAAUACUACAAAACUAUUAUGACCAUUGAUUAUUACUUCUAUAGGAAGGGUUCUGUGAGUAAUAUCUCCAGAAGACAAUGGACGACCAUCUAUGACUUCUACAUGAACAGGUUUAGUUUUCUUUACUAAAGAUAUGCUAUGUCUUUUAGUAAAUUCUUCAUCUAAAAAAUACGCUGAGGCUCUUGAAUUUAAUAAGGUAGAGACUUUGUAAUGUUUAGGUCCUAAAAUAACAUUUAAUGUAAAACAAGGAGAGGGCUCUGAGGAGAGAAUAUGACCUUUAAUAUACGAAUCUUAUUGGUUGCAACACGAAUUGCAUUAUGUUCUCUAUACAUGGAUCAAAACUCCGCCAAAAAAGCCUCUAGAUUAUUUAGUAUUGGAUUUCGUCGUUCAAAAAAAGAUGAAAACCACAAUAAUAUUCAACUUGAAAGAAACGUACCAAUGAAUCUAACUUACGAUCCUGGAGUUGGAUAGCUUUGGAGUUAAAGUUCAAUCACAAGUUGCACUUGAUUGAUAAAUCCUCGAAACUUGAAUCUAGUACCAUCAAACUUCUCAGAUAGGAAAAUUCUUGGUUCUCUAAUAUUUGAAGGGCAGUCCACCAUAGAGAAAGGACAAUAUCAGUUUAGAAGAGGAUAAUCCUCAACUUCUAAUAUGCUUAUAUCUUAUCAAGAAAAAGGGGUAAUCCAUUCUUAAUCAAGAUUAGACAAAGCUCUGAUAUUGUAGGUGUACUCUUGUCAAUCUGUCAAGGACAAGAACUCGAUGAAAAAACAAUUCAAACAAGUGAGCCUUCACUCAAAAAGAGGUAACAAAAUAUAUAUAAACAAGUAUAUAUAUUGAAAGAGAAACUGGAAUGGCUAUUGCCAAAAGACAAGAAAACUAGAGACCUUUGAAACUAGACUAGAAGCACGAAAGGAGUUGAUAAGAGUGAAUAAGCCUUCACUCUUGUGUCUAUAUAUACUAUCUAACUAGGGGCUACGUGGCAACUUUCUAUAGGACCUCCAAUAUGUGUUGACUUUGUAAGAUACAUGCCUUGACUUAUAAGGCAAGUUCUUCUACGUGUGGGCCACAUAGUUAGCUUGAUCUUCAAGCUAACAACAUGUGUGGCACAUGGCCAACUUGUUGACCAUGUUUCUAAUCCAAAAAGUCAAUUAAAGACACUUAUGAAGUCAAAGCAGCGUCUAUAAAGCUUCUAGGAAGCUUCCAUAUUAAAUACUAUAGAAUUAACUUAUUUUUACCUACUUUUACUUACUUGUACUUAUUUAUAUAUGUAAUUACUAGCUUACAUGAUUAUAUCCGUGACACCACUUCUAUAAGAUGAAGUAUAGCUUAUCUUCUUCUUGGUACGUCCACUGUCUUGUAUGGUUCAAGAAGAGACACAUGAAAAAUUGGAUGGAUUUUCAUUGACUCCAGUAGAUGUAAACGAUAUGCAACUGGAUUGAUUUGUACAGAAAUAAAAAAUGGUCUAAGCCUUCGAUAGUCCAACUUAUCACAAGGAUGAGUGGUCUUGAUAUUGUAACAAAGUAACCAUACCUUAUCACCUAUGUGGAAUGGUGGUUGUUCCUUUCGAUAGACAUCCGCAUUCACUUUUUGUUGUUCUUGAGCUUCUUUUAACUACGCCUUCAUCGUUGCAUGUAGCUUUGACGAAUGAAUUGCCAAAUCUUUUAUAGUAGGAUUAUCAACUUUGAAAAGUCAAAAUUAUCAAGUUGUAGAUGAUAUCCAUAAUUAGUAUAAAAAGGUGUUUAUUUUGUAGAAGAAUGUACCGUGUUAUUAUAAAUAAAUUUUGCCAAUGGCAAAAGAGUUGUCUAAUUAUCUUGUUGGUAGUUAAUGGUACAUCUUAAAUACUGCUCCAAAACUUGAUUAACAUACUCCGUUUGUCCAUCAGUUUGACGAUGGAAUACCAAAGAUACUUUUAUAUCCACUUUUAGAAACUUGAAAAGAGUCCACCAAAAUCUUGAUACAAAUUGAGUUCUCCUAUCUGAUAUAAUAUCCUUGGAUAAACUAUGAUAGCAAUAGAUAUUGUCAAGAAAGAGCUUAGCUAUUUCUUCACCUGUGAUAGAUUUUGUACAUAGUACAAAAUAUGCCAUCUUGGUAAAACAAUCCAUUAUCACGAAUAUAGAGUCAUAAAAACCUGAGAUUGGAAGAUCCGUGAUAAAAUCCAUAGAAAUAAAAGACCAUGGUUGUUCUGGAAUGGAUAAUGGCUGAAGAAGUCCGUAAAGUCGAUGACGAGGAGUUUUUGAUCUCAAGCAAAUAUCACAAGAUUGUACAAAAUCUUUGAGAGCUUUCUACAUUUGUGGCCACCAAAAGUCCUUAGAUAUUAGUUCCAAAGUUUUAUUGUACUCAAAAUGACCUGCUAUUCAAAAGUCAUGACGAGCUUGAAGAACUUGUAAUCGAGCUUCACCUUCUGGAAUAUUAUAGGCAUCCCUUAAAAUAUAGUAGAUUCUUCUUGAAUUCAAACUUGGAAGUAUUAUAAGACUUUGAAGGAUUUCUCUUCAUAUCACGAAUAAGAGGAUCAAAAGACAUACUUGAUUGAAUUUUCUUAAUGAAAUUUGAAUCAACAGUUAGUAUUGAUUUCAUUGCUCAAAGAUGAAGAUACUAUAGCUUGAAGAGAAUUGUUUGUUGUUGAUCAAAAGUAGCAUCUCCUUAAUUUGGUAUAAGAUAAGAUCAUUUAGAGAGUGCAUCUAACAAACCUUGUUAUUUUCAUGGUUGAUAAGUAAUCUUGAAUUCAAAUCUUGACAAAGUUAUACUUAAAUGGACUUGGCGACGAUUCAAAAUACAUAUUGACAUAAAAUAUUCAAGGUUUUUAUGAUCCGUAUAUACUAUGACUAGACUAGAAGCACCUUCUAGAUAAUGGCACCAUUCUUGAAAUGAAUCCAUGAUUAUUAGAAGUUCUUUGUUGUGGAUCUCGUAGUUGAUCUUGACUGCUGAAAUUUUUUAGGAAUGAAAUGCUAUUGAAUGAAGUUUAUCAUUUGUUUCCAUUUGUGACAAUACACCAUCCAAAGGAAAGUCUGAUGCGUCUGUUUUUAUAAAAAAUGGCUUUAAAAAAUUGACUCAAUACAAGAUUGGUGCAAAAACAAAAGUUGUCUUCAAAUUUUCAAAUGCUACUUCUGCUUCUUGAUUCUAUUGAAGUUUAUCUUUGCAAGUCAAACGUGUAAGUGGUGCUGCAACUUGAGAGAAGUCUUUCAUGAAGUUUUGAUAGUAGUUGGCAAACACCAAAAAGUAUUGGACAUCUCUUAUCAUUUUUGGGAUCUUCCAAUCCAUAAUAAGUUGAACAUUCUUAAGAUCUAUCAUAAGUCCAUCAUUUGAAAUGAUAUAUCCUAAGAAGUCGACUUGAGUAUUGUAAAAUAUACACUUUUCUAUCUUGGCAUAGAAUCUUGUAUCUCUAAGUUUUUGUAAUACUUGGUGAACAUGAAGUUCAUAUUCUUCUAGGUUCUUAGAAUAGAUUAAGAUGUCGUCUAGGUAACAUACAACAAAAUCAUCUAAAAACUCCCAAAAGACAUUAUUCAUUAGAUGUUGGAAUGUUGCUGGUGCGUUUGUAAGUCCAAAAGGCAUGAUGUUGUAUUCAAAAUAUUCAUACCUUGUUUGAAAUGCAGUCUUCCAUUCAUCUCCUUCUUUGAUACAUAUCAAAUUAUAUGCUCCCCAUAGAUCUAUUCUUGUAUAGAUCUUAGCUUGAUUCAACUGAUCAAGAAGUCCAAAUAUCAAAGGUAGUGGAUACCUGUUUUUGAUAGUGAUUUUGUUGAGUCCUUGAUAAUCAACACACAUCCACAAUGAUCCAUCUUUUUUCUUCACAAAUAAAAUUGAAGCUCUUGUUGGAGAUUUGGAAUGAUAUAUGAAGUUCUUGGCCAAAUUCUCUUCAAUAUAUUUCUUGCGUUCGACUAAUUCAUUUUGAGAUAAAUUGUAGAUUAGUCCAAAUGGUGAUUGUGCUCCUUCUUGAAGAUCAAUUGAGCAGUCAUAGGAACGAUGUUCUGGAAGAGUAUCCACAUUCUUUUUUUCAAAUACAUCUUGAAAAUCUUGAUAUUGGCUUGGAAUGCCACUUGAAAUCUUUCCACCAAUAGAAACAAGUGUGGCAUAAAUGACACAAGGUGAUCCUUCUUUUGCAACAUACAAAAAAGUACUUGCAUCUACAAAUAUAGGUUUAAUUAUACUAGACUUAUGACUUUCUACUUAAUUAACAAUACUCUUAGUUAUACUUUCAAAAAAGUCAAGACUACAAGAAGUUUAAUUUAUUUUAGGGUUAUAUUUUUUUAGCCAUGAUAAACCUAAAAUGACUAGAUUAGAAGGAGAUCUAAUGAUAUUAAAUAUUAUAAAGCUACUAUGAUCAUUAGUUGCUAUUUUUAUAAGAAAGAUUUCAUGAGUAAUAUCUCUUGAAGACAACGGACGAUCAUCUUUGACUUCUACAUGAACAGAUUUAGUUUUCUUUAUUAAAAAUAUGCUAUAUCUUUUAAUAAAUUUUUCAUCUAAGAAAUAUGCUGAGGCUCUUGAAUUUAUUAAGGUAGAGGCUUUGAGAUCAUUAGGUCCUAGAAUAACAUUUAUCAUAAAAUAUGGAGAGGGUUCUGAGGAGAGGAUAGGAUCUUUACUAGGCAUUGUACAAGAUUCCAGUCGUAGGGUUCCUAUUGUAGCUGGACAAAUUUGUUUUUUGACAUAUUGUCUUCUUUGAUCGCUGUACUCCUCAUUUUAUGGUUGCAUCAUUUCUUUGAACAAUGUUGAGCAUUGUGCUUAGAUUCUCUAUAAUAUUAGUACAAUCCUUCUUCAUGAUGACGAGUCUUUUCUUGCUCAGUAAGAGGUUUGAAAUGUGUUGUAUCAAUUUACAUAUCUUCUACUUCCGAAUGUAUGUGUUGAAGAGGUGUUGAUGUUGCUAUUGAAUUAUAGUAACAUUGAAGUCCACUUAUAUGGUUCUUAGAUUGGAAUUCAAAAAGAAGAUUGUCGAACUUCAUAGCAAAGUCAAUUGCUUGAUUGAAUGUUUGAGGAUUAGGUAAGUUGAGCAUUAAUUUUUUUACUUGAUAUUGUAAUCUAUAAAGAAAUUAGCUAACAAGUACAGCAUCAUUUCACUUGAUAUCAGUUGCAAGUUGUCCAAAUUGUGAAGCAUACAAUGUUACUGAUUGAUUGUCUUGUCGUAAAAUAUGGAUCUUAUUAGUUGCAACACAAAUUGCAUCAUGUUUUCCAUACAUGGAUCGAAACUCUGCUAAAAAAGCCUCUAAAUUAUCCAAUAUUGCAUCUCGUCAUUCAAAAAAAGAUGAAAACCACGAUAGUACUUAACCUGAAAGAAUCGUACCAAUGAAUCUAACUUGUGAUCUUAGAGUUGGAUAGCUUUGGGGUUGAAAUUCAAUCACAAGUUACACUUGAUCUAGUACCAUCAAACUUCUCGGGUAGGACAAUUUUUGGUUCUCUAACACUAGAAGGGCGUUCCACCAUAGGAGAAGAAACAUGAUUUAGUACAGAUGUUGAAGUUGCUUCAAUCAUUUCUAUAUCUUCACUUCCUUCCAAUCUUGUUGCUCCUUGUGGUGGUAAAUUGAAUUGAUACAUCGCAAGCAUUAACUCCCUCAAUUGUUCUUAUAUUUGUGCCAUUGCACUCUUCAUUUUAACAAGUUCUGCCAUGAUAAUGCUUAGAAAAGAAAAGAUGUCUAAUAUCGCUUAAGAAUAAUAGAAGAGAGGACUUGAGAACAAAGAAAAUACUAAGGACAAUAUUAAUUUAGAAGAGGGUAAUCUGUAACUUCUAAUAUGCUUGUGUCUCAUAAAAAAAAAGGGUAAUCCACUCUUAAUUAAGAUUAGACAAACCUCUGAUAUUGUAGGUGUACUCUUGUUAAUCUGUCAAGGAUAAGAACAUGAUAAAGAUAAAUAAUAAGUGAGACUUCUCUCAAAGAAAAAUAACAAAAUAGAAAUAACUUGAUAUAUAUAUUGAGAAAGAAAUUGGAAUGCUAUUGCCAAAAGCCAAGAGAACUAGAGGCCCUUGAAACUAGACUAGAAGCAAGAAAAGAGUUGAUAAGAAUGAAGAAGGCUUCUCUCUUAUCUCUAUAUAUACUAUCUAACUAGGGGCUACAAGGUGAUAUUCUAUAGGGCCUCCAAUAUGUGUUGACUUUGUAGGACACAUGCCUUGAUUUACAAGGCAAGUCUUUCUACGUGUAGGCCACAUAAUUAGCUUGGUCUUCAAGCUAAUAACAUGUGUGGCACAUGGCUAACUUUUUGACCAUGUUUCUAAUCCAAAAAGUCAGUUAAAGAUACCUAUAAAGUCAAAGCAGCAUCUAUGAAGCUUUUAGGAAGCUUCUAUAUCAAAUACUAUAGAAUUAACUUACUUUUACCUACUUUUACUUACUUCUACCUAUUUAUACAUGUAAUUAUUGGCUUACAUGUGUAUGUCCAUGACAACGGGUUAGAAGGAUCUUCUAGAAGCUUAGUCAGUACAUGCAUAUAUUGCUAAAAGCCAACAUGAAGCUUUAAUGGAAGAAAAGAGGAGAGAAAAUUUUGAUGAUGCAAGAGAAGGAAAUUCUUUUAAGAGGCAAAUUUGAGGAGAUAAGGCUCACGCAUCGACUUCACAAGAAUUGCCCACAAAGGAUACGUCAAUAAUAUCAAAAGAAAAAAUAAAAGAGAUAAAAGAUAAAGGUAAAUUGACAACUUAUAAACUACUCUCUGAUAUUGAAGUGGCAACAGAUUUAAAGGGAGUGCUUGAGGAAUGAAUACUCAAUGCUAAGGUUGAGUUUAUAUUGAAAGAAAUUUUAAAAAUUGCCAAGAAAGAAUUCCAUGAUGUCAUUAUUGAUAGUAUUAAAUGAAAGAGACAAUUAAUAGGAGAGGCUGGAUUAAAUUAUACUAUUGAUGCACACAUGUAUGAAGGUAAAGAAGAUGUAUUUGAUAAUUGUUACAAAUAAUCAGCAAGUGAAGGAAGGAGUCAUAAUCAAAGGAUACGUUUUGAUGAUCAAGGUAAUAAAAAUGGAGAGGUUUCAAGUCAUUAUACUCGGAAGCAUUGGACUAGAGAAACUACAAAGGUAUUAGUGAAGAUUGGACAUAUAGACAAACCAAUUGUUGCUUUUAUUGACCAUGGUUCAGAGAUAAACAUUAUGUCUAAAGAUCUUUAUAUGAAGCAAAGGUGGCCAAUUGGCAUAGAGCAUGGAUGAGCAAUAUGGGCAUCCAAUAAUAUACAAGAGAAAUUAUAUGAUACUUGCUUAGAUGUGAAAAUUUGGAUUGGUGAUGUUAUAAUAGAGCACAAUUUUUUUGUUCAAGUUGCAACAUCUUAUUCUUUUAUUUUGGGACAACCAUAUAUUAUUACAACUUGGAUGGAAACAAAGAUACUUAAUGAUGGUUUAGCUUAUGUACAAAUUUGUAGUGAAGAUGGGAGGACGGUAGUACAGUUUUUGACUAUGCCUCCAAAUCAUGAUCAAAAUCGAGACAGAUUGAGGGAAAAUCCAUUGUAAGGAUUGUUGAAGAAUUCAAGGAUUUUUUGGAGGUACCACUAUAAAGCGAGAUAAUAGAGGUACAGAAAGAGAAGUACUCUUGCAAGAUAUAGGUGCCUUUAAUAGAGAAUUUAUUAAUAUUUUUAAAAAUAGAAGCAUUAUGUAUAAAAAGAUUAAUGAUUUAAAAAAAAAAAAAAGAAGGAAUUAAGUACUAUUGAAAAAGAAUUAUAUAGGUUAGAAAUAUUAAAAAAUAAUAAAAAGAUUAUUAGUAUUUAUGAAGAAAAUAGACUUGAGGAUCAUUUGAAAUUGAUUACAUUUAUUGAAUUAGAUAAUAAUGAUAAAGUUAUAUCAAUUCAUUCAAGAAAAGUUUAUGAUAUGAUUGAAUCUUUUCAAGCACUGGAGGUUAUAAUUGAGACAAAAUAUAAGACAGUAGAUAAGAAAGUUAAACCGGUUGCCGAACCUUUGCUAGAGGAUUUUUAAAGAAAAAAUGAGAAAAGCAUCAAGAGAAAGGAGCUUGAGGGAUCCAAAGAAUAUUGAUCACAAGUUUAUUAAAGAAACUUUUGAAGAAUUAAAGAUUGGUUCUGAUGGUUCUUUAUUGCCAGAGGAAAUUAUCUGCUUCAAAGAGAUGUUGGCAAAACAAGGUAGAUCAUUUGCUUUUGAAUCUUAUGAAAUUAGAUGUGUGGAUUCAAAUAUUAUAACACUUAUGGUUAUUUUUACUAUACCACAUGUACCUUAGAAUCUAAAGCCAAUUCCAAUACCAAGGGCACAUUUACCAAGCUUGGUGGAAUUAUUAAAAGAAAAGAUAAAGAUGAAGAUUUUGGAGCCCUCUUUUGCACUAUAUUCUAGUCUAUGAUUUAUAGUGCCUAAGAAAAAUGGAUCAUUAUAUUUUAUUCAAGAUAUGCAACCAGUGAAUGUAAUAACUAUCAAGAAUGCAGGAAUUGGACAUAUAGUAGAUAAAUUUAUUGAGGCAUUUGUAAGAAGGGCAAUCUAUUUAAUAUGUGAUUUGUAUUCGAGCUAUAACCAAUAUCAACUUGUAGAAGGAAGUAGAGAUAUGACAACAAUGAAAAUACCUCUGAGAUUACUUAGAAUAUAUACUCUUCCUCAAGGCGCAACUAACUCAGUUGCGCAUAUGAUGAACAUGAUGAAUAAGGUGUUGAGAUUUUAUUCCUGAGAAGACUAUGCCUUUUCUAGAUGAUGUUCCUAUAAAGAGAUGUAAAGAAAAAGAUAAAGAUAAAACUUUAGAUAAGAGGAGGUGUUGCAAGUAUGUUGCUGAUCAUAUACAAGAUUGUAAAAAAAUAUUGAUUCGGCUUGGAGAAGUUCAUCUUACAUUAUCGAAUACAAAAUCUACAUUUGGAGUAUAAGAAGUUGUGAUUGUUAGAAAUUUAUGUGGAUUUUAUGGAAGAAAAUUAGAUCCACUUAAAAUUGAUGUGAUUAGGAGAAUGAAAGAGGAUUGUAGUUCUUAAAAAGAGGUUCACAAGUUUUUAGGGUGCAUGUGUAUUUUAUCGUAUUUAGAUUCUUAAUUAUGUUCACAUAGCGGAUCCAUUAUAUAAACUAUUAUGCAAAGAUUAUCGAUUUAAAUGGAAAGAAAAGCAUAUUAAAGUAGUGCAAAGAUUGAAGAAAUUAUUGAUAUUAUCUCUAGUAUUGAGAAAAGUUGAUUGUAAGUGCAAUAGACUAGUGAUUCUUAUUGUAGAUACUAGUCUCAUUGCCAUCGGAUGGACUAUAGGACAAGAUGACUCAAAUAGAUAUAGAUUUGCAGUACAAUUUAGAGCUAAGGUUUUAAGUACUUGCCAACAUGCAUAUUUAUAGGUGAAAAGAGAAUUAUGGGGAGUUAUUUUAUUUAUGAAAGCUGAAAAGGAUUAUUUGAUUAGAACUAUGGUAGUACUUGAAAUAGACUAUUUGCCUUUACUUCGAAUGAUUAUCAAUUGUACAACACCAGAUAUUACGAUGUUGAGAUGGAUUAUUUAUAUCAAAUCACUAAAUUGAGAAUUUAGGCAUGUUGUGGGGAAGACAAUCUGGUAGCAGAUAUAUUAUCUUGAGUAGUAUAUGAAAGAAAAGACAAGUUGGUUGAAGAUAUUGAUGAUGUUGGAACAAAAUUCUAUUCAAUAUCAAAUCUUAAUAAAAAAGAAAAGAUAUUUUUUGAAGAGCUUUAUGAAAGAGAAUUACUAAAAUUUGGUCUUUAUUUAAAUACCUUCACUAAACAAGAGAAUUGGUCAACAAAAAAAUUUAAUCAAAUAAGAAAGAAGACUUAUAGGUUUUUGCUUCAAGAAGGGUUUUUAUAGAAGAGAUCAAAGAAAAAAAUUGGAAUGCCAAGACGAAUAGUAGGUACUAAAGAAGAUCAACAAAGACUACUCAAGGAGUUUCAUGAGAGUUUAUGGGUGGGACAUAGAGAAAUUUGGGCUACUUUUGCUAAAAUGAAGGAAUAAUAUUGGUGGAAGAAUAUGUAUCAAGAUGUAACUUUGUUUGUAGAAUCUUGUAUAACUUGUCAGAUGUAUUCAAAUAUACGACAUCGAGAUGGGUUGCAUCUGACAUAUUCUUUGGCUAUUCAUUUUAAAUGGAUUGUGGAUUUGGUUAUUGUAAUCAGGAAAUCCGAAUUGCUACAAUUUCUGAAUUAAGUAUAGUUUAAAUCGGUUCAAACACAAGGGAAAGAACUGUCGCAUGAGUUAAUUUUUAAGGUCACCAUUAAUUGAAUAUAAUCAUUUGAUAUUCAAUAAGUUAAUUCCCAAUCACUGAAUUGUAUAAUAUUAAUUCUUCAGUACCAUGUCUAAUUUAAUAACUUCAAUUACAACAUUCUCAAUUUCUUAUCAAUUCUCUGUAAUUCUAACUUCAUUUAUAUUUUCCAACUCAAUGGUCAUUCAAUCAUUUUCAAACUAUCAUCUCUCAAUCUAUAACACUAUUUCAUGUGCAAUGUAUAGAACCAAUUCUGGUCCAAUACAGCAUUCACUGUAACACUGUGAUCAACACACAAUUCUCAUAAACUUCUCUUUAUAAACACCAUGAAACAUCAAAAUACAAAAGGAAAGAAAUAGAAAAAAAAUAGAGGUAGCACCCAAGCAUACCCCGACUCUAAGACUCACAAGUCUGGCCCGGAGGUCAUCUUUCUCAACCCACUUAUCCUACUCAACUGACAUGGCAGUUAACAGAUUCCAAAAGGUACGUAUUUUGGCCUAUUAAUCGCUUUUUCCGCUAACUACCAAUUCCUACCAAUACCAAUUAGUAACCAUCCAACCAAUUCCAGAUUUUACCAACAAAGAAUUGGUACGGGGUUUCGAAGACCAAUUACCAAUUCUACAUAGUCCCACUCCUAGCUGUGCAGCGUUGUCGUGUUUAGUUUUGGCUCGUGAAGAUUUAUCAAACGAAGUAGAAGGUAGGAUACUAAGAACAAAGUCCACAGAGGAAAUUUGCAAAUUUUUACAUGAAGAAGUUAUUUGUCACUAUGGAUGUGUGGAAAAGAUCUUUGUAGAUCGAGGAGAAUUGGAUGCAUGUAAAGCUCGUGAUUUUUUUAAGAGAUGUAGGAUCAAAUUAUCAUUAACUACUGCUUAUAAUCCAGAGGGAAAUGCAAAGAGUGAACAUGAGUAUCUAUCAAUUGUAAAAGCCUUAAUUUAAGCUUGUAAUGGAAGAGUGAGAGAAUGGCCUCAACUUCUACCUUAUGCAUUAUGGGCUGAUCAAACAACACAUAGUUUGGUCACAAGAUAUAUGCCAAUGGAACUUAUGACAGGUCAAAAACCAAUUAUGCCAAUUGAAAAAAAUGUCCCAACUUGAAGUUUGCUACCAUGAGAAGAUGGAUUGAUAAGAGAGGAAUUGUUAGCUAUUAGAAUCUCACAACUUGAAUAAAGAUCGGAAGAUAUGGAACUAGCAUUAAAAAAAUUACAAAAGGCAAGGUUAGGAAAUAAGACUCAAUUUGAUAAGCAACAUGGAUUGAAACCUAGUGUCACAGACAUAUGGAUGUAAGCUAGUAAUUACAUAUAUAAAUAAGUAGAAGUAAGUAAAAGUAGAUAAAAGUAAGUUAAUUCUAUAAUAUUUGCUAUUGAAGCUUCCUAGAAGCCUCAUAGAUACUACUUUGUCUGUAUAGGUGUCUUUAAUUGAAUUUUUGGAUUAGAAACAUGGUCAACAAGUUGGCCAUGUACUACACAUGUUGUUAGCUUGAAGACCAAGCUAACUAUGUAGCCCACACAUAAAAAACCUUCCCUUGAAAGUCAAAACAUGUGUCCUACAAAGUCAAUACAUAUUGGAGGUCCUAUAGAAUAUCACCACGUAGCUCUUAGUUAGAUAGUAUAUAUAGAGAUAAGAGUGAAGCCCUCUUCACUCUUGUCAACUCCUUUUUUGCUUCCAGUCUAGUUUCAAGGAUCUCUAGCUAUCUUGGCUUUUGGCAAUAGCCAUUCCAGUUUCUUUCUUAAUAUAUAUAUCAAGUUAUUUCUAUUUUUCAUCUUUCUUUGAGAGAAGUCUCACUUGUUUAUUUAUUUUUAUUAUGUUCUUGCCUUUGACAGAUUGCCAAGAGUACAUCUAUAAUAUCAGAGCUUUGUCUAAAUUUGAUUAAGAGUGAAUUAUUCUUUUCUCUUGAUAAGACAUAAGCAUAUUAGAAGUUGUGGAUUACCCUCUUCUGAACUGAUAUUGUCCUUAGUAUUUUCUUUGUUCUCAAACCCUCUCUUCUAUUUGUCUUAAGCGAUAUUAGACAUCUUCUCUUUUCUGAGUGUUUUCAUGGCAAAACUUCUUGAAAUAAAGAAUGCAAUGGCACAAAUGUAAGAAUAAUUGAGGGAGCUAAUGCUUGCAAUGAAUCAACUCAAUUUACUACCACAAGGAGCAACAAGAUUGACAAGAUGUGAAGAUAUAGAAAUGAUUGGAGCUGCUUCAAUAUUUGUAUCAAAUCAUGUCUUUUUUCCUAUCGUGGAACAUCCUUCCAGUAUUAUACAACCAAACAUUGCCCUACUUAAGAAGUUUGAGAGGCAUUAAAUUAAAGUUUAGAUGAUUUAUCAAUCAAGAACAUCUUGUGAUUGAACUUCAACUUCAAAGCUAUCCAACUCCAGGAUCGCAAGUUAGAUUCAUUAGUACACUUCUUUCAAAUUCAGCAUUAUCAUGAUUUUCAUCUUUUCUUGAAUGACGAGAUUCAAUAUUUGUUAAUCUAGAGGUAUUUUUGGCAGAGUUUUGAUCCAUGUAUGGAAAAUAUGAUGCAAUUCAUAUUGCAACCAACAAGAUCCAUAUUUUGCGACAUGGUAAUUGAUUAGUAAUGUUGUAUGCUUCACAGUUUUGACAACUUGCAACUAAUAUCAAGUGGAAUGAUGCUGUACUUGUUAGCUAAUUUCUCUACGGAUUGUAAUAUGAGGUAAAAAAAUUAAUGCUCAACUUACUUGAUCCUCAAACAUUCAGUCAAGCAAUUGACUUUGUUGUGAAGUGCGACAAUUAUCUUUUUAAAUUUUGAUCUGAUAACCAUACAAGUAGACGUCAACAUUACUAUAAUUCAAUGGCAACACCAACAUCUCUUCAACACAUACAUUUGGAAGUAGAAGAUAUGCAAAUAGAUGCGGUAUGUUUCAAACCUCUUACAAAGCAAUAAAAGACUCAUUGUCGUCAAAAAGAAUUGUACUUAUAUUAUGGAGAACCUAAGCACAUUGCUCAACAUUAUCCAAAGAAGCAAUGCAACCAUAAAAUGAGGAUCUAAACAUUACAAAGGCUCUAGCUUGCUAGAUUCAGGAGCCUCAACAUGUUUUUUAGAUAAAAAAUUUACUAAAAGAUAUAGCAUAUUUUUAGUAAAGAAAAUUAAACCUAUUCAUAUAAAAGUCAUAGAUGGUCGUCUAUUGUCUUCAAGAGAUGUUAUUCAUGAAAUCCUUCCUAUAGAAAUAGUAACUAAUGGUCAUAGUAGCUUUGUAAUAUUUAAUAUCAUUAGAUCUCUUUUUAAUCUAGUCAUUUUAGGUUUAUCAUGGCCAAAAAAAUAUAACCCUAAAAUAAAUUGGACUUCUUGUAGUCUUGAUUUUUUUGAAAGUAUAAUUAAGAGCAUAAUUAAUCAAGUAGAAAGUCAUAAGUCUAGUAUAAUUAAACCUAUAUUUGUAGGUGCAAGAACUUUCUUGUAUGCUGCAAAAGAAGGAUCACCUUGUGUCAUUUAUGCCACACUUGUUUCUAUUGGUGGAAAGACUUUAAGUGGCAUUCCAAGCCAAUAUCAAGAUUUUAAAGAUAUAUUUGAGAAGAAGAAUGCAGAUACUCUUCCGAAACAUUGUUCCUAUGACUGCUCAAUUGACCUUCAAGAAAGAGCACAAUCGCCAUUUGGACCAAUCUACAAUUUAUCUCAAAAUGAGUUGGUUGAACUCAAGGAGUAUAUAUUGGAGAAAAUUUGGCUAAAAACUUCAUAUGCCAUUCCAAAUCUCUAACAGGAGUUCCAAUUUUAUUUGUGAAGAAAAAAGACGGAUCAUUGCGGAUAUAUGUCGAUUAUCAAGGACUCAAUAAAAUUACUAUCAAAAACAAGUACUCGCUAUCUUUGAUAUCUGGACUCUUUGAUCAGUUGAAUCAAGCUAAGAUCUAUAUAAAAAUAGAUCUACGAGGAGCAUAUAAUCUGGUACGCAUCAAAGAAGGAGAUGAAUAAAAGACUACGUUUCAAACAAGGUAUGGAUAUUUUGAAUACAAUGUCAUGCCUUUUGGACUUAUAAAUGCACCAAGAGCAUUCUAACAUCUAAUUAAUGAUGUCUUUUGAUAAUUUUUAGAUGAUUUUAUUAUCUAUUAUCUAGACAUCUUAAUCUAUUUUAAAAACAUAGAAGAAUAUAAACUUUAUGUUCGUCAUGUAUUAUAAAAACUAAGAGAUGUGGGACUCUAUGCCAAGAUAGAAAAAUAUAUAUUUCACACUACUCAAGUCGAUUUCUUAGGAUACAUCAUUUCAAAUGAUGGACUUAUGAUGGAUCUUAAGAAUGUUCAAACUAUUAUGGAUUAGAAGAUCCCAAAAACGGUAAGAGAUUUUAAAGCUUUUUAGAAUUGGCCAACUACUAUCGGAUCUUCAUCAAAGACUUCUCUCAAGUUGCAGCUCCACUUACAUGUUUGACUUGUAAAGAUAAACUUCAAUGGAAUCAAGAAGUAAAAGUAGCAUUUGAAGCUUUGAAAACAACCUUUGUUUCAUCACCAAUCUUAUAUGGCGUCAAUAUUUCUAAGCCAUUUUUGAAGGAAACAGAUGCAUCAGAUUUUGCUUUGGAUGCAAUAUUGUCACAAAUGGGUACAAUUGAUAAUCUUCAUCAAGUAGCAUUUCAUUCCAAAAAAAUUUCAGCAAUCGAGAUCAAUUACGAGAUCCAUGAUAAAAAAACUUCUUGCAAUCGUGGAUUUGUUUCAAGAAUGGCACCAUUAUCUAGAAGGUACUUUUAGUCCAAUCAUAGUAUAUACGGAUUACAAGAACCUUGAAUAUUUUAUGUCAGCACGUGUUUUGAAUCAUCGCUAAGCUCAUUGGAGUAUGUCUUUAUCAAGAUUCAAAUUCAAGAUUACUUAUCAACAAGAAAAACAACAAGGUUUGUCAGAUGCACUCUCUAGACGAUCUUACCUAGCACCAAAGGAAGUAAAUACUGCUUUUGAUCAACAACAGAUAAUUCUCUUGAAGCCAAAGUAUCUUCAUCUUUGAGCAAUGAAAUCAACACUAACUGUUGAUUCAACUUUCUUUAAGUAAGUUCAGUGAAGUAUGUCUUUUGAUCCUCUUAUUUGUGAUAUUAAGAAAAAUCCUUUAAAGUCUCAUAAUACUUCUAAGUUUGAAUUCAAGAACAAUUUACUAUAUUUUGAUGGACGCCUGUAUAUUCGAGAAGGUGAAGCUCGAUUAUGUAUUUUUCAAGCUUGUCAAGACUUUCCAACAACAUGAUAUUUUGGGUACAAUAAAACUUUGGAACUAAUGCUCAGAGACUUUUGGUGGCACCAAAUGUGGAAAGCAGUGAAAGAUUUUAUACAAUCUUAUAAUGUUUGCUCAAGAUCAAAAACUCCUCAUCAUCAACUUUAUGGACUUCUUCAGCCAUUAUCCAUUUCAGAACAAACAUGGUCUUUUGUUUCUUUAGAUUUCAUCACGGAUCUUACAAUCUCAAGUUCUUAUGACUCUAAAUUUGUGAUAGUGGAUCGUUUUACCAAGAUGGAAUAUUUUGUACUGUGUACAAAAUCUAUCAUAGGUAAAGAAACACCUAAGCUCUUUCUUGACAAUAUCUAUCAUUAUUAUGGAUUAUCCAAGGAUAUUAUAUUAAAUAAUAGAACUCAAUUUUUUAUGAAGAUUUUGGUAGACUCUUUUCAAGAUUCUAAAAGUGGAUAUAAAACUAACUUCGGCAUUCCAUCGUCAAAUUGAUGGACAAACAGAGUAUGUUAAUCAAGUUUUGGAGCAGUAUUUAAGAUUUACCAUCAACUAUCAACAAGAUGAUUGGACAACUCUUUUACCAUUGGCAAAGUUUGCUUAUAAUAAUACAGUAUAUUCUUCUACAAAACAAACACCUUUCUUUGCCAAUUAUGAUUAUUAUCCACAACUUGAUACUUUUGAUUUUUUAAAAGUUGAUAAUCCUACAAGAAAAGAUUUGGCAAUUCAUUUGUCAAAGCUACAUGCAACGAUGAAGGCGUAAUUAAAAAAAGCUCAAGAAUAACAAAAGAUCAAUGCGGAUGUUUAUCGAAAAGAACAACUACCAUUCUACAUGGAUGAUAAGAUAUGGUUACUUUGUCACAAUAUCAAGACCACUUGUCCUUGUGAUAAGUUGGACUAUGAAAGGCUUGAACCAUUUUUUAUUUCUUCACAAAUCAAUCUAAUUGCAUAUCGUUUACACCUAUCGAAGUCAAUGAAAAUCCAUCCAAUAUUACACAUAUCUCUUCUUGAACCAUAUAAGAUAGUGGACAUACCAAAAAGAAGACAAAUUCUACCUCUUCCUAUAGAAGUAGACAAUAAUGAAGUGUUUGAAGUGAAAAAAGUCUUAGAUUCAAGGCAGCGCAAAAAAAAUUUACAAUAUCUUGUUGAUUAGCAUAGAUAUGAUAUUAAUCAACGCACAUAGGAGCCAGUAAAGAAUCUUACAAAUGUAGCAAAGGCGAUGGAGGCUUUUCAUUGACGACAUCCAUCAAAAUCAAGAUGAAAAUCUUCUUUAUAAAAGAAACAAGAUCUAGGUAAGAUAACAUUCUACUUUCAAUCCUUAUUUGUAGCUUUUUUGUAGUUGUGAUGCCAAGGAGAUGGAGAACCAACAACCAGUGGAUUUGACUCAAGAGCCUUUAUUUGUUGACUUGUCAAAUGAAACAUUAUAAUUAUCACAACCUACAAGACGUUGCAAUUCAAGAUGAAGAUCUUCAAGAACAACAUGUUCUUCCUCGAAUAGAUGGUAUAAUAAAAUGUUAUUGUGUUGUGAUUCGACUAUUGUAUAAAAAUAAUUUAAUUAUGUAUUUAAUAUAUAAUUUAUUAAGUAACAUGGUGAGAGCUAUGUUAUUAGAUUUUAGUUGGUUGUAGAAUAUAAUUUGAUUAUUACUUUGAGUAGAGGUUGUUUAAAAAGAUUACUAUAGAAUUUGUAUAACUUUAAUUUCUUUUUGAUAGUGGCUUUUAAGAUUGGUUUUGGUUGAUAGUAACUUCUAAAUAUUUAGAGUCACCUUUGUUAGACAUUGGUGACCUUUGAAAACUUAUUUUGGUUCUUUUAUUUGGUGUUUAGAGCAUAAAUUAUGUAAAUCUUAUAAGAAAAAGGAUUGAAGAAGGAUUUUGGUAGCAAAAGGAAUUAUUAGGGCACCAAUAUAGAUGAAUGGAGAGGAAUGAUGAAAAUCUCCAUUCCUAUUGGUCAAAAAUCAUGACCAAUGGGCUUUGAGGAUGCUGCCCGAAGCCAUAUUAGGGAUUAGGGUUAGAUUCUUGGAGCCAUUUGAGCUUUGAAGGUUAAGAUCAACAAGUUUAGGUUUUUGGCUAUGGUUUUGGUACAAGUUUUGCAUGGUUUGGAGUUUGUAUGAAGGAGAUAUAGGCGCUCAAAGUUAAGGUAUUGAUUUGAGAGCUACUAUCACUCUUUUUGGCAUGAUGCAUGCAUACGUAAGGCAAUUGAGGAUCGGCGACCGCAAUUAGAGAGAACACUUUUACAGCUACACUUUUUGUAUACUGCUUAUUAGAUUCCAAGUUGAAUUGAAGGAGUUAUUGGAUUUUGAAGUCAGCACAUGCAAUCUAAGGGUAGUAAGUGACUCGAUUUACCAGUGGUUGUGUCUUGAGCUAUAUCUUGAGCAAUUUAACAAGGUUUUGGCUCAAAAUUUCAGGAAAUGUAUAAUUUUAUGUUAAUAAACGUUUUACAUAAGUUUUAUUAUAUUUGAAUAUCUAAUUCUUGAGAUAUUAAGAAAAUAGUGCUCAGGUGCUUGUAAAUUAGGGUUUAGAGCGUCUUCUAGGAUUUCUUAGAUUUCAAAAGUUUGAGAGUGAAAUUAUGAUUGGUUUUUUUUUUUGUGAUAAAAUUCAACAUUGAAUUCUACCUAUCCUAUAAAUUUGAAACAAACUAAAUAGGUAGAUCAAGUAUUAUGAAUUUUUAAAGUUUGAGACAAAAAAAUCCUUUGCGGAAAUAAUAUGUUUUGAAAGAAUUUUGUUAUAUUUUAAAUUUUAUGUAAAAUAAAGGUAUUUUAGGAAGCUAAGUCAAGAUUCAUAUAAAGGUUUAAGCUACAAUCUCUAUAAUUAGAUAUUCAAUGUAUUCCAAGAUAGUAAAACAUGCCAUACGACAACAUGUUUGAUAUCACAACCUUGGAAAGGAUUCCCAAUGUUUGGUGAUUUUACUAGAGGUAGAAACAACUCUUGAUGGUGUUCCAAAUAUUUUAUUUGAAGGAAGUUAUGAAGGCCUCAACAAGGAUCAAAUAACUGGGUGGUCUUCUUGCCUUGGUAAGGGCCACUAUUGAUGGUUGAGAGGUCCUAUCAAUCAUCUUCAAAGAGAACAAAGAUCAGAGUAUGUCGCAAAUAUAAUUUGUUGCAUCAUAGAUUUUCUCAACAUAUGAUGACUGCUGUCGUAUUGUAAAUACUUACAAUAUAUAAAAUUAGUUAAAACAUAUUAUAUGUUAAUAAAUCUAGAUGUGUGUUAGAAUCGCUAGUAGAUUUAAUUAAAAGAAAUUGGUAUAAGAAACUUUACUUUGUUUUAAUUUUGAUAUUAAAUAUAUAUAUAUAUAUAUAUAUAUAUAUAUAUAUAUAUAUAUAUAUAUAUAGGAUCUAAAUAUUUAGUAUAAAGCUUAAGAGAAGGUUGGGACCUAAAGAAAAAAAUCUUAACUAAUAGGAGGCUUAUUGGAAGGGAUGAAAGCAAGGCAUGGUUGGAUGAAGGCAAGGAAUAGAAAACUUCAUUCUUAUUGGUCGAAGGCCAUGCCCAAUGGGCUUCAAGGAGGGUGCCUGAGGCCUUAUUAGAGAUUAGGGUUCUUCUUUCGAAGGCAUUCGGAGAUUAUAAGCUAGGAUUAUAAAAUUUAGAGUUUGGGGUACAAUUUGUGUGCAAAAAUUAGAAGAUUUGGAGUUACGGUAAAAAAAUUAUAGCCGUUUGAAGUUAAGGUAUUAAUUUAAGAUAUACUGUUACUCUUUUGAGGAUACAAGAAGUUUUACAAUAGCUUUUAAAGAUUGGAUGGUGCGACUAGAACGGUGAUUUUAGAGGAUUUUAUCAUAUUUUGGAUGUUGUUGGUUACUUGAGGCUUAUGUAUUUGGUGUAAUUGCUCAAAAAAAGAAAAUUUAUAUAUAAACUUAGGGCUUUCCUUAAUAUCAAGCUUGAUUGAAUAAUUAGUGACAGUCAGAAGUCCAGCGUUUUCUUGAGGCAAAUUCUUUCUACCCCGACAUCGCUCCCUGUAGAAUUCAUCUCUAAAAAGGAGAAUAAUGUCAUAGAUAUAUGCAUGUAAUCCAGUAAUUUUAUGUAUAAAUAAAUAGAAGUAAAAGUAGGUAAAAAUAAGUUAAUUUUAUAUAAUUUAAUAUGGAAGAUUCUUAGAAGCUUUAUAGAUAUUAUUUUGAUUCUAUAGAUGUCUUUAAUUGACUUUUUGAAUUAGAAACAUGGUCAAAAAGUUGGCCAUGUACAACACAUGUUAUUAGCUUGAAGACCAAGCUAACUAUGUGGCUUACAUGUAGAAAAUCUUCUCUUGUAAGUCAAGGCAUGUAUUCUACAAAGCCAACACAUAUUGGAGGUCCUUUAGAACAUCGCCAUGUAACUCCUACUUAAAUAGUAUAUAUAGAGACAAGAGUAAAGCCCUCUUCACUCUUGUCAACUUCUUUCUUGCUUCUAGUCUAAUUUCAAGGGUCUCUAAUUUUCUUGUCUUUUAGCAAUAGCCAUUCCAAUUUCUUUCUCAAUAUAUGUAUUGAGUUAUUUCUAUUUUUUCAUCUCUUUUUGAGAGAAGUCUCACUUUUUUAUUUAUUUUUAUCAAAUUCUUGUUCUUGACACCAAUAAAAAAAAUUUAUUAAAGAUUAGAGAAUUUACUUGAAAAAAUAAAAAAUGCCUUCCUAUCUAUGGGCUCAAAUAGUGCCUUCAUUUCAUUUGAGGAGUGGAUUUGGAGCUAAAGAGAGUAGAACAAAAGAUAAAAAAAAGAAGGAUUGAAAGAAGCCUAAAGACAAAGGCCUUCCUACAAGCUUCAAUCAAAUAUUAAAAGCUUUAUUAAUAUGAAGGAAAUUUUGGAAAAAAAGAUUCUUGAUGCAAUAAUUAAGUUCAUCUUAAGAAAAUUACUUGAUAUAGCAAGAAAAGACUUCUAUGAGCUUAUCAUUAAUGUCAUUAAGAGAAAGAUACAAGUAAUAGCAGAAGUAAUUAUGGUAAAGGCUUUUGACUCCUAUUUGUUUUAGGAAGAAGAUUAAGAAAUAGAGCAAGUCUUUUCUUAACUUUGUAUAUCUAAAUUAGAAGAAAUUCUACUUAAAAAAAAGAAGGAGGUAACUACUCAAAGCUAUAGUAGAGGCAAAGAUCAAGAAAGAGCAAAAAAUUAUAAAGAAGUGAGGCAUGAGAUAGACAUAAGUUAGAUAAAUAUGUCUAAUUAUACUUUUUAUAAGAAGUUUGAGGGUGAUAGGAUGAAUAUUUAAUUUACAUAACUUUUUUAGACUAGGGCUAUUAUAGAGGCUCAAAUGAAGUUUAGAGAUUUUAAGGAAUUCAUCUUGGUACUUGUUGAUUAUAGAUCAAAGAUCAAUAUCAUAUCAAGAAGAAUUUAUGAAAUAUACAAGUGGUCCAUUGAUGUUCACAAUAGAUAGGUAUUAAGAGUCAUCAAUAAUGAACAAUGUGAUUUAUAUAGAUAUGUAUGGAAAUUAAGACGAAGAUUGGAGAUGUGGAGGUAGAAUACAACUUUUUAGUACAAAACUUUGUUACUUACAUAGUAAUUUUAGAAAAAUCUUAUAUCUUGGAUAUGAAGAUGGAAACCAAGAUUUUGGAUUAUGACUCUUGUUAUGUAAGGCUUAGAAACUCUGAUAGAAAAAAAUUAGUAUAAAUUUUUAUGAUGAAAGUAGAACAUGAAAAAAAUAGAGACGAAUUGAAAAAAAUAUCUUUGAGGACUAAUGAAGAAUUUUUGGAUUUUUAAAGAGUACUCAUAUAAUAUGGAGGUACAAGGAUGCAAAUAACUCUUCUAUCUAUAUACUUUCUAAUGUAGAUAGUUUUAAGUAUGGCUUUUUGGACUUAAAAAUGUUAAAAGUUUUGGAUUUUUAAAGCGAUUGGAAAUUUGGAUCAUAUAUAUAAAGAUUAUAUGAAAUUUUAAAAAAAAGAUUGGAUGUGAUUUUAAGUAGUGAGUUGAAAUAAGACUGAUCUAUCUCAAGUAUUCAAGACUCUUUUCAUCUAUAACAUCAUAAAAUCUCAUAACAAGGUAGGACAAAUUGGAUUAGAACAAAAUCGAAUAAAAGUAAAUAGAAUGAGAUAUAUAUGACAAAACUGAGUAAUCAAAAUUAAAACAAAAUAGAAUAAAAUAAAAAGAUAUAAAAUCCAAUUAUAUUAAAAAAAAAGGUCUGAAGCCAUAUGUGACUAGAUGCCCCAAAAGGCCUUGGUUAGUCUUAUUUACACUUUAUUCUAUUAUUAUAGAUUUUCUAAAAUAUUCCUAGAUGUUGGACUUUACUUAGAUAACUACUUUAAACUCCUUCUAGAAGGUUCUAUGAUAGACCUUACCUAAUUAACUAUCCAAAAUCUUUUUUAGAAGAUUCUAUAGUAGGCCUUAACUAAAAAAUUGUCCUAAACUCUUUCUAAAAUGUUCCACAAUGGAUCCUAUCUAGUCCACUAACCUAACCUUAAUUCUAAAAACUUCCAUAACUUUUCAAACAUAGUUCUCACUAUCUAUUUCUAUGUGCCAAUAAUACAAAUAUCUCAUCUAUAUCCUAUUAUAGUUAAUCUUCCUCCACUAAUAUAGAAUGUCCUUGUUUUGCUUUCAAUGGUAUCUCCAAAUUGUCUCUUGACAAUAGGUGAAGUUUUGUGCAGGUUCUUAGCUUGCAUCAAAGAUAGAAUAACCUUUCUAAAGAACUUUGUAUUCAAGUUGUGGACAUCCACUGGAAUGGUAAAAGUAGCAAUAGUCCAAAAUGUUGUUCAAUUUAUAUUCUUAUUGAUUAUUAAUUAUAAUUGGUGGUGGUGGUGGUGGUUAGUUUUAAUCUAAAAAGUGCUUUGACUUGGUAUAAAAUUCUUUCAAUUGUAAAACAUGGAAGACUAGAUAGAUCCAAAUAUGUAGCAAAAGCUUGAUGUGGUAUGCAACAUAAAAAAUCACUACAAAAAUGUAAAGAGAUCCAAGCUACUAAGGUCAUAGUUUAUAAAUUUGGAUUGAUGUAGCAAGUGGCAAGUUGGUAUUGGAAAAUAAUACCUAAUCACCAUCUCAAAAGAUCUUGUAUUACCAAUAAUUAUCCGUAUACUUCUUUUGUCAAUUCUAUAUAAUAAAGAGGUAAUAUCAUGCUUUUUAUAAGGCUGUUAUAAGAUAUUGUAUAAAUUCUUCUAUUAUCUGAUUGUUGAUGUUGAUGGAAAAGUGAAAAAUUAUUGGCAUAAUCAAAUAUUGAUCGAUAUUAAGGGAAAAUAAUGAAUGACCAAUACUUGCUUAAAUACUAUCAUUGUAAGCAAACUCCAAGGGCAUCAAGUACUCCUCUCAAUUAUAACCACCAUUGUACAUUAUGAUCCAAAAUUGUCCAAAAUCAUUUUCUUGAGAUCUGUUCUAGAAUCUUCUCUUGUCCCAAAUGUCCAGAUAUUGAGAUGUCAUGUCCCUCUUAAAAUAUGUACGUCUAAAGUAUAAUAUUAUUGGAUACAUAAAUCCACUUCUUGAAAUAGAACAAGCUAUUAUUAAGACUAUAAUCUUGAUAUUUUAUAUUACCUACCUUCAGUCAAUCACUAACCAUCUUGAAAUAAGCAUCUUGAUACAUAGCUUUCUUCUAUUUUGCUUCUUUAGUUAGAUUUGAAAUGAUACUAUUAAUGGUAGUAACUUCUAUCUUAUUUUUUAAUUUAUUCUUUAAAUUUGGCACAAUAUGUUGUUGUCCUUACUUAUACUCAAGCUGAAUAUCAAAAAACUAAAAUUAUUCUUUCCAACGAUGAUGUCACGUUUUAUAUUUUUCAAAUGCAAAUUGUAUAGUAAGUGUUAAUGGUCAGUCCGAACGACUACUAGUCUCCUCAACAAAUGAUGUCGCCACAUUUUUGUAGCAUGUACAAUCGCUAAUUGUUCUAGAUCAUAUGUAGAAUAAUUAUGCUUUUUCCUUUUGAUCUUGCAUGAUUUAUAUGCCAUAGGUUGAAGGCCCCUACUAAAGCUUUGUUAAAAGACUGCUCCAAUAGCAAAGUCAAAAGCUUUAAUGUCAAAUGUACAAGGAAGAUUGAGAUCAUACGAUUGUAAUAUUAGAACAAUAAUAAGUGUCUCCUUUAACUUAUCAAAGGCACUUUGUUACUCCAAUUUUCAUUCAAAUGAGGCAUCUUUCUCUAAUAAUUUUUUCAAUGAGACAACGAUGUAUAUAAAUCACCAAACUAAACAGUAAUAAUAUCGAGCAAGGCCUAAAAAUAACUAGACUUCAAAAGCAUCUUUGAGGGUUGGCCAAUCUUCUAUUGCUUUCACCUUAUCUUGCUCCAUAUGCAUGCCUUUGGAGUACACCACAUGCUCCAAAAAGGUGAAUUCAACUUCUAAAGUUUAUAUUUUGAUUUCUUGCAAUAAAAUUACUAUCUUAUAACCGACGUAGUACUUUUCAAAGGUAUUAUUUAUCCUCUUCAAAGAUUUUAUUAUAUAUGAAGAUAUCAUUAAUGAAGACAACUACAUACUUAUCUAAAAGGUUCUAAAAUAAUCUAUUUAUGUCAUCUAUGAAUAAGGUUGAAACAUUGGUAAUGCCAAAAGGUAAAAUCAGCCAUUCAAAAUAUCCAUAGCAUGUAUGAAAUACCAUCUUUUUUACAUUCUUUCUUGUAAUAGGUGUCUACUAAUAGCUGCUCGAAAGAUCCAAUUUACUAAAGGUCAUUACACCUCAAAGUUGGUUAAAAAGAUCAUCUACAUGUAAAAGUGGAUAUAUAUUUUUAACAAUCUAUUUAUUGACAUCUCGAUAAUUGAUGCAAAGGUAAAGUCCACAAGUCUUUUUAGAUGCAAAGAGUAUAAGUGCUCUCUAUAGUGAUGUACUUUUUUGAAUGAAGCCUUUUUCUAAGAGUUCGUCCAAUGUCUUUUACAGCUCUUUAAAUUCUUAUGGUGCUAGGCAAUAAAUUGGUCAACUUGUUGGCUUGGCUCCAAGCAAUAGUUCUAUUUGAAAGGAGGCACCCCAAUUAGGAGGCAUAAUAUUAAGUAGGACAAUUGAGAAGAUAUUUUAAUAUUUAAAUAUGAAUUAAUCUACCUAUUCUAUUCUUUUGGCUGUCUUUUCUACCACUAAUGCAAGAUUUGGAACAACCAUAUAUAUCAAUUGCUUAUGCUGUAUUUGCUUCUUUGUAAAAGUCGUUCCUAUGAAUAAGUCUUUGAUUACAGAUUGUCUUUUCUCUUUAUUUGAUGUGGAGGUGCAAAGAAUUACUUUGUGUCCACCAUCUUUAAAAGAGAUUAUCCUUCUUACCAAAUCAACUUACUUAUUUUUCAUCUCUAGCCAUGGCAUAUGAACAAUAAUAUUAUAUCCUAGCUUUCUUACUUUAAAAUUCUCUCUUAAGAUGAAAGUGUCAAUCAACUUCAAGAUUUCUUUUUCAUAUGUCUCACUCAAUGCAUUCUCUUAAUUAUUUGUAAGGUAUAUACUUCUUCUCCUAAUUGCCUUAGUUUUAAUUCUAAAUUGGUCAACAAUUUUAGUUGAGAUGAAUUUUUUUGUAAAGCCACAAUUUACAAAGACUCAACAUGGUCGUCUUCUUAGUUGUCUUGUUAGAUGCACCAGUCGACUCUUUUUAUAGUUAUCCAAGGCCAUACCAUUUGUCUCUAAAAGAUAGUAGCUAUCUUACAUAUUGGCCCUCUGUGCCUUAAUUAGAAAGUUCCAUUUUUUUACUCUAUUUCAUUAUCAACUUGAUGACUUUCAAGACUAUGAAUCCACCUUAUUUUUUUGGUACUUGAAUUUUGACAUUUUGGACAACUUUCAAUCUGAUGGCUUGACUUUUGACAAUAGAAAUACAAUCCUAUUUACACCAAUAUUUGUUAUCUUUGUAGUAUCAAUAAUCCUUGUAAGUGUCAAGGACAUAUACUAGGAAGUUGUAGAAGAUUCUAUAAGAUUCGUAGAAGCUUUGUAGUUUGUAGAAGCUGCUUUAGAAGCUUCAUAGCUUGUAGAAGCUGCUUGAAAAGCUUCCUAACUUCUAGAAGCUGCUUGAGAAGCUUCCUAGUUUGUAAAAGCUACUUGAGAAGUUUCUUAGCUGAUAGUAUAUAUAGGAGCUGGGACUGAGGAGAUCCUUAGUCUCAACAACACACCUCUUGGAGUUCUAACUCACCUCUCUAGUGUUCUUAUACUCAUCUCAUUAAUUUAGUUCUUGUAGAUUCUUCUUGAGCUUCUUGUUUAGAUUUCUAAUCAAUAUUCUAAAUUCGUGAUAAUUUGUCGACACUACACUCAUCUUUCAUAUCAAAGCUAGUUCUUUCUUUUUAGAGUGUGGAUUAUCCCUCUACUUGAAGGUAUUGACAUUUUAGAGGUUAUGGAUUACCCUCCUUUAAACUGAUAUUUCUUCUAUUAUAAUAUUGGAAUCUUAUCUUUCUUGGAAAGAGUGGAUUACCCCUCUUCUUGAAGGUUUUAAGACGUUUUAGAGGUUAUGGAGUACCCUCCUCUAAACCAAUACUGCCUCCUUAUAGAGUCAUUUCUUUCCUUCUCUUAGAAUGGCCGGAAGUCAAGAUAUUAGUAUGACUGAAAGUUUGGAGUCCAAGUUUGACGCCAUUAUAAAUACUCUUGCUAUGUUAUCACAGAGAACUGCAGAGAUUGAAGGAAUCAUUGCAAGACUUCAUGAUGAUGGAGCAUCCGGGAUGGCACAAUCGAGGAUUCACUAGCCUCAAGCUUCAGUACCAAGAGAAGCAACUUUACCUCUAGUUCAACAACGACUGUUGGUCUUACAAUGAAAAGAGCCAUGAAUUAGUCUUUCACACAAGUUUGAUGUAUGUAUUCCAAGUUUCAAGGUUUUAUCAAUUAAAUUAGAUUGAUAACAGCUUUACAGCCCAAACGCUAUCCGAUAGAGGAGUCACGUGUUGGACUAGUUGGAACUUUUCUCAUGGAGCAAGUUUUAUCAUGGUUUCCUCCUUUAUUUGAGAAAAGAUCGUCAAUUUUGAAUAACUUCAAAACUUUUUUGGAGGCAUUUGCGGAAGCAUUUGGCAAACAUGACAAGGCGCAAUGGGCUACAACAAAGAUCUGAUCACUAGAAUAAAGAGCACAAUUUGUAUCAAUCUACGUAUCAAAUUUCAGACAAUUAGCAUAUGACAUCAAUUGGAACGAUGAAGCAUUGAUGAGUCAAUUUUAUUGGGACUUGAGGAAGGAUGUGAAGGAUUUAUUAUUAUUUCUUUUUGAUUGGCAAACGUUCAACGAAGCCAUUAGCAAAGCUGUGAAGUGCGAUAAUCACUUAUUUCAACGUUGCUAAGAUCAACGCUCAAGACAAUAUAUGACUCACCAUAUUCCAACUAUGUCAGCAAGCAGCCUAAAUUCACAUUCAGAGGUGAAAGACCUACAAAUUGAUGCAAUACGUGUCAAAUCUCUAAUUCUAGAAAAAAAAAGCGGCGUAUGGAAGAAGGACUAUGCUUGUAUUGUGGUGAAGAAGGCCACAGAGCUAGAAACUAUCCCAAGAAGCAAAAUCAACACAUUGUCAAGACUAGAGGCAUGUUUGUUUAGGAAAACAAAGAUGCCCAACUACAAUAGGGACCGUGUGGCUAAACAAUUCAAUAUCACAAUAACAAUCUGGUUCCUCUCUUUCUGCUUAGCCUGCCCAUUGCUUUAUCAUUCUUCUAUCUUUUGGCCCUCAGAAACUAAAAACCUUAGCGUUAUUAGAUUCAAGAGCAUUUGCUUGCUUUUUAGACAAAGAAAUUACUAAGCGUCACGAGAUUCUUCUAGUACAAAAACCUAAACCCAUUCACAUAGAAGUAAUAGAUGGACGACUUUUAUUAUCUAGUAGUGUCACCCAUGAAUAAGAACCUAUAAAGGUGCCAUUUAAAGACCAUAGUAGUUAUAUUAUUUUCAAUAUUAUUAGAACCUCGUCAAACCCUGUUAUUCUUGGUCUUUCUUGGUUAGAAAGGUUUAACCCAUCCAUAGAUUAGAAGUUACGAAAGAUGACAUUUCCUAUAGAACAUUCUGAGAAUAAGCGUCUUAGAAGAUCCUGAAUCAAAAAACCCUUAUUUAUUGGAGCAAGAGCAUUUGUAACAUCGUCCAAGGAAGGUACACCAUUUAUCAUUUAUACAACUCCAACUAGCGAAGAGAAGAUUUUGACACUAAGUAUACCAGAGCAAUAUAAAGAUUUCAAAGAUGUAUUUUAAAAGAAGAAUGUCGACAUGCUACCAGAGCAUCCACCAUACGAUUGUGCUAUAGACUUAUAAAAAGGAGUACAACCACCUUUUGGCCCAAUCUACAAUUUAUCACAGACAGAGUUAGUGGAGUUACAAAAGUACAUUGACGAGAAUCUAGCCAAGAACUUUAUUUGACAUUCAAAGUCACCAAUUGGAGCACCAAUCUUAUUUGUGAAGAAGAAAGAUGGCUCGUUGCACAUGUGUGUGGAUUAUCGAAGUCUCAACAAAGUCAUAAAGAAGAAUCGUUAUCCAUUAUUCUUGAUAUCAGGUCUUUUAGAGUAACUUGGGUGUGCAAAGAUCUUUACAAAGAUUGAUCUAAGAGGAGCUUACAACCUUGUCUGAAUCAAGGAAGGAGACAAAUGGAAGACAACUUUCUAUACAAGGUAUUCCCAUUUUGAAUAUAAUAUCAUGCCUUUUGGUUUUACCAAUGGUACGGUGGUCUUUCAACAUAUGAUAAAUGAUAUCUUUCGGGAGCACCUUGAAGAUUUAUUGUCAUCUAUCUAGAUGAUAUUUUGAUAUUUUCCAAAAACUUAGAAGAGCAUGAGAAACAUAUUCAUCUAGUCCUUGAAAAAUUCUACAAGCGAGGACUUUAUGCCAAAUUAAAAAAGUGCUUGUUUAACCAAACUGAGAUGGAAUUUUUGGGAUUCAUUGCAACUACGGAAGGUUUGAAGAUUGACCCUAAGAAAGCGGAAGUAAUUGUAUCAUGGGAAGUCCUAAAGGCGAUUAGAGAUAUACAAUGUUCUCUUGACUUUGCUAACUUCUAUCGGAUCUUCAUCAAGAAUUAUUCUCAAGUUGUUCUUCUACUCACUUGGUUGACAUGUAAAAAUAAGCUCAAAUGCGGACAUCUAGCAGAAAAAGUAUUUCAAGAUCUUAAAAUGGCAUUUAUUAUGGCUCUAAUCUGAGUACAUUCGGACUUUGCAAAGGACUUCUAUUUGGAGAUCAAUGCUUCAAAUUUUGCUAUGGGAGUUGUACUUUCAUACAUAGGUAUAGACGAGAAGCUUCAUUUGAUUGUGUUCUAUUCUCAGAAGUUUUCUACUACCAAGAUCAAUUAUGAGAUCUAUAAUAAAGAACUUCUUACAAUAGUGGAUUCUUCCAAGAGUAGCAUGACUUUCUUGAAGGAGCUACGUAUUUGGUGACUGUAUACAUGGAUCACAAGAAUUUGGAGUACUUCAUGUCGACUUAGAUUCUGAAUCGUUGUCAAGCUUGAUGGAAUAUGUUGCUAUCAAGGUUUGACUUUGUUAUUACUUAUCAGCCUGAGAAGCAACAAGGACUAUCUGAUGCAUUAUCAAGGAGAUCGUAUCUAGCGCCAAAGGCUACAGAGGCAGUAUUUGAUCAAUAGUGUAUAACAUUAUUGAAGUCAAAACAAUUCAGGCUUUGCUUUGCUAUAGUACCAAUUGAUGCUGACUUCCUCAAUCAGGUACGUACUGUGGCUAUUAAAAAUUCUGUAGCCCUUGAUAUCAUGUAACAUGUGAAUAAUGACAAAUUCAAAGUGGAAGGAGAUCUUUUAUACUUUGAAGAGCAGUUGUAUAUUCCAAAGGAACCAACACGACUUCGAGUUCUCCAAUCUUGACACAACUUUCUAGCUGUGGAACAUUUUGGAUUCAAUAAGAUCUUGAAACUUAUUUCUCGAGAUUUUUGGUGGCCUAAAAUGUGGAAGGAUGUCAAGGAUUUUGUCCUCUCUUGUGACAUUUGUUCAAGAUCCAAGAACCCAUGGCAUCAUUCUCAUGAUCUUCUUCAGCCAUUGCCUAUUCCACGUCGACUAUGGUCUUCAAUUUCUAUGGACUUUAUUAUGGACUUGCUGCCAUCGAAUUCAUUUGAUAACAUCUUUGUUGUGGUAGAUUGACUUACAAAGAUAGCACACUUUGUUCCUUGCAAGAAAACAUCGUCAAUCAAAGACACAGCAAGGAUCUUCCUUGAUAGUGUGUAUCGAUAUCAUGGUUUAUCAGAUGAUAUAGUUGUCGGGGUAGAGAGAGUUUGCCUCAAGAAAACGCUAGGCUUCUGGUUAUCACUAAUUAUUCAAUCAAGCUUGAAAAUAAGGGAAGCCCUAAGUUUAUAUAUAAUUUUUUUCUUUUGGAGCAAUUACACCAAAUACACAAUCCUCAAGUAACCCACAACUUCCAAACUAUGAUAAAAUCUUCUAAAUCCUUAUUUAUUCUUAUGUGGAGAUUUUCCCGAACUUCAACACCUCAUAUCUCUUAAUCCGACCGUCCAAACAAACACAAAUUUUACAUGAGGUACUGAUAUAUUCUUAUUAACUUCUACAAAAAUUUUCAACUGCAAAUUAAUUGCAGAUCUUGAGAUAUCUUGAAAUCCCUAACAGUCGCUUCAAACCCUUGUCUUUAUACAUCUGCGUGCAAUUUUCUUCAUAUCUCAUAAAAUAUAAGUUCAAAUGCCACGAAAUUUGUAUAUUUAGCUUCUUAAUACAGAAUUUUACAUUCUUUAAAAAGUUUGAGCCAAAAAUUCAUCCGAAAACUUAAGUUAUGGCUCCAACCAUUACUACAAACAAACCCGCUUACUUACUGCUUUUGAUUUGGAAGCGUCGCCUUCAACUCCUUACAACUCCUUCAUAUGAACUCCAAAAGCAAUAAUUCUUUCGUAAAAGAUGUAGGCCUUAAAAUCGCCGUUCCAGUCGCACCUUCCGAUCUUCAAAAGCUGCUGUAAAACUCCUCGUACUCUCAAAAGAGUAACAGUAUGUCUUAAAUAAACACCUUAACUUCAAAUGGUUAUAAAUUUUUCACCCUAACUCCAAAUCCUCUAAUUUUUGUACACAAAUUGUUCUCCAAACUCUAAACUUUACAACCCUAGCUUUUAAUCUCCGAAUGUCCUCGAAAGAGGAACCCUAAUCCCUAAUAAGGCCUCGGGAGCCUCCUUGAAGCCCAUUGGGUAUGGUAUUCGACCAACAGGGAUGAAGUUUCCCAUUCCUUGCCUUCAUCCGACCAUGCCUUACUUUCAUCCCUUUCAAUUAGCCUCCUACUAGUUUAGAUUUUCAUCCUUAGGUUUCCACCUUCUCCCAAGGCUUCAUACUAAACAUUUAAGUCCUAUAUAUAUAUAUAUAUAUAUAUAUAUAUAUUUUUUAAUGUCAAAAUCAAAAGAAGUAAAAAAACAAAGUAAAGUUUCUUAUACCAACUCCUUUUAAUUUAAUCUACUAGCCACUCUAACAUACAUCUAGAUUUAUCAACAAAUAAUAUGUUUUAACUAAUUUUUACAUACUGUAAGCAUUUACAGUAUGACAUUGUGUUGAAUCAAGGAACCCAAUUUGUAUCAAAGUUCUGGAGAUUGCUCUUUGAGGUAUUGAAGGUAGAUAUAAAGCUUUCUUUGACUUUUCAUGCUCAAACUGACAACCAAACGGAAUGGGUGAAUCAAAUUUUGGAGCAGUAUUUACGAUGCAGCAUCAACUAUCAAUAAGAUGAUUGGACUACAUAUCUAUCAUUAGCCGAAUUUACAUAUAACAACUUCCUUCAUGUGUUGACUCAAUAAACACUAUUCUUUUCCAAUACUAUGGGUAUCAUCCGAAGCUUGAUUUGUUGAGUCCGUCAACUUAUAAUAACCUGGCCGUUGAAGGAUUUGUGAAACAAUUAUCGGAGCUUCAAACUACGUUGAAGCUUCAAUUGCAAACUGCCCAAGAAGCUUACAAGGCAUCUAUAGAUAAAUUUUGGAAUUAAGCACAUACUUUUAAAAUUAGAGAUAAAAUAUGGUUGCUUUGAUGGAAUAUCAAAACCAAGCGGCCAUGUGAUAAGUUGGACUAUCGGAGAUUGGGACCAUUUAUCAUCUAAAAGCAAAUCAAUCUAGUGGCAUAUCAUCUGGGGUUACCAGCUACUAUGAAGGUACAUCCAAUCUUUGAUGUUUCUUUGUUGGAGCCUUAUCAAGAGUCGUCUUUUCGUAAAAGAGUACAAUAUCCACCACCUAGUAUUAAAAUUGAAAACCACAAGGAAUACGAGGUGGAAAAGAUACUAGAUUUGUGGUGUAAAUGGAAAAAAUUGGAAUACCUAAUGAAUUGGAGUGGCUAUGAUAUCAAUGAGUGCAUAUGGGAACUAGGGAAAAAUCUUACUAAUGCAUCGCAAAAGGUACAGGAGUUUUAUCGAUGCUAUUCUCAGAAACCUAAGUUCUUUCGAUGAAAGUUUUUUUAGUGAAGUUCCUUCUCCUUGAAGCCUCUUAAUCCUUGACCUUAUAAAGAAGGGAGAGAAGAAACCUCUAAAAGACAUAGUUAGAGACUAUAAAUCUAUAACCUGAGCCCAUUCUUCCAUAUUUAGUGCUUGUUUUUUUGGUUUGAUAUGGAUAGCUAAGAGAUAGAUACCAUACUAGUCAUGUCCUCUCAACCGAGUAUCUCACAAAGAUGACCUUGAGAUGAAAAACCGCCUACAUCAUAAAAAUGAUGGAAGAUAGCUAAUAAUAGGUCAAUAGUGAUUGUGCUUGAGGUAGAACCUGUCUAUAGUGAUCUUCUCGAAGGAGUGUUGGCAGAGCAUUUUUACAAUGAAGACGGAGAAAUUCAUGCCUACUCAUAAAUUGAGGACGUAGGACAAUAUCGUUGGUUACAAGGACCAAUGAAUUACUUGCUACGCUGUCGUAUUGUAACACGAGUAUACUGUGAAAAUAUAAAGAAAGAGGACUUUUAUUAAUGUUCAGUUACUUCGAAUAUUGGGAGCAACGACCAAUUCCAGUGCAAAUAAUGAGAGGCUAGGUUCAGUCACCUUAUUACAGUCAGCCGAGGCUUACUGAAAUGCUCCAUUCGAUUCCAAUAACGGGAGUCAGUAGGAAAGGAAAGGACCAAUUCAAACGACGGGUGAGCCUGGUUCGAAGAGCCAAUUAGAUCCAAUUUCAAGAAUCCAAUCCGGGUCCUCUUACCCAAUAUGAGACCUGAAUUGGUCGGGCAACCCAAUGCAGUCUAAUUACAGGAACAUCCAGGUCUUACUACGGGCCUCUUAUCCAAUAUGAGACCUGAAUUGCUCGGGCGACUCAAUGUUGUCCGGAUUACGGGGUUUCGAUUCUGUUUCAGGCUGUCGUGUUCUCUGUGCCAUUUCAAGGAACGUUGUUUUCGGUAAAAGGAUCUCUUAAAGGUAAAAACGGAGGAAAAAACUCUGACGACGGAGCCAAUUCUGGAUCCAAGACGGAAGGAGCCAAUUUCGGAUCUAAGACAGAAGGAGCCAAUUUCGGAUCCAAGACGGAAGGAGCCAAUUUCGGAUCUAAGACGGAAGGAGCUAAUUUCGGAUCCAAGACAGAAGAUUGAAGAAAUUCAGAGGCUAGGGUUUGAAAGAAGGGAGAAUUAGGGUUAAAGGGAGGGAAGGUUAAGAAAUGAGGGGGGGUUUUUUCAGAUCGGGGGUUUUUAGGAUCAAAGAGCUAGCUUCAAGCUCUUUUCAAGGUCACUAGUUUGGUUUCAUUAGGGUUUGUGAGGGGAGAGCAAUCGCUGCUCAAAGUCAGUGUUUAUUUUGGUAUUUCGGAUUUUAUAUAAAACAUUGAUGGUUUCCAUUUUCAAUCGAUUUGUGCAAGUCGUGUAGCAUCUAUGGAUCAAAAUUUGAUAUUGUCUGGAUAGUUGGGUGUGCUAAGUGUAUACAAAAAUUUGUGUUAAUCUAACGAUGCAAUCAAGUGAUAUCUGGGUUUUAGUACAAAGGGUUGUCGGAAGUUGGCAGUCUAAGGUUGGAUAGGGUUUCUGUGAUAUCUGAAGAUCUACUAGUUGGAUCGACGUAAUUUUUGGUUUGGUAAUAGAAGAUUUGGAGAUCAAGCGGCUAUUCAAUUUUGAGCUGGAGUUAACGAUUGACAAAGGAGAAAUCACUUCUAGAGUUUCUACAUCAAAAUUCAAGGUUGCGGCCGAGUGUCAUUAGUGUGGUUUUUGGGCAUUUUCUUGCAAUCUGUAAGUUAGGUUGGGCUGAAAUUUUUUGAGCAUAUAGAAGGCUUAUACUGGUAUUUGGGUGCAAAAUUUCACACUAAGUGGACGGUUGGAUCAAAAGUUACAGCUUGUCAAAGCUCACUGGCUAGGAUUAGGGCUUGUUAAGAAAAACAAAAACAACUUAAUUAUAAAAGAAAUAAAGCAAUUGGAAUAUUGUAUGGUUAAAAUGACUAUGAAGAGUGUUUUUAAAUACUUGGAAAUUGGUAUUUCGAUUAUAUUCUUCAUACAUGGAUAAAAUCUAUUAGGGUUUCUUUGUUAUUUGUAAAAACAACUAUACCUUCCACAGCUAGAUACCCAGUGUAUUCUCGAACAAGACAAUACGUAAUACGACAUAAGUGGUGAACCCGAUGUGAACGUUUGGGGUGGAAGGUAUUGGAUUUUGUAUGUGGUUAUUUGGAUUGAUGGUGCAAGAUGACAAGGUUGAUUUUAGAAUUUUUGGAAGACUUGGAGCUUUGGAGGAUAUUUUGAAAAGCAAUGGUGAUAUUUGGAUUAUUAUGGAGUAUAUUAUGGCUUUAUAGAUAUCUUGGCUCAUUUUGAGGUAUCAUAAGUUAUUUAUUGGAGCAUUUCAAGGGAUAUUUUUUUAACAUUGUGGAAGAAAAUGGAAGAUAUUUCAAUGAAGUCUUUGGAUAGGUUGAAUACUUUGGAUGGACCAAAUGUUAAAGAGUUUUUUGAGGCUUUUUGUAUAUUUAUGGAAGAACAACAAAAGAUACAAGCAAUUGAAAGGGAUAUCACAAAGGCAUUACAAGGAAUUUUCAACAAAUUUGGGAGGUUUAACGGAUGCAACAUCACUAAGUUUUUACAAGUUUAUACAUGUGAGAUGGAGACAUGCCAAAUCCCUGAGGCAAAGAUGAUUUCAAGCUUUUAUUUGGCUAUUGAACCUGGAAUUCAUAGAAAGAUGAAGAGAUUACUUGAAAGGGGUGUGGAGACAUGGUCAAAAUUUCAAGAACUUUUGAAGAAAGAAUUUAUUGAUGCAAAUGAGGAUAAGAUUACCAAGCGACAGUUUUUGGAUUGGAUAGAAUUACAACCAAGCACGCAUAUGGAUCUUUAUGAAUUCUUGAAAGAAUUUGAAAAGAGGUUUUAUCAAUUGUCAUCCUCAGAGAGACAGUCAUUGGAUGCUAUAAAAAUAGAAUUAUUUUUAAAUGGUCUUGAUGAUGCCAUGGGAGACAAACUUUUUAUACUUCUUGCAGAUGAGUCUACGGAGAGUGGUUGUACUAACAAUUGGGAAGAGUUGAAAGAAGCAACAAUUCUUUUAGCAAAGCAACAAAGAGCACAAGCUAAAGGAGUUGGAGUAUGGUCUAAGAAAUCUUCUACUUUGGCUUCUAUAUCAUCUUUAUCAAUACAAGGGAUUAAUCUUGAAAGAAAAGAAAUGGAACAGCAACUGGAGGACUUCGAAGGAGGAGCCAAUUUUUUACAAAUGAAAGAAAGUGGAUCUUUUAUCAAGGAUGGUGAAGGAAAGAACAAAGACUUUGAUCAAAUUAUUACUAUGGAAGGUCAAAAUAUCAAAAAAAUUGAAGGCAAUAUGGAACUCAAGGAUUUAGAAAUUAAUGACAAUAAGGAUGAAAAUUAUGGCUAUUCUAUAUUGAAUAUGUUUAUGCAAGUGGAUGAUGGCAAUUUAGAUGGAACAUCUCAUGGUGGUAAAAGAGAUUAUGGUGAAAGUUGCAAGAUUUUUCAAGAACAUGAGGUUUCAUAAGGCUAUGAAAUUUUUCAAUAUUAUGAAGUAAUACAACAUAUUGAGAUAACACAAGGUUAUGAUGUUUCACAAGGAUGCAUUCAAGAAGAAAUGAAGGAUGUUUUACAAGGAUACAUUCAAGAAGAAAUGAUAGAUAUUUCACAAGAUAAUGUGGCGAAAGAAGAUUACGGAAUCAAAGGUAAAGGUACUAAAUCAAUGACUUUAAUCAAGUUAAUUAUGAGUACUAAUCUUUUGGACCAAGAUCAAGGUUACAUGGAUAAUGCACAUGUAUUGGGGGCACAAUUGGAUUUUGAUAAGAAAAAGAUUCAUCAUAAAGUGUCGAAUUCAAAGGUUGAAAAUCUAAAAAUCUUCAAAUAUAAAGACAUGGGCAAUGGAUUUAAGGAUUAUAUGGACGUCUUAAAUCAAGCAUGGAAUCAAAGGAACAAGAAAAAAGAUGCAAGCAAGAUGUAUGUGGCCAUAUGGAAGAAGUUUCAAUUAAAUCUUUCCAUUUCAAAAUUUGUACCUCUCCAAUGGUUUGGUCAUGUACAAAGUUGGAUGUUUCCAAUUUACUUGUACAAGAUGGAUACAUGGAUUUUUGGUAUUGGAUAAAGAAUAAUGGUGUAUUGAAUUUGGCACAUACCGGAGGAUGUGCAGGUUCAGAGGGGGUGGAUGUCGUGUUGUAACACGAGUAUACUAUGAAAAUAUAAAGAAAGAGGACUUUUAUUAAUGUUCAGUUACUUCGAAUAUUGGGAGCAACGACCAAUUCCAGUGCAAAUACUGAGAGGCUAGGUUCAGUCACCUUAUUACAGUCAGCCGGGGCUUACUGAAAUGCUCCAUUCCAUUCCAAUAACGGGAGUCAAUAGGAAGGAAAAGGACCAAUUCACACGAUGGGUGAGCCUGGUUCGAAGAGCCAAUUAGAUCCAAUUUCAAGAAUCCAAUCCGGGUCCUCUUACCCAAUAUGAGACCUGAAUUGGUCGGGCAACCCAAUGCAGUCUAAUUACAGGAACAUCCGGGUCUUACUAUGGGCCUCUUAUCCAAUAUGAGACCUGAAUUGCUCGGGCGACUCAAUGUUGUCCGGAUUACGGGGUUUCGAUUCUGUUUCAGGCUGUCGUGUUCUCUGUGCCAUUUCAAGGAACGUUGUUUUCGAUAAAAGGAUCUCUUAAAGGUAAAAACGGAGGAAAAAACUCUGACGACGGAGCCAAUUCUGGAUCCAAGAUGGAAGGAGCUAAUUUUGGAUCUAAGAUGGAAGGAGCCAAUUCUGGAUCCAAGAUGGAAGAUUGAAGAAAUUCAGAGGCUAGGAUUUGAAAGAAGGGAGAAUUAGGGUUAAAGGGAGGGAAGGUUAAGAAAUGAGGGGGGGUUUUUUCAGAUCGGGGGUUUUUGGGAUCAAAGAGCUAGCUUCAAGCUCUUUUCAAGGUCACUAGUUUGGUUUCAUUAGGGUUUGUGAGGGGAGAGCAAUCGCUGCUCAAAGUCAGUGUUUAUUUUGGUAUUUCGGAUUUUAUAUAAAACAUUGAUGGUUUCCAUUCUCAAUCGAUUUGUACAAGUCGUGUAGCAUCUAUGGAUCAAAAUUUGAUAUUAUCUGGAUAGUUGGGUGUGCUAAGUGUAUACAAAAAUUUGUGUUAAUCUAACGAUGCAAUCAAGUGAUAUCUGGGUUUUAGUACAAAGGGUUGUCGGAAGUUGGCAGUCUAAGGUUGGAUAGGGUUUUUGUGAUAUCUGAAGAUCUACUAGUUGGAUCGACGUAAUUUUUGGUUUGGUAAUAGAAGAUUUGGAGAUCAAGCGGCUAUUCAAUUUUGAGCUGGAGUUAACGAUUGACAAAGGAGAAAUCACUUCUAGAGUUUCUACAUCAAAAUUCAAGGUUGCGGCCGAGUGUCAUUAGUGUGGUUUUUGGGCAUUUUCUUGCAAUCUGUAAGUUAGGUUGGGCUGAAAUUUUUUGAGCAUAUAGAAGGCUUAUACUGGUAUUUGGGUGCAAAAUUUCACACUAAGUGGACGAUUGGAUCAAAAGUUACAGCUUGUCAAAGCUCACUGGCUGGGAUUAGGGCUUGUUAAGAAAAACAAAAACAACUUAAUUAUAAAAGAAAUAAAGCAAUUGGAAUAUUGUAUGGUUAAAAUGACUAUGAAGAGUGUUUUUAAAUACUUGGAAAUUGGUAUUUCGAUUAUAUUCUUCAUACAUGGAUAAAAUCUAUUAGGGUUUCUUUAUUAUUUGUAAAAACAACUAUACCUUCCACACCUAGAUACCCAGUGUAUUCCCGAACAAGACAACAUGUAAUACGACAACGCGAACAAAAAUUGGAACAUAUUGUAGACUUGAUGCAACAAACUUUUAACUUCUUACGUUAGUAUUGACUCACAAUACGAGUACUUCUCAAAGACCUUGAAGCUAAAAGGAGGGAGGUGAUGUCAAGGACAUAUACUAGAAAGUCGUAGAAGUUUUUAAAAGGUUCUAGAGAAGCUUUGUAGUUUGUAGAAGCUACUUGAGAAGUUUUUAAGCUCGUGGAAGCUGCUUGGGAAGCUUCCAAGUUUGUCGAAGCUACUUGAGAAGCUUCUUAGCUUGUAGUAUAUAUAGGAGCUGAGACUGAAGGGAUUCUCAGUCUCAAAAAUACACCUCUUUUAGCUCUAGCUCACUUCUCUAGUGUUGUUCUUGUACUAAUCUAAUUAAUCUAGUUCUUGUCGAUUCUUCUUGAGCUUCUUGUUUAGAUUUCCAAUCAGUAUUCUAAAUUUGUGAUAUAUAUAUAUAUAUAUAUAUAUAUAUAUAUAUAUAUAUAUAUAUAUAUAUAUAUAUCUAUAAAAAUAUUUGACUCUCAAAAACCUCUUUACUUUACAUAAAAUGCUGAAAUUAUAACAAAAUCUUUUUAAAAUAUAAUUUUUUUCUCCGAAAAAUUUUCUUCUUUAAAUUUUAGAAUUUCAUAUUUUUUGAUCUAACAAUUAAUUUUUUUUUCAUAUUUCUAGAUAAUGUAGCCUUUAUUUCUUAAGCUUUCUUACAAAAAAAAUGAACUAUAAAUUUACUACAAAUCUUGUGGCAUCUUAGAAAUUCUAGUAAAUUCCCUAAAUCCUAAUUUAUUAGUACCUAAGUAUUUUUUUCGUCAUAUUUCAAAAAUCCAAAACUCAAAUGCAACAAAAUUUGAUAUCUAAAUUUAUAAAAUAUUAGUAUAAAUUUAUAGAAAAUUUAAGCUAAAGAUUUAUCCAAAAUAACCAAGAUAUGGAUAAAACCGAAUCUUUCAUAAAAUUGGUUUAUUUUCAAAUCUCAAUUUGGAAGUAAUAUAUUUAAGUAAUCAUGGCUCUUCUAAAUCAAUUUCAAUCUUUUUCUUUUUAUAUAUAAAAUAUAAUUUUUUAAACUAAAUUUUUAAUUUUAUAAUUCAAUCCUCAAUAAUCCUUCAUAUGCAUGUGCUAUGCUCCAAAGAAUGAUAAUAGAUAUGAAAUCAAUACCUUAACUUUGAGUAUCUAUAUCUCUUUCAAAAAAACUCCAUAUCAUACAAAAUUUGUACCAAAAUUAUUUCCAGAAUCUUAUAUUUGAUAAUUUUAAUCUUUAAUAUUUAAAUGUCAUCAAAAAAGUAAUCCUAAUCUCUAAUAAGGCUAUAAGUGGCCUCCUUGAAGUCAAUUAGAUAUGACUUUUGGCUAACAAGAAUAGAAAUUUUUAUCAUCCAUCUCCAUUCAUCCAUAUAGAUGGUCUAAAUAUUCUUUUUUAUUCAAAAAAUCCUUCUCUUAUCUUUUUUUUUAAUAAAUUUUACAUAAUAUGUGCCUUAAAUAUCAAAUAAAAGAAACAAAAUAAGAUUUUUAGAAUCACUAAUAUUUAAUAAAGAUAGCUCUAAAAAUAUAAAAAAUAUUAUUAAUAUAAAAAUCAACCUCAAUAAUAUUUGUUUUAGACUAAUUACUUCAAAGUAGCAAUUCAACGAUAUUUUGUUACCAACUAAAUUGAAAUUGGUUGUGUAGAUUAGGUUGAGUAGUAUCUAUGGUUAUUUUCACCAUUCUACAUGUGUCUUAAAAUAUGAAGCCUAUUUUGAUGCCUAAGGCUUUACUUCCUAAAUUGAUAGAUUUGUUAAAAGAAAAAGGUCAAAAUGAACAUCCUUGAAUUAUCUAUUGUAUCUUAUUUCAAUUGAUGGUUCACUGUAUCAAAUAAGUUUGAGGUGCUUAGGUUCACUCAAGAUAUGUAAUUGGCUAACAAUUGAUUAUUAUAAAUAUGGAGUUUGAAUCAAUAGUAGAUGAAGUAAUAGAAGCUUUUGUAAGACAUGUCAUUUAUUCUAAUAGGUAUUUAUUCUUAGAUUAUGAUCAAUUUCAAUUAGCAGAAGAGAAUAAAGACUUAACUACUAUAAAGACUUCUUUGGAUCUAAUACUCAUAUGUAACUUGCUACAAGGUAUAAGUAAUUUGGUAGCUUAUUGUGAGUGUAAAAUUUACUCUUCAAUCCAAAUUCCAAGAUGGCCUAAAUUAAAUAUUGCUUGUAAUUAGUGGUAUAAAGUGGAAGUAGCAAGAACAAUGAAAAAAAGAGCAUAACAUAAAAAAAUAAGUGAAACAAGUGCAAUUAAGCAAUUAUAUACUACAAAACUAGUCAUAAUCUGUUCACUGAGUUUUUAUGGAGUAAAAAUAUAUAUAUAUAUAUAUAUAUAUAUAUAUAUUAAUAUUUUUAAUAUUAUAAGAAAUAUAUAAAUCCAAAUUACUAUUAAUAAGUUAUGAAGGUUUAAAAAUAAUAAGUAAAUAAUUUUAUCUCAAAGGUAACUUGUUUAAGAGAUUAAGAGUUCGAGCUUCACCAAGGUUCAGAAGUAGUAUAUAUGGAUUUAUAAGAGAGACCAUGAGGCCUUAGUCUUAUCUUCCUAACUACCUUCAAGGUACUAUAAUCCAUAUGGGACUUGUGUACCUCCCUUCUUACAAGGACUAUAUUAGCUAUUGGUCCUCCUAUUUUCUACUAGUACAAUGCAUAAUUUUGAAUUUUUGACUUCACUAUGAUGUUUAAAAACACUCAAUUAGCCUACAAACCUUUCGUAACCUUUAAAUCUUACUCCAUUUCUUCAUAAUGGCUCCCGAAGUGAUAAAACUCAUUUUUACCAAAGUCUUGAAAAUUACUCUAAAAAUUCCUAAAAAAUUCUAAAUAAAUUCUAAAUAAAUUUUAAAAAUUCUUAUAAUAGUUCUAUAAUAAUAAUAUUAGUUUAAGACUAUAAAUUUCUAUCUUAAUUAUUUUUAUAGUAAUUAAAUAAAUUUAAAUCUACUAUAAAUCCUACUUUCUAUAUAACUAACUAAAAAGAUAUAAGGUUCUUUUUCAUGCUUCUUCUAACUACUAACUAAUAUUUGUAGUUUUUCUUAUAAAUAAUAUAUAUAGAUAGAAGGCCAAUAUAAAUAUUGACCUUAGUAAAUAUUCCUCAAUAUUAAAUAAUAAGUAAAAAAAAUACUAAAUCAUCUAAAAUAAUUACCUCUAAGACUUAAUAAGAUUCUAAUUCUACAAUUAAUAUUCUAAUUUUCUAUUUGUCCAAAUAUUUUUAUACUAUUCAUCAUAUAUUGUGGUUUUAAGCAUUCUAAUGUAUCUUUUUAUCCUAAAAUAAUUAAUGAGUCAAUUUGGUGACUUUUAUAUAGCAACCAUCUGACACAACUCAAAGAGAUAGAAGAUUCAAAACUCUUGCUUUGAAGGCAGGUCCUUAUCUAAGGUUAGGCAUAUUGGAUUUAAUAUUCUAUCAAAAUUAUACUAGUAGUGCUAUAGAUCAUGAGAAAAAUAUUUAUAUGAAAGAUUGUAUUCAGUAUUAGUGUACUCCUAUCUUCUAAUGUUACUUCUCUUGAAUUAAAAAAAUAUUGAAGAAAUUAGUCUACUUAAUAAAAUAAGAUAAGAUCAAUCUAUAAAAUAAGAAAAAAAAAAUAAUAAAAAGAAAAAAAAUAUUCUAUGUAAAAAUUUUAAAAUUGGUGCUAUAUAAUUAUUAUUUAGAGAGAAGAAUUUAAGUUAGUAGCUAUAAGACCUAUAUAUCUUCUAAGUUGCACAUUUUGGCCACUUUUUUGCUCUAACAUUAAUUAAAGAGGUGGUCUGAAUUCAAAUUUAUUUCUAAAUAUUCUUAUUGGAAAUAGUUCACCAUAUAGUAUUUUUAACUUUAAAGAGUUGAUAUCAAAUACUUCUUUGAUAUGAUAAGGCCCUAACCAAAGAGCAUCAAAUUUUUCAAGGAAUUCUAUCUUCAUGGCAUCUUGUAAUAGUACUAGCAUCCUUAGUUAUAAGACUCUCUUUUUGUGUUUUUUAUCAAAAGUAAUUUUUUUUCUUUCAUUGAAUUAUUUCUUUGUGUUGAGCCUUAGUCCUUUGUAUUUCAUUAAGGCCUUUCAGUUGUUCUAAUCUAUCUUUCAAGGAUUCUUAGUUGGUUAAUCUAUCAUCUAUUACUAUCUUUAGUAAAUUGACUUCAUAAUCUAUUGGUAGUAUAACUUUCAUUUCAUACACUAAGAAAAAUGGAGUGGCCUUGGUUGUGACUUUGUAGGUUGUCUGGUAAGCUUACAAGGCUGCUAAUAAUUUUGUAUCCCAAUCCUUCUUUGAAUCUUGUAUCAUCUUUCUUAGGACAUUAAAUAAAGUUUGGUUUACUCUUUCCAUAUAUCCAUUAAUUUGUGGAUAGUAGAAAGUAGUCAUACAAUGGUUUAUAUUAAAGCUAUUGAUCAUCUCUUAUAUUAUACUGUUUAAGAAGUAUGUUCUUUGAUUACUAAUCAAAAUUUGGAGAUAACCAAAUUAAGUAAUAAUUUGCUUUACAUAAAAUUAGCCACAUAGAUAGCAUCAUUGGUUUUGACAGCUCUUGCUUUAGCCUAUUUUGUUAAAUAUUUUGUAAUUACUACAAUGCGUUUUAAUCCUCUUGAAGAAUUGAGAUGAACUUCUCUUAUGUAAUCAAUUCCCUAUUUUUCAAAGGGAACUAAAGACAAGGAUAUGUAAAAAAAAAAAGUGCCAUAUGCAAAUCAUAUUUUGCAUAACAUUGCCGAGCAUUUGUACUUUUAUUUUUAUUACCAUUUAUACUUUUAAAUUACCAUUUAGAAUCAAAAUCAUAUUCCAAGGCGCAAAAUCACACACAUAUAGUAAUUCCAGGGUUCUUUGGCAAAUUAGAGAUUAAAAUUUGAAAGAAGACUUCAUACAACUUUUUUAAGUAUUAAUUUUGAAUAAUUUGAAUUUGUAAUGACUUUGUAAGAGCUUAAAAAAAUUAGAGUUGUUUUACUGAAUCUAAUUUUAUAAAAUAAAAAAAUAGAUUUAUAUUUGAAAGAACUUUAUAAGCUUGGUAGUAAAAAAAUUGACAUCUUAAAAACCGAGUUUUGAUGGUCAAUGAGGAUUUUUUAGAUCUUUAAAAAUUUACUAGUUGGAUUGUAGUAAAAUUUAUAUAUAUAGAUAGUAGACUUAAUUUUCAACAUAUAUGUGAAUUUUCAAAGGUAUUUAAUAAUGGAAUUAAGUAAUUUUGGCUUAGAAAGAUUGGUAUUAAGAUUUGAGAAAGAAGAUGACCAAUAUUUGAGUGGAUUUUAGGAUUUAUCUUUUAUUUGGUAAGUGUGAUCUUCUUAAAAAUGUUUAUAAUUGUUAAUAGCUUAGUAUUAAGAUGUGAGCAAAAUUUGAUUUGAAAUCAAUGGUUUGUUUGUUAGUUAUGAAAGUUUCAAUAUGUUAUAAGAUUUGUUAAGAAUUUAUUUAAUCUAGGAUUUUAUUAGGAUUUAUCUAAAAUUAUUUAAGAGUUGAUUAGGAUUUUUCUAAGAUUAUUUCUAAAAUUUGAUUAAAAUUUAUUUAGAAUUUUUUUAAAGUUUGAUUAGGAUUUAUUUAGAAUUGUUUUAGGAUUUUUCUAAGAUUUAAUCAAGAUUUAUUUAAGAUUUGAUUAGGAUUUAUCUAAAAUUUCUCUAGAAUUUGACUAAAUUUUUUUAAAGAUUUGAUUAAGAUUUAUCUAGAAUUUAAUAAAUAUUUUUUUAGAAUUUUUUUAGAAUUUGAUUAAGAUUUAACUAAGUUUUGAUUAAAAUUUAUUUAAGAUUUUUUUCUAAUUUGAUUAAGAUUUAAUUAGGAUUUAAUUAGGAUUUAUUUAAUAUUAAUUUAGGAUUCAAUUAAGAUUUAUUUAGAAAUUUUUUGUACUUUAUUUAUAAUUUAUUUGAAAUUUUAAUUGGACUUGAUCAAUAUUUUAUAAUAUUUGUUAAGUUUUAAUUACAAUUCAUAUAUGAUUCUAUUAGAAUCAUUAUGACUCAUUGUUGCAAUUUUUUUUUUACCUUCUACAGUUAGGUGCUUGAUGCAUUUUCAAGUAAGACUUUAUAUAAUAUAAUAUCAAUGUCGAGGUAGAAAGACUUUACUUAAAGAAUCUACUAAGCUUUUGGAUGUCAUUAAUUGCUCAAUUAAGUCUCAAGAUAUAAAAAAUACAAAGUUUAUAUAUAAAAUUGUCUCUAUAGGGGCAAUUACAUCAAUAUAUAAGCUCUUAGUACCAAAGUUUAUCCAAAUUGUGAUAAAAUAUUCUAAAAUCUUAUAUAUCCUUGAGUUGGAAUUUUUUCAAACUCCAACAGCUUAUAUCUCAUAAUUGGACCAUCCAAACAAACUAAAAUUUUAUAUGAAGUACUGAUGUAUUUUAAACAACUACCACAAGAAAUUUCAAUUGUAAAGUUAUUAUAAAUCUUGAGAUAUUACCAAAAUCCUAACAAUAGCUUCAAAUCCUUGCUUAUAUAUAUCCAUAUGCAAAUUUCUUUAUAUCUUACAAAAUAAAUAUUUAAAUACCAUAAAACUUUAAUAUAUAUCUUUUUAACCUAAUAACACAUAUUUUUAGAAAUUUUGAACUAAAAAUUCGUCCAAAAAUUUAAGAUAUGGCUCCAACUAUUACUAUCAACAAAAUGACUCACUUACUACAUUUGAAUUACAAGUAUUGUCUUCAAUGCUCUAUAACUCCUUCAAAAAAAUUUCAAAUACAAAAAUACCUUCAAAAAAGACAUAGAUCUUAAAAUCAUCCUUAUGACUGUACCUCUUGAUCUCCAACAGCUAUUGUACAACUCCUUGUAUCCUCAAAAGAGCAACAAUAUAUCUUAAAAAGAUAUCUUAAUUUCAAACAACUAUAAUUUUAUCAUCUUUACUCCAAAUCUUUUAAAUUUGGCAUACAAAUUGUAAUCCAAAUCAUAAACCUUAUAAUCUUAGAUUUUGAUUCUCAAAAUGCUUCUUUUGAAGUCACCAAAAUCUUUGUUAUGUUCAUAGACAACCUCUUGAGAGCCUAUUGGAUAUGACUUUUGACUAAUAAGAAUGAAGAUCUUUACCUUUUACCUUCAUCUAUCCAUAUCUUACUUUCAUUCUUCCAAAUAAGUUUCUUAGAGGUUUGAAUCUUCACCUUUGAACUCUAAUAUUUUCUUUAAAUUUUAUACUAAAUAUCUAAAUUUUAUAUAAUUUAAAUAAUAUAAUCAAAAUAAGUAAAUCUCAAAAUAAAUUUUCUUAUAUCAACUAUCUUUAAAUUAAGCUACUAAGUAUUCUAAUAUAUAUCAAUACUUAUAUAUAUAUUAUAUUUUUUAAUUAAUUUUUACAUACUAUAAAUAAUUAUAGUAUAAUAUUAGACAUAAAAGAAUUUGGACUACCUACACUAAGAUCAAGAAGCACUAUUGGUGGAAGGGCUUAUACAAAGAUGUAGAAGAAUUUAUGAGUUCUUAUAAAGAAUGGCAAUUAUAAUCUAAAGUGAGAUAUAGAGAUGAUUUAUGUUCUACCUAUCUACUUACCAUUAAAUUUCAAUAGAUAAUUGAUUUGGUUGCCAUGUCAAGGAGACUUUAGGAUAUGAAUUAUUUAAUUAUUAUAAGAGAAGAAUUUUCUAAGUAUAUAGAAAGGAGGAUAUUGAAAUCAAAGUCCAUGAAGGUAAUAUGUCAAUUUAUUUUGGAGGAUAUUAUAUCUUAUUAUGGAAGUAUUGGUAAAAUAGGAGUAUACUAUGAUAAAUUUAAUGUGGCAAAGACACAUGAUUUUUUUACAAAAUAUGAGAUGCAAUUAAAAUUGACUACUUCCUAUAACUCCAAAGCCAAUAGUAAGAAUAAAAAGGAGUAUCCUCCAAUCAUUCAAGCUUUGAUUAUGGCAUGUAAGAAUCAAUGAAGGUUGUAGCUUAGGCUUUUUUUAUUUUUUUUAUAGGUAGAUAAGACUACUUAUAGAAUAGUUACUGACUAUAUGCUAAUAGAAUUAAUAUUGGGACAAAAGCCCUUAAUGCCUAUAAAGAAGUCUAUUCUUUCUUAGUUAUUUUUUACUUCAAAAGAUAGUAUUGACAAGAAAAGAUUGUUAGAACUUUAAAUUUGCCAAUUGAGAAGAUUAUCCAAGGAUCAUCAAAUUACUAUAGAGAGAAUUAAGAUAGAAAGAUUGAAUAAUAAAGAUAGGUAUAAUAAAAUUCAUUGAUUGAGGCCUAAGCCAAUUAAAAAAGGUGAAUAGAUUUUAAUUUAUAAUGGUAAUUUGAUGCACCAAAAUUCUACACUUUAUAAGUUUGUAUGGCAAUGCUUUAGAUCCUAUGUGGUGGUUGAAGUGCAUGAUAAUGCAACUUAUUCUCUUUAAGAGUUGUAUAGAAUAUAAUUAAAGACUAAAAUUAUAGAAAAGUGAAUUAAAGUCUUCAAGUCGAAGAUAACAUGAAUUAUGUAGAAGAUUUAGAGGCUUUUGAGCUUUAAUAUUUUAAUCAAAAAUUUAAAAGUGAUAUGGCUCAAAAUGACUUUGAUUCUCAUGAUAGAGGUAUUGUGGUCUAAUUCUUUAGCAUAUAUUAGAAUAUUUACAAGUUUAGAGGAAGUAACUAUUGUAAUGUACUUAAUUUAAGUGCAUCAAAGUUAUUUAGAGGGCAAUUAGUUUUACUUGUAGAUAAGAAAGAAUAUAAUGCUAAUAACCUUACAAAUAUGAAUGAAAUUUAAAGAAGAAAAUUGUUGCCUUAAAUGGAUUAUUUAAGCUUUAAAAGUAUUAUCUUUAGGAUAUAUAUAUGGCUCUAAAGAAAUUCAAGGUCGGUACUGGAGGAAGAUUAAGGCAUAAAUUUUUGCAUCAAAUAGAUUUUCUAAGGCUAGUGUUAGUAGAGAGGGGAGUCACUAGAAUUUUAGAGAGACAAGAUUCAAGAUAGGUUUGGAUUUUUCUAUACCAUCUAUUACAUUUUUAUCUUUUUAUAACAAGAUUUAAAAAAAAAAUAAAUCUUAUUGUUAGCUUUUCAAAACGACUUAGCAUAUAAGAAAAAAAAAUUGUGAUGAAGAAAAUCUAUACAAAUUUGUAAGUAAAGGAUUACUAAAAAUUUUACAGAGCAAAUUUUAAGUUUUAUUCAUCUUUUUGUAUUGAGAUUUUAAGAAAAGCCAGAUCUUAUUAUUAGCUUUCUAAUGAGCUAUUGUACAUAAAAAUAAAAAGAUACAAUAAGGGAGAUUCAAGUUAAUUUAUAGAUAGAAAUUUUGAAGAUUGUUACUAUAGCAAGUAGCUAAUUUUUUUUUUUGAUUUGGCUCUCAAUUUCUUUGAAUUUUAUUUAUCAAUUUUGACAUUUUGAAGUUUAUACCUUGAGUUAAGUUCAAUGAACUAAAAUUUGCUUAAAUCAAAUUAAUAAUAAGUUAUUUAUAUAUAUUUUCAUAAAAAAAAGUUUAAGUUUAAGAUUAGAAUUAAUAGUUGGAUACAUCUUGGCAUAAUAAAAGAAUUAAUUUAAAAUUUGUACUUAGCUUUUAGGCUAUCUUUUUAUAUUUGAAUUCAUUUGAAAUAAAAUUGUAUUUCUUACAAUCCACUUGCAAUUAAAGAUUCCAUAUUCUCUUAAAGAGGACCAUCUUCUUGACAUAGUUGUCAUAUUAUAAAUACUUAUAGUAUGUAAAAAUUAGUUAAAAUAUAUUAUAUAUUAAUAAAUCUAGAUAUGUAUUAGAGUGGUUAGUAGAUUAAAUUAAAAGGAGUUGGUAUAAAAAACUUUACUUUAUUUUUUCACUUGUUUUGAUUUUGUCAUUAAUAAAAAUAUAAGACCUAAAUAUUUAGUAUGAAGCCUUGGAAGAAGGUAGAUGUCUAAGGAUGAAAAUCUAAACUAGUAGGAAGUUGAUUGAGAUGGAUGAAAAUAAGGCAUGGUCGGAUGAAGGCAAGGAAUGGAGAACUUCAUCCCUAUAGGUCAAAUACCAUGCCUAAUGGACUUUGAAGAGACUGCCUGUAACUUUAAUAAGAAUUUUGGUGACUUCAAAGAGAGCAUUUGAGAAUUUGAAGCCAAAAUUGUAAUGUUUAGGAUUUGGACUAAAAUUUGUGUAUAAAAAUUAGAGGAUUUGGAAUUAGGGUGAAGAAGAUAUAGCCGUUUGAAAUUAAGGUGUUAAUUUAAGAUAUAUUCUUAUUCUUUUGAAGAUAUAAGGAGAUAUAGGGUAGCUUUUGAAGAUCAAAAGGUGUGGCUACAACAGCAAUUUUAAGGCCUACAUCUUUUACAAAAGAAUUAUUGCUUCUAGAAUUCAUGUGAAGGAGUUAUAGGGAGUUGAAGGUGGUUCUUCGAAAUCAAAGGCACUAAAUAAAUGGUUUUAUUUAUAAUAAUGGUUGGAGCCAAAACUUGAGUUUUUGGAUAAAUUUUUGGCUCAAAACUUUUGGAAAAUUUAAUAUUUUGUGUUAAAAAGCUAUACAAAUAAAUUUCGUGGCAUUUUAGCUUAUAUUUUUUGAGAUAUGAAGAAAAUUACAUGUGGAUAUAUAAAAUCAAGGAUUUAAAGUGACUAAUAGGAUUUUUAAGAUAUCUUAAGAUCAACAACAAAUUUGCAGUUGAAAUUUAUUGUAGAAGUUAAUAAAAAUACAUCAGUACCUCAUGUAAAAUUUGAAUUUGUUUGGAUAGUUGAAUUAGGAGAUAUGAGGUGUUGAAGUUUGGAAAAAUUUCCAUAUAAGGAUAUACAAGAUUUUAGAAGAUUUUAUCAUAGUUUGGAUGUUGUUGAUUACUUGAAGCUUAUGUAUUUAGUAUAAUUGCUCAAAAAUAGAAAUUUUAUAUAUAAACUUAGUCUUUCUUAUGUUAAGACAUAAUUAAGUAAGUAGUGACAGCCAAGAGCCUAACACUUUCUUGAAGCAAAUUCUCUCUAUCCCAACACAAUAGUUGUAAGUUAUGAAUUCAUCUUAUAAUUGGUUUAGAAACAAAACCAAUAUUCAUCACUAACAUUAAUAUACAUGUAUCUUUUUUAUUAUUUGUGUAAUUUAAAAAAAAAUCUCAAUAAUUUAAUAAAUUAUGGAUAAUAACUAGAUCUUUGGAUUAAGCCUCUAUUAGGAAGAGCUAGUAUUUACACUAGUGUCUUUUUUAGUUCUCUUCACAAAAAUGAAUCUUACACCUAUAAUAAACAAAAAAUAAUUAGACAUAUCUAUAAAAUUUGACAUAUCCACAAAAUUGAACGAUUUAACAUAUUUACAAUUGGACAAUUGAACAAAUAUCAUUUGGUAUAAAAAAUGUAUCAAUAAUAUUUCAAUAUGUGAUAGAAUUUACAUUUAAGUCAUAGUCCAAGAAAUUAUUUAGAAUAUACCUCAAUAAUAGAACCAUCAAUAAAUUUAAAAAAACAUAUUCAACAUCUACAAUAAAUCUUUAAAAUCUAUAAAAAAUAUGACAUCAACUUUAAUGUAGACAAAUGCAUGUAUUUAUUUUUUUAGGCUCAUAUUUGAAUAUAUUUUCUAUUUGGAUAAGUUAUCAAACCUAAAAAAAAUCUAACAUAUUCAAAACAUAGUCAAGUCUUAUGAUCAAAAAACAAUAAAAAGUAUAUUUGAGAUUGUUUAAUUUAAUAGGAUUUUUAUAAAAAAAAUUGACACAUUAAAUUUCUCUCAUAUCAAAAUUCAAUAUACUUGUGAUUACUAGCCAAAUAGUAUAAUAAAUAAUAUUUCUUAUAGAAUAUGACAUUAAAAUUAUUAACAUCUUCAAAAAAUAGAAUGUAAUUAGAGAUUAGUUCUCGAGAAUAUUCAACUAUAUAUUAAACUUGAGUAUUGACAAAUUAUUUCUAAAUCCAUACUUGUACAAUAUUAUUGUAGAUGUAAUAUCAUCCAUAAACAAUUGAAUGUAUGAUAUCAUCAAAUAUCUUACAAUUAAACAAAUCUUGCCUAUAUUCUUGAAAUUAUAUUGUUUCAAUUUUGCAUGAAAAGUAUCAUUGUGUACAUGCAUUGAUAAUAAAUUGUACAAACUUAGAAUAGAUUGUAUUACCCAAUUAUACAUCUCAAUAGCCUAAUAACACAAGUUGAUUCAAGUAUUAUAUAUUGGACUUAUAUGAUGACAUCAAAUAAUUGACACUACCAUUAAUAAACUUCUCACUACAUAAUAUUGGUGGCUUAUGUUUCUUUAUGAUAUUUAUGAGUGUGUUUCUUGUGCCAUCUUUAUCAAAUAAUAAAACCAAGAUUAUUACAAAUAAAUUAAGCUUUAUUACGAUAUCACAUUGUAACACGACUAUAUGAUGAAAAUAUAAAUGAAAAGGAUUUUAUUAAUAUUUAGUCAUCUUGGAUGUUAGAAACAGAGGCCAAUUCCAGUGCCAAUAUUCAAGGGCCAAUUAAUGUCACCCUAUUGCGAGCUAUACCACUGUACGUGACAUCAGCAAUAUGUUCUACCGGCCUCAUCGAAACCAAGUACUUUCUAUACCAACGGUGUCGUAUUACAUGCUAUCUUGCUUGAAAAUGUAUCGGGCGUCUGGCUGUGGAAGAUAAAAGAAUAUUUUUCAAGUAUCGAAGUAGACUAGUGGAUUUCAACCAUCUAAAUACAACUAUUUUGGAUUUCAAUGUAAAAGCUUAAUCUCAAUACAAAAUACUUAGAAACAUUAUUUUUAAUAACUUCAAGAUAUUAUAAGCACAAGUCUUUUGUUAUUUGUUAGUUUUAUUAUUUUAUUUUAUUUUAUUUUAUUUUUAUUUUUUUAAAUCCUAACCUUGGACACCAAGCUUCGGCAAGUUGUAAUUCUCAAUUUGACCAUCCGAUUGUUAUAAACUUCUACCACUAGUGUCUUUGCAAGCCUUCUAAAUGCUCAAGCAAUUUCAAUCCAAUCUAACUUACAGUUUGCAAGAAAAUUUCGUAAACCCACACUAAUGUAUCUUAACCGCCGCCUAGAAGUCCUAGACUUACCACGCCAAAAGUCACCUUAUUCUAGUCGAUAGAUCUCCAAAUAUUACAAAAAUCCUAAACAAUUCCAAUCUGCUAACUUUCGAUAAUUCUUUAUGCUAAUGGUCAAAUAACCUCUAUCUGUUCCGUCAGAUUAAUACAAACUUUUGUAUGUACUUGGUAUACUCAACCUUCUAGACACUUCUAAAUUUCAACUGCAAAAGUUUCUCCAAUUUCACAAAACCGUCAAGAGUAUCAGCUUUAAUUUUAUUGCAAAAAAAAAAAAAAAAAAAAAAAAAAAAAAAUCCAAAUCACCAAUACAAACACUAACUUUCAACAAUGAUUGCAAAAGUUCUUUCAAAUCCUAUAAAAACCCAAUUCUACACCUUUUAGAGGAGCUUGAACUUAGCUCUCUGAUUCCAAAAUCUCGAUCUCCGAAUGCUCCUUUCCUUAUCCUCUCCUCCCUCUUAACUCCGUGUGGUCCCAUUUUCUCCCGCCCUGGACUUCAAAUUGGAACAGCUAACGGCGCUUCUCCGGAAUUCCUAUCUCUAAGAGGAUAUUUCCACUAAAAGGAUGUUUCUCUCGAAAUAGCAUAGAGAAUAGAACAACUUGAAAUGGAACCAAAGCCUCCAUAUGCGGGACCUCAUUGGGUUGCCCAACCGAGUCAGGUCUCAUAUUGGGUAAUAGGACCAAGAUUGGAUGUCUUCAUAAUUGGGUCAAAUUGGCCCUUUACAUCAAACACAUCCAAAUAUUGAAUUGGUUCUUUUUCCUUUUGCCGACUCUUGGUAAGAAUGGCUCGGACUCAUUCCACCUGAUUUAUCGGAGAAUCUUGAAGACCUUGAUUUAUCUCCUCAAAUUUUCCUUGGCUUUGGAUUUGCUGAUCUCGUAUAUUGAAAUUGGAUGGAGCAUUACAUUGCUGAUAAGUAUGCCUCGACUGCUUGCAAUUCCUAUACACUGGCACGUAAUCAUCACUACCUUUGGGAUUGGAACAUUUACUGGCAUAAUGACCAAUCUGUUUGCAAAAAAAAUGACAAAGUGGUCUUUAUGUACCUCCAUCAUGCAUAUUGGGUGUCUUCACCAGUAUAUACCUACUAGGCUAGUUUCAUGUAGGAUUGGAAAAUGAUCCAGAUUGUCUCGUUGGUAUGGAAGGUACUUGGUUUGAUGAUGCUGAUAGGGUGACAUUAACUGACCCUAAAUAUUGGCACUGGAAUUUUCCACUAUUUUUGUGAUUGCUCGUUUUACUUAUUCUAGAAGAAACCUCCCAGAAUAAACCCAUAUAAGAGAAUUCAAACAUGGAGAAUAACUAGUUGCUUAAGCAUUCACGUUAGGGUUACACAAUUAAUUACUUCUUGAAUAUAUUAUCUCUAUUUUCAAUAUCUGAACACACAAAGAAACUAUAAUCUCCUCCUUCAUCUUAUCGGUCUCUUCCUUACAACAAUUCAGUCAUACCAAUAACUACUAUUUCCACCAAUAUAUUCACCCUCAUAAUCUCCAACUGUAACAUUGCGCCCUCACAGCUUUCAGCACAUAAUUACCCUCGUUCCAAUCACUGGAAUUCUUCACAUAGAACUGCCAUUCAUAUUACAGUGUUUUACACAAACACAGACUUAUUCUCUCUACUGAACUAUAAUCAGAUUUCAGCAUUCAAUCUUUCUUCUUCUCAAAUAGUACCAAUCACAUUUCCAUUCCAUAAUUUAGUUCAUAAUAUUCAGAAACUCUCAAUCCUCUUAUUCAAAGAAAAUAACAAACAAAAGAAAAGAGGUAGCACCAAGCUUACCCCGACUCACACUAUCAUAGCGAUGGUCCUCGGCUCACACUCUCAUAGUUUAGCACCCUAAUUAACUUCUACAACUCCUAUAUACUUUCUCCUGAUUCUUUAGAUUUUAACCGUAAUUCUGUAAUUAACUACUUUUAAUAAUUAAAUCACUCAUCCGUCCUCCUGAAUUUCCUAUUAUAUGGACUAUUAAUAUAUUUUAUCAAUAUCUUUCAAAAAUAAAUUAAUAUCUAUUCUACAUAGCCCCACUCCUAUUUGUGCAACAUCCUCGGAAAUACUCAAUUGAUACCUAUCUAAAAAUUAUCUAACAAAACUCUACAAAAAUUGCGAUCUCUCUAGCCUAUCUAAUUAAUUAAUUGCCACAAUAUCUGUCAUUGGUUCUAUCGAUUCCGGUUCCAACUGCAAAUCUUCUUCUUCUUCCUUCAAUCUUUCCAUCGGCUCCUAUCUCAACUGAGCUGAAAAGUCUUCAUUGUACUUGCCCAGUUCACGGACUUGAGCUUCUAAUUUCAAGAUCUGGGCAUCUCUCAAUUCCAACUGGUGCUGAAAGUGACUCCUCUCUUCUAGAACUUCGGGAACUAGUAACGUUGAUACUUGUGCUUGACCAAUAUUUACUAAAUCCUCUGCCAAUCUUGUCUCCUUGGCAUUCAAGGCUUCAAUUUCAGCCCUUAAUUGCUCCGUUUUAUAUCUAUAUUGGUCACUCAAUACCAAUUUCUCUUGCGCCAAUAACUCGACCUUUUCUCGUUCCAUUAUCAACUGAACCUUCACUUUUUCAGAUUCCAAAAUUGAGUUAUUGCGAGCCCAGAAUAGUUCUUGCCUAUGGAUCUACACCAUGUGUUCUCUUUCUUGUGACUGGCUCCUCAUUGUUAACUUUUAUUUGGAACCACUAUUCUCGAAAACACAAGAAAUACAAGAAAAUGGCACUGUAGCCAACCAAAAACAACACCAUAGAAUGACUUUAACUGGUGCCCCACUCCUAUCCUUUUACCUAGUGGUGAUAAUGACAACAUGUUACCUAUACUGUCCGUGAAAGGUAACGGGAAGUAAUCUUUCUUAGUGGCCGCAUUUAACUUUCAAAAAUCUUGACAUAUCCUGUUUUUUCCAUUCUUCUUCCAUACCAUCACGAUUGGCGACAUCCAUACACUAUGCGAAACAAGAUAAAUAAAAUCCAUGUUGAGAAGUUUAUCCAAUUCCUCUUUCACUAAAAGGAAAUAUUUUGGGUUAAGCCGGUGUUGUCUUUGACGAACUAGCAUAACACCCUCCUCCUGAAUAAUCUGGUGUUCACACACGUUGACUAGAAUCCUUUUCAAAUCUGCAUACGACCAUGCAAAGGCAGAUUUGUGAUGGACGAAAAACUGUUUUCAAGCAUCCAAUUCUAUAUUGAUAAUAUUAGCAUAUAUUUUAAUUAGCUCUGGCAUUUCGUCAAUGCCCAGGUUAAUAGAUUGAUACACAGGGUCUUCAACAACCUCUGAUUUAAUUAUCUUCUCCUGAUCUAAAUAUCUUAUAUUAUCCAACAUAUGAAAACCAUCCAAAUCUAGUUCUAAUAUACUAACUCUAUUGACUACGGGAUUGUUCAUCCAUUCGGCAAUAGCAUGAUCCAAGUUAGUUACAUCCUCUUGAUGCAGUAAAUAUUUGCCAGGACCUCCACAUUGAUAGACUCCUAUCUUUACUGUCGAAGUGUUUUGUCCUACCCCAAAUUGCGAUGAAUCUAUAGUAUCGUCAUCUUCCUCAAUCGAUUAACUCUCGUUGUUCGAUUUAAAUUCUGAUUCUAGCAAUUGAUAUUUUCCAUGAUAUUGUACCAGAUACAUCUAUAGAACAAUCACGUCCCGGCCUUUUUUAAUUGUCAAUGUGCCUCGGCCCCAAUCAUUCUUAGCUUUGGCUUGAUAAAGCCAAGGUGUGCCUAAUAAAAUGGGAUACGAUAAUGUAGAACUCUAUAAUCAGAAUACAAUAUAAUCGAUUUUGUAUAUCAAUCCUAUGAUUACAGUGGCAAUAUUGUGUAAGAUUCCCAUUGGCUUUACCCGACUAUAAUCUGCCAUUCGUAAUACCAAUGUUGUAAGUAGCAAUUACUUUAGAUCUAAGUCUUCCAUUAUAUCCGCGUUCAUUAAAUUCACACUGGAGCCACCAUCGACUUGUACCCCUGGAAUUAAAAUGCCAUCGAUUGAUACAUUGAUUGUUGGUGCUCCUGAAUCUGGGUUUAAGCUAACUUCAUGAAUUUCUUUAGUACGGAAUCUUCAUCGUAUUAGCGCUGAAUUCAAUGUAGAUCGACAUUCUGGUGCUACAGCCAAAAGUUGCUUCAUUGUAAUUGAAGGCUGAAUAACAUCCAAAUCCUUCAGAAUGACGUAGGGUUCCAUAUUGAGAGUAAUUCCUAAUACUCUUUUGCGUUUCAUUGGUUUGAGUUUAACUUCGUGAGGUAAGAUAUUCUUCUGCCUUGGACUCGGAAUUUGAACAACAGCCGGGGCUUCCUUAGAAUUCCCGCCCCCGAGAGGAUCUUUCAACGGGUAGGACAUUUCUCGGAACUGCGUAGACAUCGGAACUGCUUGGAAUGGAACCAAAGCCUCCGUAAUUGGGACCUCAUUGCAUUGUGUCACCGAGUCAAGUCUCAUACUGGGUACAAAGCCCGUAAAAGGACCUAGAUUAGAUGGUUCUGGCAAAUUGGUAUGUGGAAUUGAAUUGGGUUCCUCAGUCUGUUGAGGUCUCAAUAUUGGAAUACGUCUCAAUACUGAUAUUGGUUCGUUUAACCCUAUAGACGAUGCUAGUUACUCUCCUACGAUUGGUUCAUCCACGUCUUGAAUUAGAUUCUUGUCUUUCUAUUGGCCUCUGGUAAGCACUGCAUUCACCACCUUGAUACAAUGUACUGGUGAGUCUCGUUGAAUAGGGCCUUUGUCUUCCACCGGUUGACUUGUUUAUAUUUGCUGGUCCCGAUUAUUAUAAUUAAAGGACGCAUUGCACUGCUGAUAAGUGUGACCAGACUGCUUACGAUUUCCACAUAUUGGAGCAUAGUCAUCACUGGCCCUUGAAUUAGGACAUUCGCUCGCAUAAUGUCUGAUUUAUCUACAACAAUAGCAACGAAGUGGUCUCCUGCCAACUCCUUCACGGAUAUUGGCUGUCUCUACUAAUAUAUAACGGCUAGGUCUGUUCCAUGUCGGAUGAGUAAAGGAUCCUAAUUGACCCAUUAUUACUGUAGAGUCUAGCAUUGGCUUCCUCAUGGGUGGAUAUUGAUGGUAUCCUGGUUGAUUCAUCGCCAAUCCAUGAGUAUUGGAUACACCUUCUUGGUGAAAUUUAGAGUUUAAGAAAUUAGAAUAAUUCCUGUUUUGUUUAUUCACUUGAUUUCCAUUCCAGUCCAACCUAUUUUCCGUUUGCACUUGAUUGAUGUCCCACUGGUUUGGUUGAGUCAUUAUCUGGUUAUUGAAUUAUUGUUGCUUUCGUAAAUUCCAACAGUUGGUAGUAAUAUGCUUGUCUUCGCAAAAGGUAUAUUGUAUAGUUAUUUGGAGUGGUGAAGGACAUUCUGUUAUUAAAUGACCUUGCCCCUUACAAUUGCUGCACUAGACAUUGGGACGCAUAUUGGUUGAUUUAUGCCUUUUUUCUUUAUUCUUCGCCAGAUUCACAGCCAAUUCAUCCAUUUUUUUCAUCAAUGUUAACAGCAAUGACUCAUUGGGAUCCCUUGAUAUCAAUGCAUUUGGCAAUUCCUUUGUAGGUAUUAGUUUUUGAUAUGCGAAAUAAGGCGCAUACGAGUGUGAUGAUGACGGUGGUACAGCUUGCAAUGGAACGACAUCUACGAUUCCCUGUGGAAUUGUACUAUAAUCAUUCCUUCCCAGAUAACUUCCUUAUGCAUCAUUCCAAUUUUUCAUUUGAUAACCUCCUUGAAAUAGAAUCAUUGUGGCUCAAACUCUUAAGUUCUAGUCAUAGUGACAUUCCUCCCAUACUUUUGCUUGCUCAAGAGAUGAUGCAAUGGUGGCUGAUUGGGCCUUCUUUAUAAACAUCUUCAAUUCUAGUGGGUGUAGUCCAUUAACCAAUAUAGACAAUACAAACGAUUCUGACAUUUGGUUAUUUGGCCAUUUUCAAAGUAUAUCCACUACACGACCAUAAUAUGACUGUAUCACUUCCCCUGGUACUAUUCUACUGGUCAUAAAUAUUUCUCUAAGUUUUUUAAAACCAAUUGAUCAAAAAUGGACUAAAAAUAUAUUUUUCAAUGCCUCCCAAUUAAUAAAUUGUCCCACAGUUUGGCGAUUAUACCAAUCAAACGUUGUGUCUUUCAAUGUCGCUGACAGCCAUCUUAACCAAAUAUCUUCUGUUCUUCUAUUAUUGGCUACACACGUCGUCAAGAAUUGAGACAAAUGUUGAUCUGGAUCCGCACCUGGCAAACCCCAAAAAGUAGGUAAUGGCAUGACACUAGUCGUAAGAUCGUCUCCUGCAUCCUUUUGUACUGCAAUCGGAACAUCUGGUCCUCUUGAUGCCAUUGAAUUUCUUGUUCUACUAAACUCCAUUUAAAAUAAUCUCUGUUUUCCCUUAUUCUAAUUUUCGAGCUCUCAGUGCUCCUCGAUUUACUGUUAUUUUCUACAAUUAGUUUUAUUAGUUGAAUUGUAGGUGAAAACGUCAGAUUUUGAAAUACAAUAUAGUUAACUUUAUUGGCGACCAAUUUGUGCCAAUCUGAAGAGCCACUAUUGCUCAUUUCAGUGGUACCCCUUACUAGAAAAAUAUCCAAUGGAGUACCAAAUUCUUCUACGCCUCCUUCUCUUUCAGUUAACGGCCUCAAGAUUUCCACUGGAAUGUUAACAAAAUUUUCUGUGAGUAUUCUUCGCAGUUUUUCUAAUGGUUCAUACGACUGCUGAAUUAACAGUCUGUCCAGUUCUUGAUAUGUUUGGAUGUACCGACAAGCUUGCAACUAUGAUUUAAUCCAAUUCUGUCAAUGCUUUCUUUUAAGAUUAUGUUCUUGCUCCUCUCUAAGCAAGUUCCUUCCUUGCGCUCUUUCUUGUCUUUUUUUCAAUUGAUUUAUUUUCCUCGAUGCAAUGCUCUCGUUCUUAUUAACCAUAAUUUUGCUUCAAACACUAAUGAAAUCAUCUUUGAUUGCCAAUUUUCUCACAUGUUUGGUAAUUAAUUCCUAACAUUCAAAGCUAUUAUCACUCCUCGGCAGCGACGCCAAAAUGUGAUUGCUCGUUUUACUUAUUCCGGAAGAAACCUCCCAGCAUAAACCCAUAUAGGAGAAUUCAAACAUGGAGAAUGACUAGUUACUUAAGUGUUCACGUUAGGAUGACACAAUCAAUUAUCUCUUGAAUGUAUCGUCUCUAUUUUUAAUAUGUGAACACACAAAGAAACUAUAAUCUCCUCCUUCACCUUAUCGGUCUCUUCCUUACAACAAUUCAGUCAUACCAAUAACUGCUAUUUCCACCAAUAUAUUCACCCUCAUAAUCUCCAACUGUAACAUUGCGCCCUCACAGCUUUCAGUACAUAAUUAUCCUCAUUCCAAUCACUGGAAUUCUUCACAUAGAACUGCCAUUCAUAUUACAAUGUUUCACACAAACACAGACUUAUUCUCUCUACUGAACUAUAAUCAGAUUUCAGCAUUCAAUCUUUCUUCUUCUCAAAUAGUACCAAUCACAUUUCCAUUCCAUAAUUUAGUUCAUAAUAUUCAGAAACUCUCAAUCCUCUUAUUCAAAGAAAAUAGCAAACAAAAGAAAAGAGGUAGCACCAAGCUUACCCCGACUCACACUAUCACAGCAAUGGUCCUCGGCUCACACUCUCAUAGUCUAGCACCCUAAUUAACUUCUACAACUCCUAUAUACUUUCUCCUGAUUCUUUAGAUUUUAACCGUAAUUCUGUAAUUAACCACUUUUAAUAAUUAAAUCACUCAUCCGUCCUCCUGAAUUUCCUAUUAUAUGGACUAUUAAUAUAUUUUAUUAAUAUCUUUCAAAAAUAAAUUGAUAUCUAUUUUACACUUUCUAAUAUCUAAAAUGACUAAAUAUUAAUUAUAUCUUUUUUAUUUAUAUUUUCACCAUAUAGUCGUAUUAUAACACGAUAUCUAGUCCUUUUAAUCCUAUGCAUCCUCUAGUAUGCACUAAAUAAUCCAAUUGUUGUUUGAUUCAUAAUAUGUUCUCCAAGUCUUCGUCCAAAUCGUCUUCAUCAUUUUUGCUAUUCAUGUCAAAUUCAUCUUCUUGUUGAAGAAUAUCUAUAUCUUCACCAAGGUCUUCUAUAUUAAUUUCUGUAUAUCUUUGUUUAAAUAUUUUUACUCGCUUCCCUGUAAUUGGUAUUUUUAACCUUGUUCAAUCUAACUCCCGCAAUGACUAAGUUGCAUUAUCAUGAACAGUUGUUACCACAUAUGGUCUAAAUCAUUGUUUAAAAAACUUCUUUAAAGUACUAUGUUGAUUGUCCACGCUAUUAUCAUAGACCAAAAUCCAAUCACCUUCUUCAAUUGCUUUAGGCCUCAAUCGAUGCUACUUAUCAAAUCAUGUCUUAUUUUGUAACCUCGCUCUUUUUAACCUUUCUAAUGCUAUUUGCACAUUUUCCCAUUUUUGCUCUAAUUGUUGAAUUCUAAUAGCUAAAAGUUCUUCUCUUGUCAAUCCAUCUUUUUAUGGUAGCACACUCCAAGUAGGUAUUUUUUCUUCAAUUGACAUAAUAGGUUUUUGGCCUGUCAUAAGCUCAAUAGGCAUAUAUCCCAUUACUAAGCUAUGAGUUGUUCGAUCAGCCCAUAAUGUAAAUGACAAAAGUCGUGGCCAUUCUCUAACCUUACCAUUACAAGUUUUAACUAAUGUUUUUAUAAUCGAUGGGAGACCACAUUCACUUUUUGCAUUUCCUUCAGGAUUAUAAGUAGUAGUUAGUGAUAGUUUAAUUCCACAUCUUUCAAAGAAUUCACGAGCUUCUUGUAUAUUUAAUUCUCCAUGAUCUGUAGUGAUUUUUCCUACACAUCUAUAGUGGCAAAUAACAUCUUCAAGCAAAAAUCUACAAAUUCCUUCUAUAAUUUUUGUUCUCAAUGUUCUUCUUUCUACUUGAUUUGAUAAAUCUUCACGAGCUAAGACCAAAUAUCUCAUUUGUCAUAACCCGAUUGGCAUAAUAACCAAAUCAAUAACCCAUUUAAAAUGAAUAGCUAGAGGAUAUAUAAGAUGAAGACCAUCUCGAUGUCAUAUAUUAGAAUACGCUUAACAAAUUUCACAUGAUUCUACAAAUAAGAGCACAUUUUGAUACAUAUUUUUCCACCAAUAUUGUUCCUUAAGUUUAGCAAAAGUAGCCCAAAUUCCUCUAUGUCUUGCCCAUAAACUAUCAUGAAACCCCUUUAAUAAUUUUUGUUUCUCUUCUUUAUUGCCUAUCACUCUUUGUGGCAUUUCAAUUCCUUUCUUUGGUCUCUUCCAUAAGAAUCCUUCUUGAAGCAAAAAUCCAUAUGUUUUUUUUUCUUAUUUGUUUAAAUUUUUUUGUAGACCAAUUUUUUUGUUUAGUUAAGGUAUUCAAGUAAUGACCAAUACUCAAUAAUUUUCUUUCAUAAAAUUCUUCAAGAAAUAGCUUGUCUUCUUUGUUAAGAUUUGAUAUUGAAUAGAAUUUUGAUCCAACAUCUUCAACCAUUUCGUCUUCUCUUUCAUAUCUUGUUCUAGAUAGCAUGUUUGCUACUAAAUUAUCUUUUUUAAUAACAUGCUUAAAUUUUGGAUUUAAUGACUUAAUAUAAGCAAUCUAUCUUAACAUUGUAAUAUCCGGCGUUGAAAAAUUAGUAAUCAUUCUAAGUAAUGGCAAGCAAUCUGUUUCAAUUACUACUACUGCACCAAUGAAAUAAUUUCUUUCAGCUUUCAUAGCCAAAACAACUCUCCAAAGUUCUCUUUUGAUUUCCAAAUAUGUACAUUGACGAGUACUUAAAACUUUAGAUUCAAAUCGAACUGCAAAUCUAUUUCCACUUGAAUCAUCUUGACCCAUAGUCCAUCCAAUAGCAAUAAGAUUGAUAUCUAUAGUAAGAAUUACUUCUCUAUUAUAGUCAUAAUCAAUUUUUCUUAAAAUUGGAGGUAUCACGAAUAACACCUUUAGCUUUUGCAUUGCUUCAGUAUGCUUUCUUUUCCAUUUAAAUCGAUAAUCUUUACGUAAUAAUUCAUACAAUGGAUCCGCUACAUAAACAUAAUGAAGAAUCCAUAUACGAUAAAAUAUAUGAGCCCCUAAAAACUUACGUACUUCUGUUAAAAAGUCACAUGAAUCUUUCAUUCUUCUAAUUGCAUCAACUUUGCUUGGAUCUGGCUUUCUCCCAUAAAACCCACACAAAUGUCCAACACUAAGGACUUUCUAUACACCAAAUAUAGAUUUUGCUCCUAAAAGUGUAAGAUGAACUUCUUCAAGUCUAGUGAAAAUCUUUUUAUAAUCUUGUAUAUGAUCAAACAACAUAUUUGCGACAUCCCCUCUCAUCUAAAGUUUCAUCUUUUUUUCCUUCUUUACAUCCUUUGAUAGGAACAUCAUCUGAAAAGGGCAUAGUUUUUUCAGGAAUGAAGUCUCUUAAUACCUUGUUCAUUCCAUUCAUCAUAUGUGCAACUGAGUUAGUAGCAUCUUGAGGAAGAGUAUACAUUUUAAGUAAUCUAAGUAGCAUUCUCAUUGUUGUUAGAUCUCUACUCUCAUCUGCAAGUUGAAAUUGUUCAUAACCCGAAUAUAAGUCACCCAUUGAAUAAAUUGCCCUUCCCAUAAACGCUUCUACAAAUUCGUCUACUAAAGGUCCUAUACCUGUAUUUUUUAUAGUUAUUACAUUCAUUGGCUACAUAUCUUGAAUAAAACAUAACGAUCCAUUUUUUUUAUGCAUCAUAAAUCAACGACUAGAAUAUGGAGCAAAAGAAGGCUCUAAAACUUUCAUUUGCAUUUUUUCUUUCAAUAAUUCCACCAAUUUAGCUAAAUGUGCUCUCGACACGGAAAUUGGCCUUAAAUUCCAAGGCACAUGAGGUAUUGUAAAGAUAAUCAUAGGAGCAACAAUAUUAGGAUCUACACAUCUUAUUUUACAAGACCCAAAGGCAAAUAAUUUACCUCAUUUUGCAACCAUUUUUUUUAAAUAUUCAAUUUCUAUUGGAAAUAAGGAACCAUCACAUCCAAUCUUCAAUUCUUCAAAAGUCUCCUUUGUAAACUGAUGUCCAAUCUUCUUUGGAUCUCUUAAACUCUCUUCUUUUAAUGCUUCUUCCAUUUGUUCCUUAAAAUCUUCUGGUAAAGGUCCGACAACAGGUUUUACCUUUUUAUCUACUGUUUUAUAUUUUGUCUCUAUAAUAACUUCUAGUGCUUGAAAAGAUUCAAGUAUAGAAUAAACCUCCCUCAAAUGAAUUUCUACAAUCUUCUCAUUAUUCCCUAAUCCAAUAGAUACAAUUAAUUCUAAAGAAUCUUCCAAUCCAUUUUCUUCAUAAAUACCUAAAAUCUUCUCAUCAUCUUCUAAUGUUCCUAACUUGCGUAAUUUCCUUUCAAUACUAUAUAAUCUUUUUCUUUCUUUUCUUUUAAAAUCAUCAAUUUUCUUAUAUAUAAUAUUUCUAUUCUCAAAAAUAUCAAUAAAAAUCGCAUCAAAGGCACCUACAUCUUGCAAGAGUACCCCCUCUUUUGUACCUCCAUAAUCUUACUUUAUAGUGGUACUUCUCCAAAAUCCUUAAAUCCUUCAACAAUCCUUGGCAAUGGUUUCUCCCUCAUCCUAUCUCGAUUCCGUUCAUGAUUAGGAGGUACUAUUAGAAACUGUACAACUUUUCUUCUAUCUUCACUACGUACCCUUGCAUAAGUAGAACUAUUGUCUAGUACUUUUGUUUCCAUCCGUGUUGCCAUCAUAUAAGGUUGUCCUAAAAUCAAUGGAUAAGACGUUGUACCUUGAACAAAGAAAUGUUAUUUUGUUGCAACAUCUCUAAUCCAAAUUUUGACAUCUGAACAAGUUCCAUAUAAUUUGCCUCGCGUAUUAUUAGCUACUCGUAUUGCCCAUCCAUGUUCCAUAUUAAUUGGCCAUAUCUGCUUCUUAUAAAGAUCCUUAGACAUAAGAUUUAUUUCAGAACCAUGGUUAACUAAAGCAACAAUUGGUUCUUUUAUAUCUCCUACUUUCACCAAUACUUCAAUAGUUGCCUUUGCCCAAUAUUUCCAAGUAUAAUGGCUUGAAGCUUCCAUUUUCUUAUCACUAUAAUAUUUGAAAUGUACUCAUUGAUUAUAUCCAUUCUUUUCAUUUGUUGAUUGUUUAUAACCAUUAUCAACAUCUUCUUUAUCUUUAUAUAAUCUUGCAUCAAUAGCAUGACUCAUUCUAGCUUCGUCCAUUAAUUGCCUCUUUUGCUUAAUGCUGUCAAUGAUAACAUCAUGAAACUCUUUCUUUGUAAUUUCUAAAAUCUCUUUCAAUAUGAAUUCUACCUUAGCAUUUAAUAUAUGUUCUUCCAGCACCCCUUUUAAAUUUAUUGACGCUUCAAUAUCAAAAAGUAGCUUAUAAGCAAUUGAUUUACCCUUAUCUUUUAACUCCUUUGUUUUUUCUUCCAAUGAUACUAAAGUAUCCUUUAUAGGUAAUUCUUGUGAAACCACCUCGUGAGCCUCGUUUCCUCAAAUCUACCUCUUGUAAGAAUUUCCUUCUCUUGUAUCAUCAAAAUUUCCUCAUCUCUUUUCUUCCAUCAAGGCUUCAUGUUGGCUCUUAGCAAUAUAUGCAUGAGCUGAAAGAGACUCAACAAGAUCUUUCCAACCUAUUGCACCUCGUGUUGCAGCUGCAGUCCUCAAUAACGCUUCUCAAGGCAUUUUUUCCUUUUGCAUUGUGGAAAUGAUAGAAGCCCAAAAUUCACUAGUUUCUAUACUUUUGCCAAAGUCAUCAUCUACUCUAGCACCAUAACUUGUACUUUUUCAUGGUUCUAUUCCAUAUUCUAUUAAGUAAUCUUGAACCAAUGCUCUCAUACCUCUUUUGCCAAAAUUGGUUUGAAGGAGAUCCUCUGUAUCCUUUAAUGCCAUCUUUCCAUCUUUUCAGCAGAUAACUCUUUGUUGUAUCAUAUUAUUAAAUCUAUUGCAAUCCUUCCUAAUAUAUGAAGCGUCAUCACACCAGAUACAUCUUUGUACAUACCCUUGUUUUGAAACAUUCUUCAAAUUGUUUGUAGAAGUAUUUUCUUCAAAUCUUACCAAUUUGAUUUGAAAAACUUGCAUUCCACGUAUAAUUUCUUCAAUCUCCAUUUUACCUUUCUUCGAUAAGGAUGUUGAAGGUUGAAUAGUAGGCAUUGUUGGUCGUGUUGUAUGUACUGGAAUUUUAGGUGCUUGUACUGUUUUUGGAAUAUUACUCCUAUCCUUCUUCUUUUUUCUUCUUGCAAGCAAUCCCACCAUAUUUUCAACAUUUUUCCACUUUAUUGCUAAUCCUUCAUCUUCUUCUUUGUCUUCAAGAAGCAACUCUAACUUUUCUUGUAAUUCUCCAUCAGCAGCUUGAAGAAAUAAUUCAACCUUGUUUGGCUCUAAUGUCAAUUUUUCUACCUUCGAUAAUUGAGAAUAUUGCCUCUUAAAUUCUCUUAGUAGCUUUGUUGCUUGUAAAUUCUUAUUAGGCCACUCAAUCCAUUCUAAAAAUAGUUUUUUAGUAACACGAUCAAUAUCUUUCAAGAAAUAUUCGUCUUUUAAUGCAUGUAAAAAAAUCUCCCAUGAAUUUCUAUAAUACUCCAUAAUUGAGGUAAUAUGCUCUCUUAUCUCCGACACCAUGGCUAGUCCAAAUAAUUCAACCAUCUUCUUCUCAAAAACCUGAUUUAAUUCUAUUUUCCAAACAUAACAUCUUAAAUACUUUGAAAUAUUCCUUCUAUCAAAUUGGUCAAUUUUAUUGACCAUUGCUUGUAAAGCUUUGGUUGCUAAAGCUUCUUUGUGAUCAUUGCUUUACUAUUGCUACAUAGAUAAUGAUAAGACUUGAAACAUACUAGCAAUGGAUGGAUCCACGUACAUACCCUAUCCUUUAGAAGAAACUCUACCAAAAGCUCCACUUGAAGCUCCUCCCAAAUAUCCUUCAAAAUUUUUAUUCUCGUUUUUCAUAAAAUAAAAUGAAAAUAAACGAAAUCCAAUACUUCCACCUUAAGCUUUUAUGUCAGGUUCACCACUUAUGUCAUAUUAUGUGCUAUCUUGCUUGAAAAUCCAUCGGACAUCUGGCGGUGGAAGAUAAAACAAUGUUUUCCAAGUAUCCAGGUUGGCUAGUGGAUUUCAACCAUCUAAAUACAACUAUUUCGGAUUUUUAUUUAAAAACUUAAUCCCAAUAUAAAAUAUUUAGAAAUACUAUUUUUAAUAACUUCAAGAUAUUAUAAGCACAAGUCUUUUGUUAUUUGUUAGUUUUAUUUUUUUAUUUUAUUUUAUUUUAUUUUUAUUUUUUUAAAUCCUAACCUUGGACACCAAGCUUCGACAAGCUGUAAUUCUCAAUUUGACCAUCCGAUUGUUGUAAACUUCUACCACUAGUGUCUUUGCAAGCCUUCUAAAUGCUCAAGCAAAUUCAAUCCAAUCUAACUUACAGAUUGCAAGAAAAUGCCAUAAACCCACAUUGAUGUAUCUUGACCGCUGCCUAGAAGUCUUAGACUUACCACGCCAAAAGUCACCUUAUUCCAGUCGAUAGAUCUCCAGAUAUUACAAAAAUCUUAAACAAUUCCAAUCUGCUAACUUUCGAUACCUCUUUAUGCUAAUGGUCAAAUAACUUCUAUCUGUUCCGUCAGAUUAACACAAAUUUUUGUAAACACUCGGCAUACUCAAACCUCUAGACACUUCUAAAUUUCAACUGUAGAAGUUUCUCCAUUUUCACAAAAUAGUCAAGAGUAUUAGCUUUAAUUUUAUUGCAAUAAAAAAAAAAAAAAAAAAAAAAAAAAAAAAAAAAAAAUCACCAACACAAACACUGACUUUCAACAAUGAUUGCAAAAGUACUUUGAAAUCCUAUGAAAACCCAAUUCUACACCUUUCGGAGGAGCUUGAAGCUAGCUCUCUGAUCCCAAAAUCUCGAUCCCGAAUGCUCCUUUCCUUAUCCUCUCCUCCCUCUUAACUCCGUGUGAUCCCAUUUUCUCCCGCCCUAGACUCCGAAUUGGAACAGCUGACGGCGCUUCUUUGAAAUUCCUGUCUCUAAGAGGAUCUUUCUAUAAAAAGGACGUUUCCCUUGGAACGGCAUAGAGAACGGAAUAACUUGAAAUGGAACCGAAGCCUCCAUAUGUGGGACCUCAUUGGAUUACCCAACCGAGUCAGGUCUCAUAUUGGAUAAGAGGCUUGUAAUAGGACUUGGAUUGGAUGUCCUUGUAAUUGGGUCAAAUUGGUCCUUUACAUCAAACUCACCCGAAUAUUGAAUUGGUCUUUUUUUCUUUUGCCGACUCCUGGUAAGAAUGGCUCGGACACAUUCUACCCGAUUUAUUAGAAAAUCUUGAGGACCUUGAUUUAUCUCCUCAAUUUUUCCUUGGCUUUGGAUCUGCUGAUCCCGUUUAUUGAAAUUGGAUGGAGCAUUACAUUGCUGAUAAGUAUGCCACGACUGCUUGCAAUUCCUAUACACUGGUGCAUAAUCAUCACUGGCUUUGAGAUUGGAACAUUUAGUAGCAUAAUGACCAACUUGUCUGCAACAAAAAUGACGAAGUGGUCUUUCUGUACCUCCAUCAUGCGUAUUGGGUGUCUCCACCAGUAUAUACCUACUAGGCUUGUUCCAUAUAGGAUUAGAAAAUGAUCCUGGUUGUCUCAUUGGUAUGAAGGGUACUUGGUUUGAUAAUGCCGGUGGAGUGACAUUAACUGACCCUGAAUAUUGGCACUGGAAUUGGCCACUGUUUCUAACAUCCAAGAUGACUAAAUAUUAAUCAUAUCUUUUUUAUUUAUAUUUUCACCUUAUAGUCAUGUUACAACACAACAACGGGACAACCAAGAUCAUUUUCUAAUCCUACAUGGAAUAAGCCUAGUAAGUACAUACUGGUGGAGACACCCAAUAUGCCUGAUGGAGGUACAAGAAGACCACUUUGUUGUUUUUGUUGCAAACAGAUUGGUCAUUAUGCUAGUGAAUGUUUCAAUCCCAGAGCUAGUGAUGAUUAUGGACUAAUGUGUGGAAAUUGCAAGCAAUCGGGGCAUACUUAUUAACAAUGUAAUGCUCCAUUCAAUUUCAAUAAUAGGGAUCAGCAGAUCCAAAGUCAAGAAAAAAAUUGAGGAGAUAAAUCAAGGUCCUUAAGAUUCUCCAAUAAAUCAAGUGGAAUGAGUUCGAGCCAUUCUUACCAAGAGUCGACAAAAGAAGAAAGGACCAAUUCAAUAUUUGGGUGAGUCUGAUGUGAAGGACCAAUUUGACCCAAUUACGAGGACAUCCAAUCCAGGUCCUAUUACGGGCCUCUUACCCAAUAUGAGACCUGACUCGGUUGGGCAACCCAAUGAGGUCUCAAAUACGGAGGCUUUGGUUUCAUUUCAAGCUAUUCCAUUCUCUAUGCCAUUUCGGAAAAACGACUUUUCGAUGGAAAGAUCCUCUUAGAGGUGGAAAUUCCAUAGAAGCACAGUCUGUUGUUCCAAUUUUGAGUCCAGGGUGGAAAAAUAGGAGACCUCAUGGAGUUAAAGAAAAAGAGAGGAAAAAGAAGAGGGCAUUCAGAGAUUAAGAUUUUGGAGCCGAAGAGCUAGCUUUAAGCUCCUUCAAAAGGUGUAAGUCUUGAUUUUCAUAGGGUUUGGUAGGACUUUGCAAUCGUUGUUCAAAGUCAGUGUUUGUAUUGGUAAUUUGGAUUUUUUGCAAUAAAAUUAAGGCUAAUACUCUUGACUGUUUUGUGAAAUUGAAGAAACAUCUAUAGUUGAAAUUUUAGAGAUGUUUAGAUGGUUGAGUAUGCCAAGUGCAUAAAAAAAUUUGUGUUAAUCUAAUGGUACGGAUAGAGGAUAUUUGAUCAUUAGUGUAAAGUGGUAUCAGAAGUCGGCAUAUUAGGGUUGUUUAGGAUUUUUAUAAUAUCUGGAGUUCUAUUAGCUGGAAUAAGGUGAAUUUUGACAUGAUAAGUUGGGGCCUUAAAUGCGGAGCUGCACACAAAGUUGAAUGAGAAUUAAUAGUUGGAGAAGGAGAAAUUGCAAUUCAAAGUUUGUCAUCAACUUUCUAGGCGGCAAUCAAGGGACGAUAGUAUGGAUUUAUGGCAUUUUCUUGCAAUCUGUAAGUUGGAUUGGAUUGAAACUUCUUGAGCAUUUAGAAGACUUGCAAAGACACUAGUAGUAGAAGUUUUAUAACAAUCGGAUAGUCAGAUUGAGAAUUACAGCUUGCUAAAGCUCAUUGUCUAGGAUUAGGGUUUAAAAAAUAAAAAAUAAAAAAUAAAAAAAAAAAAAAAAAAAAAAUAAUACUAAUAAAAUAAAUUAAAAUAAAACUAACAAAUAAAAAAAGAAUUUGUGCUUAUAAUAUCUUGAAAUUAUUAAAAAUAGUGUUUUUAGACACUUUGUAUUAGGAUUAAGUUUUUACAUUGAAAUUUAAAAAAGUUUGUAUUUAGAUGGUUGAAACCCACUAGACUACUUGAAUACUUGCAAAACAUCAUUUUAUCUUCCACAACUAGAUGCCCAGUGCAUUCUCAAGUAAGAUAGCACAUAAUACAACAACAAUCCAUAUCUCUACUUGCACUAUUUACACAUUAAAGGCUAGACUUCAUUGAUGCAAUAAAUUACUUAUAUAAUAAUAAAAUAAAUAUAUACUUUUGGCAACAAAUUAUGUUACUAAAUGGUGCAAAUCAUGUGUACUAAAAACUAAUAUUUCCUUGAUCACUAUCAAAUUUUUUUAUGAAAAUAUCAUUACCUAGUUUGAAUGCAUGAUUAAAGUAAUCUUUGAUUAUAGCACAUAAUUUGUAAAUAAAGUUGUAAAGAAAAAUAAAUCCCCACUAUUUGGUAGUCUAUUCUAAUUCAUAAUAAUUUAAUUACCUAAAUUUUUCAACCAAUUCUUAUUGCGAUUUGAUUAAGUAUUUAAUAAUUUCAAUAAAAAUUCCAAUUGUAAUUGACAUAAAUUCUUCUAAUAGAUAAUCAAUUCUAGUUCACCAAUAUUAAUUAGCUUACAAUUUAAUUGCUUGAAUUUUUUUUUUUAAUUUUUUAAUUCUCUAUUAAUUAAAUUUCAGCUUCUAUACCUCUAUAAUAACAACUUAAUUACUUAAAUGUACAAGGCAGUCAAAUAACAGAAUAAAAGAAAUUCACAAUUGAAAGAUAAUUUUUUUAUAUGUAAUUUAUUUUAGAUCUAUAGAUUUUUUAAUUUAAUUUAGUUUUAAAAUUUUUAAUUUUUUUUAUCUAGUAUUAAUUAUUAUCCAAAAUUUAGAAUUUAUCCAAAGAAAAUUUCUAUUCUUGAAUAAAUUUUCAUCUAUAAAUAUUUUUUUAUCUAUAAAUAAAAAUUCAUAAAUUUUAAUCAAAAAAUCAUUUAUCAAAGUUCAUCACUCUUAACCUAACUUCAUCCACACUUGAUCUAAUUGAAUUUAAGUGAUUUAUAAAUCAUACACAUAAUUCAAGAGAAAAUUUAUGAUUUAACUUAAAAAGUUGGAAUCUAAUGUUGAAAGCCUUCCAUAAUCCUUUUUUUAGCUUCUAAUUCCGAUUUGCUCUUUUCUACUCCAAAUGCUCUACUUAUAUGAAGAAUCUAGGACCUUUAGAGUAUUCUAGUCAUUAAAAGACAUUUGAUGUCAUAGUACUCUUUUAAUCCAGGGUCAACUAUUAAUAUCUAGAUUCUAUAUCUUGCAAGGUGACACUAUCAUAUUACAUAAAAUCUUGCUUGAAAAUACAUCGAGCACAUGGCUAUAGAAGAUAGAAAGGAAAUUGUAACAACAAGAUCUUAACAACUCUAAUAGAAUCCUAAAUAAACUCUAAUUAAACCUUAAUAAUAUUAAUCGAGAUUUAAUAAAAUUUAAAAGAAAUCUUAAAGAAAUUACAAAAGAAACAUGAAGAAAUCCUAAAGAACUUCCAUUUUUUUUUAAAGAAAUCAUAAAGAAAUAAUAAUUAGACAUUAAAGAAAUCCUAAAAAAAUAUUAGAAAAAUCUUAAAUAAAUCUUAAAUGAAUCCCAACCAAAUCUUAUUUUAAUCUUUAUUGAAAUCCUAAUAAAUCUGAACUAAAUCUUAAGUCAAAUGAAAAUUAAAUCCUAAAUCAAACCCUAGUCAAAUCUUAAGUCUUAAAAAAAUCUUAAUUCCUAAACCAAAUCCUAAAAAAAUCCUAAUUCCUAAAUCAAAUCCUAAAAAUCCUAAAUCCUAAAUCAAACCCUAAACAAAUCUUAAAUCCUAAAUCAUGUCCUAAUCAAAAUCUAAUCAACUAAAAUUAAUCCUAAGAUAGAUAAGAAUUCCAUUAUCUAUUAAUUAAACCAUUGAUCUUACUUAAAAAUUUAUAUACUUAUUAAUUUCUUAGUUAAAAACAAGUAUAAUAAAUUUGGAGAUAAUUACACUUUUCAAAUAGAAGAAAAAUCCUAAAAUCUACUCAAGUAUUUGCCACCUUCCUACUCCAAUGUGAAUGUUGAACUUCCAAUGCCAAUAUCUCCUUUUUGAAUCAUUAAAUUUCUUUCAAAAUUUACUUAAAAUUUUGAAAAUCAAGUCUAGACUCUAUACAAAAAAAAAUCACUUCAAUCUAUUGAAAAAAUACAACAUGCAAGACACAAGUAAGUAGAAAUCAGCAAGAUUACACACAAGAGAAGUUAAGAAUGAGACACCUCCUACUUCCAACAUCUUUUACAUAUAGGUGGUGGUUGCUAACCAACAAGACAACUUCCAUCCUCUUGAUGUUAUAUCUAUUUCUACUUCAUCCAACUAAAUCAUGAUUUCUUUCUUAAUUUAGAUGCCACCUAAAUCCUAGCCACCACUUUAGUUACUUUUCUUUAUUCUUUUUCUACCUUUUGACCAUUAACAACUUAACUAAGGUAAUACUUACUUAUUUUAUUAUACCUAUGGUAAUAAUUAUUUAUUUUAACACUUCCACUUUGCUAUUGGUCAAAGGCUAUUAGUCCUAGUACCUUUGUUAACUUUUGAUGUCUAUCCUUCACUAGUACUUUUGUGAGCAAAUUAGUAAGCAUGUCUUCAGUUACACAAUACUUCAUGUUAAUCACUUCCAUUUCAAUUUUCUCUCUUAUGAAGUGAUGUUGAAUGUCAAUGUGUUUGGUUCUUAAGUGAUGCUUUGGAUUCUUUAUAAAAAUAAGACAUUCUUGAUUAUCACACUUCAUUGGAGUUACUUUCAUUUACACGAGUCUAUUAUCUUCUAAAAUUUGUCUUAGCUAAAUUACCUCUAUUACACUAUGAUUUACUACUAUAUAUUUUGUCUCCAUUAUAGACCUUGCAAUUGUUGGUUGUCUCUUACAAUUCCAUGAAAUUACUCCUAUUCCAACAAAAAAUACAUAUCAUAUUUUUGAUCUUUUAUUAUUUGCAGCUCAAACCCAAUUUACAUUACAAUAACUAUGUAAUGCAACAUUACUCCUUCAAAGACAUAGUUUGAAGUUAAAAGUACCUUUUAAUUAUCUCAUGAUCCUUUUGAUGGUUACCCAAUGGAUUGGUCCAGCCUUUGAUAUGUGUUGACUCACAACACUCACUGCAUAUACAAGCUCUAUCCUUAUGCCAACCAUUACAUACAUGAGUGAGCGAAUUGCUACUUUCUAUGGAAUACUUUUUAUUUCAUCUUCAAUCUCAAUAAAUACUUCAUUUGUGAGCUUCUUCAACUUCAAGUUGACUUCCAAAGGUGUUUUAAUGGACUUGCAAUCCUCCAUAUAGAAUCGUUUCAAUACUUCUUUGAUGUACUUACUUUAGCUCAUUGUAUCAGUCUUGUUACCACGAUGACUUACAAGUUCCACUCUUAAAUAAUAAUGAAAUUCUUCCAAGUCAUUUACCUCAUAUUCUUCUUCUAACUUUAUCUUCAACCAAUCCAUCUUCUUCAUGGUGUUACUUUAUAUGAUCAAAAAAUCAAUAUAGAGAAUGACAAUAAAUAUGAAUUUAUUUGAUUACAUCACAUACAAAGAAUGAUCAGCCUCGCUCCUUAUAAAUCCUUCAUUCAGAAAGAAUAUGUCAAUAUGUUGGUACCAUGUCCUUAGUAAUUAUUUUAAUCCAUACAAAGAUUUCUCCAACUUACAAAUAAGGUAUUAUUUGCUAUCUUCAAAAAAUCCUUGAGAUUGAUCUAUGUAGAUGUCUUCUUUAAAUUUUUUAUUCAAAAAAGUCAUCUUCACAUUCAUUUGAUGCAUCUCAAAGUCCAUUGUUGCCCCAAUUAUCACAAUGGUUUUAAUGGUGUUGACUUUGGCCAUAGGAGCAAAUGUCUCAUUGAAAUCAACACUAGCAAGUUGUAAGUAGCCUUUCGUAACUAAUCUUGUCUUAUAUCUUAUAAUAUUAUCUAUUGCAUUCCUUUUGGUUCUAAACAUCCACUUACAACCAAUCAAAGAUUGAUUUGGAAGAAGUUGAGUCAAUUUCCAUAUUCCAUUAUCUAUAAGUGAUUUUUAUUCAUCUUUUAUGGCCUUCUCCCACUUCAUUACAUCUAUGGACUUCAUUACAUGAUAGAAAUUCAGUAGAUUAGCAAGAAGUGCAACAUUGGCAUGUUCUUCACUUACUUGAAGAAAGAUGUGAUUCUUCCACUAUUCAACAAGUUUUUUUCUAUCUCUCAAAAGAUAUUUCCUUUCACUUGAAGAAGAUUCAUCUUAUUGCACUCUAUGCUUGCUUCUUAGCUUCUUCUUUCUUAAAUCUUAUCUUUUCUCACUGAAAGACUGAUACUCCUCAUCAUCAUCAUCAUCUUCACAAUCUUCAACAUCUUCAUUACUAGUCAUAGGAAUUGUAGAGGCCUCCUUCUUCAUCUCUUCAACUUCAUUCACACCAUCUUUAUUAUCAUCAUCAUCUUCUUCUUUCUUUGCUAAAAUUGAAGAUAUGUCCACAAACAUAUUAUUACUCCUACCUGGAUACAUCUCUAAGUAUUUACAAGCACUCUUAUGUUUCAAAAAUUUUACAUCAUAACUUUUGUUGAUCUUCUUGAUAUUCAAAACCAUUAGCCUAUAUGCCUUAAUACCUUCACAAUAUCCAACAAACACACAUUUUGUACCUUUUGCAUCAAAUUUGGACCUCAUAUAAUCUGGUAUCUUUGCAUAGGUAAUGCAUCUCAAAAUCAUGAUGUGGGAAACACAAGGUUUCCUCCCACUCGAAGCUUCUUUGGAAUUUUUUGAUGUAAGUGUACUUGUAGGGUACUUAUUCCUUGUAUACAUUGUAAUUACCAUGGCUUCUAUCCAAUACUCAAACCCAAGAUUUUGUGCAUAUAGCAUAUUCCUUGCCAUCUCCACAAUGGUGUGAUUUAUUCUUUCAGCAACUCUAUUUUGUUGUGGAGUGUAUAGAAUAGAGGUUUAUCUUGUAAUAUCUUGAAUCUUCAAAAACUCAUCAAAAUGCUUUGAUAUAUAGUCACAUCCAUUAACCAUAUACAAGACCUUGAUCUUGCAAUCACAUUGCUUUUUUACAAGUGUUUAAACUCCUUAAAUCUAGAAAAGUACUCACUCUUAUAUUUGAUGAUAUAAAUCCAUAUUUUCUUUAAAAAAUCAUCAAUGAAUGUGACAAAAUACCGAAUUCUUCCUAUUGAUGGUGUCUUCAUAGGUCCACAAACAUCCAAAUGUACAAUCUCCAAUAACUUGCCAGGACGUGUUGCUAAUCUACUUAGAAAUGAGGCCUUUUGUUGUUUGCGUUGGAUACAACUUUCACAAGUAAGUAUAUUGGCAUUGUAAUUAAAUUCACCAAGAUCCAUACCACUUACCACGGAUUGGAGUUCCUUCAUACUCUUAGCAUUCAAAUGACUAUGGUGUUAAUGCCAAAUGCCAAACUUAUCUUGAUAAAGUGAAAACUCAGUAAAUGCAGCUACUUCAAGUCCAUUCACCAUCUUAUACUUGAUGAAGUAAAGGUUGCCAUCUCUAAAGCCCUUGGCAACAUCAUCUCCAUCCAAUAUCUUUAUGAAGCAGUUAUUCUUAUGAAAUUGCACCUUACAACCAUGUGAAACUAAUUUACUCUUUAAAAGGAGGUUUUUCUUGAUUUUAGGUAUAUGCAAGACAUCCUUCAAUUUGAUCCAUCUUGUUUGUAUUCUCACAUUAAUCUUCACUACAAUGGAGCCUAUUUCAAUAGCUUAUACCAUGCUAUUGUCUCCCAUAAAGACAUUUGUUGCUGAAAUUUCUUCAUAAGUGUCAAAUCAAUACUUGUAUGAUGUCAUGUCCUUAGUGGCACCUAGGUCAAAAAUCCAUUUAGAUAUGGUAGCCAUGGAGGUACCUUUGCUUGCCAUGAAUGCAAAAUAAUCUCCUCCAAAUUACUCAUGUACAUUGUUGGCACUUUUUUUAUCUCAUUUUUUGGCCUUGUAGCAAUUUCGUGCACAAUGACCUGAUUUUCUACAAAUGAAGAAAAUUUUGAUAUUACCUCAUUGAUAUGAAAGAUUGUCCUUACUUUGACAUGAAUAGAGUGCUGAAUCUUUACUUUGAGGCUCUUUUUCUUUCUUCUUGGUCACUUCAUGGAUAAGUCUUGCCAUUACGUAGUUCAUUGUAAGUUCCUUCAACUUUAUUCCAAUGCCACAAUCAAGUAGUUUUAGGACUUGGAAAGAUUCAUCAACAAGGUCAUGAUAAUAUCUCCAUCUUCUAAAGCCUUGUCAACAAUUGCUAAUUUAUUUGUAAGAGUCUUUAUCUUAUUGACAUGAACCAUGAGAUCUUCACCUUCUUCUAUCUUGCAAGUGAAGAACUUCUUCAUUGUGAAGAUGAUAUUGGACAAGUUCUUACUCUCAUAUAUGCUGCAAAGAGUCUUCCAUGCUUUUGAUGGUCUUUUAUAAGAGAUGAUGUGAGAAAAGUUGGUUUCAUCCAAAUUCGUGGUAAUUAUGCCAAAAGGCUUCUUUUCACAUCUUUUGAAGUCUUUCUUCUCUUUAACAUCUGCAUGUAUGCUUGGAUUCCCUUCACUUUCAUCUAUAAUAUCCCAAAGGUCCAAAGAUGCCAAUAAAAGCUCCAUUUUGACCUUCCAAUGGUAGAAAUUUUCUCCUCUAAACUUUUUAAUUACUCUCAAACCUUCACCUUCAAUAGAGGCCAUGUCUAAGAAGGGCUUUAUCAAAAAAUAUCAAGAAAAGGAGUCACUAUAAGCUUAAAAUCAUAAAAAUAAUUUAAUACUAGCAGAAUCUCAAAUACCUUCUUGUAAACAAAUAAGUGCUUUUUCAAUUAAAACACUCUCAAUUCAAGCUUUGAAGCUUCUAACAAGUAUGUGUACUCCAAUAAACCUCACUAUCAUGAACUCUCACUCUUUGGAAUCAAUUCUUUUACAAUAUGCACAAGAUAAGUGAAACAACAUUAAUAAAAUAAAAGACACUAUCAAAGUCUUUCUAUAACAUCUUAAUUUCUCAAUCUUAGGAGAUAAGAACCCACAAAGCAAUGUUAGAGAACUAUUAGAUCAAAGUCAACACCUCUUCAUGUCCAAAAUACAAGUUUCAAUCUUAGAAAUCUCAACAUCAACAAACACCAGAAGAUCUAUUCCACACAAGUACAACCACAAUAAAAUGAUACUAACUUACUUGAAUGGUACAACAAAAUGUAAGUUGGCCCAUAACCUAUUGAAAAAAUAUAAGAACCAAGACACAAGUAAGUAGAAAUCAACAAGGUUGUACACAAGAGAAGUAUGGAAUGAGAUAUCUCCUACUUCCAACAUCCUUUAUUUAUAGGUGAUGGUUACUAACCAAUGAGACAACUUCCAUCUUCUUGAUGUUACAUCUAUUUCUACUUCAUCGAAUUAAAUCCUAGUUUCUUUCUUAACCUAGAUGCCAUCUAAAUCCUAGUCACCACCUUAGUUACUUUCUUUCAUCUUUUUGUUGCCCUUUGACCAUUAGCAACUUAUCUAAGAUAAUACUUACUUAUUUUAUCAUAUCUAUGGUAUUACUUAUUUAUUUUAACACAAUCCAAUCAAUAGAUUGCUAAAGGUCUUAAUAAGACUUAUUGAUCUUCAAAUUCUAAUUUUUGAGACUUCAAUCUAUAAAAAAGUUCACAAAAUUUAAUCUAAUUAUUUGAUUGAUCUCAAAAUUUGCACACACAUUUACAAUUAGUACACCAAAAUUGUGUCUAAAAUUUAUUUAUAUACAUAUUACAAAGUGGAAGAAACUUUCAAAUGCAUAAACAUAGUUUUAUGUCUCAAAAUCUAAAUCAACUAAGGAUAUCACUAAUUUUGAAAAUCUAUCCAAAAUUGAAUAUGACCUUAAUUGAUAUAAAACAAAUGUCUAAAAAUCUUUUUACAAGUUUGCAUUCAAAUUCCACCCUUCAAUCUACCAAAAAAUCCUAAAGUCAUUAUAGGUACAUAAAUUUGUGCCUUGGGAUCUAAUUUCAACUUAAGUUGACAACCAGUCUUCUUUAGGUAUUAAUUCUUGGCUUUUUAAGGCAAAUUUUAUUUUGAAAAGAGAAGUUAGAAGCCACAACACUUAGUAUCAGCAAGGUUGCAUACAAAGUGAAGUGUAGAAUAAGUUAUUUCUCACUUCCAAUACCCAUUACUUAUAAGAGGUGGCUAUUGCCUUAAUGAAUAACUUCCAUCUUUUGAUGAAUACAUCCAUCCAAUAUUCUACCUAAGCUAUUCACUGCUAUCUUAUCUACCAUAGUAAUAUCUUUUAAUUCUUUGUUAUCUUUUGACUAUUAGUAACUUACUAUAGUUUAAUUUUAUAUAGAUACAGGUAUAUAAGAUCUUAUUGAUCUUUAAUACUUUCUUUUUGCUAAUUAUUAAAAGACUUUCAAGCCUAAUGACUCUAUUACCAUAUCCAUUGUAUUUCUUUUAGUUCUAAAUACCCACUUACAACCAACACUAAAUUGAUUUGCUAAAAGAGGUGACAAUUCUCAUGUACUAUUGUUUAUAAGAGAUUGGUAUUCUUCUUCCAUAGCCUUCUCCUACUUCAUUGUAUCUUGGGACUUUAUAGUAUCACACAAAGAAAAUGAAUCAGUAAAAAAAGAAACAUUUAUAUGUUCUUCAUUUACUUGAGAAAAGAUAUGAUUCUUCUAUUAUUUGCCACAAGGUCUUCUUUCUCUUAAAAAAUAUCUUCUUUUAUUUGAAGAAGAUUUAGCUUGUUGUACUCCAAGUUCUCUUUCAAGCUUCUUUUCUCUUACGACUUAUCUUUUUUCACUUAAAGAUUGAUACUUUUCAUCAUUAUCAUCAUCAUCAUAAUCUUCAACAUCUUUAUUACUAGUCUUUGAAAUUUGUAAGGCCUUUUUUUUCAUCGUCUUUGCCUCUUCAUUUUUAUUCAUACCUUUAUCAUCUUUAUUUUCUUCAUCUUCUUCUUUUGUUGCUGGAAUUAGAAAUGUAUCUGCAAACACAUCAUUAUUUCCACUUGGAUACAUUUCAAAGUUCUUACAAGCACUUUUAUGCUCUAAAAACUCAACAUUACAAUUUUUGAUGAUCUUUUUGGUGUCUAAAUACAUUAGCCUAUAUGCCUUUGUACCUUCACAAUAUCCUAAAAAAAUACACUUUGUACCUUUUGAAUCAAGUUUAGACCUCAUACAAUCUGGUGUCUUUACAUAUACAAAAUAUUCAAAGGUCUUCAUAUGUGAAAUGCAAGGUUGUCUCUCAUUCCAAGCUUCUUAUGGUGUCAUUGAUGCAAGAACACUUGUUGGAUACCUAUUCUUUGUAUAUAUUGUAUUCACUACAGCUUCUGUCUAAAAUACAUAACUAAAAUUUUGAGCAUAAAAUAUACUUCUUAUCAUUUCCACAAUGGCUUGAUUUAUCCUUUCAAUAAUAUUGUUUUGUUGUGGAGUAUAUGGAGUUGUUUUUUGUCUAGCAAUUCCUUCAUUCUUCAAAUAAACAUCAAAUUGCUUAGACAUGCAUUUAUUUCUAUUAUCCGUAUACAGUAUCUUAAUCUUGUAUUCACUUUGUUUCUCAAUAAGUGCUUUAAAUUCAUUAAACUUCCAAAAGCACUCACUCUUUACUUUAAGAAUAUAAAUCCAAAUUUUUUCUUAAAAAAUCAUCAAUAAAAAUAAAAAAAUACCUUAUUCUUCCAAUAUUUGUAGUCUUUAUAUAUCUACAUAUAUCAAAAUGGAUAAUUUCCAAUAAUUUUAUAGCAUGUAUUGCUAUACUACUUGAAAAUAUUAUUCUUUGUUAUUUGUCUUAUAUGCAUUCUUCACAUGUAAGCUAUAUUAUAUUUUAGUUUGUUUUGUCAAGAUCUAAGCCACUUACCAUAGACUUAAGCUUUGCCAUGGUCUUCAUAUUUAAAUGGCCAAGGUGAUGAUGAUAUAUAUAUUCAACUUAUCUUAAUUUGAUGUAAACUCAGCAAAUGUAGCUACUUCUAUUCCUUUGACCUUUUUACACUUGAGGUAGUACAAAUUUCCUUCUCUAAAGCCUUUUGCAACUAUGUUUCUAUACAAUGUUUUUACAAAACAUCCAUUCUUAUUGAAUUGAAUUAUAAAACCUUCUAUUAUAAGUUUACUUACCAAAAAUAGGUUUUGCUUUAUCUUAAGCAUAUGGAGGACGUUUUUGAAUCUCAUCCUAUUGGUUUUUCCAUUCACAACCACUUCUUCCAUAGUAGAACCAAUUCCAAUGGUUUCACAUAUGCCACUAUCUUCUAAAGUCACAUUUGAUGCUGAAAUAGUUUCAAAUAAACACUUAUAAGGUAUCAUAUGCCUAGAACAACCUAAAUCCACAAUCUAUCUUAACAUGGCUAUCAUAGAGGUCCUGUUUGUUGCUGUGAAUGCAUAAUCUUGUCAUCCAAACUCAUCUUAUAAAUGAUUUAUAUUUUCUUUUUUCAAUCUUUUGUCUUUAUAGUAAUUUUGAGUAAAAUGUCCUACUUUGAUAUAAAUGAAGGAAGUUUUGAUAUUACCUCAUUGGUUUGAAUAGUUACCCUUACCUUGUUGUAAAUAGAGUGCUGAAUCUUCACUAAGAGACUUUUUUUUCUUUCUUCUUUGUUACUUCAUUGCUAAGUCUUGCUGUCACAUAGUCCAUUAUAAGAUCUUUUAUCUUGAUGGAUUUCAAAGCCACAAUGAGGUAGUUGUAGGAUUUUGGCAAGCUCAUGAGUAUACUCAUGACAAUAUCUGCUUCUUCUAAAGGUUUGUCAGUAAUUAUAAGCUGAUUUGCAAGUGCCUUCACCUUAUUAAUGUAUACCAUGAGGUCUUGAGCUUCUUCUAUCUUACAUGUAAAGAACUUCUUCCUUAUGUAGAUGAUGUUGGAUAAGUUCUUACUCUCAUAGAUGUUGCAAAGACUCUUCCAUGCUUUUGCUAGUCCUUUACAUGAGAUAAUAUAAGAGAAAUUGACUUCAUCCACAUUACAUGUAAUCAAUCCAAAGAUCUUCUUUUCAAAAUGUUUGUAGUCCUUCUUAUCCUUUGUAUCAGCAUGCAUGCUUCGAGGCUCUUUACUCUCAUCUAUAAUAUCCCUUAGGUCCAAAGAAACCAACAAAAGCUCCAUUUUGACUUCUAAACUUUUUAAUUUCUCUCAAGCCUUCACCCUCACUUGAAUCCAUGUUUAAAGAAGAGAUUUAUCAAAAAGGAUCAAGAAAAAUAGUCUUCAAGCUCUCAAAAUUAGCAAAAAGGAAUUGCUGCCUUAAAAUCUCAAAAUACCUUCUUUAUGAAUAAACUACUGUUUUCACUCUUAAAACACUCUCAACUUCAUUUCUAAGACCUUACAAGUUCAAUGAUCAAUAUAAAUAUCUCAAAUCAGAUUUUUCACUCUUUUAUCACUUUUAUGCUCAUAAAUCAUCUUGAGGUACCAUAAGUGGUCUUUUAAUCACGUUAAGCUCUUUUAAUAUAUGAAAUUAUAAAGUUAAUCUACAAAAGAUCUUAAUCAAUAAGAAAAUAUAAUUCUAAUAUUUCAUAACAUCACCAUAAGAUACAAAUGAAACCCUGAAUGUAAGAUGCACUUAACAAGAAGUAAGAAUAAAUGAAGAUCUAGAUCUAAAUCUGAAUCUAAAAGUUAGGAGUAUCAAAAUUCUAACAUUAACAAUAAUACUAUGAUCUACUCUAUAUAAUAACAAAGACUUCAUAAAACUUCAAAGAAAUUCAAAAAGGAAUAUAAGUGGGUCCAUAAUCUAUUAAAAAAAGAGAAAUUAGAAGCCACAAUACUUGGCAUCAGUAAGGUUGCAUACAAAGUAAAGUGUAGAAUAAGAUGUUUUUCACUUCCAAUACCUGUUACUUAUAAGAGGUGGUUGUUGCCCUAAUGAAAAACUUCCAUCUUUUGAUGAAUAUAUCCAUCCAACAUUCUACCAAGGCUAUCUAUUGCUAUCUUAUUUAUUAUAGUAACAUCUUUUAAUCCUUUGUUAUUUUUUUAUUAUUAAUAACUUCCUAUGGUUUAACUUUAGAUGAUAGCAAGUAUGUAUGAUCUUAUUGAUCUUCAAUAAAUUUUACUAAAAUCUACUUUCAAUUCUUACCUAUACAUGCUUAUAUCAUUAUAUUUUCCAAUCUACUUUAUUUUAUCUUAUUUAUGGCCUUGCAAGGUAAGUAAAAGCCGAUUUUGUAAAAAAACAAUAAUAAUACUUUUUAGUUUUACUAACUUUUUGACUAUUAUCUAUCUUCUAAGAUAAUUUGAUAUAAUAUUUUAAAAUGAGAUCUUCUAUAAUGUAAUAUUUUCUUCUCUCUUUCAUUCAUUAGUCGUAUUACAUCAUGACAAUGCCUAUAGCAAUAAGGUUUGGAAUUUUUCAACAAGGCAGUAAUAGCUCCAAUAAGCUUUUUUUAAGUAUUAUGAUGAUCUUUAAUAUAGAAGUUCUCUAACAAGUAGUAAUUAGCCAACUUGAGCAAGUCUUGAUUCUUUGAAUUUGGAAUUAAAUAUCUUCUCUAAUUUUUAUUUUAUUAAAUUAGCAAUGCAACAACAAGACUAAAAUAAUUUAAUGCUAUUUUUGUAUCUAGUUUAGCUCAAGUAACAUCUAACCUCAAAUAUAACUUGAAUCUGACUAUCUAUAUUAUUCUAUUACUUACAAUCCAAAAUAUCUAAUUACAACUAAUUUAGAAAAUAUUAGUCAUACUUAUACAUAUAAUUUCUUUCUAUAUUAUUAUUGGCAAAAAAGAAUUGAGGACACUUUACUCUCUCAUGGGCUUUACCUUCUACAACUCUAUUGAAGAAGUUCAAUUUAUAGCUCACUCAAUAAAUCUACUACAUUUUUUGAAAAUUUAUAAUUAUUACCAUAUUAUUCAAUGACAUAGGAAUGAAAAAUAAAUUACAAAAUUGACAAAAGAAUGACAAUAAUAGGACAAGUAGAUCCUUGCUCCAUGGAUCAAAUUAGGAAAAAUACUGCUACUUUUAACAAAAAAAGAACCACCUUGCUCCUCCACAAAGAACACAAUAAAUUGUUGGUUGAAUAGAACAAUUAUACUAAAAAACUAAUUAUUGUCAAUUUACAUAGUUGCUUGUUAGUAGAGACUACUACCAACCACAUUACUUUCUGUUAUAGAAAUAAAAUAUAAUAAAAAAAAAUAAGAAGUUGUAAUCCAUAUCACUUAGAAUAUUUGCCAAUUAGAAUGUCAAAUUGAUAUAAUCCUUAAAUAUUAUCUAUCUUCUGUAAAAUGAACCAUCUUCUUCCACUUCUAUUCAUCGAUAAUCCAACACUUAAAGCCAUAGUCUACUACAACAUUGUUGUGUUAUAUUUGUACACAAUAUAUAAAAAUUAAAUAAAAAAUAUAAAAUAUAUUAGUUAUUAGUUUAUAUUUUUUUAUUAUAUAAAAUAUUAAAAAAUAAUUAAAAAUUAGAAUUAAUUAAAUAUUAUAUUAUAAUAAAUAUUAAUAUAAAUAUAUUUAGAAUAUUAUAUAUAUAUAUAUAUAUAUUUAGUUUAUAUUGUCCUAUAUUAUGAUGGAAUUUAUAUUGCUAUGGAUUGGAAGGAUCUUAGAUUUUAGAAAUAAUCUAAUCUUAUUUUAUUGAUAUUAGAGCAAGUGUUAGUAUGUUCUUUGAUAGUAUAUUGAUAGCCAUUGCUUAAUUGGAGGUCAAUUAUUGUAGUCACAUCAAGUACUAUUUUGGAGCUACCACGAGCUACUUUUAAGAAGUCAGCUAGAAGAAGAGAAGAUAUUAUAGUAGCAGAGUUUAAUAUAGAUAUUAGGGUAUAGAAGAUAUGGCAAAGCAAUUCUAAAUGGAAACUGAGAUACAACACUUUUUACACUAAAUACUCUACAAGGACAAAUAGAAUCCUAUAGGAUGAGAGAAUUGACAAUUGUUAGGCUGAAAUUAAAUAAGCGUAAUACAUACUCUGAGAAUUUAAGGCAAGAAGAUGUAUGCCAAUGGCUCUUCAGUAUGUGACAAUACCUUCAACUAUCUCGAUCAAAUACUACCAAAAGAAUUAUAUAUACUGCCAAUUAUUUAAGAGGUACAACAACCAUUUGAUAGCAAUAUUGAAUUCAAAACUAUAGACCUUAAGAUGGAAUUAAAGGAUUCACAAAUAUUUAAGGAAAUAAUUAGGAUUGCAUAGAGAGUCAAUGCUAUAAAUUUUAAAAAUUGUAGAGUACAACUUAUUACACAAUCUAAUACUAUAGCAAAACAACCAACGUUGAUGGAAAUUGAUACCAUUGUCAUAUUGUAGUUUUUUAUAUUAUGUAAAAAACUAAUUAAAAUAUAUAUUAUAUUUGUAAGUCUUGAUAUAGAUUAAAAUAGUUAGUAAGUAAAUUUAAAGUGAUUUGAUAUAAGAAAAUUUAUUUGGAAGUAUAUCUAUUUUGAUUAUAGUAUUUAUAUUAUGUAUAAUUUAGAUAUUUAAUAUAAACCUUGAGAAGAAAUUAGAGCCUAUAGAUAAAAAUCUAAACUAAUAGGAGGCUUAUUGAGAGGGAUGAAUGCAAGGAAUAGAGAUCUUUAUCCCUAUUGGUCAAAGGCCAUGCUCAAUGGACUUCAAGGAGGCUACUUGAGGCCUUAUUAGAAAUUAGGGUUUUUUUUGUAGUCAUUUGAGCUUUAGAGGCUAGAAUCAGCAAGUUUAGGUUUUUGGAUAUGGAUUGGGUACAAAUUUUGUGUAAUUUGGAGUUUUUAUGAAGGAGUUAUUAGCACUCAAAAUUAAGAUAUCAAUUUCAUACCUACUAUCAGUCUUUGGGGCAUAAAAUGUACUUACAAAGAGUAACAAAGGUUUGGCAACUGGGAUUGGAGAGAGUAAUUUUUUAACUACAUAUUAUAUAUAUUAAUUGAUGAAUUUAAAGUUCAAAUGAAGAAGUUAUAGAGUUGAAGUCAGCUCAUCCAAAUCAAAGGAAGUAAGUACAUUAUUUUAUUCAUAGUAAUAGUUGGAGCCAUAUCUUGAAUUUUUGGACAAAUUUUUAGUUGAAAUCUUUUAGAGAAGGUAGAAUAUUGUAUUAAGAAGCUAUAUAUAUAUAUAUAUAUAAAUUUUGUAGUAUUUAAGUACUUAGUUUGUAAAAUAUGAAGAAAAUUGCAUAUAAGUAUAUAAAAACUAGGAUUUGAAGCUACUGUUAGGAUUUUGGUAGUAUCUUAAGAUUUAUGAUGAAUUUGCAGUUAAAAUUUGUUAUAGUUUUUAAAAUUAUAUUAAUACUUUGUUUAAAAUUUGAGUAUGUUUGAAUAGUCCGAUUGAGAGAUAUGAGUUAAUGAAGUUUAAGAAUAAUAUCUCAUAAGGAUAUAUAAGGAUUUAGAAUUUUUAAUCAUAUUUUGGAUAUUUUUGGAAAUUUAAGACUUAUAUAUUUUGUAUUAUUACUCCUAAAAGUGAUAAAUAUAUAUAUAUAUAUAUAUAUAUAUAUAUAUAUAUAUAAACUUAGUCUUUUUUAUCUCAAGACUUGAUUGAGUAAUUAGUAACAAUUAAGAACCUAGUACUUUCUUGAAGCAAAUUCUCUCUAUCCUGAUACCUUGUAAGGAUUACUAGCACUAUAAAGACCACAAAUAUUGAUGCAGAAGGAAUUGUGUUUUUACUGUCGAGAGCUAAGCAACCAAAUUGGAGGUUGUCUAAAAUGUCAAAAUUUAGGCACUAAUAAAUCAAGGCAGUUUCACUAACUUGAGAUUCACCAAAUUGAUAACAGAUUGGAACAAAGAAAUAGAGCUUUUUAAUAAAAGUAUCAAAAGUAAAUACUAAAAAUAAAUGCUAUCUUUUAGAAAUAAAUAAUAUAGCCUUAGAUAAUUAUAAAAAGAAUUGACUAGAAUAUCUAAUAAGUCGAUUAAGAAGACAGUCAUGUUGAGUGCUUGUAGAUUGCGGUUCUAUAAAAAAUUACAUCUUGACUAAAAUUACUAAUCAACUUGGAAUUAAAAUCAAGAUAUUUAAAAAAAAAAGUUUAUAUAUGAUAGAUGACUAAAAAAAUAUAUUGAAUGAGACAUAUGAAGAAGAAAUCUUAAGGUUGAGUAACACUGAUACCUUAAGAGAGAAAUUUAGGGUAACAAAGCUUAGAUAUGAUAUUAUUCUUAGUAUGCCAUGGCUACAGGUGAAAAACAAAUAAAUUGAUUUGCUAGCAAGGAUGAUCACUUUUAAAGAUGAUGGAUACAAAGUGACUUUUUAUACCUCUACAUCAAAUGAUGUAGAAAGUCAAUCUGCACUUAAAUUCUUUCUUGUAGGAAUGAUCUUUAUAAAGAAGCAAAUAUAAUAUAAACAACUAAUAUAUAUGUGGUUCCAAAUCUUGCCUCAGUAGAAAAAAAGACAAUCAAAGGAAUAGAACGAGCAAAAUAAUUCAUACAUAAAUAUUAGAAGAUCUUUCCAAGCAAUUUGUCUAAUAGCUUACCACUUAAUUAAGGUAUCUUCUUCCAAAUAGAACUAUUGCCUAAGGCUAAAUUCAUAAGUUAACUAAUUUAUUGACUAAUAUUAAAUAAACUUAAAGAACUAUGAAAGACAUUGGACGAAUUCUUGGAGAAGAGCUUCAUUUAAAAAAUCAUGUCACCAUAGAGAGCAUUUGUACUCUUUGUAUCUAAAAUUGAUAAUGGACUUUGGCUUUUCUUUGACUAUUAAGGCCUCAAUAAACAAACUAUCAAAAAUACAUAUCUAUUUUUAUAUAUAGAGAAUCUUCUUAAUCAAUUUUAAGGUACAAUCAGCUUUAAUAAAUUGGACUUUUGGAGUGGUAUUGGCAAAUACCUAUUGAAAAAAAGAAUAUGAAAAAGAUGGCCUUUCAUAUGUGCUAUGGAUAUUUUGAAUGACUUAUUUUAUAUUUUAAGCCUUCUUUAUGAAUUAUAUGAAUAAAUUAUUUCAAGACCUUUUAAACAAGUAUGUAGUUGUUUUCAUUAAUGACAUCUUAAACUAUAGUAAAACUCCUAAAAAGUAUAAGCAACAUCCAUAGGAAGUAUUAUACUAACUAUAAGAUAGUUGUUUCUAUUACAAGCAAUCUAAGUGUGAAUUUUGGAAGUUAGAGGUCACCUUUUAGGCCAUGUUGUAUCAUCCAAAGGCAUGUGUAUGGAACAAGAUAAAGUAAAAAAGGCAAAAGAUUGGCCAACUUCUAAAGAUGUUUCUAAAAUUUGAUCAUUCUUAGGCCUUACUAAAUAUUAUUGCUAUUUUUUUUUGACAAUUUGUAUACAUUGCUGCUUCACUAAGAAGUCUAUUGAAAAAAAGGGCUUUGUUUGAAUAAAAAUUGGAGCAAAAAAGGGCCUUUAAUAAGUUAAAGGAUGCUUUGAGUAUAAAAUUUACUCUUCAACUUAAUUAUAAGAUGGCUUCAAUUAAGAGUUAAUUAUAAUUGGUGGUGUGAAGUAAAAGUAAGAAAGAUAAGAAAAAAAGAAGCAAAACACAAAAUAAGUGGAACAAGUGCAAUCGAGCAAUUAUACACUACAAAACUAAUCAUGGUCUAUUCAGUGAAUUUUAACUCAAUAAAAAAUAAAAAUAAAAAAAUAAAAAAAUUAUUUUUAAUUAUUUUUUUAACCUUUUCAAUGGUGUGAGAAACAUAUAAAUCCAAGUUAUUAUGAGUAAGUUAUGAAGGUUUGAAAAAUAACAAGUAAAUAAAUAAAAAGUUAAGUAAAUAAUUUUACUUCAAAGAUAACUUGUUUAAGAGAUCAGGAGUUCGAGCCUCACUAAGGCUCACAAGUAGUAUAUAUUGGUUGUUAAGAGAUGCCACGAGGCCUAAGUCUUAUCUUCCUAACUACUUUCAAAGUGCUAUAAUCCAUAUAGGACUUAAGCACCUCCCUUCUUACAAGGAUUAUACUAGCUAUUGAUCCUCUUAUUUUUUACUAAUAAAACAAAUAAUUUUAUAUUUUUGACUUCACCAUGGUAUUUAAAAACACCCAAUUAGCCUAAAAACUUGACGUUGCCUUCAAAUAUUACUUCAUUUCUUCAUAAUGGCUUCCAAAGCGAUAAAACUCAUUUUUACUAAAGACUUGAAAAUUGCUCUAAAUAUUUCUAAAAAAUUCUAAAUAAAUUCUAAAUAAAUUAUAAAAAUUUAUAUAAUAUUUCUAUAAUAUUAAAAUCAAUUUUAAGCUAUAUUUUCUUACCUUGAUGAUUUUUUAUAGUAAUAAAAUCAAAUUAAAUCUAUUAUAAAUCCUACUUUCUAUAUAAAUAACUGAAAUGACAUGAAGUUCUUUCUCAUAAUUUUUUUGAAUACUAACUAAUAUUUAUAGUUUUUUAUAAGUAAUAAAUUUAGAUAAAAGUUCAAUAUAGAUAUUGAUCUUAAUAACUAAUACUCAUUAUGCAACAAUAAGUAAAAAUUCCAAAUCAACUAAAAUAAUUACCUCUAAGAUUGAUUAAGACUCCAUUUCUUCUCUACUAAUACUAUUCUCUUUUAUUUAAUAUCUUCUAAGCACAUUUCUACCUAAAAAUUAUAAUUUUGGCACUCUACAUACAUUCUUUUAUCCUAAAAUAACUAGUGAGUCAAUUUGAUGACUCAUAGAUGUACUUAUUAUUGCUCCAAUAUUACAAUUGUAUGAUUCCAAUCUUCUAUAUACACUUGACAUUGAUGCUUUAGACUUUGUUAUUGGCACGACCUUUCAACAAGACUUUUGUAGGGACCUUCAACCUUUGUGUGAGCUAAUUCCUCCACCCUUAAUUGCGUUUAGUAGUCAAGUGGAUUAACUUCACUCACACGCAAUUUUUAUAAACCCUAAGUUCAUUCAUAAACCCUAAGUUCAUCCAUAAAUCCUAAGUUCAUCCAUAAUCCUAAGUUCAUCCAUAAACCCUAAGUUCAUCCAUAAACCCUAAGUUCGUCCAUAAACCCUAAGUUCAUUCAUGCUAAAUUUCCAUUCAUCAAUCAUCCAUCCCUUAAUUCUCAUUCAUCCCAUAACAUUCAUUCAUUCAAAGUUUGUUCAUCCAAUUUUCAUCUAAAGAUUCAUUCAUCCAACCAUAAGUCAACUUAUCAUCCAACUGACAAUUCGUACAAUUGACCUAAUUCAUCCAAGAUUCAUCCUAAAAAUUAAAGAAAAUUGGAAGUCGCCUCCUUCCAGUCAUGGUAUCGACCCCCUUGCACGAAUUCCACUACAAUGGUUGCAUCACUAACUUGUUUAUAACAAGCUUUACUAUUUUAGAAAGUAGACUUACAAGCGCUGUCUUCCAACAAAAUUCAAUGCAAAAAAACAAUUAAGCUAAAAGAAAUCUUGCCUCAAAGUUGCCUGACUUUCUCGGCCUAGUCAGAGUACCCCUGGCCACAAAAACCCUUGCCCUUGCUCCAUUCCAGUUGUGCAACGCAUAUGCUUUAGCAUUCCAGAAACUAGAAUUCAAGCCGCAUCACCUCCAAUAAUUUUUUCUUGAAAAUCUUGAGUGAAUUCCAAGAUAUGACCUUCCAAAGUAGCUUGAGUUGGCGGAGUGCUACAUCUUCACCAAGGCCGACUCCUCUUCACUCCAACCACCAUAACUUCCUUGGCCUUUACUCAAUCUAAGCGUGCAAAUAGUCCUUACAAAGUUGACAACAAGAACCAUCCACCACAAAAGUUUCAGCUCCAAAUUCAAUACUGUCCGCCAACAAUCGCCUUCCAAAGUCGGACCUCCAGAUCUGGCCGGCAGCUGACCUCCUUGUCACUAAAACACCACAACUUUCUUGUUUUCUCCCAAACAAAGCGUGCCUACUGUCCCGAGGAAGCUAACGACAAGAUCUAACUAUUGGUAAAGUUUGACGUUCUAUUUCCAAAUAACUAAUACACUACAGCUGCGCAAUUGCAGCUCUAGAGAAACAAGGGUACAUGGGGAAGCAAUUUGGCAUGGCUUCGCCUGAAAGAAAAAAAAAAAAGAAAAAAAAAAGAAAGGGAGUGUGGCCACCCCCACCCUCUUAUCUAAGUAGGAAGAGACCAAAGGGUGGCGGCCACAUCUCCACCAUCCGAAUCCACCAACCCUAACCAAGAUCAAGGGCCCACAUUAAUCCUAAGUCCUAAACCCGAUUUUAGGGCUGGACAUGCCCAAAACCCCCAAUUCGAAGCGUUUUUUUUUUAACAAAACUAACUCCACCAAUGUGUUUAAAACAUAUUUAAACAUCAAGUUUGACUAUUCAUACACCCAAAUCUAAGUUCUAGAUCAUUAAGAACCAACAAUUUGACAACCCCAUCACAAUAAAUUUACUUCUAAUUAUUUUCUUCUCCUUUUUCUUCUUCUUCUCCUUGUCCCUCUUCAUCUUCUUUCUUCUCUCUUCUUGGCCUUUUUGUUUUCUUUUCUUUUUUUUUUCUUUUUUUUUUUUUUUUUGGCUCUUUUUCUUAUCUUUUCCACCACUCCCUUCUCCCUUGAUUUUUCUUUCCACUACUAAUCAUCAAUAAGCCACUAACAUUAAUGUCUAUAACUAACUUAUUAUAACAAAACAUAGUCAAAAUCCUCAUUUUUUUUUAGAUUUUUUUAGUUUAACCAACAAUGUGAACCAACUUUUGGGCUCACACUUUGGCAUGUAGAUUAUAUAAGCCCAAAAGAAUAGAGUACAAUUAAUUUGUAUAAAAUUUAGAAUAACUAAGAAUUAUAUAUAUGAUAGAGAUGUGACAAUAUUAUCUAUUGGAAAAGCUAGUAGUUUUUCAGAUUAACCUUUGGUUCUUACUACAUAUUUUGUAUCUGAAAAAUAUGAAAUCAUGAUGUUAUUAUUGAAAAAAGUAAUUGCAAUUCUUUGACAUUCAGCUUGAAUAUAAAUAAAGGCAAUAAUAUACCAUGCUAGACAACUUAUUGCAUAGACCAAAGUUGAAGCUCAAAUUAGAUGACAAGGCAAAAGUUUCUACUAUUACUAGUACAAUUUCAAACCUAACUAGAACAACAAAAUAGAAAGAAACUAUGCAUUGGCAUGCUUAUUUUAAGAUGAUUAUUGAUUUGCUGAAAAUCGGCAAUGUGUAAUAUUAAGUUUACCAUCUUAGUAAUGGCUUACUCUAUUUUAAGAAGUAGAUUUAUAUACUUGAUAAUUCUAUAUUCCAACUAUACAUAUUUUAAAAAGAACAUGAUAUUUCAAUAUUUAGACAUUUAAGGUAUGAAAAGACUCUUGAACAAAUCUCAAGGACAUGAUUUUGGAUAAGUUUGGAUUGUAAUAUUUGAGCUUUUGUAUAUUUUUACGAGUCAUGCCAAUAUAACAAAGCAUAUAACGCAGUAUCUUGUAGAUUAUUGCAGUCAAUUCUACUCUAUAGAAUACAUUGAAUAGAGGUGACUAUGUGAAAUAGGACUAGACUAUCUCAAAAAUCUAAGAUCUUUCCAAUCCACAAUAAUAUAAGGCCUUCUCACAAAAUAGGACAAAAAAAAUUAGAAUAAAAUUAUAUAAAACUAAAAAGAAUAAGACAUGAAAGAAAAAUUGAGCAAUCAAAAAUAGAAUAGAACAGAUCUUAACUAAAAGAUACAAAACCAAACUUUACUAAGAAAAAAGGUUCAAAGCCAUACCUGACUAGAUGCUCCAAAAUGCUAUGGCCAAUCUUAUUUAUACCUUAUCCUACUACCUUAGAUUUUUAAGAAGGUUCCUAGGUCAUAAGUCCCAUCUAGAUAAGUUCCUUAAAAAAAAAUUUAAAAAAAUUUUAUGAUAUGCCCCAUCUAAAUAACUAUCCUAAAUUCUUUUUUGAAUAUUCUAAGAUGGAUCCUACUUAGUCCACUAACUUAACCUCAAUUCUAAAAACUUCCACAAUUCUAUUUAUCUAUAUAAUUAUCUUAUCUAUAUCCUAUUACAUUAAAGAUCUCUUUAUAUGUUUACCAUAGAUGCCUUACAAUCAUAUUAUAGUUGCUAUUUUUGUGGAUCGAGUUUUGAAGCAACUUCAUUUUACUAUGGUAUGCUUUGAUAUUGAUGCUUGAAUACUUAUAUAGAUCUUCUUUGAUAUUAUCUUUUGUCACUAUGGAUUACUUUAUGUUAUCAUUUCAAAUCAAAAUCCAUGCUUUUUGAGAAGUUUUUGAUAAGCUUUGUUUAAGCUACUAUGCACAUGGCUUGUUAUAUCCAUUGCCUUCUAACUUCAAAUAGAUGGACAAAUAGAACAUGCAAAUUCGAUAUUAGAAUACAUGCUAUAAGCAUUUGUGACUAUUUAUUAUAAUAAAUGGUAUGAAUAUUUGACACUAUCAUACUAUAAAUACUUAUAGUAUGUAAAAAUUAGUUAGAACAUAUAAUAUGUUCAUAAGUCUUGGUGUAUGUUAGAAUAGUUAAUAGAUUAAUUUAAAGAAAGUGGAUUUAAGAAACUUUAUUUUGAGUUUUAUCUUUUUAAUUAUAGCAUUUUAAAAAAAAUUAUAAAAUCUAAAUUUUCGUAUGAAGCCUUGAGAGGAGAUUAGAGCCUAAAGAAGAAAUUCUUAACUAGUAGGAGGCUUAUUGGGAGGGAUGAAAGCAAGGCAUGAUUGGAUGAAGGCAAGGAAUGGGGAUCUUCAUUCCUAUUCGACAAAGGCCAUGCCCAAUGGACUUCAAGGAGGCUGUCCGAGGCCUUAUUAGGGAUUAGGAUUUUUCUUUCAAAGACAUUUGAGCUUUGGAAGCUAGAAUCAGCAAGUCAGGGUUUUGGAUAUAACUUGGAUGAAGAGUUUGUGUGAUUUCGAGUUUUUAUGAAGGAGAUAUAGGUGUUCAAAGUUAAAGUGUCAAAUUUGUACCUACUGUCACUCUUUGAAGCAUAACAUAUGCGUACAAAGAGCAAUGAAAGAUCAACAAUUGGAAUUAGAAAGAAUUUUUUUUGGCUAUACUUAACAUAUACUUUUUGACGAAUUUUAAGUCUAGAUGAAGGAGUUAUAGGCAUUGAAGACAAUACAUGUAAUUCAAAGGUAGUAAGUCAUUCAUUUUAUUGAUAGUAAUGGUUUAAGCCAUAUCUUGAGUUUUUAGAUGAAUUUUUAGCUCAAAAUUUUCAUAAGCGUGAGGUAUUAGGUUAAAAAGCUAUAGAUCAAAAUUCCAUAGUAUUUGGGUAUUUAUUUUGUGAGAUAUAAAGAAAAUAGCACGUCGAUGUAUAUAAGCUAGGGUUUAAAGCUACUGUUAGGAUUUUGGUGAUAUCUCAAGAUCCAUUAUGAAUUUGUAAUUGAAUUUUUUUGUGGUAGUUUUUGAAAUUGUAUCAGUAUUUCAUGUAAAAUUUUAUAUUAUUUGGGUAGUCCAAUUGUGAGAUAUAGAUUGUUGAAGUUCAAGAAAUAUUUUUCAUAUGGAUAUAUAUGGUCUUAAGAUACUUUAUCAUAUAUUUGGGUGUUUUUUUUAUACUUGGACUUAUGUAUUGAUGUAAUUUUCCUAUAAGAAAAAAUAUUAUAUAUAAAAACUUGGUACUUUAUAUAUUAGACUUGAUUGAGUAUUUAGUGGUAGCCAAAAGCCCAGUUCUUUCUUGAGGCAAACUCUCUCUAUGCCAAAAAUACCCUUAAAAUUUGACUAUAAUGAUAGUAUUCAAGUAAGUAUUAAUCAUUCACCAUUAUUUCUUAAUACUGAUCAGUAUCUAAUUAUACCAACAACUCUCCAUUGUCUCAUUUACAUUAACAACUUGACAAUAGAAGAUUCUAUACAACGGCUUACAAUAGCUUUGUAGAAGAUACAAUAGUGCCUCCUUACUAUACAAAAUUGACAAAAAUAGCAUAAAAAUAAUCAAUGAUAAUAUAAGAACUUUGAAGAGGGUGACUAAGUACUAGUCUCCAAUGCCAACUUUUUAUUUGCUACUUCAAACCAAAUUCAUAAGUUGUCACUUUGGUAGCUUGGACCUUUUUACAUUUCUAUAGUGAUUUUUGAUAUUGUAUACUACCUUGAACUUCUAUCACAUAUUUAGAUCUAUUUGGUCUUUUAUAUUUCAUAAUUCAAAGAAUUUCAUACUAAGCUAAGGUACUUUUUGGAUUGACAUUAACUACUAUCACUACCAUCAAUUACAAUUGAUAACCACCAAGAGUAUUGUGGUUGUUGUUUUACUUAUUCUACAAAUUUAUUUCAAAACAAACUUGUAGAGGAGAAUUUGAAUGUACAAAAAGACUAACCACAUGAGUUUACAUAUUAGAAUCACACAAUUAAUCAUAUUUUGAACUACUAAAAUACCAAAGAAUACUACAAUGCUUUCUCUCAUUAAUAAUACUCCUUCAUCAACUAAUAACAAUAAUGUGCAAUCUUGCACUCUCAAAAGAUCACUCAAAAUACACAAAUUUCAUCCAAAUACUAGAAAUAAUAAUCUUCAACUUCAACCAAUCUUGCUUCACUUAAUUUCUAUAAUCACAAACUUCUUCUGUCGAAACACACAACUCUCAAUUAACAACAAUCAUAAUCUUCCAUCCAAAAUCAAUCUUCUACAGAAUCUAAUAACAAAUUUCUAAUAUCCUCUCAUAAUAAUUCAAUCACACAGUAUUCCAAUUACAUAAUCAAUAUUUUAUAAAUCAAUCUCCAAUUUAUUCCACAGAUUCACUUCAUAAUAUUCAAAAACCAUCCAUUAUUCUUCAAGUACAUAGAAAAUAAAGAGGUAGCACUAAGCUUAUCUUGACUCAUAACUAUCUAAGUCUGAUCCCUCCCAUAUCUUCUUCAACUUACUUAUGCUUUAUUUCUAAAAUUUUAGAUUUUAAUUGUUAUUCUCUACUUAAUCAUUUUUCACAACUAAUUCAAUCAUUCAACCUACUGAAUUGACAAUCCUAGGACUGAUUAAUCUACUUUACUUAUAUCUUACAAAAAUAAAUUCCUAUCCAUUCUACAAGUAUGAAGUGGAUAAUAUUUUUGAACAUUGUUAUAUUUUCCAUGGUAAUAGAUAUCUAAAACUUUAGUAUAAAGUACUUUGAAAAGAUUAUUCUAUCCAUAAUGUAUUAUGGGAGAUUGCACAAAACCUCAUCUAUUGUCAAGAAAUAAUUUGGAAAUACCAUCAAGAGCAAAACAAAGAUAUUCCAUAUUAAUGGAAGAGAAUUAAUUACAACACGGUAUAGAUAAGAUAUUUGUAUUAUUAAUGCAUAGAGAUAGGUAGUUAGAACCAUGUUUGAAAAGUUUUUAGAAGUUUUUAGAAAUUUCUAUAAUUAAAACUAGAUUGAUGGUUUAUGUAGAAUCUACCAUAGAACAUUUUAAAAAGGACUUAGAAUAAUUAACUAAGUAGAACCUACUAUUAGAAAUACUCUAAAAAAUUCUAAGAUGGUUGAACAAAAUAUAAAUAGGAUUGAUCAAGGCCAUUUGGAUAUCCAAUCAAAUAAAGCUUUGGUCCCUUUUUCUUAAUAAAGUUUGAUUUUAUACUUUUUUGUUCAAUUCAAUUUUAUUUUCUUUUACUAUGUUUUAUCUUUCAUAUUCUAUUUUAUUUAGUUUUAUUCAAUUUUUUCCUAAUUUAUGUUGUCUUACAUUAUGAUGGGAUUUAUAUUACUAUAGAUUAAAAGAAUCUAAAAUCUUAGAAAUAAUCCACUCUUAUUUCAAAUAGAAUUUAAGAUUUAGAAUUUAGAAAUAGAUUAGGAUUUAGGAUUUUGAAAAGGUGGCAACUCUCUUGAGAAGAAAAUAUAAAGACUUUCAAAGGAAAUUUUUGCUCUCUUGUGUUUUCUUUUUAUAAAUGUUUAAUGAAGAAAAAAUUUUGAUAUAAGAAGUAAGUAUAAUUACAAAAGAAUUUUAUUCAUAAAAAGUUGUAUAUGUUCUAAAGAUACAAGAUAAUAGAGCAAUAAGUAGAAAUGAGAAGCUUGAUAUUUUUUAAGAUAAACUCUCUCUAUACAACAUAUUGGUACUUCCACUAAAAGAACCUUGAGAUACUUAUUGUUCUAUUAGGAACAAUAUAUAAUGUUGAUUUAGGUUUUGAAAUACCAAAAGGAUUUACUUCAAACAACUUAUUUUGAGUAUUUGGAUAAUUCAUGGAGCAACAACAAUAAGUUCAAGAAUGUAAUAAAGAUACUACAAAAGCCUUGCAAGUUAUUGUUCAUAAUAUUAGAAGAUUUAAAAGAAAAAAUAUCAUCAAAUUCUUUAGGAUCUACGUAUGCAAGAUGGAAGUACAUAAAGUUUCAAAGGUAAAGAUAAUCUCUAUUUUUGAUCUUGCUAUUAUUUCAAAGAUUAGAAACAGAGUAAAAAAAUUACAUGAAGUUUCUAUUUUUAGAGCAAACUUAUGGAUCUUUUCAAAGUUAAAUUUUUUGAAGAAGAUUUAGAAAAGAUGACUAAGAGGUUAUUUUUAGAAUAGAUUGAAUAUAGUCGUAGAUAUAAAAUGGAUCCAAAAAAGUUAAUUAAAGAUUUUAAGAAGAAAUUUGGCCAAUUAUUAAGAUAUAUGAAUAAUUUUUUGAUACAAAAAAAAUCAAGUUAUUUUUACAAGUAACAAAUGAUGAUUUGAAAAAAAAUUAUUUAUUUUAUUUAAUAGAUAAAGAAUCUAAGAAUGGCUUUAUUAUUGAUUGAAAAAUGAUGAAGGAGGUACUUGGAUUUUUAGAUUAACAACAAAAGUUCAAGACUUAGAGUUAUUUGAAAAAAUUAGAUCUAGUUCUCAUUGUCCAAACUUCUUGAUUAACUCAAAAGAUGAAUAAGAUUACUCAUGAUGAAUUACUACAAGAAUUAAUCAAAGGUAUGAAAAUUUUGAAGGUAGAAAUGACAAAAUUCAAAAAAUUCAAAAACCUACUACAUCAAAUAUUCCAAAAGGACCUAAGAGAUAUAUCAAAAGAUAUAUGUAGUAUGAUAGUCCAUGCUACAAGUGCGAUAAAUGUAAUAACUUUAAAGUGGUAAUCAAAGAAGGUAUUGUUUAUUUAAAGAAUGAAAAGAUAAGACUUUCAAGCUUUAAUGAACCUCUUAGGACCAACUUUGAAAAAAGAGGUAUGAAAAAAUUGAUAGAAGAAUAAAUCAAUAAGAAUAAUACUAUAUCUAAAAAAGAAGCAAAAUCUUAUACCAUUAAAGUAGAACAAAGAAAAGUGAAGGUUGUAGAUUCACCAAAAAUUGAUGCUAUGAAGAGAAGAGCUGAGGUUAUUAGAAGAAUGACUAGGUGGGAAGAUGUGGUUGAUGCUAUGAGCAUUAGAACUUUUUAAGAUAAAGAUCAAGAAGUUGCUGGUCUAUAUGGUAUUAGAAUUUGAAAAAAAGAGGUAGAAUUACUCAAUAAGAAAACUCAAUUGAACUUUCCAACAAGACAAGAGCAUUAGAGAAGAAAAAAGAAAAUAAAAAAGAUGCAUCAAAGAAGGCCAAAGAUAAAUUCAUACUUAUAAAUUUGAAUUUGAUAUUAAAAUAUCUAUUUAUAUAAAGAAUAUUUUAGAAGAAAAAAUUUUGGAUGCCAAAAUUAAAUUUACCUUGAAAAAAACUUUUAAUAUAGUAAAGAAGGAUUUUCAUAAAUUGAUCAUUGAUGUAAUAAAAAAAAAAGAGAAAAAUGACAAUUAAGGCUAUUAUGAUUGAGGCAUUAAAAAUUUAGAUGACUUAAGAUGAAGAAGAAGAAAUAUAACAUGUAUUUGUCUAAUCUUCAAUACCAAAAGUAAGGAGAGAAGGAAAUGUAUUAAGUGGAGGUAGAAUAAAACUUUUUUGUAUAAAAUUCAGCUACAUAUUUGAUAGUUCUUAGUCAAUCUUAUAUCAUUGCUAUAAAAAUGAAAAUUAGAACUUUGGAUAAUAGUCUCUAUUAUACUAAGAUAAAAAAUAAAGUAAGAUUGACGUUUUGGAUAAUUUCAAGAAUUUGGUAAUAGAUCUACAAGUGAAAUUUUUAGGUUUGUGGGUGUAGUUUUACUAGAUGUGUGCUAUAAAUUUGAAUUUCAUCAAAUGGUUAGAUUGAAAAGCAUGAAGGUUUUUGUGGAUUAUGGUCUUGAAAUUUUGGGUUUUGAAGACUAGUGAGGUUAUUUUAGAUAUUUGUCAAUCAAUCAAUUAGAUUGAAGCAAAAUUUUUCACAAAGAUAGUUAGCUUGAUUUCUAAUAAGUAUGUAAAGUUUGAGAGCAAAGUAAUGGUUCAAUCAUGAGUAAUUGACUUUGGAAGAUUAGUAUCAAGGUCAGAAAAGGAGGCUGGCCAACACCUGAGCACAUUUUUGAUAUUAUCAUCUAUUUGGUAAUUUCAAUUUUUUAAAUUUUUUUGUGAUUAUUUUUAACUUAAUUAUUGAAGAAUUUACAAGAUUUGAAUUGAAAUCAAUAGUUCAAAUAUUAGUUAUUAAAUUUCAAAAUUUAUUGUAAGAUUGUUAGAAAUUUAUUUGAGAUUUAAAAAAUUGAUUAGAAUUUGGUUAGGAUUAAGAUUUGAUUAGAAUUUAGGUUUUAAUUAGGAUUUGGAUUUGAUUAGGAUUAGGAUUUGAUUUGGAUUUCUUUAGGAUCUUUUUAGGAUUCUUUUAAAAUUCUUUGAAGGUUCUUUUGAAUUUCUUUAGGAUAUCUUUAAGAUUCUUUAGAUUUCUUUAGAAUUUUCUUGUAUUUUUUUAUGAUUUAUUUCAAAAAAUAAAAAUAGAAUAUAAUAAAAUAAUAAUAAUAAUAAUUAGAAUUAAUUAAUACUUGAUUAUAUUUAUUAAGCUUCUAUAGUAAUUUAUAUAUAAUUUUAUUAGAAUGAUUAGGAUUUAUUAUUGCAAAUAUUUUUAAUCUUCUAUAGCCAAGUGCCCAAUACAUUCUCAAGCAAGACUUCAUUUAAUGCAAUAACAUCAUGAACAAGAUAUUUAGGAAUUUUAUUCCUAAAAAGACUCUACUUUUUUUGGAUGAUGUUCUUAUUAAGAGGUGCAAAGAAAAAAACAAGGAUUAGACUAAAUCCUAAACCUGGUCGCAAGUAUGUUGCUGAUUAUAUACAAGAUCAUAAAAAAUUAUUGAUUUGGCUUGAAAAAAUUCAUCUUAUAUUAUCCAAUGCAAAAUCUACAUUUGGAGUAUAAGAUGUUGUAGUUGUUGGAUAUUUAUGUAGAUUUUAUGGAAGAAAAUCAAAUCCAAUGAAAGUUGAUACAAUUAGAAAAAUAAAAGAAAAAUGUAAUUCUCUAACAAACAUUUGUAGGUUUUUUGAUGCAUGUGUAUUUUAUCGUAAUUAGAUUCUUUACUAUGCUUAUAUAGCAAAUCCAUCAUAUGAAUUGUUAUGCAAGGGCUAUUAGUUUAAAUAGAAAGAAAAGCAUAUUAAAGCGGUACAAAUAUUGAAGAAAUUAUUGAUAUCACCUCUUAUAUUAAAAAAAUUUAAUAAUAAGUGUAAUAAACAAGUAAUUUUUACAGUGGAUAUUAGUCCAAUUGCUAUUGGAUGGACUAUAGAUUAAGAUGAUUUGAAUGGAUAUAGAUUUUCAAUCUAAUUUGAAACUAAGAUUUUAAAUAGUCUCUAACAUGCAUAUUUAUAAGUGAAAAGAAAAUUAUAGGAGGUUAUUUCUACUAUGAAAGCUAAAAAAGAUUAUUUGAUAAUAGCAAUGGUGGUAAUUGAAACAAAUUUUUUACUUUUACUUGGAAUAACUAUUAAUUAUAUAACACUGGAUAUUACAAUUUUGACAUAGAUUAAAUCCGAAAUUUAGGCAUGUAAUAAGAAAAGACAAUCUGAUAGCAAAUAUGUUAUCUCAAGAAAAAUAUUAUAGAAAAGAUGAAAUGAUUGAAGAUAUUGAUGAUGUGGGUCCAAAUAUUUAUCUGAUUUUGUAAUUGAAUAAGAAAGAUAAGCCCUUUCAUGGAAAAAAUUAUGAACAAGAGUUAUUAGACAUUGGACAUUAUUUGAGCAUGUUAACCAAGCGUAGUAAUUGGUAAGUUGAAAAAUUUAAACAGAUCAGAAAAAAAGCAUAUAGGUUCAUAUUAUAAGGAAGAUUUCUAUAGAAGAGGCCAAAAUCAAAUAUUGGAAUGCCACGAUAAGUAGUAGGUACCAAAAAAGAUCAAUAAGACUGGUCAAGGAGUUUCAUAAUAGUCUAUAGGCAGGACAUAGAGGAAUUUGGGCUACUUUUACUAAAUUAAAAGAACAAUAUUAAUGGAAGAAUAUAUGAUGUAGCUUCAUUUGUAGAAUCUUAUGUAACUUGUCAAAUGUAUACAAAUAUAUGACAUCAAGAUAAUUUACAUCCAAUAUAUCUUUUAACUAUUUAUUUUAAAUAGGUUAUAAAUUUGAUUAUUAUAUUGAUGGUACUAUAGCAAAUAAAAUAUUUAGUUUUGGCUUAUGAAGAUUUAUCAAACUAAAUAGAAGGCAAGGCAAAAAGAACAAAGUCCACAAAAGAAAUUUACAAGUUUUUGUUUGAAAAUGUUAUUUGUUGCUAUGGAUGUUUGAAAAAGUUUACUAAAGAUUGUACAAAAUUAGAUGCACAUGAAGCUUAUGAAUUUUUAAGAAAUACGAUAUCAUACUGUAAAAGCUUAUAAUAUAUAAAAAUUAAAUAAAAUAUAUUAUAUGUUAAUAAAUCUAGAUAUAUGUUAGAAUGGUUAAUAGAUUAAUUUAAUGAGAGUAAAUUUAAGAAACUUUAUUUUGAAUUUUAUCUUUUUUGAUUAUAGUAUUUAAAAAAAUUAUAGGACCUAAAUGUAUAGUAUGAAGACUUGAGAGGAGAUUAGAUCCUAAAGAAGAAAAUCUUAAUUAAUAGGAGGCUUAUUGAGAGGGAUGAAAGCAAGGUAUGGUUGAAUGAAGGCAAGGAAUCGGGAUCUUUAUUCCUAUUGGUCGAAGGCCAUGCCCAAUGGACUUUAAGGAGGCUGCCCGAGGCCUUAUCAAGGAUUAGGAUUUUUUUUCGAGGUCAUUCGAGUAUUGCAAGCUAAAGUCAUCAAUUUUAGGUUUUUGGAUAUGAAUUGGAUGCAAAUUUUAUGUGAUUUGGAUUUUUAAUGAAGGAGUUAUUGGCGCUCAAAGUUAAGGUGUUAAUUUCAUACCUAUUAUCACUCUUUGGGGCAUAAUACAUGUUUACAGAGAGCAACAAUGGAUCGGUGACUAGAGUUGAAGAGAGAAUUUUUUUUACUACACUGUUCAUAUACUAUUUGAUGAAUUUAGAUUUUGGUCGAAGAAUUUAUAGAGGAUUGAAGUUAGUGCAUCCAAAUCAAAGGGAGUACACAAGUGAUUUUGUUCAUAUUAAUGGUUGGAGCCAUAUCUUGAGUUUUUAGAAGAAUUUUGGGCUCAAAUCUUUCGAAAAAGGUACAUAAUUGUGUUAAGAAACUAUAUAUAUAAACUUUGUAGCAUUUGGAUGUUUAGUUUGUGAGAUAUGAAGAAAAUUGCAUGUUGGUGUAUAAAACUAGGGUUUGAAGCUACUGUUAAGAUUUUGGUGAUAUCUUAAGUUUUGCAAUGAAUUUUUUGUUGAAAUUUAUUAUAGAACUUGAUAAGAAUACAUUAAUACUUCAUGUAAAAUUUGAGUAAGUUUGGACAGUUGGAUCAAGAGAUAUGAGGUAUUGAAGUUCAAGAUUAAGUAUGAUUUAAACUAUUAUCAUUAAUUAUUGCUUAUAAUCCAAAAAGAAAUACAAAGAGUGAAUGUGGACAUCUACCAAUUGUAAAAGCCUUUGUUAAAACUUGCAAUAGAAGAGUGAAAGAAUGGACUCAACUUCUACACUAUGCAUUAUGAGUUGAUUAAACAAUAUAUAAUUGAGUGAUAAGAUUUAUGCUAGUAGAACUCAUGACAAGUCAAAAAUCUAUUAUGCCAUUUGAAGGGCAUGUAUCAACUUGGAGUAUGCAACCUUGAAAACAUAGAUUGACAAAAGAAAAUUGUUGGCUAUUAGAAUUCAACAACUUUAGCAAAGAUCAAAAGAUGUCGAGCUAGCAUUGAAAAGAUUACAAAAUGUUAGGCUAAGAAACAAGGCUCAGUUUGAUAGAUAAUAUUGAUUAAGGCCUAGAGCAAUUGAAGAAAGUGAUUGGAUAUUUGUUUAUGAGAGUAGUUUGGAUAACCAUCACAGUACUUUGUAGAAGUUUUCAAAAUGGUGGUUUGGACCGUAUAUAGUAAUAAUAGUCUAUGAUAAUGCCACUUAUUAAUUGAAGGAGUUGGAUAGUAUAAGGUUGAAGAUACCUAUUUUUGGAAAGCAAGUGAAGAUUUUUAAAAGUCAAGAUAGAAAAAUCAAUGUGGAGGAUCAUAUUGAAGAUAUUAAUAUUUUUGAAGAAGAUAAUUGUAAUAAAAUAGAUGCUGAAAAUAAUAAUGAGAAAAUUGAUACAAGAAAUGAAAAAAUAGUCUGAUGCCAAUUAUGAAAUUUGAUUCAUUUGGUGCAUACUAGAGGAUAUGUAGGUUCCGAAAAGAUGGAUGUUGUAUUGUAACACAACUAUAUUCUGAAAAUAUAAUCAAAAAUAAAUUUUUAAUUAAUAUUUAAUCAUCUUAAUUCAAUAAAAAUCCAAGACAUUUAAAUAUGGCUUUUAUACAAGCCUCUAAGUUUAUUUUCAUAUUUUAAUAGCUAGUAGAUUAAAGGUUGAUUGGUAAUUUUAUCUUUUUGACUAUAAAAAUACUUUACUACCUUAGAAAGGCCAUAAGUUAAUAAAAAUAGAAUAAAAUAAAUAAAUAAUUAAUAUGGUUGAUACUAAAAUUAAGUUGAAGAUAGGAUUUGACUAAAAAUUCCUAAAAUAGAUUGAAUUGAUAUCUAAAGAUUGACUAUUUGAUAGAUAGGAUUGAAAUCAAACCUCUAGCAACUAAAAUGGCCCCCUAAGAUAAAGUAGGAAGGAAUUUGAAGUUUGGCAAUUAGGAUUUUUGAUUUAGUUUUAAGCUUAUUCUAAAAAUAAAAGGCUUAUUUUUAUAGGAUUUGGAAUAAUUUUGCAAUUACUAUUCAAAGUCAAGGUUUGUAUCAGUGACUUGGAAUUUAUGCAAUAAAAUUAGGCUAAUACUCCUAGCUAGUUUGUGUAAUUUGUAUCACAUCUAUGGUUCAAAAUUUGAUGGUGCUUGGCUGAUUAGAUGCACUAAGUGUGUAUAAAAUUUUGUAUUAAUCUAAUGGUACAAUUGAGAGAUAUCUAGGUUUUGAUAAAAGAAGAUAUUAGAAGUUGAUAGUUUGAGGUUGAGUAGGAUUUCUAUGAUAUCUAAAGAUCUACUUAUCAGAUCAAAGUGAAAUUUGGUAUAAUAUUAUAAGACUUUAAGAUUAAGCUAUAUAAUAAUUUUAAAUUGAAGUUAACAAUUAAAAAAAGAGAAAUUGCUAUUAGAACAUCUACAUUAGUUUUAAGUUGAUAAUUAAGUAAUAUUAGUAUAAUUUUUGAGCUUUCUCUCAAAAUUUAAAGGUUGGAUUGGAUUGAAUUUUUUUUUAAGCAUAUAAAAGACUUAUAAUGGCAUUUAUAAGCAAAAUUUAGCACCAAGUGAAUGAUCAAAUUAGAAGUUACAGCUUGCCAAAGCUUAGUCACUAAGAUUAGGACUUACAAAGAGAAAUCAAAUUAACUAAUUAUGAAAGUAAUAAGGCAAUUAGAAUUUAUGCAUAGUUGAAGUUAUUAAGAAGAGUAUUUUUAAAUACUUAUUACUAGCUUUAAGUAUUUUUGAAUUAAAAUUAAAAUUAUAUUAUUCUUAUAUAGAUGAAACCUAUUAAGAUUUUUUAGAUAUUUAUACAACAUAACUUCACCUUCUACAGUCAAGUACUCAAUGCAUUCUCAAACAACAAAACAUGUAUUAUGAUAGUAUUAUUUUUAUCUAGUUGUACUGUUUCAUUCAAAUAUUUAUUUGGCUACUUCUAUUUUUUUAUUUUUAUCUAGUUGUGCUGUUCCAUUCAAAUAUUUAUUUGGCUACUUCUAUUUUUUUAUUUUUAUCUAGUUGUGCUGUUCCAUUCAAAUAUUUAUUUGGCUACUUCUAUUUUUUUAUUUUUAUCUCAUUCUUUUCUUUUCUUAUUUUAUUUUUAAUCUAUUGAUUUAGUAGCUAUACCAUUUAGGCAUUAGGACAUGAAAUGUUUGAUUUUGGCAAAAAAAGAACUAUUAAUUUUUAUUGAAUGAAGGGCUUUAAGGACCAAAUCUAUAAAAAGAGUAUGUCAAUUUAUAUUGGAAGAUAAUUUUAGCCAAUUUAAGAGCAUUAGAAGGAUGAGAGUACAUAGAAGAAAAUUAGAUAUAAUGGACGCAAAGAAAUUCUUCAAAAGAUAUGGAAUUCAAUUAAAAUUUAUUAUUUUUUAUAAUCUAAAAGAAAAUGAUAAAAGUGAAAGAAGUCAUUUUCUUAUCAUUAAUGCAUUAAUAAAAGCUUAUAAAGGUAAGUGAAUAUAAUGGCCAAAAUUACUUUAUUUACAUUGUGGACUAUAUAACACACCUCUUAAGAUGUGUUUAUCCUAAUUUGCUAUAAUACUUAUAAAUUUGUCUUAGAAGAGCAGCAAAAAAAGCUUAAUCUUAUAAAAAAAAUACUCGUCAAUGCCUAAAUUACUAAAAAUCUUGACUGAAAUCUUUCUUUGAUUAUAACUAACUUACAUCUACUUUUAUAACAUCAGAGUAAUUUAAAGAAGGAUGUCUUAAAUUCAUCUCUCACCUUCAUUGUUUCAACAAGUUGUUUGUCCUUAGAGCUAGAGGAAUAUGUAUUUCUUAUCGUAGUGGCUUAUUCUCCCAUCUAUGGAGCUUCUACUUGUGAGUGUAAAAUUCAAUCUUCAAUCCAAAAUAUAAGAUGGCUUCAAUCAAGAAUUGUUUAUAAUUGAUAGUAUAAAGUAGAAGUAGUAAGAAUAAAAAUAAAAUAAGUACAAUACAAAAUAAGUGGAAUAAGUGAAAUCAAGCAAUUUUACACUAAAAAACUAGUCACAGUCUAUUCACUGAGUUUUUAUUCAAUAAAAAGUAAAAAAUAAAAGUAAAAAAUAUAUUUUUAGAAAUAUAUUUUUUAUCUUUUUAAUGGUAUGAGAAAAAUAUAAAUCCGAAUUUUUAUGGUAAAUUAUGAAGAUUUAAAAAUAAUAAGUAAAUAAAAGAAAAAUUAAGUAUAAAAUUUUAAUCUCAUAGAUAACUUGCUUAAGAAAUCAAAAGUUCGAACCUCACCAAGGCUCACAAGUAGUAUAUAUGGAUGUCUAUAAGAGGCCACAAGACUUUAGUCUUAUCUUUCUAACUAUCUACAAUGCAUAUGGAAUUUGUGCACCUCCUUUCUUGUAAGGACUAUACUAGCAGCUAGUCCUCCUAUUUUCUACUAGUAAAAUCAAUAUUUUUGUAUUUUUAACUUUACCAUGGAAUUUCAAAAUAUCCAAUUAGGCUAGGAAUCUUGUGUAACCUUCAAAUAUUGCUCUAUUUUUUCAAAAUGAUUGCCAAAGUGGUAAAAUUUAUUUUUACCAAACUCUUAGAAAUUGCUUUAAAAAUUCCUAAAAAUAUAUAAAUAAAUUCUAAAUAAAAUUUUAAAAUCCUUAAAAUAGUUUUAUAAUACUAAUAUCAAUUUAAGGCUAUAAUUUCCUAUCUUGAUGAUUUUUUAUUGUAAUAAAAUUAAUUUAAAUCUACUAUAAAUUCUACUUUCUAUAUAAAUAACUAAAAAACAUAUGAGGUUCUUUUUCAUACUUUUUCUAGCUACGAACUAAUAUUUAUAAUUUUUUAUAAGUAAUUUAUAUAGAUAGAAGGCUAAUAUAAAUUUUGACCUUAAUAAAUAACCAUUGAUACUCAAUAAUAAGUAAAAAAUAUUAAAUCAACUAAGAUAAUUGCCUCCAACACUUUUUAAGACUCUAUUUCUAUAACUAAUAUUUUAAUUUUCUAUUUUUCUAAAUAUUUCUAUUCUAUUUAUCAUAUAUUUUGGUUUAGAGUACUUUAAAUGUAUCUUUUUAUCUUAAAACAACUAAUGAGUCAAUUUGAUGAUUGACACCACUAUUUGAAAUACUACUGUGGUACUUACUUAAAAUAGAUAGAUGUAUCCAUAUAUGAUGAUUAUAUUUUCUUUGAAUAUUUAUCCUUUAAAAAGAUUAUGUGGCAGAAGUUUGAAACUUCAAUUAGGAUUAUAUAUUCUAUAUCUCCAUGUUUACUCUUCUUUAGCUUAAUGCCCUUUUAACUAAUAGUCGCUAUUUACCUUCCUCUUAGUAUUUUGUAGUUGAAUGGCUCUUUUCUAGCCUCACAUGUUUUUUUUAUAUUACUUAAUGAGGUUUUGUUUAGAACACUCAUUCAAUAAAACACAAUAUUUACAUACAAAAUAUUUAUUGAAAGCUCAUCUUUUGACUAAGCCAACAAUUCCUUCAAAGGCACGUUUAUAUGAAAUGUAUGAUAUUAUAUUGUAAAAGCUUAUAAUAUUUAAAAAAUAAUUAAAAUAUAUUAUAUUUUAAUAAAUCUAAAUGUAUAUUAUAUUGGUUAAUAUAUUUAUUUAAAGAGAGUGGAUUUAAGAAACUUUAUUUUAAGUUUUAUCUUUUUUGAUUAUAAUAUUUUAAAAAAUUAUAAGACCUAAAUAUUUAGUAUGAAGCCUUGAGAGGAGAUUAGAGUCUAAAGAAGACAAUCUUAACAAGCAGGAGGCUUAUUAAGAGGGAUGAAAGUAAGGCAUGGUUGGACGAUGAUAAAGAAUGGAGAUCUUCAUUCCUAUUGGUCGAAGGCCAUGCCUAAUGGGCUUCAAGGAGGCUGCCUGAGGCCUUAUUAGGAAUUAGGGUUUUUUUUGAAGUCAUUCGAGCCUUGGAAGCUAAGAUCAUCAAUUUAAGGUUUUUGGAUAUAGAUUGGAUGCAAAUUUUGUGUGAUUUGGAGUUUUUAUGAAGGAGUUAUUAGUACUCAAAGUUAAGGUGUCAAUUUCAUACCUAUUAUCACUCUUUGGGGCAUAACAUACGUUUACAAAGAACAACAACAGAUUGGUGACUGGAAUUGAAGAGAGAACUUUUUUGAAUAUAUUAUUCAUAUAUUAUUUGAUGAAUUUAGAAUUUGGUCGAAGAAGUUAUAGAAGGUUGAAGUCAAUGCAUCCAAAUCAAAGGUAGUAAGUAAGUGAUUUUAUUCAUAGUAAUGGUUGGAGCUAUAUCUUGAGGUUUUGAAAUUUUUUUGGAUUCAAACCUUUUAGAAAAGGUAGAUUAUUAUAUAAAAAAGCUAUACAUACAAAUUUUGUGGCAUUUGGGUAUUUAGUUUGUAAGAUAUGAAGAAAAUUGCAUGUGGGUGUAUAAAAACUAGGGUUUGAAGCUACUAUUAGGGUUUUGGUGAUAUCUUAAGAUCCGCAAUGAAUUUGUAGUUAAAAUUUGUUGUAGUAGUUGUUAGAAGUACAUUAGUACUUUAUGUAAAAUUUGAGUAUGUUUUAAUGGUCCGAUUGAAGGAUAUGAGUUUUUGAAUUUUGGGAUUAAUAUCCCAUAAGGAUAUUAAAGGAUUUAGAGGAUUUUAUCAUAUUAUAGGUGUUGUUGGUUACUUGAGGCUUCUAUAUUUGGUAUAAUUACUCCAAAAAGAAAAAUUUUAUAUAUAAACUUCGGACUUCCCUGAUUUUGAAGCUUGAUGAGCAAUUAGUGAUAGUCAGGAGCUUAGUACUUUCUUCAGGCAAACUCUCUCUAUCUUGACAAUGGAUUCAUCUAUGCAUAAGUACAAACUUCACUCCUCUUUUGAAACCUCACACAUUAAGUCUUCAAAUAUCCUUCCUUCCUUCUUUUCUACUCUUUUAUAAAUACUGAAGUCAAGGAAGUAUAAACUCACAAAAAAAAAAAAAAAAAACUAACCUAAAAAGCGGCCGCAUGGCCUAAAUACCAAAAUUAUAGCACCUUCUUUCCUUCAUUCUUUUCCUUCUCUUCUUUGUUGUAGUCAUAGUAAUUCUUGACCAUCUUUGGCUUUACCUACCACAACUCAAAUACCUCAAAGAUCAAAAGAUUUUUUAAAUAUUUUCAAAGAAUUAUUUGAAUAUACUUGAAGUUCUUUCAUUUACUUAUAAAAUACUCUUGCGGAAGAUUUAGACAUAUACCAAGACUUCUAACUACCCACUUUGAAUUAACUUACAAUUGACUAGAUUAAAUCUAGACUAUGAAUUCAUGAUAUAUUUUGAUUCUUCAAAAAGAAUCUUUAUCAUCUUUAUCAAUCUUCCUCAUUUAUCAUGUAACUAAAGAGAUUAGUCCACCAAAAUCAAUUUUUUAUUUUUCAGAAGGCACAAAAAAAAUAAUAGAAACUAAUAGUCAUCUUGUUGCUUUUGUUGGUCGUUUUACUUCUACUUCUUCUCACUCAAGACAUUAGCUAUAAUAGGGCACAAAUAUGAUGGUUAUAUUAUUUAUACAUAAAGAUAUAUAGUUGGAGUUAUUUUUGGAUAUCUUCUAGAAUUGAAAUUAGGAUAGUGGUUCAUAUGGGAUCUACCAUAGAACCUUCUAUAAAGACUUAAAGUCAUUAUCUUUAUAGAUCCUAUCAUUAGAAAUAUUCUAAAAAAUUCCAAGAUAGUUGAAUAAAGUAUAAGUAGGAUUGAUUAAGGCUAUUUGGGUCAUUUAGUCAAGUAUGGCUUUAGACUCUUUUUCUUAGUAAAGUUUAAUUUUCUUAUUCUAUUCUAUUUAGUUUGUUUUGAUUCUAUUCUCUUUUAUUCAGUCUUGUCUUUCAUGUUCCAUUCUGUUUAGUUACUUUAAAUUUUUUUCUAAUAUGCUUGGUCUUACAUUAUAUUGAAAACUUUAUUAUUAUGGAUUUUAUAAAGUUUUAGACCUUAAAUUAUUUGUUCUUAUUUCAUUGAUAUUAGAGCGAGUGUUAAUUUUUUCUUUGGCAGUGUAUUAAUAGCCAACGUUUAAUUAGAAGUCAAUUAUUGUAAUUACAUUAGAUGUUAUUUUGAAGCUACAAUAAGUUAUUUUAAGAAGUCAGUUGGAACGAAAAAAGGCAUUAUAAUAAUAUAGUUCAGUAAAGAAAGUGUAGCAUGAGAGACAUGACAAAGUAAUCUCAAAUAGAAACUCAGAUAUAAUACCUUCUAAGCUGGAUAGCUACUCUACAAGGGCAAAUAGAAGCUUUUAAGAUAAGAAAGUUGACAUUUGCUAAGUUGAAAUUGAACAAGUCCUAUACAUACUUAGGGACCUUAAUGCAAGAAGAUGUAUGUCAAUGAUUCUUUAGUAUAUAACAAUAUCUCUAAUUAGCUCCGACAAACACCAAUGAAAGAAUUAUAUAUACCUUUAGUUGUUUAAAAGAAGUAGUAGGCAUUUGGUGGCAACAUCAAGUUCAAAGCUAUAGAGUUCAAAAUAGAUUUGAUGACUAAGAAGAGUUUAAAAUCAAGUUUAGUAGUUAAUUUUGGCCCAUUAAUGUACAGAAGUUAGCAAGCAAUCAAUUGGCUAACUUUAUACAAUCUAAGACAGUGUAAGAUUACAUCUUUUGAUUUAAGUUCUUAUGUCUCCAAAUUGGCAAUGUUUUAAAGGUAAAGAUAAUGAAUUGGUUUAUAUAAGGGUUGAGAUCUUUAAUCUACUGAGAAGUAGAAUUAAAGUAUCUAUAAAUAUUUGAAGAGGCAGUUAGAAUUGGAGAGAAGGACAAGGCUAUAGAUUUUAAAAAUUAUAGAGUACAACUUAUAGCAUGGAAUAUUGAAAAAUAAGCACUUUGAAGUCACAACACUUAGCAUCAGUAAGGUUGCAUAUAAAAGAGAGUAUGGAGUAAGAUAACUCUUACUUUCAACACUUAUUACUUAUAGGUAGUAGUUGCCAAUCAAUGAGGCAACUUCCAUCGAUGUUACAUCCAUUUUUACUUUAUCCAACUAAAUCCUAAGUUCUUUCUUAACCUAGCCGCCACCUAUAGAUUCUAGCUGCUACCUACAAAUCCUACAAGCCACCAUAGUAACUUCCUUAUACUCUUUUGCUGCCUUUUGAGCACUAACAAUUUAUCUAAAGUAAUACUUUUUACUAAGUGACUUACUUCAAUCCUCUCACUUUGCUAUUUGUCAAAGGGCUUUCAAUCCUAAAGCCUUUGUUAAUAUAUGAUGUCUAUCCUUUACUAAUACCUUUGUCAAUAAAUCAGUAAGCAUGUCUUCCAUUGCACAAUACUUCAUAUCAAUCACUUCCAUUUCAAUCUUCUCUCUUAUGAAGUGAUGUUGAAUAUCAAUGUAUUUUGUCCUUGAAUGAUGCUUAAGAUUCUUUAUAAAGGCAAGACAUCCUUGAUUAUCACACUCCAUUGGAAUUGCUUCCAUUUGUAUAUCUCCAAUGUCCUUCAAAAGUUGUCUUAGCCAUAUAGCUUCUAUUGCACUAUAGCUUGCUGCCAUGUAUUCCGCCUCUAUUAUUGACCUUGUAAUUUUUGGUUGUCUCUUGCAAUUCCAUGAUAUAACUCCUACUCCAACAAAGAACACAUAUCCCAUUGUUAAUCUUCUAUCAUUUGCAUCUUCAACCUAAUCUGCAUCACAAUAACCAUGCAAAGUAAUGUUAUUAACUCCAAGGUACAAUUUGAAGUUCAAAGUGCCUUUUAUAUACCUCAUGAUCUUUUUAAUGAUUGUCCAAUGGAUUGGUCCAGCCUUUGACAUGUGUUGACUCACAACACUCACUGCAUAAGCAAGAUCUACCCUUAAGCCAACCAUUGCAUAUAUUAGUGGGUCCAUUGCUGCCUUAUAAGAAAUUCAUUGCAUUUAAAUUUCAAUUUCAACAAAUUCUUCAUCCGUGACCUUCAUCAACUUCAAAUUAGCCUCCAAAGGUGUUCUAAUAGGCUUACACUCUUCUAUGUUGAAUCGUUUCAACACCUCUAUAAUAUACUUGCUUUGACAUAUAUUCACCUCUAUUGUCCAUGUGCAAUACUUUGAUCUUGCACUCACAUUGUUUCUCUAUAAGAGCUUAAACUCCUUAAACCUUGAAAGUACUCACUCUUAGCUUUAAUGAUGUAAAUCCAUACUUUUCUUAAAAAAUCAUCAAUGAAUGUGACAAAGUACCUUGCUCCUCCAAUUGAUGGUAUCUUCAUUGGUCCACAAACAUCAGAAUGUACAAUCUCUAAUAAUUUGAUUACAUGUAUUGCAACUCUAUUUGGAAAUGAACUCCUUUGUUGUUUGCCUUGUAUACAACCUUCACAAGUAAGUGUUAUGGCAUUGUGGCUGAAAUGACCAAGAUUUAAGCCACUUAUUAAGGAUUGAAGCUCCUUUAUGUAUUUGGUAUUUAAAUGACUAAGUCAUUGAUGCCAGAUUCUAAACUUAUCUUGGUCUUGUAAAAAAUCAACAAAUGCAGCCACUUCAACUCCAUUCACCUUCUUACAAUUAAUAAAGUAGAGAUUUCCAUCUCUAAGGCCUUUGGCAACAUGUUGUCUAUCCAUUGUCUUCACAAAGCAUCCAUUCAUGUCAAAUUAAAUCUUACAACUAUGUGAUAUAAGUUUGCUCACCAAAAAGAGGUUCUUUUUCAUAUUUGGUAUAUGUAAGACUUCCUUCAAUCUGAUCCUCUUGAUUUGGUCCUUCACAACAAUCUCCACAACAAUUGAGCCAAUUCCAAUGGCUUGCACCAUGCCAUUAUCUCCCAACCAAACUUUGAUUGUUGGAAUUUCUUCAUAAGUCUCAAAUAAACUUUUAUAUGGUGUCAUGUGCUUAGUAGCACCUGAAUCUAUAAUCAACUUAGACAUUGCAGCUAUAGAGACUCUUUUACUUGCUAUGAAAGCAUAGUCAACUUCACCAAAGUUAUCACAAGCAUUAUUUGCAUUCUCUCUAUCUCCCUUCUUGGCUUUGUAGCAAUUCCUAGCAAAGUGACUUGAUUUUCUAUAAAUAUAAUAAUUUCUCAUGUUGUUCUUUGAACUAUCAUGUUGGUGAGAAUAGCUACCUUUGCCUUGUCUUGAGAAUAGAGCCGAAUCCUCACUUUGAUGUUCUUUUUCUUUUCUCUUGGUUACUUCAUGGACAAGUCUUAUCAUAACAUAGUUCAUAGUAAGCUUCUUCAUGUUGAUGGACUCCAAUGCCACAAUGAGAUAGUUGUAGGACUCAGAAAAGCUCAUGAGUAAUGUCAACACAAUUUUUCUAUCAACAACUGGUGUGUCAAUAACUACUAGUUGGUUUGCAAAUGCUUUUACCUUGUUGACAUGAGCUAUGAGGUCAUCUCCUUCUUCCAUCUUUACUAUUAAGAAUUUUCUUCUUAUCUAUAGAAUGUUGGCAAGGUUUCUACUCUCAUAGAUGUUGCAAAGAGUCUUCUAUGCUUUUGUUGGUCCAAUGCAAGUAAUUACAUGUAAAAAUUUGGCAUCAUCAAGAUUUAUUGUAAUCAUACCAAAAGCCUUUUUUUUAUGUUAUUUGUACUCCUUCUUCACCUUCACAUCAACAUCAUCAUUUGGAGGGUCUUCACUUUCAUCAACAAUGUCCCAAAGAUCUAAUGAAGCCAACAAGAGUUCUAUUUUUUUCUUCCAAUGAUAAAAGUUGUCACUCCUAAACUUCUCAAUUACUCUCAAAUCCUCACCCUCACUUGCAGCCAUGUCUAAGGAAGGGGUGUAUCAAAGAAAAUCAAAAAAAGAAAAGAAUGAACUCUCAAAAUCAACAAGAAGAUAUUAUUGCCUUAAAAAUCUAGAAUGCCCUCUUAAUAAGUAAACUAUUAUUUAUACUCUUCAAUCAAUCUCAACUUUACUUAUAAGACUUUUUAUAAGUCUGAUAACCUCCUAAAUAAGCUUUAACUCUCUUUAAUCACCUCUCUUCUUUCAAAAAAUACUUUUAACCUCACAAAAUACAUCUUAUUAUAAUAAGUGGAUUUUUUAACGAGAUUAAUACAUAAAAGCACAAACUUAGAGUAUCAAUGAUGAAACUCAGCAAAGAUAUACAACACAAGUGUCUUUAAAUAUCAAUCUAAGGUAUCUAAAAACUUCUAAGAUUAUGAAUGUACUUAACAAUAAAUAAGAAUAUAACUACAUCAACAACUGGAUGCAAAAGGAGAUAUAGAAGAUACCAAAUCCUAACAUCAGCAACAACUAUAAGAUCUACUCUUAAUAUCAAUAAAGACUUCAAAGAACUUCAAAACUCACAACUAAAGGUGUGUGGAUCCAUAAUCUAUUGAAGAACAAGCACUUUAAAGUCACAACACUUAGCCUCUGUAAGGUUGCACACAAAAGGAAGUAUGGACUAAGAUAACUCUUACUUCUAAUACUUGUUACUUAUAGGUGGUAGUUGCCAACCAACGAGGCAACUUCCAUUGAUGUUACAUCCAUUUCUAUUUCAUCCAAUUAAAUCCUAGGUUCUUUCUUAACCUAGCCUCCACCUACAAAUCCUACAAGCCACAGUAGUAACUUCCUUAUACUCUUUUGCUACCUUUUCAUGACUAGAAACUUACCUAAGGUAAUACCUUUCAUUAAGUGAUUUACUUCAGCAUGAAAUUCUAUGUUAUUAGUGAAUACUAUGGUGCAACAUCUAAUGCUGAUAGAGAUUAAUGCUCUACAAAGACCAAUGAUACUAUAAAGAUGAAAAUUAUUGGUACAAAAAGAAUUCUACUUUUAUUAUUAGAAGCUAGACCAUCAGAUCAAAGACCAUUAGAAAUGUCAAAAUUCAAGUACCAAUAAAUCAUGAUGGAUUCACAAUCUCAAAGGCUAUAAAGUUGAUAAAGAAGUGGAGCAAGAAAAUGGGACUCUCUAAUAAAGGUACUAAGGGCCAAUAUUGGAGAUAGUUGUUAUUUCUCACAAAAAAAUGGCAUAGCCUUGGAUACCUAUCAUAAGGCUUGACUAAUGUAUCUAAUGAAUCAACUAAGAAAAUAGCCAUAUCAAGUGCUUGUGAAUUGUGACUCUAUAAAAAAUUGAAUCUUGAUAAUAAUUACCAAUUGACUUGGGAUUAAAACAAAGGUGAUUAAAAGAGGAAAUAUAUACCUAGCAAAUGACCAAGAGAACAUAUUAAGUGAGAUAAGCAAAGAAAAAAUCCUAAGACUAAGUGACCUCUAUGCCUAAAGUAAAAAAUUUAGAAUAACAAAGUUUAAAUAUAAUAUUAUCCUUAGUAUGCUAUAACUAGACAUGAAAAAUAAAUAGGUCUAUUAGCUAGCAAAGAUAAUUUUUUUAAAAGAUAAAAGAUGCAUAAUAACUCUUCAUACCUAUGUAUUAAGUAGAAUAGUAAAAUAAUCUAUGGCUAAGAGUUUAUUUGUAAGAAUGAUCUUUACAAAGAAGUAAAUAUGGCAUAAGCAAUUGGUAUAUAUAGUGGUUCCAAAUCUUGCCUUAGUCGUAAGAAAUUCAACCAAAACAACAAAAAGAAUAGAGCAAUUCAUAUAUGAAUAUUGGGAUGUCUUUCCAAUCAACUUACCUAGUAGCAUACCACCUUAUCGAGGUGCCUUCUUCCAAAUAGAACUAGUCUUUAGGGCCAAACUGACCAAUCGACCAAUUCAUCAACUAUCAUCAAAUGAAUUUUAAGAGUUGUAAAACUUAUUAGAUGAGCUCUUAGAAUAAGGCCACAUUUGAGAAAAUACAUUGCCAUAGAGAGUACCUAUUAUCUUUGCAUCCAAAAAAGAUGGUAGACUUUGACUUUGCAUUAAUUAUCAGAGCUUCAAUAAAUAGAUUGUCAAGAAUGCAUACUCACUUUUACAUGUAGAUGAUCUUCUUGACUAACUUCAAGGUGCAACCAUCUUUAAAAAAUUAGACCUUUGAAGUAAUUAUUGGUAGAUUCCUUUUACCAAGGAGGAUAGAAAAAAGACAACAUUUUGUAUAUGCUAUAGACAUUUUGAAUGGCUUGUAUUACCUUUUGGCCUCAUCAAUGCUCCAACUUCUUUUAUAAUUUACAUGAAUAGAUUAUUUCGGGGCCUUUUGGAUAAAUAUGUGAUUAUCUUCAUUGAUGAUAUCUUGAUCUUUAAUAAAACCGUGAGGAGCAUGAACAACAUCUACAAGAAGUCUUGCAUUGACUAUGUGACAGUCACUUCUAUUACAAGCAAUCAAAGUAUAAACUUUGGAAGUUGGAGGUCACUUUUUUAAGACAUGUGGUGUCAUGCGAAGGUAUGCAUAUGAAGCAAGAUAAGGUGAAAGUAAUAGAGGAUUGGCCAAUUUCCAAAGAUGCUUCUAAAGUCUACUCAUAUAUAGGCCUUGUUGGAUAUUAUCAUUGUUUUGUUCAACAAUUUAUACAUAUUGCUGCCUCAUUAACAAGCCUAUUGGAGAACAGUGCUCCAUUUGAAUAAAAACUGGAGAAAUAAAGUGCCUUUGAUAGGUUGAAGGAGGUAUUCAUUACAGCUCCAAUAUUACAACCAUAUAAUCCCAACCUUUCUUAUACACUUGACAUUGAUGCUUUCAAUUUUGCUAUUAGAAUGGUCCUUCAACAAAACUUUGGUAGGAGCCUUCAAUUUGUGGCAUACGAAUUGCAUAUGCUCAAAAGGGUAGAGCACAAUUUUUUUACAUAUUAUUGAGAGCAAUUAGCAAUUGUACAUGUUACAAAGGUGUAGCAACACUAUUUAUUGGAAAAACCAGUGAUUGUUUGGACCAACCAUUGAUCCUUACUACAUGAUUUCAUUUAAAAAAUAUGAAAUUAUGAUAUCAUCAUUGAGAAAAAUAUUUAUAGCCUUUUGACAUUCAACUUGAGUACAAGCAAGGACAAUAAUAUAUUGUGCCAAAAAGCUUAUCAUGGAAAUCAAACUUGAAUGGUGAAUUAAGAAACAAGACAGAAGUUGCUACCAUUAACAGUGUUAUCUCAAAUUUGAUCAAAGAGAUAAAAUGGAAGUAAUCUAUACAUCAAGAUACUUAUUUUAAGAUGAUUAGUGAUUAACUGAAGUAAGUGAUAUAUAGUAUUAAGAUUUUAGUCUUAAUGAUGGCUUACUCUAUUUCAAGAAGCAAAUUUAUAUACUUCAAAAUGGACAUGACAUCCUAAUAGCUGGACACUUAAGACAAGAAAAGAUUUUAGAAUGGAUUUCAAUGACAUAGUUUUGAGUAGAUUUGGAUUGUAAUGUUUAAGCUUUUGUGUACUCUUGUGAGUCAUGCCAACAUAACAAGCCAUGAAAAGUAACAUUUCUUAGACUAUUGUACCCAAUUCCUUUAUCUAUAACACAUUGGGAGCACGUGACUAUGGAUCUUAUUAUGUAUUUGUCGCAGAUGCUUGUUAAUCACACUACAAUUACUAAUUUUAUAGAUCGGCUUUCAAAGUAACUUUUCUUGGCUAUAGUGCACUUUAAUAUUGAUGUCCAAGCACUUGCAUAAGUUUUCUUUGAAUUUAUCUUUUGUCACUAUAGAUUAUAUUAUAUCAUCAUUUCAAAUGGAGAUCCAUACUUUAAGGAGAGUUUUUAGCAAGUCUUGUUCAAGCUACUAGGUACACGACUUACUAUGUCUAUGGCCUUCUAUGCUCAAAUAGAUAGACAAACUCCUUUAUUUUGCAUAUAAAUCAAAUCCUAGAAGAUAUAUUAUAUGUAUUUAUGGUAGUUUAUCAUAAUAAUUGGGAUGAAUAUUUGACGUUCUUUGAGUUUGCUUAAAAUGAUAGUAUUUAAGUAAGUACUGAUUAUUCACCAUUCUUCUUUAACACUAAUUAUCAUUUCAUUAUGCUAACAAUCUUCUAUUGUCCCAUCAACACCAUCAAUCCAACAAACAAGGAUUUUACAAACAACUUAUAAUGGCCUUAUAAGAGGUAAAAUACCAUCUUUUUAUUACACAAAAUUGACAAAAGUAAUAUAUGAAUAACCAUCGGCAAUACAAGACCUUUUAAGAUGGUGACUAGGUAUUAUUUUUCAAUGUCAACCUUCUAUUUGCUACAUCAAUCCAAGUUCGUAAGCUAGUAUCUCAGUAGCUUGGACCUUUCAAUGUUUUUGCAAUAAUUUUUUUACGUUAUAUAUUGCCUCAAGCUUCUGCCACAUAUUUGGAUUGAUUUAGUCCUUCAUGCUUUGUAGCUCAAGUAGCUUCAUAUUAAGCAAAGGUAUUUUUCAAAUCGACAACAAUCACCAUUGUCACAACCAAUUGAGAUUGAUAAUCAAUAAGAGUAUGAAAUAAAUAAUAUUUUAGAGUAUUUUCACCUUUGCCAUUGCAAUGGUAGAAUCUUCUAAAAAGGUAGUAUUAUAUGGCAUGAUUUCCUAUCUGGGAAUAUACUGGAUAUCUAGCUAUAGAGAUUGUAGCUUAAACUUUUAUAUGAAUCUUAUCUUAGCUUCCAAAACUCCUUUAUUUUGUAUAAAACUCAAAAUAUAACAAAAUUCCUUCAAAACAAAUUUUUUCCGCAAAGGAUUUUCUUGUCUCAAACUUUAGAAAUUCAUAACUCUUAAUAUAGCUAUUCAUUUUUUUUCAAAUUUAUAGGAAAGGUAGAAUUCACCUUUAUCUUUUAUCACAAAAAAAAAAAAAAAAAAAAAAAAAAAAAAAAAAAAAAAAAAAAAAAAAAAAAACAACAACAACAACAACAACAACAACAACAACUACAAAUUCACUUUCAAUCUUCUAAAAUCUAAAAUAUCCUUGUAGAUACUCUAAACCCUAAUUUACAAGCACUUGAGAAUAUUUUCUUAAUAUCUCAAGAAUCCAAUAUUCAAAUGUCAUCAAACUUAUGCACAAAGUUUAUUAAUAUAAAUAUACACAUUUUUUGAAAAUUUAAACCAAAACCUUGUCAAAUUGCUCAAGAUAUAGCUCAAGACACAACCACUAGUAAAUCGGGUCACUUACUACCCUUAGAUUGCAUGUGCUGACUUCAAAAUCCAAUAACUCCUUCAUUCCAACUUGGAAUCCAGCAAGCAGUAUACAAAAAAUGUAGCUGCAAAAGUGUUCUCUCCAGUCGCAGUUGCCGAUCCUAAAUUGCCCUCUGUAUACGUGUGUUAUGCCAAAAAGAGUGACAGUAGCUCUCAAAUCAACACCUUAACUUUGAGUGCCUAUAUCUCCUUCAUAUAAACUCCAAACCAUACAAAAAUUACACCAAAACCAUAGCCAAAAAUCUAAACUUACUGACCCUAGCCUUCAAAGCUCAAAUGGCUCUGAGAAACUAACCCUAAUCCCUAAUAUGGCCUUAAGCAGCUUCCUCAAAGUCCAUUGGUCAUGAUUUUUGACCAAUAGGAAUGGAGAUUUUCAUCAUUCAUCUCCAUUCAUUUAUAUUAGUGCCCUAAUUACUCCCUUUGCUACCAAAAUCCUUCUUCAAUCCUUUUUUUUAUAAGAUUUACAUAAUUUAUGCUCUAAACAUCAAAUAAAAGAACCAAAAUAAGUUUCUAAAAGCCACCAAUAUCUAAAAAAGGUGACUUUAAAUAUUUAGAAGUUACUGUCAACCAAAACCAAUCUUAAAAGCCACUAUCAAAAGAAAAUUAAAGUUAUACAAAUUCUAUAGUAAUCUUUUUAAACAACCUCUUCUCAAGGUAAUAAUCAAAUUAUGUUCUACAACCAACUAAAAUCUACUAACAUGGCUCUCACCAUAUUAUUGAGUAAAUUAUAUAUUAAAUAUAUAAUUACAUUAUUUUCAUAUAAUUAUCAAACCACAACACGACAAUAGUUAUUUUGGUAGAAUCUACCAUUAAAAAUAUUUUAGAAAGUUCCAAGAUAGUUGAAUAAAAUAUAAAUAGUAUUGAUUGAGGCUAUUUGGGAUAUUUGGUUAAGUAUGGCUUCACUGUAAGAAUGUAUUAAUAAGAUAACUAUAUAGAUAAUUAGAACCAUGGAAGAUUUUAAAAUUAGACAAAUUAGGUUUUUGGACCAAGUAGGACCCAUUAUAGAACAUUCUAGAAAGGAUUUAGGAUGGUUAUUUAGAUGGAAUCCACGAUAGAAUCUUUUAAAAAAAGAGUUUAAGGCAAUUAUCUAGAUAGGACUUACUAUCUAAGAAUAUUCUAGAAAGUCUAGGGUGGUAGAACAAGUUAUAAAUAGGACUAACCAUGGCCUUUUAAGGCAUGUGGUCAGGUAUGGUUUUAGAUCCUUUCUCUUAAUAAAGUUUGGUUUUGUAUCUUUUUAUUUAGUUCAGUUUUGUUUUCUUUUUGUCUGCUCAGAUGUUUCUCAUGUUCUAUUUGGUGUAGUUUUGUUUCAUUCUAUUUUGGUUUAUUUUGUCCUAUUUUGUGAUGAAAUUUUAUGUUGUUGUAAAAUAAAAGGAUCUUAGGUUUUUGAGAUAGUUUGGUCUUAUUUCAUUGGUAUCAAAGCAAGUGUUAGUCUGUUUACUUUUGAUAGUAUGUCAAUAGUCAUCAUAUAGUCCAAGAUUAGUUGUUGUGGUCACGUUUGGUAUUGUGUUGAAGCUACUAUAAGCUAUUCUUAAAAAAUCAAUCGGGAGGUGAAAAGAUAUUACAAUACUAGAGUCUAGCGGAGAAAUUACAAUGUCAAAGAUAUGGUAGAACAAUCCAAAAUAGAGGCUCAAAUAAAACACUUCUUAGGCUAGAUAGUUAUUUUACAAGGGCAAAUAGAAGCCUCGAGGAUAAGAGAGUCAACAUUUAUUAAGUUGAAAUUGAUUAAGCCUAGUACAUACUCUGGAACUUUAAGAAAAGAAGAUAUAUAUCAAUAGUUCUUCAAUAUGCAACAAUACCUCCAACUAUCUGAGGCAAAUACCUUUGAAAGAAUUAUAUAUACAACUAGCUAUUUGAAAAAUAUCGUAGUCAUUUGAAGAAUGCGGCAGCCAUUUGGUGGCAAAAUUAAGUUCAAAACUAUGGGAUUCAAGGUAGAUUUUGUGACUAAGAGGAGUUUGAAACCUAAUUUAGGAAUCAAUUUUGAUCCAUCAAUACAAAAAAGAUAGUAGGCAAUCAAUUGGAAAAUCUUACACAAACUAGGUUGAUACAAGAUUAUGUCUCCUGAUUCAAGUUCUUAUGUCUCCAAAUUAACAAUGUUUCAAAGGCAGUGAUGAUAGAUUGAUUUCUAUGAGGUUUGAAACCUAGAAUUUAGCAAGAGGUGGACUUAAAGUAUCCACAAACAUUUGAGGAGGCGAUUCAAAUUGCAGAGAGGAUCAAUGCUAUAGGUUUUAGAAAUUGUAGAGUACGACCUAUAGCACAAAGUCUUAUGCCGCUAUCUAAUAUUACGACACAACAAUCAAUGCCAAUGGAUAUUGAUGCCUUACAAGGAUCAUUGACACGAGAAAGAUGAUAAAUAUUGAUACAAAAAGGAUUGUGUUUCUAUUGUCGAGAGCCAUGCCAUCAGAUUGGAGGUUAUUCAAAACAUCAAAGUACAAGUAUCAGCAAGACAAGACAGAUUCACACUCUUGAAAUUCACCAAGUUGAUAAGAAGUCAAAACAAGAAAACAAGGCUCUCUAAUAAAGGCAUCGGUGGCAAGUAGUAGAGAUAGCAAUUAUUUCUCACAAACAAAUGGCAUAGCCUUGAACAACUAUAAAAAGAGUCAACUGGUGCAUCUAAUGAAACUAUGAAGAGAAAAACUAUGUCGAGUAUUUGUAGAUUAUGGCUCUACAAAAAAUUACAUGUCAAUUGAAAUCAGCAAUCAACUUGGAAUUAAAACCAAAGAAAUCAAAAGAGGAAGUAUAUAUCAUAUAGAUGAUCGAAAAAACAUGUUGAAAGAGACGUGAGAAGAAGAAAUCUCAAGAUUGACAAAUACCUACAUCUUAAGAGAGAGAUUUAAGGUGACAAAGCUAAGAUAUGAUGUUAUCUUUAGUAAUCUAUGGCUAGAUUUGAAAAAUAAGAAAGUUGAUUGGAUAGCAAAGACAAUCUCUUUUAAAGAUAGAAGAUACAAGGUAACUCUUUGUACCUUCACAUCAAAUGAAGAAGAAAGAUAACUUGCAACUAAAGAUUUAUUUGUAAGAACGACCUUUAUAAAGAAGCAAUCACAACAUGAGCAACUCGUAUAUAUGGUAGUUCUAAAUCUCCCGUCAAUGGUGGAAAAGAUAGCCAAAAAGAUAGAAUGAGCAGAAUAAGUUAUACAAAAAUAUCAAGAGGUCUUUUCAAUUCACCUAUCUAAUAGCAUAUCUCUUGAUCAAGGUGCCUCUGUUUAAAUAGAAAUAUUACUUAGAGCCAAACCAGCAAGUCAAAUUAAUAUAUUUUUUAGUAUGAAAAGAACUUCAAGAGUUGUAAAAGUCAUUGGAUGAGUUUUGGAGAAAGGCCUCAUUUGAGAAAGCUCAUCACUAUAGAGAGCACUUGUACUUUUUGUACCUAAGAAAGAUGGUGGACUUUGCCUUUGUAAUAACUAUUGGGGUCUCAAUAAGCAAACUAUUAAAAAUGCAUAUCCACUUAUAGACAUAAAUGAUCUUUUUGAUCAACUUUGAGGUGCAAUCAUCUUUAGAAAAUUAGUUCUUUGAAGUGACUAUUGAAAAAUACUUAUUGCAAAAAGAGAUGUAGAAAAGAUUGCAUUUUAUACGUAUUAUGGACAUUUUAAAUGGGUGGUUUUAUCCUUUGGUCUCACCAAUGCUUUAGCCUCUUUCAGAGGACAUAUGAACAGGUUAUUUCAAGACCUUUUGGACAAAUAUAUAGUCAUCUUUAUUGAUGAUAUCCUAAUAUAUAAUAAAAUCUUUGAAGAGCAUGAACAACACCUAUAGAAGGUGUUGUGCUAGUUACAAGAUAGUCUCUUCUAUUCGGAAGUUGAAAUUCACUUUUUUGAGGCAUGUGGUAUCUUCUAAAGGCUUGCAUAUAGAAGAAGAUAAGAUGAAAGCAGUGGAAGAUUGACCAACCUCAAAAGAUGCUUCUGAAGUUUGCUCAUUUUUAGUCCUUAUUGGAUACUAUCAUCGUUUUGUUUGGCAAUUUGUUUACAUUGCUCUUUCAUUGAUAAUCCUAUUGGAGAAAGAUGUCCCAUUUGAAUAGAAAUUGGAGCAGCAAAAUACCUUUGAUAAGUUGAAGGAAGCACUCAUUAUUGCUCCAAUAUUCCAAUCAUAUGAUCCUAUCUCCCUUAUAUAUAUGACAUUGAUGCUUUUGACUUUGCUAUCGGAGCAAUUCCUCAACAAGAUUUUAGUAGGAGCCUUCAACAUGUGAUAUAUGAAUCACGCUGUUGUGUUGUAACACGUCUAUAUGAUAAAAAUAUAAAUGAAGAAGAUUUAUUAAUAUUUAGUCACCUUGGGUGUUAGAAGCGGUGGCCAAUUCCAGUGCAAAUAUUGAGAGGCCAGGUUCAGUCACCCAGUUACAGUCAGCCUGGGCAUACUCACCAAUAACAAAAUGCUCCGUUCGAUUCCAAUAAUGGGAGUCAGCAGAAAAGGAAAGGACCAAUUCAACGACGGGUGAGCCUAGUUCGAAGAGCCAAUUGGAUCUAAUUUCAGAAGACCUCUAAUCCAGGUCCUAUUAUGGGCCUCUUACCCAAUAUGAGACCUGAUUUGUUCGGGCAAUCCAAUGCAGUCCAAUUACGGGGCUCCAAUUCCGUUUCAAGCUGUUCCGUUCUUUGUGUCAUUCCGGGAACGUCCUUUCAGUAAAAGGAUCUCUUAAAGGUAAAAAUGGGAGAGAAAGCUCCGUCGACUAUUCCAAUUCGGGGAGUCCAAGGAAGAAAAAUAGGAUCUUCUCAGGGUAAAAGGAGAAGAUAGGUUAAGAAAUGAAAAAGGGGAGAAUCAGGGAUUUUAAGGGUCGGAGAGUUAGCUUCAUGCUCAGAGAAAAGAUAAAGAAUUGGAGUUUUUUUUUUUCUCUUCAUAGGAUUUUGGGAAGACUGAGGCAAUCGUUGCUGAAAGUCAAUGUUAUAUUGGUGAAUUGGAUUUUUUUUCCGAAAGAGAGAAAAAGCUGGUACUCUUGAUUGUUGAUGAAAUGGAAGAUACUUCUGUGGUUGAAAUUCAGAGUUGUCUAAAAGGUUGAGUAUGCUGAAUGUAUGCGUGGUUGUAUUAAUCUGACUGUACAGAUAGAGGAUAUCUACCAACAGUUUAAAGAGGUAUUGGGAGUUGGCAAAUGGGGGGUUGUUUAGGGUUUCUAUGAUAACUGGGGACCUAUCGAUAGGGAUAAGAGGAAUAUCGACAAGCGGCCAAGGGACAUCGGUGCAGAUUGCAGCAUAGCCUCACAAUCUGUAAGCGAGGUUGAACUGGGACUUCUUAAGCAUUCAAAAGAGCUUGCAGAGAUACUAGCGAUAGAUGUUUCACAAUAAGUCAGAAGAAUAGAUCGAGGAUCACAGCUUGCCGAAGUUCACAAUCUAGGAUUAAGGUAAUUAACGAUAAAGAUAAAAUAAAAAACAUAAAAUAAAUAAAAUAAAAUAAAAAUAACAAAAGAGAUUGAAGUUAUAUAGGGUCUCUAGGCAUUUUAUAUUGGAAUUAAGCUUUUACAUUGUAAUCCGAUAUAGAUUGUAUUUAGAUAGUCAAGAACCCGAUAGACUGCUUGAGUACUAGCGAAACACCAUACUACCUCCUACAGCUAGAUGCCCGGUGCAUUUUCAAGCAAGUUGGCACGUAAUACAACAACGCAAGCUUAAAAGGAAUAAGCUCAAUUAUUUUAUACGUAAUCAAGAGUAAUUAGCGAUUGUACAUGCCACAAAGGUAUGGCAAUAUUAUCUAUUCGAGAAGCUAGUGGUUGUUUGAACUGACCAUUGAUUCUUAUUACAUGAUUUAUAUCUAAAAAAUAUAAAAUUGUGGCAUCAUUGUUGAGAAAAAAAAUUGUAGCUUUUUGAUAUCCAGCUUAAAUACAAGCAAUGGCGACAAUAUAUUGUGCUAGACAGUUUACCACAAAGACUAGACUUGAAAGACAAAACGAAAGAUAAGAUUGAAGUUGCUAUCUUUAAUAGUAUCAUUUCAAAUCUAACUAAAGGGAUAGAGUGGAAGGAAGCUACACAAUGGGAUACUUAUUUCAAGAUACUUAGCGAUUAGAUAAAGAUAGGUAAUAUACAAUAUCAAGAUUAUAUUCUUGGUGAUGGCUUACUCUAUUUCAAGAAGAAAAUUUAUGUACCUAACAAUAUUAAACUCCAAAUGUACAUACUUCAAAAAUGACAUGGCAUUCUAAUAUCUAGAUAUUUGAGACAAGAAAAGAUCCUAGAACCGAUGUCAAGGAUGUACUUUUAGGCACGUUUGGAUUAAGAUGUUCGAGCCUUUGUAUGUUCUUCUAAGUCAUGUCAAUAUAACAAAAUAUACAAUGCAACGUCUUUUAGUUUAUUGCAGCCAAUUUUGCUACCUAUGAUAUGUUAGAAGCAAGUGAUUAUGGAUCUCAUGACGUGUUUGCUAUAGAUGCCUUGUAAUCAUACCGCAAUUAUUAUCUUUAUGAAUUGACUCUCAAAGCAACUUCAUUUGGCUGCAACGCAGUCAGAUAUUGAUGCUCCAAUGCUUGCACUAGUCUUCUUUGGUACUAUCUUUUGUCACCAUAGAUUACGUUGUCGAGGUAGAGAGAGUUUGCCUCAAGAAAGCAUUGGGCUCUUAGUUGCCACUAAUUAUUCAAUCAAGUCUUGAGAUAAAAAAGAUCAAGUUUUUAUAUAUACAUAUAAUACCUUUAGGUACUAAUAUACCAAAUAUAUAAGUCUUAAGUUCCCAAAAACAUCCAAAAUAUAAUAAACCCUCUAAAUCCUUAAAUAUCUUUAUGAAAUAUUAUUUUCAAAUUUCAAAAAUUCAUACCUUCUAAUCAGUCCAUUCAAAUAUACUCAAAUUUUUCAUAAAGUAUUGAUGUAUUUCUAACAACUACCACAACAAAUUUCAACUACAAAUUCAUCAAAGAUAUUAAGAUAUCACCAAAAUCCUAAUAGUAGAUUCAAACCCUAGUUUUUAUACACCUACAUAAAAAUUUCUUCAUAUCUCAUAAACUAAGCACUUAAAUGCUACAAAAUUUAUAUUUAUAGCUUCUUCAUAUAAAAAUCUACAUUCUUAAAAAGGUUUGAGUCGAAAUUCUUCCAAAAACUCAAGAUAUGGCUCUAACCAUUACUAUGAAUAAAAUCACUUACUUAUUGCCUUUGAUUUGGAUGCACUGACUUCAACCUUCUAUAACUUCUUCAUCCAAACUCCAAAUUCAUCAAAAAUUAUAUAAAAAGUAUAGUCAAAAAAUUUUUCUCUCCAAUCCUAAUUGCUGAUCUUUUGUUGCUUUCUAUAAACGUAUGUAAUAUCCCAAAGAGUGACAGUAGAUAUGAAAUUAACACCUUAACUUUGAGCACUAAUGACUCCUUCAUAAAAACUCCAAAUUAUACAAAAUUUACACCCAAUUCAUAUCCAAAAAUCUAAAAUUGAUGAUCCUAGUCUUUGAAGCUUGAAUGACCUCGAGAAAAAAAUCCUAAUCUCUAAUAAGGCCUCGGGCAUCCUACUUAAAGCCCAUUGAGUAUGGCCUUCGACCAAUAGGAAUAAAGAUCCCCAUUCCUUGCCUUCAUCCAACCAUGCCUUGCUUUCAUCCCUCCUAAUAAGCUUCCUACUAGUUAAGAUUUUCUUCUUUAGGCUCUAAUCUCAUCUCAAGGCUUCAUACUAAAUAUUUAGGCCCUAUAAUUUUUUUAAAUACUAUAAUCAAAAUAGAUAAAAUUUAAAAUAAAUUUUCUUAAAUUUACUCUCUUUAAAUUAAUCUAUUAACCAUUAUAACAUACACCAAGAUUUAUAAAAAUAUUAUAUGUUCUAAUUAAUUUUUACAUACUAUAAGCAAUUACAGUAUGAUAAGGUUGUGUCAUCAUUUUAGAUAAGGAUCCAUACUUCAAGGGAAGUUUUUGGCAAGCCUUGUUCAAGCUACUAGGUACACAACUUGUCAUGUUUACAACCUUCUAUUUCCAAACAAAUGAAUAAAUAGAAAGUAUAAAUUGGACCUUAGAGGAUAUGCUACACGUAUUUGUGGCGGUUUAUCAUAAUGAUUGACAUGAAUACUUGACACCAUUGGAAUUUUCUUAUAAUAAUAGUAUUCAAGUAAGUACCAAUUAUUCACUAUUUUUUCUUAAUACCAAUCAACAUCCAAUUAUGCUAGUAACUUUCCAUCAUCUCAUCAAUACCAACAAAGACACGAAGAAUUAAAGAGCAAGAAUGGAUCAUCCAGGCGAAUGCGCAAUCCAAGCUGCUAUUAGAGCGACAAAUUGGGAAACAACACGAAGUUUGGGAUAAAGAAAGAGAGCACAUGGUGGAGACCCACAGGCAAGAACUAUUUCGGGCUCGCAAUCAUUCAAUUUUGGAACUGAAAAAAGUAAAGGGUCAGUUGAUAAUGGAACGAGAAAUGACCGAGUUAUUGGCGCAAGAGAAAUUGGUAUUGAGUGACCAAUACAGAUGUGAAACAGAGUGGUUAAGGGCUGAAAUUGAGGCCUUGAACGUCGAGGUGACAAGAUUGGCAGAGGAUUUAGUCAAUAUUAGUCAAACACAAGUAUCGACGUUGCCAGUUCCCAAAAUUCUAGAAGAGAGGAGUCACUUUCAGUGCCAGUUGGAAUUGAGAGAUGCCUAGAUUCUGAAAUUGGAAGCUCAAGUCUGUAAACUGGGUGAGUACAAUGAAGACCUUUCAGCUCAGUUGAAGCAGGAGCCAAUGGAAGGAUUGGAGGAGGAUGAGGAUUUGCAGUUGGAAUCUGAAUCGGUGGAACCAAUAACAAAUACUGCGGCAAUUGAUUAAUUAGAUAGGCCAGAGAAAUCGUAAUUUUUGUAGAGUUUUGUUAGUUAAUUUUUAGAUAGGUAUCAAUUGAGUGUUUGUGAGGAUGCUGCAAAAUUAGGAGUGGGGCUAUGUAGAAUAAGUAGUUAUUUUCAAAAUGUAGAUACCUAGUGUAUAGUAUAAACAGAGAUAGAUAACUGUUGAAAAGAUGGUUCAGCAGGUAGAAUGGAUGAAUAGUCAGGAAAAGUAGUUAUCAUCUGUAGUAUAGGAGUUGGUAUCUCGGGGUGGUAUAAAGAGGAUGGAAGAGGAGAAGAAAAGGCCAGACUGUGAGAGUUAUGAGCCGGGAUAAGCUUGGUGCUACCUCUUUUCUUUUGUUUGUUAUUUUCUUUGAAUAAGAGGAUUGAAAGUUUUUGAAUAUUGUAAAGUGAAUUAUAGAAUAGAAAUGUGAUUGCUAUUAUUUGAGAAGAAGAAAGAUUGAAUGCUGAAAUUUGAUUGUAGUUCAACAGAGAGAAUGAGUCUGUGUUUAUGUGAAACACUGUAAUGUGAAUGGCAGUUCUGAGUGAAGAAUUCCAGAGAUUGGAAUGAGGAUAAUUGUAUGCUGAAAGCUAUGAAGGCACAGUAUUACAGUUGGAGAUUAUGAAGGUGAAUAUAUUGGUGGAAAUAGUAGUUAUUAGUAUGACUGAAUUACUGUAAAGAAGAGACCGAUAAGGUGAAGGAGGAGAUUAUAGUUUCCUUGUGUAUUCAGAUAUUAGAAAUAGAGACAAUACAUUCAGGAGGUAAUUGAUUGUGUGACCCUAACAUGAAUGCUUAAGCAACUAGUCAUUCUCCAUGUUCGAAUCUCCCUAUACGGGUUUAUGUUGGGAGGUUUCUUCCGGAAUAAGUAAAAUGAGCAAUCACAUUUUUCUUGAAAAACAUCAAUGAAUGUGAAAAAAUACCAUGCUCUUCCUAUUGAUGGAGUCUUCAUAGAUCAACAAACAUCUGAAUAUACAAUCUCUAAUAACUUAGUAGCAUAUGUUGCUACUCCAUUUGAAAAUGAGGCCCUUUGUUGUUUGCCUUGGAUACAAGCUACAUAAGCAAGUAUAUUGGCAUUAUGGUUAAAUUGACCAAGAUCCAUAUCAAUUACCAUAGAUUAGAGUUCUUUCAUAUUUUUUGCAUUCAAAUGACCAAAGUGUUAAUGUCAAAUGCCAAACUUAUCUUGAUCAAGUAGAAACUAAGUAAAUGUUGCUAUUUCAACUCCAUUCACCAUCUUGUACAUGAUGAAGUAAAGGUUGCCAUCUCUAAAGCCCUUGGCAACAUUAUCUCCAUCUAAUGUCUUUAUAAAGCAUUCAUUCUUAUUAAAUUGCAUCUUACAACUAUAUGAAACUAAUUUAUUCACCAAAAUGAGAUUUUUCUUGAUCUUGGAUAUAUGUAAGACAUCUUUUAAUCUAAUCCUCCUCAUUUGUCCUCUCACAACAAUCUUUACUAUAAUGGAGCCUAUUUCAAUAGCUUGUAACAUGCCAUUGUCUCUCAUAAAGAUAUUUAUUGCUGAAAUUUCUUCAUAAGUAUCAAAUGAAUAUUUGUAUAGUGUCAUAUGCUUACUAGCAGCUGAGUCAACAAUCCACUUAGAUAUGGUAGCCAUGGAGGUGCCUUGACUUGCCAUGAAUGCAAAUAAUCUCCUCCAAAUUGCUCAUAUAUAUUGUUGGUACUUUUUAUAUUUUUUUUUUGGCUUUGUAACAAUUUUGUGCAAAAUGAUAUGAUUUUCUACAAAUGAAGCAAAUUUUGAUAUCACCUCAUUGAUAUGAAAGGUUUUCCUUGCUUUGACAUAAAUAGAGUACUAAAUCUUCACUUUGAGGCUCUUUUUCUUUCUUCUUGGUUACUUCAUGGGCAAGUCUUGCUGUCAUAUAGUCCAUUGUAAGUUCUUUCAAUUUGAUGGAUUCUAGUGUUACAAUAAGGUAGUUGUUGGACUUGAAAAGACUCAUUAGUAAGGUUAUGAUAAUAUCACCCUCUUCUAAAGGCUUGUCAAAAAUUGCUAGUUAAUUUGCAAGAGCCUUCACCUUAUUUACAUGAGCCAUGAGAUCUUCACCUUCUAUCUUACAAGUGAAGAACUUUCUCUUAGUGAAGAUUUAGUACUAUCAUACUAAGAAAAAGAGCCUUAACUAUCAUAAACUCUAUCUUAUAAUCAUAAACUUUUAUGCUUUGGAAUCAAUUAUUUUACUAUACAUACAAGAUAAAUGAAAGAAUAUCAGCAAAAAAAAAGAUACUAUCAAGGCCUUUCUAUAACAUCUUAAAUUCUCAAUCUUGUGAGAUAAGAACCUACAAAUCAAUGUUAGAGAGCUACAAGGUCAAAGUCAACACCUCUUCAUAUUCAAAAUAUAAUUUUCUAUCUUAGAAAAUCCUAACAUCACUAAACACCAUAAGAUUUAUUCCACACAAGUAUAACUACAUGAAAAUGACACUAACUUAUUUAAAUGGCACAACAAAAUGUCAGUGGGCCUAUAACCUAUUGAAGAAAUAUAAUAAGCAAGACACAAGUAAGUAGAAAUCAACAAGGUUUCAUAAAAGAGAAGUGUGGAAUGAGAUACCUCCUACUUCCAACACUCUUUACUUAUAGAUAGAAUUUACAUCUAUUAUGGCUAAACUUCACCUUCAUCCAUCUUUGCUUCAUCAAAUGAAACUCUAGCUACUACCUAAUCCUAGCCACUACCUUAGUUACUUCCCUUCAUUCUUUUGUUGCUCUUUGACCAUUAACAACUUAUCUAAGAUAAUACUUACUUACUUACCAUACCUAUUGUAAUACUUCUUUACUUUAAUAUAAUUUAUAUUGUAAAUUUGAGAUCAAUCUAAUAGUUUGUUCAAAGUUUAUUGAAGCUCAAAUAUAUUGAGGUCUUAAGAAUUGGAGUUUAAAAGACCAAUGAAGGUUUCCAAGAUAUCCAAUAAUCCGCUAAUUGGAUUAAAAUAUAAUUUUAUACAUAAAUAUUAAACUUAACUUUUAACAAUUUUACAAAAUUUUAAACCUAUUAAAUAAUAAAAUUAAGAGAUUUUGACUCUAGAAUAUUGGCAUUAAGGUUAGAAAAGGAGGUCGUCCAAUACUUGAGCAAAUUUUAGGAAUUAUCUUCUAUUUAAUAUGUUUGAUCUUCUUCAAAUAUUUUUGUGUUUUUUUCAAUUUAAUUAUUGAAAAUUAUGCAAAUAUUAAGUCAAAAUCAACAAUUAAAUCAUUAAUUAUUAAAAUUUUAAUAUAUUAUAGGAUUUAUUAAGAAUUUAUUUAAGAUUUCAUGAGGAAUUGAUUAAGAUUGGUAUAAGAUUUGAGAUUUAUUUAGGAUUUAUUUUUAAUUUUAUUUAGAAUUUUAUUUAGAGUUUAAUUCUAAUUUUAAUAAUUUUAAAUAUUUUUUUAAAAUCUAUUUUUAAUAUUUUUUCAUAUAUAUUUUUUAAAGGUUUUAUUUUUGUAUUUUUUUAAAUUUUAUUUUUGAGAUUAAUUAUGACUUCUUUAUGUUACUUUUGUAACUUCUUUUAAAUAUUUUUUGAAUUGGUUAAAAUUUGAUUAAGAUUUUUAAGGAUUACUUAAGAUUUAUUUAAUACUCUAUUAUACUUAAUAGGAUUUUGUUGUUGGAUUUCUACUUACCUUCCAUAACUAGGUGUCUAGUACAUUCUUAUACAAGAAUACAUAUAAUAUGAAAGAAAUUCUCAAGUAUGAUUGUACCAUUGCAAAAGGCAAGUUAUAAGAGUUGUCAGACAAAAUUCAAGAGGCAAGGCAAAAUUAAGGAACCUUUAAAGUCUUGAAAAAUAUUACCAAAUCUUGAGUUAAAGAAUUGUAAGCCUUCAACACCAUAUUAUAAGAGGCUUAAGCAACAUCCAAAUCUGCAAUCAAUAAGCUACAUGUAAAAUUUAUAAGUGUAAUAUAAAAAAUUAAAAUAAUUAACAGGGAGAAUUUUUCCACAUCCAUAAAGCAAGCAUAGGAUACAUCUAUCUUAACCUUAAUCGACCUAGCAAUGACAAAAAAAUGUUUAGUACUUAGCAUACUAUCAACCAUUUAAGCAAUCUUCUAACUUGAGCAACCUUACAAAGUCACAAAUUUAUCUUAUAUAUUCCUUGCAUAUAUAGCCAACUACAAAAUUUUCUUACAAGUCCUUAAUAGUAUAUUAGACCAUAAUUUUGACUUAUUCAAUGCUUAUGGCUAUCAACCAAUGCCAUUAACAUAGCAUAAGCUACAACUUACAAUCCUAACUAAUAAACACAUGUUCAACAAUAAAGAUUCAUAUACUAGCCACUCAAAUAAUGAAACAAAGGAUAAAUUGGAGGAAAAAUGUAUAAUUUCAAAAUAUUUUAUUGAAUAUCCACACUUCAAGGAAAACAUGCCAUAUGUACCAACUUGAUGGAUUAUUUAUUUUGUAGAAAAUUUAUAUUUAAUCUAAUUUUGGAUAUUUAUCAAUAUUUAUUAAAAACCUUAUGCAAACACCAUUAUAUGCAUCAAGUAUUUUUUGUGGUAAUACAAAAAUUGUAUGGUGGAUAAAAACCCUCUUAUAGUGAUCAACCUUGUUUUUGUAAAACCAUGCCAAACAUAUCUUUGUAUUGUAAAUAUCUUGAGGAUAUGAUAUGAUAUGAGAUACCUUGAAAGAUGAAAUAUUAUCAACCUAUGAUAACCUAAUAAUCUCAAAAGUCCAAGUAAUAAUGAGGCUUUAGAAAAAUUUCCAUAUGGAUUGAAAAUUUAGUUGUAUUAGAAUAAUUCAAUUUUUUAAUUAAAUAUUUUUUCAUCUGUAUAAAUCGAAUUGUAUAAUAUUCUAAGAUGUAUCAUGAUUCAUAUAUUAUAAAAAAUACCUUUAAUUGAAAUUAAACAACUACUACUUGACUUUUACAUAAAAAUAAUUUUUUUAUAUUGAAUAUAAAAUUAUCAUUAAAAAUAAUAAUCAUUAAAUUAUUUUUAAGCAUAAAUUUAUUAUUUAUUUAAUUUUUAUAAAUUUAUUUUAUAUUUAUAUAUUAAUAAAAUAAUAUUUUUUUAUACAUAAACAUAUUAUUUUAUAAUUAAAAUAAUAAUUAUAUUAGAUUAAAAAAUCACAUUAAUUAAAAAUAUAAAUAUUAUCAUAAGAUGUAAAAUAAUAUUAAAUUCUAAUCAAAAAAAAUCUUCUAUUGGUAUUCUAGAGAAAUUUUAGGAUCAUCAAAAUAUCUAUGUUUUUUUAAAAAUAGUUUGUAUAAGUAUUUCAUAUUGAUUUUGCAAUUAAUCUUUAAGAAAGAAAAAAUCCUAUUUUUAUUAAUCUAUAAUCUAUUAUAAAAUAAUAUGAAUAAUUUUAAAUAAUUAUAUAAUAUAAUAAAAUAAAAAAAUUAAUAUUUAACAUCCUAAGUUCUUGUUUGAUGUAUUAAUAAUUUCUGUAAAUAAAUAAAACAUUAAAUCAAUGUAGAUGUAUAUAAAUUUUUUUAAAAUUGAAAUAUCAAUUUAUAAAAAUCUUUAUCUUUUAUAAUUAAUAUUUUAAUUUUUGAAUCUAUUAAAUCUACUUAAUAAACGUAUUAAAAUAUUUUUAUAAUAAAUGAUAUUUCUUUUUUUUAUGGAAUUUUAGAGCCAAAGUUUGUUAGUAAAAAAAUUAAAUUAAAAUAAUUUAAAAAAUCAAAUUUAUGUCAUAAAAAUUUAAUAUUUAUUCUAUUUUUUUCAUCUAAUAUAGAAAAUUAAGAGGUUUAGAAUAAUUUUGUACCAACUUCUAUUUGUUAUAUUUAGCAUCUAAAAUAAAAGUGAUAUCAUUGUAUAUUUCUUAGGAAUAAUAUAUCAAUAUAAUUGUGUUUAUAAAUGACUUAAUUACCUUUAAAUAUCAAAAGAUUCUUUCUUCCAAAACCUAUAAUCUAUAUAUUAAGAAUGCUCAAUAUUGACAAGUAGUGGUUCUUGAUGGUUGCAUGGAUGGAUUUUCAUUUUCAUCAAAAAAGUUCACCUUUUCUAGAGUUCAUAAAUCGUUUUACAAGUUAUUUUACAGAGUUUUGUAUUGCAGAGUGAGUACCUUCAUGCACUCAUUUAGUUGUUGUUGUUUUUUAUUUUUAUUUUUAUUUAUUUAAUACUAAUAGAUUUUACUCAGCGAUAAUGCAAUGAUGAACCCAUGUCAUUGUCACAAAAACAAUGAACUUGAGUCUGUCAUCAAGAACGUUAAAAAGAUGCUGAUAUAUCAAGUGAUAAAAUUUUCAUUGCUAAAAAAUAGAUGAUAUCAAUGAUAAUAUUACAUAAAUACAGAACAUCUAUAAUUCUUAUUUAAAAAAUUAUAAAUUUUUUAAACCAAAUGAUUAGCUGACUGUUGUAAGAAUUCACACAAUUCUCCACUUUGCAACUUGAUCCGGGUUAUUAAGUUCAAUCUCAAAUCCUUAUCAAUCCUAUGAAGAAAGGAAUAAUUUAAAAGAUGUAUGUGGUUUAGAUCAAGGAUUGUAAGCCAUUGUAUAAAGUAUUAUCAGAAGUUUCUUGUUCAAUGGCGCUGAAGUCUCAAAGAAGUUGCAGAAGACUCAAGCACUUUAAGGUCUGUAAUUCAAGAAUCUAAGUCAUUCUUAAGUAAUCGCAUGAUUUUGACAUGCUGAACUCAGCAAGUGAAUACUAAACCUGACUCACACCAAAAAUUUCUAUUAUUCAAAUUAAUAACAAAAUCCAUGGUAAUCGGCAACACCCACCACAUUCUGUCCAAGUAUGCUAAGACGAAAAAUGACGUUGAGUACUCAAUUUGGUUAUGUAAAUUUGUAGCCUAGAAAAGCCUGGAAAAAGUGACAAAAAAAUAUAUACUUAUUUUACACAGACAUACUUGGUAUAGUAAUCCUUUGCAAUCCGCCCAGAUUGUGAACCCUAUGCGAUGCAUGAGCUAUAAUGUUAACUAGUUUGCUAGUGAAUUAAGUGGUUUGAUAGUUAAAAUCAUUGUAAAGCCAAACUACAUUCAACUCAAUUGUAACAAUUUUCUCAUAUUCCUCGCUUUAAAGUUUGUCGUCCUUUGUAAAUCACAAUUAGAUCCGAGACACCAUUAGAUGCAACAACCUUCGACUGACCAUUUCAAUGGUUCAUUGGAUGUUCAUGGCCAUGAGGGGCACCUGCAAAUCAAAGAAGCGAUUCUCGAUCAAUAACUUGCAAUACCAUUACUCUCAUAUGUCUGGUCUGCACAAGGCCACACUGAUGAAUCCAGUAUAAAAAACUGCUUGGGUAUCCGUCCACAUCUAGACCGACCCAUUGAUGGAUCAAUCGAUCCAUAUGAAACCAACACCGAAAUUAUGAAACGAUUGCUAGACAGCACAACGGGUGGUGGAGUGGAUGAACGCUCACACAAUGAGAGAGAGGCCCCAUUGCGCAGCCUAGCGAAAAAAAAAAAAAAAACAAAACAAAACAAAACAAAAACAAAAAAAACACAGAAAGAAAACCAUGAUCGGCAAGAGCUGUACCUAUUAAGAGCGGAACAGAUAGACAUGUGUGAAAAGCCUGGCACAUGUACUGGGACUAGCAUUGUGGGACAAAAAGCAACACAAAAAUGCAAAGGAGAUGUUCCUACUACACCACGAACCGCCGUCGCAAACAAAUCAAAAAACCCAACCUGCUGUGAUCAAAUGUAAAGUAAUCGAGUGAUCAAAUGCAUAGUCACCGAAUCACUGAAAACUCAUUGGGCAAAGACCCCGAGAACAUCACCCUCCUUGAAACCAAAAGAGAGUCUACCCACGUAGAUACACAGAGAAUCCUUUGAUGCAUGCCCUUCCUGCUGCUCCGAUGUGAAACACCCUGUGAUUUGAUCACCCUAUGAUCAACAAUAAAACACCAUGUGACUCUAGACAAUAAAAGGCCAUGUGACUCUAGACAAUGUUAAGUUUUUUGAUGAAAACAAAGACUGAUGAAUUGUAAAUCGAGUUGUGAACUCCACAGACAGUAAACUUUUUUGAUAAAAGCAAAGACCAAUCCAUGCAACAAAUGAGAACCACUCUUGUCUCCUUGAGCGUUCUUAACAUAUAGAUUCACAUUUGAGCUAGCAAAUUGUGUGUGGGGACAUGCGGGAAGACACAACUCCAAUAGCGUUGCUGUCAAUCGAGCUGAGUCCAGGUGAUGUUCAGGGUUCCGAAGGUAGGAUCGGACUCGGAGAUGCCCAGGGCUCUCCACACAGCGAGCGACGCAUCCACAUCAUCAAGAUACGGGCACGGGGGCUGGUAUGCGUGCUCUUCGUCACAUCCUGCGCGCGUGUCGCAUUCGUCCACCACCUUCGCGAUUGUGCUCCUGCCAUUGCCUUCGAUGCGGAUCGAUUUCGAGCACCGCGCGCCACCGCUAAACCAUCCCGUCGACAAAGCCACCACGCUGUCUUCGGCGGUGUAGAACUGUCCCGUGCACGAAGAGGCUCCACCACCGGACUCGCCAGCGCCGAACCCGUUCAGGGUGAGCGUCCCCUUCGUUGAGGGAGUUGUUAUUGGAGGCGAGCAAUCGUACAGCUUGUAUUGUUUCCCGGUCUCACAGCACUCGGACAUUUCCGCCGAGUUGCACAUGCUGGGGGAUAUUGGUGGCCCCGUGAUGGUGCCAGUAGGGUUGCAAGUAGUGCCAGAACAUUCCUUAGUAUCGAUACUGGGAUCGUCGUUGCACGCCCCGUUAAUGCAAGCAAGCCGCCCGAGACAGUCGUCGUGGGUAGUACAUGCCUCAUUGCAGCCACCCUGUGCCGCAAUUUGUUGGGUAAGGAGCGCGAGCCCCACAAACAUCAACAGGAUAAUUGAAGAGGAAGCGCGAAACGUCAUAGCUACAGAUCGAGUUGCACAAAUUAAGAUACACAAGUCGAUCAAACUUCUCAGUGUGUGUGCGAUGCCGUUCCUCGAAUCCCUUGCUCCGCGUACGAUUAACUCGCUCUACAGCCAAAAAUUUAAACCAAUCAACGAGAGAGACGAACUCGCAGCUCAGUUGUCACAACGCUAUGCAACAAUCCGCAGUUGCUUUUAAACCCACGAAGAAGUUGAACUGAUCCAAAUCUAAUCCAAGUGUGCAGCGUACCUGUGCAACUGGGUCUACCACCAUGUCGACAACAUUAGAACAACUUGCCAGCUUACCGACGACACUGUUCAUUCAAAGGAGUUACCCCCAUUUCUAAUCUUGGCAACGAACUGUGGGCAUGCACAAGUUUCAUGUCAACAAUGUGCCAAUUCUAAUUAGAUUCGUAGCUUCGUCUUCGAGUCCAACAAUCCUACCGACAGAUCUAGCCCACCAUCGUUGUGUGUUCGUGGUGACAUUGGCCAUGGGUUUACUUCGAGUAAUUCUCUCUACUUUUUUGUUUCACUGUGGACAAGUUCCCAGCCUCCACAUUAACCACAGCGUUGAGUACGGCGCUUCUGACUUUGUUUGAUUCCACAUCAUCGUCGACUACUUCUUCGGACUCUGACAGAUGCACCGCCCCAGCAGCCACACGGUUUGACCGCCUUGUCCAAGACUAACUGGUGAGUCCUUACCAUUUGCAGACUUUUUGUAUCACCGACGACGUCAUCUCUGAUCCACAUCAAAUAUACCCCUUCUAAUUGGCAGACGCUUUAUGUCACCGACGACGUCAUCUCUGGUUCACAUUAAAUAUACUACUUCAAAUCUUCGUAAUAGACUGCCAAUAAUAUCCAAUAUCUAUCUCUUCAUUUUAUUUUCUCUUGGGUAGGAUAAGUUUGAUGAGGGCUUUUUUAUUUUUUUUUAUUUUUUUGGCACGAAGGAAGAAUUUUAUUGCAAAGGGAACCAGUACAGAAUGCUGGCUUAAAAAUCCCGGCCAGACUGCGACUCAAUACUAGGAACAUAAAGUAAAAUUACAACCCCUCUUUGUAAGUGACCUACUCUAUCUUGGUUUGAGAAUAGUUGGAAUGUCAUUGGAUAGUUCUAUCUAGGCGGGUGCAAAUGAUGUUAUUACUAUCCCAACUAGUGUCAAAAGCUUUGUAUUGAGUUUCUAGGGCAUCCUUUGAUAUUGCGUUAGAAGUGGAGCUGCAAGCAAUGUAUCUAGUCAAUUAAUCCUUGCCAUAUGGGGGUCUUUGUUUUCUCUAUUGACCAAUCAACAUUAAUGAAGGUGCAAUCAUUUCUCUUUAGCCAAAGUUUCCAUAGUAUAAUUCUACAGAGGAGGGUCCAUACUAAAUAAAGCUUCUCAAAUCUCUUUGGGAUUUUUCUGUAAUCUUGUUGGAUAUAUUAUAAAAAAUAUAUAUUAUGGAUGUGGCCUUUUGAUUUCAUAACCUUUACCAUGUGCAACUAAUUUGCACCUUUAUCUUUGAAUUUGAAGGUUUUUGGUGCCAAAAAAUCAUUCACUAGUUUUACUUAGGGCCUUAGAUGUCUUCUUUAGUGGGUUGAUAUUAUAUAAGUUUGUGGAGCAAAAAGAUAGGGAGAUUUGUGUACUUUGAUUUAAAAGCCUUGACUAUCUACUUAUUUAAUAUACAAUUCAUUACAUCAUCUGAGUUUGUCAGGCUUAGACCUUCUAUCUUUGUUUCUAAAAUAUACAUCUUUUAAGCCACUUUUGUCUUGAUGCUGUCAUGUUGUGGUUCGGCUACCAUGUGAAAAUAAUGUGAUUAUGUAUUUAAUGUAUAAUUUACUUAAUAACAUGGUAAGAGCCAUGUUACUGGAUUUUAGUUGGUUGUAGAAUGUGGUUAAAUUACUACUUUAAAAAGAGGUUGUUUAAAAGGAUUAUUAUUAGAAUUUGUAUAACUUUAUUUUCUUUUCAUAGUGGCUUUUGAGAUUGAUUUUGUUGGUAGUAACUUUAAAUAUUUAGAGUUACCUUUAUUAGACAUUGGUGACCCUUAAAGUCUUAUUUUGGAUCUUUAAUUUAGUUUUUAGGGCAUAUAUUGAGUAAAUAUUAUAAAGAAAAGAGUUGGAGAGGGAUUUUGGUAGUAAAAAGAGAAUUUAGGGCAUCCAUAUAGAUGAAUGGAGAUGGAUGAUGAAAAUCUCUAUUCCUAUUGGUCAAAAAUCAUAACCAAUGGGCUUUAAGGAGACUAUCCACGGCCAUAUUAGAGAUUAGAAUUAGUUUUUCAAGGCCGUUCGAGCUUUGAAGGCUAAGGUCAGCAAGUUUAGGUUUUUGGCUAUGAUUUUGGUACAAAUCUUGUAUGAUUUGGAGUUUAUAUGAAGGAGAUAUAGGCACUCAAAGUUAAGGUGUUGAUUUGGAAGCUACUAUUACUAUUUUUGAAAUAACGCAUGCGUACGGAGGGCAAUUGAGGAUUGGCAACUAUGACUAGAGAGAAAAAUUUUACAACUAUACUUUUUGCAUAUUGCUUGCUGGAUUCCAAAUUAAAAUAUAGAAGUUAUUGGAUUUUGAAGUCAGCACAUGCAAUCUAAGGGUAGUAAGUGACCUGAUUUACUAGUGGUUGUGUCUUGAACUAUAUCUUGAGUAAUUUGACAAGGUCUUUGCUCAAAAUUUCAAGGAAUGUGUAUAUUCAUGUUAAUAAACUUUAUAAAUUAGUUUUAUGGCAUUUGAGUAUUAGAUUCUUGAGAUAUUAAGAAAAUAGUGCUCAGGUGCUUGUAAAUUUGGGUUUAGAGCAUCUACUAGGAUUUCUUAGAUACCAAAAGAUCGGGAGUGAUUUUGCAGUUGGUUUUUUUUGAGAUAAAACGUAAGAAUAAAUUCUACCUAUUCUAUAAGUUUGAAAAAAAUUGAACGGUUAGAUUAAGAGUUAUAAAUUCACUUUUUUUUAAAUGGAUUUCUUGGCUUAGUUGAUUGUUUCAUAUAUAAGAAGAAUAUUGUUGAAAAUAUAAUGAUUUGGAAAGAAGGCACUUUAAUCUAAAUUUAUGAGUGCCCUCAAUUGAAGGAUUUUUGUAUAGAUUUUAUACAUGACAUUUAACAAAAUUAUAGGUUGUCAAUUUUUGAAUUGGAUACAAUCUACUUCUUCUCGCAAGAAGGCAAUAAUUUUGGUAGUAACCUUCAAUAGAAAGGCCCCUUCCUUCACUACAUUAUACACUAUUUGAUUAGAAUUCAUGCCAAUGAUUUUUUAAAAUCUGAUGAAGAAGGCAAUGGCCACUUUGUUGAGGCCUAGAACUUUCUUCAAUACUAUGUCUUUUGCAGCUUUGAAUAAUUUCUCAUUCAAGAGGAUUUGAAUUAAAAGCUUAGUUAAGUUAGUCUAAAGUGCAAUGGACUAUGCUUUAAGUAUGCUAUUUGUUGUUGCUUCCAAAUACUUGUUUCAAUGUUGUGCAAUGUAUAAAAUUGGAUAGAAAUCAAUACAUACUUUGCUAAUUACCUAAUUUUUUGUGAUUAUAUUACCAUCUUAAUUGUUAAAUUAAUGAUAUGGUGUCUCUUUAGUUUGUCUUUUACAAUCCAAAAAAAUUUACAAGUCAUAUUAUUAUCCUUGAUCUUCUAUCAAAUUCUUGCUUGGAUACAAAUUUCUUGCAAAUUCUAUACUUUGAUUGAUUUUAGCAUUUUUUGAUACUUUUUGAAUUACAGUUGGUAAAUUUUGUAGGUUGGAUUGGCUUAUAGUUGAGCUUAUACUUUGGUUAGUGUUAAUUUGGCCAUAUACUUUACUCUGAAGCUCUCUUCUAUUUUUUUUUUUUGGUACUACAUCUUAAAGAAUCCUAUGAAGUGGCAAAACCAAGAGACAAUCAUUUGCCAAAGUGGUUUACUUCAUACUUUUUGGAUUGCCAUAAAUACCUCAUCAUUUAUAAGGUAUCAAUUAUUUAUUUUAUAAAAUGGUUUAUAAGGUCCUUUAUGAUAAAAUAUUGUCUUGAUGUUAAAGACAAGAACUGGAAGAUCAUGCAUAAACCAAUGAAAUCCAUGUCAAAAAAAAAGUGACAAUAUAGAAAUAAGGAAGUACAUAUAUUAAAAAGUAACUAGAAUGGCUUAUUGCCAAAAGUCAAGAAAACUUGAGACACUUGAAACUAGAUUAGAAGCAAGAAAAGAAUUGACAAUAGUGAAGAGGGCAUCACUUUUGUCUCUAUAUAUACUAUCUAACUAAGGACUACAUGGCGAUGUUCUAUAGGACCUUUAAUAUGUAUUGACUUUGUAGGACACAUGCUUUGACUUAUAAGACAAGUUUUUUUAUAUAUUUGCCACAUAAUUAGCUUGUUCUUUAAGCUACCAACAUGUGUGGUACAUGAUUAACUUGUUGACUAAGUUUUUAACCUAAAAAUCAAUAAUAGUCACCUAUAAAGUCAAAGCAGCGUAUAUGAAGCUUCUAGAAAACUUCUUUAGAAGUUAUUAUAGAAUUAACUUACUUUUACCUACUUCUAGCUACUUCUACCUAUUUAUAUAGAUGAUUAUUGGCUUUCAUAUAUAUAUAUAUAUCCAUGAUAUUACUUCCCUUAUUAGAAACAAGUUCUAUGAAGAGCGGUCAUUAUAUGUUGAAAAAAUCUAUGAUGCAACAAAUUGUAUUUGCCACAUAUUCAGAUCUUUUUUCUCUUUGAAGAUGGUUGAUAUGGCCUUUCAACCAUCAAUAGUGUCUUAUAUCAAUGUAAGAAGACCACCUUAUUAUUUGGUCAUUGUUGAGGCCUUCAUAACUUCUUUCAAAUAAAAUAUUUAAAACACCAUUAAGAAUUUUCCCUACUUUGAUUAAAAGUACCAAACGUCGAGAGUCUCUUCCAAGGUCGUGAUAUCAAACGUAUUGUAACUCACCAUCUAUGUAAGAAAAAAUAUGUCAUUUUUGAGGAUCUUCAUCUCGAUUGUAUUAUCUUGAAGGUUGUUACAAUCGUAAUGUCUCGUCUCACAAGUCAGCAAACAAAGGAUCUUCACUCAAAUCCAUUGGCUGUUGAUUUUCUAUCUCUUCACUAUCACAAAUACAAAGAAGCUAUAAAAAAGGAUUGAAAGUUGAAUGUUAUCUUACCUAGAUCUUAUUUCUUUUAUAUGAAAGGUCUUCAUCUUGAUUUUGAUGGAUGUCAUCAAUGAAAAGCCUCCCCCUUCUUUGCCGCAUUUACAAGAUUCUUUAUUGACUCCUAUGUACAUUUAUUAAUAUUAUAUUUGUACCAAUAAACAAGAUAUUUUAACUUAUUUAGGCGCUGCCUUAAAUCUAAGACUUCUUCCACUUCAAAUUUUUCACUAUUGUCUACUUCUAUAGGAAGAGGUGGCACUUAUUUUCUUCUUGAUAUAUCCACUAUCUUGUAUGGUUCAAGAAGAGAUACAUGGAAUAUUGGAUGGAUUUUCAUUGACUCUAGUAGGUGUAAACGAUAUGCAAUUAGAUUGAUUUGUGUAAAAAUAAAAAAUGGUCUAAGCUUAUAAUAGUCCAACUUGUUACAAUGACAAGUAGUCUUAAUAUUACAAGAAAAUAACUAUAUCUUAUUACUCAUGUGGAAUAGUGGUUGUUCCUUUCAAUAGACAUCUGCAUUGAUCUUUUGUUAUUUUUGAGCUUCUUUUCAUCGUGCCUUUAUUGUUGUAUGUAACUUGAUAAACGAUUUGUCAAAUCUUUCAUGAUAAGAUUAUCAGCUUCUGAAAAGUCAAAAGUAUCAAGUAAUAAAUGAUAACCAUAAUUAACAAAGAAAGGUAUUUAUUUUGUAAAAGAAUGUAUUGUAUUAUUGUAAACAAACUCUACCAAUGGCAAAAGAAUUAUCCAAUCAUCUUCUUGAUAGUUGAUGGUAUAUCUUAAAUAUUGCUCAAAAACUUGAUUAACAUACUUUGUUUUUCCAUUAGUUUGGAGAUAAAAUUUUGAAGAUAAUUUUAUAUCUACUUUUAAAAUCUUAAAAAUAAUCUACCAAAAACUUGAUACAAAUUGAGUUCUCUUAUCUGAUAUAAUAUCCUUGGAUAAUCCAUGAUAGCAAUAGAUGUUGUCAAGAAAGAAUUUAGUUGUUUCUUCACGUUGUCAUGAUGUAACAUGGAUAACAAGUGAAAAGAUGAAAAAAAUAUCAUGUUUUGAGGAUCUCACUUCAAAAAUAUUGUAACAAAUUAUCUUGGAAAAAUAGAUAUUAAUCAAAAGGUAGAAGAAUUAAAUGUGCUAAUAUUGCCUAUUUACAAAUUAUGCUUCUAUUUAUUUUGUAAGGCCAUAAAUAAGAUAAAACAAGAUAGAUUAGAAAAAUAAAGGAUAUAGGCAUAUGUAAGGAGGAGUGAGGAGUGCAAAUUAGUAAAAAUUACCUCAAGAAGACGAAAGUUGAUACCUAAAGAGGACCAGUUAUGAACCUGGGUCGAAAUCAGACCCCAAAGCACAAAACCAUGCUUUGACGGCGACUCAAGGGUUCUUUGGGAGAUCAGAGAGUCGAAUUAGGGAGAAGACUUGUGGAGGGAUUUUUAAGAGGUAAUUUUGUGUCGUUUGGAUCAGUAUUGGAUUUUUGAGGGAUUUUCAAAGCAAGUGAUGUUCUCUAUGAAUUCAGAUCUUUGAGAAAAAAAACCGGUUUACAAAUUUUUAGAUUUCGUGUCUUUUGUAGCAUUUUUAUAGGUGAAAAUUUAGAAACUUAUUGUUAUACUUUUUGUGAAUGUAUAUAAGAGAUUUGAAAUCAAUCUAAUGGCUAGAUCAAUACAUAUGAAGGUUUUUGUGGGCUAAGAUCUCGAGAUUUAGGAUUUUGAAGACCAGUAAGGUUUUCUUAGAUACCUAACAAUCUGCUAGUUGGAUUGGAGAGAUUUUUAAUUAUAUCAGUAGAAGACUUGAUUUCCUAUAUGCAAGUAAAAUUUGGAAGCAAUCGAACGAUAGAAAAAGAAGAUAUCAGCGCUGGAAGUUGGCAUCAAGAUUGGAGAAGGAGAGACCAGCCAACAUCCGAGCGGAAUUUUGAGGUCAUCGACUAAUUGGUAAGUGCGAUUUUCUUCAAAAUUUGUGUGCUGGUUUCUAACUUAAAUUCCAAGAAGUGUGAAAAUUUUGAAUUAGAAUCAAUGGUUCAAUCUUUAGUUAUUUAAUUUUCAAAUCUGUGAUUAGGGUUUGAUUUGGGUUAGGAUUUGAUUAGGAUUUAGGAUUAGGGUUUGGUUAGGAUUUGGUUUAGGAUUUAGGGUUUAGGAUUUGUUAGGAUUAGGAUAUGGUUUAGAAUUUGGUUUAGGAAUUAGGAUUUAGGAUUUGGUUUAGGAUUUGAUUUAGGAUUUAGGAUUUGGAUUAGGAUUUGGAAAAGGAUUUGGAUUAGGGUUUGGAUUAGGAUUUGGAUUAGGAUUUAGGCUUUGGUUUGGGAUUUGGUUAGGAAUUGGUUUAAGGUUUAAGAUUUGAUUAAGAUUUGAUUAAGAUUUACUUUAGGAUUUAGGAUUUAUCUAGAGUUUGAUUAAGGUUGGAUUAGGAUUAGGGGUUGGUUAGAAUUUAAGAUUUUAUUAGAUUUUUAUUAGGAUUUGACUAAGUUUUCUUUAAUAUUCUUUUAUAUUUCUUUAGGAUUUCCUUAUGUUUUUUUUAUAACUUCAAUAAAAUUUAAUUGAGCUUUCUUAAUGUUUGAUUAUAAUUGUUAAUCUUUAAUUGUAAAUUCUCUAUAAUCCUAUUGGAUUGUUAGGACCUUUUGUUGCAAUUUUCUUUUACCUUCCACAGCUAGAUACUUGGUGCAUUCUCAAGCAAGACUUCACGUAAUAUGACAACGUGUGAUUAAUUUUGUACAUAGUAUAAAAUGUGCCAUUUUGAUAAAAUGAUCUACUAUCACAAAUAUAGAGUCAUAAGAUUGUAAGAUUGGAAGAUCCGUAUUGAAAUCCAUAGAAACAGAAGACCAUAGUUGUUUUGGAAUAGAUAAUAGUUGAAGAAGUCUGUAAGGUCGAUGAUAGGGAGUUUUUGAUCUUGAAUAAAUGUCGCAUAAUUGAACAAAGUCUUUCACCUUUUCAUAUUUGUAGCCACUAAAAAUCUCUAGAUAUAAGCUCUAAAGUCUUAUUGUAUCGAAAAUGUCAUGCUGCUAGAAAGUCGUAACGUGCUUGAAGAACACAUAAUCGAGCUUCUCCUUUUAGAAUAUAUAAUUGACCUUUGAAAUAGAGUAGGUUGUUUUUGAACUCAAAAUUAGAAGUAUCUUGGGACUUAAAAGAAGGAUUCUUGAUAUUGUAAACAAAAAGAUUAAAAGACAUACUUAAUUGGAUUUGUUUUAUAAGGAUUGAAUUAACAGUUAAUAUUGAUUUCAUUACUCAAAGAUAAAAAUUCUUUGGCUUCAAGAGAAUUAAUUUUUAUUGACCAAAAGAUGCAUCUCCUUCUUUUGGUAUAACAUAAGAACAUCUAGAAAAGGCAUCUAACAAACCUUGUUAUUUUUCAGGUUGAUACAUGAUCUUGAAAUCAAAUCUUAAUAAAGACAUGGUCCAACAGAUGUAGUGAUGAUUCAAAACAUGUACUGAUAUGAAGUACUCAAGAUUUUUAUGGUCUAUAUACAUGGUGAUUGGAUUAAAAGCGCCUUCUAGAUGAUGAUGCCAUUCUUGAAAUAAAUCCACGAUUGCAAAAAGCUCUUUGUCAUGGAUUUCAUAGUUAAUCUAAGCUACUGAAAAUUUUCUAGAAUGAAAAGCUAUUGGGUGCAGUUUAUCAUCUAUUUCCAUUUUUGAUAAUAUGACAUCCAAAGCAAAGUCUCAUGUAUUUGUUUCCAUAAAAAAUGCCUUAAAAAAGUUGACGCAAUACAAGAUUGGUGCAGUAAUAAAUGUUGACUUCAAAGCUUCAAAAGCUGCUUCAACUUCUUUGCUCUACUUAAGUUUGUUUUUGCAAGUGAAACGUAUAAGUAGGGCUGCAACUUGAGAAAAGUCUUUGAUGAAGAUCCAAUAAUAAUUGGUAAAGUCCAAAAAGCAUUAAACAUCUCCUAUCAUUUUUGAAAUCUUCUAAUCCAUAAUAGUUUGAACUUUCUUAGGAUCCAUCAUAAGUCCAUCAUUUGAAAUGAUGUAUCCUAAGAAGUCGACUUGAGUAUUGUGGAAUACAUACUUUUUUAUCUUGGCAUAGAGUCUCGCAUCUCUUAAUUUUUGUAACAUACAACGAACAUGAAAUUUAUGUUUAUUUGUAUUCUUAGAAUAGAUCAAGAUGUUGUUCAGAUAAUAGAUAAGAAAAUCGUCCAAAAACUCUCAAAAAAUAUCAUUCAUUAGAUUUUGAAAAGCCGUUGGUAUAUUUGUAAGUCCAAAAGGUAUGAUGUUGUAUUCAAAAUGUCCAUACUUAGUUCAAAAUACAUUCUUUUAUUCAUCUCUUUUUUUAAUAUGUACUAGAUUGUAUGCUCUCCAUAGAUCUAUUUUGUAUAGAUCUUAGCUUGAUUCAGUUGAUCAAGAAGUCUAGAUAUCAAAGUUAGAGGAUACAGAUUUUUGAUGGUGAUCUUAUUGAGUCUUUGAUAAUCAAGACACAUCUGCAAUGAUCCAUCUUUCUUCUUUACAAAUAAGAUUGGAGUUCUUGCUCGUGAUUUGGAAUAGCGUAUGAAAUUCUUCGCUAGAUUUUCUUCAAUAUAUUCCUUGAAUUCAGCCAAUUCAUAUUGUAAUAAACUAUAGAUUGGUCUAAAUCGUGGUUGUACUCCUUUUUAAAGGUCAAUUGAACAGUCAUAGGUAUAAUAUUCUAGAAGAGUAUCUUCAUUCUUUUUCUCAAAUACAUCUUGAAAUUCUUGAUAUUGACUUGAAAUGCCACUUGAUGUCUUUACAUCAUUAGAAAUAUGUGUGGCGUAAAUGACACAAGGUGACCCCUCUUUUGUAACAUGCAAAAAAACUCUUGUACCUACAAAUAAAGAUUUUAUUAUAAUAGACUUAUGACUUUUUAUUUGAUUAAUGUCACUCUUAAUUAUACUUUUAGAGAAGUUAAAAGUAAGAGAAAUUCAAUCUAUGCAAGGAUUAUAUUUUUCUAACCACAAUAAAUCUAAAAUAACUAAAUUAGAGAGAGAUCUAAUUAUAUUAAAGUUUAUUCAACUACUAUGACUAUUUAUUGCAACAUCUAUAGGAAGUGUUUCAUGAGUAACAUCUCUAAAGACAAUGGACGACCAUUUAUGACUUCUACAUGAACAGAUUUAGUUUUUUGUACUAACAAUAUUUUAUGACUUUUAAUAAAUUCUAUGUCUAAGAAACAAGCUGAGGCUCUUGAAUCUAUCAAGGUAGAGGCUUUAUAAUUAUUAGGUCUUAAAUAAACAUCUAUUAUAAAACAAUGAAAAGGUUUUGAGGAGAGGAUAGGACCUUUAGAAAUUGUAUAAGAUUCCAACCGCACUAUUACUAUUGUAGCUAGACAAAUUGGUUUUCCAACACAUUGUCUUCUUUGACAACUGUGCUCCUUAUUUUGUGGUUUUUUUUCUUCUUUAGACAAUAUUAAGCAAUGUAUUUAGAUUCUCCACAAUAUAAGUAUAAUCCUUCUUAACAACAAGAAGUUUUUUUUUACUCAAUAAGAAGUUUAAAACGUACUGCAUCAAUUUGCAUAUCUUCUAUUUCUAAAUGUAUUUUUUGAAGAGAUGUUGAUGUUGCCAUCGAAUUGUAGUAAUGUUGAGGCCCACUUGUGCGGUUCAUAAAUCAAAAUUCAAAAAAUUGAUUGUCACACUUUAUAGCAAAAUCAAUUCCUUGAUUCAAUGUUUGAAGAUCAAGUAAGUUGAGCAUCAAUUUCUUUACUUCAUAUUACAAUCCAAAGAAAAAUUGGCUAAUAAGUACACCAUCAUCUCACUUGAUAUCAAUUACAAGUUGUCAAAACUAUGAAGUAUAUAAUGUUAUAAAUCAAUUGUCUUAUUGUAAAAUAUGGAUCUGGUUGGUUGCAACAUGAUUUGCAUCAUGUUCUCUAUAUAUGGACCAAAAUUCCAUCAAAAAUGCCUCCAGAUUAUCUAAUAUUGGAUCUUGUCAUUCAAAAAAAGAUAAAGACCAUAAUAAUGUUGAACUUGAAAGAAGUGUAUCAAUUAAUCUAACUUGUGAUCUUGAAGUUGAAUAGCUUUGAGGUUGAAAUUCAAUCACAAGUUAUACUUGAUUGAUAAAUCUUUGAAAUUUGGAUCUUGUAUUGUCAAAUAUCUCGGACAGGGAAACUCUUGGUUUUCUAAUACUUGAAAGAUGUUCUACCAUGGAUGGAGGAUAUGAUUUGGUGUAGAUAUUUAGGCAAAUCUAAUCAUCUCAAUAUUCUCACUUUCUGCCAUUCUUAUUGAUCCUUGUCGUAGUAAGCUAAGUUGAUGCAUCGCAAGCAUCAACUCUCUCAAUUGCUCCUACAUUUGUGCCAUUGCAGUCUUCAUUUCAACAAGCUCUACCAUAAUUACAUUCAAAAAAAUAUCUAAUACCACUCAAGACAAGUAAAAUAAAUGACUUGAAGACAAAGAAAAUACUAAGAAGAAUAUCAAUUUAGAAGAGGGUAAUUUGCAACUUCUAAUACGCUUAUGUCUUAUCAAGAAAAAAGGAUAAUCCACUCUUAAUCAAGAAAAGACAAAGCUUUGAUAUUGUAAUUAUACUCUUGUCAAUCUAUCAAAGACAAGAACUAGAAGAUGAUAUAUAAACUAAUAAAAUCCAUAUAAAAAAAAAAGUGACAAAAUAGAAAUAAAGAAGUAUGUAUAUUAAAAAGAAAUUAGAAUGGCUUAUUGCCAAAAGACAAGAAAACUUGAGACUCUUGAAACUAGACUAGAAGCAAGAAAAGAGUUGACAAGAGUAAAGAAGGCUUCACUUUUGUCUCUAUAUAUACUAUCUAACUAGGGGCUAUGUAGCAAUGUUCUAUAGGACCUUCAAUAUGUAUUGACUUUGUAGGACAUAUGCCUUGACUUACAAGGCAAGUUUUUCUAUAUAUUCACCACAUAAUUAGCAAUUCUUCAAGCUAUCAAUAUAUGUGGCACAUGAUUAACUUGUUGACCAAAUUUCUAACGUAAAAGUCAACAAUUGAUACCUAUAAAGUCAAAGUAAUGCCUUAUUGUCCUAGCAUAGUUUCUCUACUAGGACAAUAUUUAUUCAUAUUUUUUCUAGACUUUCAAUCUAAUCUAUAUUAUAAUCGAUUUUAACCUUGAUUGUCGAAUUUUUAUAUUAAAAUACAUAAUAGGAUCUAAGUUAAAUGCUUUGGCACUUUGAGUCUUAUGUUCUUAUAAAAAAGUAAUAUCUAUAUUACUUGUACCAUUUUAUAUAUAAGUCAUAAUAUAAUCUAGCUUAUGGAGAUGUCAAAGACAUGAAUCUCAAAGAACUAAAAUAUCAAUACAAUCUUAUGUCACUCAAAAAGAAUAUAAAAUCUUUUAAAGAUAAUAUGAUAUUAAAUUGGAAUGGCUAUUGCCUAAGACAAGAAGAUUAGAAAGUCUUAAAACAAGAUUAAUUACUAGAAAGGCAUUGAUAGGAGUGAAGAAGGCUUUAUUCUUAUUUCCAUAUAUAUUCUUAACUUGGAGCUACAUGGCAAUUUUCUAUAGGACCUUCAAACAUGUUGACUUUGCAAGAUACAUAUCUUAACUUAUAAAGUAAGUUUUUUAUAUGUGCACUACAUAAUUUUCUUCUUCCACAAGCUGCUAAGAUGUGGUUAACUUUUUGAUCAAGUUUCUAACCUACCAAUCAAUUAGAAACACAUGUAAAGUUAAAACAAUGUCUAUGAAGCUUCUAAGAAGCAUCUCUAAAAAAAUAUUAUAAAAUGAAUCUACUUUUACUUACUUUUACUUAAUUAUUUAAGUAAAUAUUGGACUAGAUAUGUAUGUUUGUGUCAAGAGGUUAUUUAAGCCUUAAAUAUUAAGCAUUAGGAGUUUUAAAUUCAUACUUGUAUAAGAGAGGUACUUAGUACUAGAUGUCCACCUAAGUCCUAAAUAUGCUUACUUAUUAAUUUUAAUGAUGAUACUUUUACAUUGCAUUCAUUGUGAUUUCUUCCUUGUUGUAGGCUUUGAUUUUAACUUCAACUUUGAAACUUUGUUAGACUGGGCAAUUCUAAAUCUAGGCUUCUAUUGAGUUAUUACUUUUGAUAUUAUUAUUUUUAUAUGGUGAAGUAUUCAUAGAUGCUUCAAUAGUAAAUAGGUCAAUAUUCAAGUCAAUGUAGAAUAAAGAUUGUUGCAGCAAAUGAAUAUAUAAGUAGCUAUUGAAUAGAGAUUGGUUUGCUUCAUUGAAUUGAAGAAACUUUGGUAUGCUAAUUUGAAUGUAAUUUGAGCUAUAAAUCAAUUGUAGUCACUUGUGUAUCAAAAAGUCUUUUGUAUAGGUGGAAUGUCUUUUUUGUAGCUUGUUUGUAUAUGGAAGGAAUUAAGUAUCUUUGUGCAUUAUUUACCAAUGGCAACUCUAGCCUUCCUCUACUUGCAAAUUGAUAACUAGAAAAUUUAAGUAAAGCAAUCAACAGCAAUGUGAAGUGAUCCAUUUUUAAUCUAUAGAUGAGAGAAAGUAGUUUGUAGUUUGAAUAUUGAAAAGAAUAGUAUAGUUGGUUGUUACAGGUGUAUUAUCUAGCUAGAAAAUUUAAAUAUUUUUUUAUAUAAUCUUAUUUGGUUUAUUAACUAAGAUAAUAGAAUUACCAUCAAAGGCAUUAAAUAUUAAAGUAUUGUUUUCUUCAUAUAUGGCUUCAAGAAUGUUGAAGAUAUUAAAGGUGUUGAGGGAGGUAAUUUAAUAUUGAAUUGUAGAAUUUUAUAGAGGACUUUUUUUCUACAUGUUGACUAUAAUAAAAUCAUCUGAAUCUAUUUGAGUCCAUUUUGCAUUUUGAUUUGGUAUGGUUGAGUAUUGAUAUUCUCUCUUAUAUAAUACUUUUAGAUUAGGUUGUCCAUAGCUUUAGUAUUCCUCUUAUCUUGCAUUGUAUUUUCUAGAGGCAAAGCAUUAUAGAUAUACAUCUUAUUUCUGGAUACAGUCUCUAAUCUUCUGAUUUAUGUCAAGGCAAAACUUACAUCAAAUUAAUAGGUUUGAGUAGUUUACAAUGAAAAUGGUGAAUUUUUCAAAGAUUGUGUCCUUGAUUUCUACUUUUUUUUUCCAUCCAUUGCUUGUAUCAAAGACCAUAGAAAAUCAAGAUUUAAAUUCUUCAAAUUUGACUUUAGAAUUUUUUUCAAUUUUUUUGUAAUAUUUAUGAUAAUAACAUUGAAUUACUUAGGUAGAUGUUUGAAUGCUAUUUAGGUAGAAAUGAACAUAUCUUUGUUGUUUUUAGGAUUACAGUAUGGUAUCAAAGAUUACAAAUUGCAUAAGAGGCCUCAGUCUUGGUAAAGUGUGCAAAUUAGGAUCUCUUACACUACCUUUUGAUUUGAUAUUUAAAAAUAAAAAAAACUUAUAAUCCACCUUAUUACUAGAUGUGAUUUCUUCUUAUUCUAUUAAUAAGUUGAGAUUUGUUAGUUACCUUGCAAAGAUCAUUAUAGUUAGUGUAUUAUGAAGUAUCUAAUUGAUGUUCACCUUUAAAAGCUAUUCAUCAAAAUAAUCACAUAUAUGUAUGUUUAAGUGAAAAAAAUAUUAUUCUAACUACACUAAAUUUAUCUAGUAAGCAAUGCAAUAAGGUCUACAAGCAAUUGCUAUUCCCUUUCAAUACAUCUUCCUCUCACUAUGUUUUACAAAGCUUUAUCUUUAGCCUCAAAUCAAUCUCUAGCUUUCAAUGAGGUUUUAUAGAAAUGGGUUAAAUAUUUAGAUUAUGUUUGAAAUAAUAAUAAAAACAAUGUAUAAUUUUGAUAUUUAAGUCAUAUAUUUUUGAUAAAUAAAUGAAUUUUCAUAUAUCCUUUUAAAUAAUUAAUAUGCAUAGAGAUAAGACUAAGAUUACUAUUAUCUUUUUAACACGUUUGUUAUGUUUUAAUCUUAAUUCAAGAACUUUUAUUUUGUUUCUAUUAAAUUGUAGAUUUUUUAAUUUCUUCUAUUUUAUAUCUAUAUCUUUUUUUAUUUAUUUAAUACUACAUAAAUAUAUUAUUCUUUUGAAAAUUUAUGCAAAUUUAUUCUUUUAAUUUAAUAUCUAAAAAAUUCUAAAAUCACAAAGAAUAUAUUAGAAUAAGACAUAAAAUCUUAAUAUCAUGAAUUAUGUAAAUAUUAUAUUGAUUAAUUAAAAAUAAUAUAAAUUAAUAGUUCUUUUCUUAUUGUAUGCACAUAAAUUUUACUACUAUUAGAAAGGUCAAAGAUUCCAGAUUUGAAAAAAUCUUUAAUACAUGAAAUUAAUAUAAUAUUAUAUUAGAUGCUCAACAAAUAUUGAAUUACAAAUAUAAAAUUAAAAUAAAACAUUUAUUUUUUAUCUUUCUUGUUUUAUAUUAAAAAAAUCAAUUUGAAUUCUCAAAUCAUAUUAAGCUAACAAAAUAAAGUUAAAAGAUAGAAUUAAAUUUUAGCUUAAAAAAUAAAAAUAAUCCUAAAUAUAUUACAAAUAAAUUAUAUAUAUAUAUAUAUAUAUAUAUAUAUAUAUAUAUAUAUAUGUUAGAAUAUUUUUUCAUACUAAUAAAAUAUAAAUAAGAUAUUUUUAAAUUUUAACUAUAAAUUAUAUAUAUAUAAUAUAAACUUAUAAAGAUUGAUAAAAAUUAACAUAAAAAAAUAAUAUAUUAUAUAUUUAUAUUUGUAUGUAAUAAAAAUAAAAAAUUAAUUAUAAUUAAAUUUAAAUCUUUGUAUGAAUAAAAUUUAAAUAACAUAUAAAUAAAUCUUGUAUUAAAAACUAACUAAAUUAUAUGAAGAUAUUAUACAUACAAGUUUUUUAAAGAUUCUAAAAUUAAAAAUAAUUAAAUAUAUAAAUUCAAUUAUUAUAUAUAUUUUAAAUUUUCAAGUUUCAUAUGUAGUUCUAAAAAACUUAAAGAAAUGAUAAAAAUUUAUUAUAUAUAUAUAUAUAUAUAUAUGUAAAGAAUAAAAUUAUAUUUUAGUACUAUUAAGUGUCUUAAAUAUUUUUUCUAUUUAUUUUAUUUAAUUUUUAAUACAUUAUUCUUAUUACCUUUUAAAUACUCUCAGUUUUUAUAACUAUACAUGUUUAUAUAUAUACAGCUUAAAGAAAAAUUUAUGAUUUUUUUUAAGCUGCAAUAUAUAUGUAUGUGUGUGUGUGUAAGUGUGUACUUUUUAUGUAUUUUGUACAAAUAAUAUUAAAAUCUAAAAUAUAUAUCAAAAUAUUUAAUAAUAUUUAAUAGAGUUAAUUUUGAUAACUUAUCAUCUUAAUUAAAUCAAUAUUAUAUAUUAGUAUACUGAAGUUUAUAAAAAAUACAAAUGAUUAAAAUUUAACAUCGUACAUAAUCUUUGUUAUAAAUAUUGGAAGGUUGAAUUUGCAGCUUAAAAAAAAAUCAUAAAUUUUUCUUUUUCUAUUGAAAUACUUUAAAUUUAUUUUUGAAGCUAGGAAAAUUAUUCCUAUAAAAAGUAUUAUUGUGUUAGGUUUCAAAAUCUAUUCUAUAAAACUUCAAAAGAAGUUAUUGUGAUUAACUUUUAGAAGCUAUAUAAGUUAAUUAAAUUUUUGUAUUAAAAUUUUACAUUAUUUUUUACAUAAAAAUUUUCUUUUAGAAAUAAGCUUUAGUGUAGGCAUUGAUUAAGACUUGUUCAAUCUAAAAAUAAAAUAUUAAAGAAUAAAAAUUGAUUCAACUUAUAAUUUUCACAAAUUUAGGCUUUAGAUGCUUUAGGAAGUUAUCAAAGAAAGAUCUGAGGCUUACUUUAUUCUCAAGCUUCGUAGAAACUUCUCAAGAAGCUUUCUAGGACUUAGUGUAUAUAUAUAUAUAUAUAUAUAUAUAUAUGAGGCUGAGGAGAUCCUUAGUCUUGAUAAUUCACUUUUUGUGGUCUAGCUAGGAUCUUCUUGCCUUAUAUCUACUUGUUGUUCUAAUGUUAAGCUAACUCCAUUUCUUGGUCUUGAAUUCUUGUCUUGUAUAUGGUUCCUAACAGUGUAUCGAAACUGCUAUAAAAUGGUAUUAGAAGCUUAGUCUUUCUUCACAGAGAGUGGAUUACCUUUCUUUUUGGAAUUACUAUAGCAUUCUAGAGGUUGCGGAUUAUCCCCUUAGACUAAUAUUGUUCUUUUCUUAAUAUUCUUUUAAUUUUUUUACUUUAUAUCAUAAAUUAGGUUUUAUUUUUUUUGAAGGUAUAUAUUUCUUUGAUUUUUUAUGAUAGAAGGUGAAAAAGUCAAUAUAACAUACUCAAAAGAUAUCAAAUUAGAUUCUAUUAUUAAUGUUCUUGAAGCAUUGAGGAUUAGGAUAGAGACAUUGUCGAAAUAGAAUGAAGGACUAUAUAUGACCAUAUAUAAUGGUCAAGGAGCCGGAGUGCCUCAACCAAUACAUCAAAUUGUAAUAGAGGUUCCAAAUUCUCAAACGACUAUGUCUACUUCAAAUAUGGGAGGUGCAUCCACUCAAAGCAAUGAUUUGACAACUAUAACAACAAAAGAACCAAGGAUCAACCUUCUAGAAUAAUUUGAUGGCACCCACUCAAAAUUUUGUGGCUUUGUAAACCAAGUAUGACUAAUCACCUUGCUUCAAUCUCAACAAUAUUCCAUUGAAGCAUCUUCUAUUGGUUUGGUUGGAACUUUGCUCUCGAGUCAAGCUUUAUCUUACUUUGUCCCAUUAUUUAAAAAGAAUUCUUCUAUAUUGCACACUUUUGAAGCAUUUUUGGUAGCAUUUGUGGAAGCAUUUGGUAAACAUGAUAAGGUUUGUUCUUUAAUAACUAAAAUUCAAAGCCUUCGACAAAGAACCCACUCUUUAUCAACAUAUGCCUCAAAUUUUCAACAAUUAGCAUCUGAUAUAAAUUAGAGAGAAGAUAUAUUGAUGAGUCAAUUUUAUUGGAGAUUAAGAGACAAUGUCAAGGACUUAUUGUUAUCUAUGCUAGAUUCUCUAACUCUCAAUGAAGCCAUUAGUCAAGUUAUGAAGUGCAAUAAUCAUUUAUUUCAACAACAAUAAGAUAAAUGUUCUUUAAUUAUGCUACAUGUAUACACCAAUUAUUUUGCAUCUUCUUCACCAUCUAAUUCUAAUGAGCAAUUGGAAGCAAAAGAUAUGUAGAUUGAUGCAGUUCGCUUCAAAUCUCUUUUUGAGCAAGAAAAAAAGCAUGAAAGGAAACUUGGCCUAUGCUUAUAUUAUGAAAAAUUUGGCCAUAAGAUUAAUAAUUGUUUAGAAAAAUGCCAAUAUACAUAUUGAAUGAAAAAUGUGGCCGCAUCAUUAAGAGCAUUGUAAAAAAAUAAUUGCGUUCAAGCCUAGUAAGGACUGUGCGACUGAAUUCUUCACUAUCACAAACCAAAAAAGAUCAUCUAGUCUUUGCCAACCUUUCUUGUUGUUUUACUAUAUAUAUAUGAUAAAGAGUCACAAAAUUAGAGUCUCAUGUAUUACUUGACUCGAGAGCGUCUACAUGUUUUAUUGAUGAAGAAUUUUUUAAAUCACACAAAAUCUGUAUGGUCAAAAAAACUAAAGCUAUAUAUGUAGAAGUAAUAGAUGGUUGACCUUAAUUCUCUUAAGACAUCAUUAAUGAAACGAUUUCAUUAGAAAUAACCUUUGACAAUCAUAGCAACAAAGUAAAAUUUAAUAUUAUUAGAUAAUCAUCAAGUCCAGUCAUUUUAAGACUCUUAUUGCUUAAAAAAUACAAUCCACGGAUAGAUUGGGUAUCUCGAAAGUUAAAAUUUUUUCUAAUAGAUCAUAAAAUCUCCAGAUCUAUGAAAAAGCUUUUAACAUCCUAUAAGCCAAAAUUUAAAGAAUAUUUAUUUAUUGGAGCUAUAGCAUUUGUGAGGGCAACUAAACAAGGUACUAUAUUUGCUAUUUAUGCAAAUUCACAUUUGGAACAUGUGGUUGAUACAACAAUAAUUUCAAAGACAUAUAAGGAUUUUACAGAUGUAUUUGAAAAUAAAAUAUAAAUAUCUUGCCAAAGCAUCGCUCUUACGAUUGUACAAUUAACCUUCAAGAAGGUACUCAACCACCGUAUGGAUUCAUCUAUAAUUUAUCCCAAAAUGAGCUCGCAACUUUAAAAGAGUACAUUGAGAAAAAUCUCAAUAAGAAUUUUAUUCGACAUUCUAAGUUGCCACUUGGUGCUCUGAUAUUAUUUAUAAAGAAAAAAGAUCGAUCUUUACAAAUAUAAGUCGACUAUUGUGGCCUUAAUAAAAUCAUGAUAAAAAAUUGAUAUCCAUUGCCACUGAUAUUCAGACUUCUUGAUCAAUUUAGCCAAGCAAAGAUCUUUACAAAGAUCGAUCUAUUAGGCACUUAUAACUUCGUAUGCAUUAAAGACAGAGAUGAAUGGAAGAUAAUAUUUUGCACCAAGUAUAGAUAUUUUGAAUACAAUGUUAUAUCUUUUGGACUUACCAUUGUACUAGCCAUAUUCUAACACUUAAUGAAUGACAUAUUUUGCAAGUAUCACAAUGACUUUGUUAUAAUAUAUUUGGAUGAUAUUCUAGUCUUUUCCAAGAAUCUUGAAGACCAUGAAAAACAUGUGCAUCUUAUGUUGGAAAAGCUACAAAAUAUUGGGCUAUAUGCAAAACUGGAGAAGUAUAUAUUUCAUGCACCUCAAGUCAAAUUUAUUGGAAUAUUAUUUCCAACAAAGGCCUUUUUAUGAAUCCAAAGAACAUACAAGCAAUCAUUGAUUAGGCUAAACCAAAAACUAUAUGUGAUGUCCAAUACUUUCUUAGAUUUGCAAACUUCUACAUGAUUUUUGUUAAGAAUUACUCCAAGAUUGUUGCUCCACUUAGGCAAUUGACAUGCAAGGACAAGCUUAAUUGGGGCUUUGAAGUAGAGAAAGCUUUUCAAUGCUUAAAAGAUGCUCUCACAACAAAUCCAAUUUUGAUAUAUCCAGAUUUCAACAAGCCCUAUUUCAUGGAGACAGAUGCCUUAGACUUUGCAUUGGAAGCAGUCUUGUUGCAAUAUAGAGAAGAUGACAAACUUCAUCCAAUUAUAUUCCAUUCUAAAAAAAAUUGAGUGGCAAAAAUUAACUAUAAAAUCCACAACAAAGAAGUGCUUGCCAUCAAAUAUUUUUUUCAAGAAUGUUGCCACUUUUUUGUAGGUACCUCUCAUUAAGUCACUUUAUAUAUAGAUGAUAAAAAUCUUUAAUAUUUUAUGUCAACCCAAGUCUUGAACCGGUGCCAAAUAUGUUAGAGUAUAUCUUUUUCAUGACUUUUGCAUCAUGUAUUGACUUGAGAGCCAACAAAAAUUAUAUGAUGCAUUAUCAAGACAUUCCUAUCAUAAAUCAAAAGAAAGCCAAGCAGCAUAUGAUCAAUAAAGGUAACUUUGUUAAAACCUCAGUAAUUUCAUCUUCAAGUGAUCAAUGUAUCAAUGCCUCUACAUUUAUCAUUUUUUGAUCAAGUUCAUAAGGCCUCAAAUACAGACCCUCUUGUUCUUAAUAUCAAGCAUCUUAUUAACAACCUUCAUAAAAAAUCUUCUAAAUUCAAGUAUGAGGACAACCUCUUGUUCUUUGAAGAAAAUUUGUUCAUUCAUAAAGGGCCAACUUGAUUGCGCGUUCUUCAAAUACUCCAUAACUUCCCUACAGCUAAAUAUUUUGGAUUCAGCAAGACUUUAGAACUUUUGUCUAGAAAAUUUUAGUGGCCUAAUAUGUAGAAGGACAUUAAAGAAUUUGUAUUAUCAUGUGAUACUUGUUUAAAAUCAAAGAACCCUCAAGAUCAGCCAUAUGGACUUCUUCAACCCAUUCCUGUUCUAAGACAAUCAUGGUCAUCUAUCUCCAUAGAUUUCAUUAUAGAUCUCCUACCAUCAAACUUAUUUAACACUAUCUUUUUAAUUUUUGAUUGAUUAACUAAGAUGGCACAUUUCAUACGGUGUCGUAUUACGUGCUAUCUUGCUUGAAAACGCGUCGGGCGUCUUGCUAUAGGAGGUAGUAUGGUGUUUCACUAAUACUCAAGCAGUCUAUCGUGUUCUUGACUACCCAAAUACAAUCUAUAUUGGAUUGCAAUGUAAAAACUUAAUUCUAAUAUAAAACGCCUAGAGAUCCUAUAUAACUUCAAUCUCUUUUGUUAUUUUUAUUUUAUUUUAUUUAUUUUAUGUUUUUUAUUUUAUCUUUAUUGUUAAUUAUCUUAAUCCUAGACCGUGAACUUCGGCAAGCUGUGAUCCUCAAUUUGUCCUUCCGACUUGUUGUGAAACAUCUAUCGCUAGUAUCUCUAUAAGUCCUUUCGAAUGCUCAAGAAGUUCUAAUUCAAUCCCGCUUACAAAUUGUGAGGCUAUGCUGCAAUCCGCACUGAUGUUCUUUGGCCGCUCGCCAAUACUCCUCUUAUCCAUGUCGAUAGGUCCCAAGUUAUCAUAAAAACCCUAAAUAAAUCCCAAUUUACCAACUUCUAAUACGUCUUUAAACUGUUGGCAGAUAUCCUCUAUCCGUACAGUCUCAUUAACACAAUCAUGCAUGCAUUCAACAUACUCAACCUUCUAGACAACUCUGAAUUUCAACCAGAGAAGUAUUUCCCAUUCAAUCAACAAUCAAGAAUACCAGCCUUUUAUCUCUUACAAAAAAAAAUCCAGUUCACCAAUACAACACUGACUUUCAGCAACGAUUGCCUCAGUCUUUCCAAAACCCUAUAAAGAAAAAAAAACCCCAAUUCUCUAUCUUUUCUCCCGAAAGCAUGAAGCUAGCUCUCCGACCCUUAAAAACCUUGAUUCUCCCUUUUCAAACCCUUUCACUUCUUAACCUAUCCUUCCCUUUAACCCUAAGAAGAUCCUCCUCUUUCGCCUUGAACUCUCCAAAUUGGAACCGCCGUCAGAGCUUUCUCCUUCGUUUUUUGCUUUUUAAAAGGUCCUUUUUCUCGAAACAACAUUUCUUGAAACGGCAUAGAAAAUAAGACAGCUUGAAAUAGAAUCUAAACCCCCGUAAUUGGGACCACAUUGAGUCGCCUGACCAAAUCAGGUCUCAUAUUGGCUAAGAGGCCCGUAGUAAGACCUAGAUGUUCCUGUAAUUGGGUCAAAUUGGUCCUUUACGUCAAGCUCGUUCAGUCAUCGAUUUAGUCCUUUCAAUUCUAUUGACUCCCACUAUUGGACUCAAAUAGAGCAUUUCGUUACUGAUAAGUAUGUCCUAACCGACUAAAAUGGGGUGUCUGAACUGGCCCCUAAAUAUUGGCACUGAAAUCGGUCGUUGCUCCCAAUAUUCGAGGUAACUGAUCAAUAAUAAAAGUCCCCUUUCUUUAUAUUUUUAUGGUAUACUCGAAUUACAAUACGACAUCCACCCCCUUUGAACCUGUGCAUCCUCCGGUGUCGUAUUACGUGCUUUCCUGCUCGAGAACGCGUCGGGCAUCUGGCUGUAGAAGGUAGUAUGGAGUUUCGCCAAUAUUCAAGCAGUUUAUCGGUUUUUGACUAUUGGAAUAUAAACAACUGCAAGAAUACACCGUAAAUCUAUAUGGAUGUCCUUCGACUGCUUGACAAAGUCCUUUUUGCCCCAGCCGGGAGGUCUCUAGAUGUUACAGAGAACCCCCAACAACCCAAACUACUAAUCUUCGAUACCGCUUUAUACUCACGAUCUUGUAUCCACUGACUCUCUUGUUAGAUUAACCCAAUAAAUUUCAUUCACUUCGCAUACUCAAUCCUAUAGACACCCUUUUAACUCUUCAUCACAGACGUAACUCGAUUUCACAAAACAGUCAAGAGUAAUCAAACCCACUUCAUUAAAAAUCCCGAUUCACCAUUACAACACUGACUUCAGCAACGAUUGCCUCAGUCUUCCCAAAAUCCUAUGAAGAAAAAAAAAUACAAUUCUCUGUCUUUUUUUCCCGCCCGAAGCAUGAAGCUAGCUAUCUGAUUCUUCAAAAACUCCCCAAAAAACUUCCUCUCUUCCCUCUCAUUUCUUAACCUUAAUUCAGAAUUUCUUCAAUCCUCCUUCUUGGAUCCGGAAUUAGCUCUCGCCAUCAAAGUUUUCUCCUCUGUUUUUACCUUUAAGAGAUCUUUUUACCGAAAGGACGUUCCCGGAAUGGCAUAAAGGAUGGAACAGCCUGAAACGGAAUCGAAACCCCGUAACCGGGACCACAUUGAGUCGCCCGACCAAAUUAGGUCUCAUAUUGGGUAAGAGUCCAGUAGUAAGACCCGUAUGUUCCCGUAAUUGGAUCAAAUUGGUCCUUCGCAUCAGAUUGACUGAGGCCCGUAGUAAGACCUGGAUUUUUCUGUAAUUAGACUACAUUAGGUUGCCCAACCAAUUCAGGUCUCAUAUUGGGUAAGAGAACCCAGAUUGGAUUCUUGAAAUUGGAUCCAAUUGGCUCUUCGAACCAGGCUCACCCGUCAUGUGAAUUGGUCCUUUUUCUUCUUGUUGACUCCCAUUAUUGGAAUCGAAUGGAGCAUUUCAGUAUGCCCCGGCUGAUAAAAAUGGAGUGACAGAACCUGGCCACUCAGUAUUUGCACUGGAGUUGGUCGUUGCUCCCAAUAUUCGAGGUAACAAAACAUUAAUAAAAGUCCCCUUUCUUUAUAUUUUCACAAUAUACUCGUGUUACAACACGACAUCCACCCCCUCUAAACCUGUGCAUCCUCCGGUAUGCACCAAUUUAUCCAAUUGUUGUUUGAUUCAGAAUAUAUCCUCUACGACUUUGUCCACUUCGUCUUUGUCACCUUCAUUAUCCAAAUCACUUUCAUCUCGUUUCUACGGAAUCUCUAUACCUUCAUUAAGGUCUUCCAUAUUCAUCUCUGCGUGUCUUCGUUUAAAUAUUUUUACUCGCUUCCCUGCAAUUGGUAGUUUCAAUUUUGUACCAUCUAACUCCCGUAAUGAGUAAGUCGCAUUAUCAUGAACAGUUGUUACUACAUAUGGUCCAAACCAACGUUUUAAAAAUUUCCGCAAAGUACUAUGUUCAUUAUCCAGACUAUUGUCAUAAACAAGUACCCAGUCACCUUUCUCGAUUGCUUUAGGUCUCAAUCGAUGUUGCUUAUCGAAUCGCGCCUUAUUUUGUAACCUUGCGCUUUUUAACCUUUCCAAUGCUAUCUGCACAUCUUCCGAUCUUUGCUCCAAUUGUCGAAUCCUAAUAGCUAGAAUUUCUUCUCUUGUCAAUCCAUCUUCCCAUGAUAGCAUACUCCAAGUAAGUACCUUUUCUUCAAUCGGCAUAAUUGGUUUUUGACCUGUCAUAAGUUCUACUGGCAUAUAUCCUGUCACCGAACUAUGUGUUGUUCGAUCAGCCCAUAAUGCAAAUGACAAUAGCCGUGGCCACUCUUUAACUUUCCCAUUACAAGCUUUAACUAAUGCUUUCAUAAUCGACGGGUGACCGCGUUCGCUUUUUGCAUUCCCUUCCGGAUUAUAAGCAGUAGUCAGUGAUAGUCUAACUCCACAUCUUUCAAAGAACUUACGAGCUUCUUGUGCAUUUAAUUCUCCACGAUCUGCAGUGAUUUUUCCUACGCACCCGUAACGGCAAAUGACAUCUUCAAGCAAAAACCUACAAAUCCCCUCUAUAGAUUUUGUCCUCAAUGCUCUUCCUUCUACUUGAUUUGAUAAAUCUUCACGAGCUAAAAUCAAAUAUCUCAUCUGCCAUAACCCAACUGGCAUAAUAACCAAAUCAACAACCCAUUUAAAAUGAAUAGCCAGAGGAUACGUAGGAUGAAGACCAUCUCGAUGUCGGAUAUUAGAAUACGAUUGACAGAUUUUACAUCACUCUACAAAUGAGAGCACAUCUCGAUACAUAUUUUUCCACCAAUAUCGUUCCUUGAGUUUAGCAAAAGUAGCCCAGAUUCCUCUAUGCCCUGUCCAUAAAUUAUCUGAAACUCUUUUAAUAAUUUUAGUUUUUCUUCUUUUUUGCCUAUCACUCGUUGUGGCACCCGAAUUCCUUUCUUCGGUCUCUUCCAUAAGAAUCCAUCUCGAAGUAAAAAUCCAUAUGUUUUUUUUCUUAUUUGUUUAAAUUUUUCUAUAGACCGAUUCCCCUACUUAGUCAAGGUAUUCAAGUAAUGACCAAUAUCCAAUAAAUCUCCUUCAUAAGAUUCUUCAAGAAAUAGCUUGUCUUCUCUGUUGAGAUUUGAUAUUGAAUAGAAUUUCAAUUUGACAUCAUCAAUGUCUUCAACUAUUUCGUCCUCCCUCUCGUAUCUUGCUCGAGAUAGCAUGUCUGCUACUAAAUUUUCCUUCCCAGUAAUAUGCUUAAAUUUCGGAUUUAAUGACUUAAUAUAAGCAAUCCAUCUCAACAUUGCAAUAUCGGGCGUUGAACAGAUAAUAAUCAUUCCAAGCUAUGGCAAGCAAUCUGUUUCAAUUACUAGUACUGCCCCAAUCAAAUAAUCCUUUUCAGCUUUCAUAGCCAAAAUGACUCCCCAAAGUUCUCUUUUGACUUGCGAAUAUGCAUGCUGAUGAAUACUUAAAACUUUAGUCCCAAAUCGAACUGCAAAUCUAUUCCCAUUUGAAUCAUCUUGACCCACAGCCCAUCCAAUGGCAAUUGGACUAGCGUCCACAGUAAGAAUCACUGGUCUAUUGCACUUAUAAUCAACCUUCCUCAAUAUUGGAGGUGACAUCAAUAAAUUCUUCAAUCUUUGCAUUGCCUGAAUAUGCCUUUCUUCCCAUUUAAAUCGGUAGCCCUUGCGUAACAGUUCAUAUAAUGGAUCCACUAUGUGAGCAUAAUGAGGGAUCCAGAUUCGAUAAAAUACACAUGCAUCUAAAAACCUGCGAACCUCUGUUAAAGAAUCACAAUCAUCUUUCAUCCUUCCAAUUGCAUCAACUUUAGUUGGAUCUGGUUUUCUUCCAUUGUCGUGUUGUAACACGAGUAUACAGUGAAAAUAAAAAGAAAGGGGAAUUUUAUUAAUAUUCAGUUACCUCGAAUAUUGACAGCAACGACCAACUCUUGUACAAAUACUGAGUGGCCAGGUUCAGUCACCCCGUUACAGUCAUUCGGGGCAUACUGAAAUGCUCCAUUCAAUUCCAAUAACGGGAGUCAGCAGGAAGAGAAGGACCAAUUCACACGACAGGUUCGAAGAGCCAAUUGGAUCCAAUUUCGAGAAUCCAAUCCGGGUCCUCUUACCCAAUAUGAGACCUGAAUUGGCCGGUCAACCCAAUGCAAUCUAAUUACGGGAACAUCCAGGUUAUUACGGGUAUCUUACCCAAUAUGGGACCUGAAUUGGUCGAGCGACUCAAUGUGGACCCGAGUAUGGGGUUUUGAUUUUGUUUCAGGCUGUCCUGUUCUCUGUGCCAUUUCAGCGAACGUUGUUUGCGGUAAAUGGAUCUCUUAAAGGUAAAAACGGAGGAGAAGGCCUUGAUGACGUGAGCAAAUUUUAGAUCUAAGCUGUGAUGGCGGGAGCCAAUUUCGGAUCUAAGAUAAAAGAUUGAAGGAAUUCAAGAGGAUAAGGUUAGGGGGAGAAUAAGUUUGAAGGGGAAUCAGUUUUUAAGGGAUUUUUUUUUUUUUUUCAGAUUAGAGAUUAGGGGGGGUAUUUUUUUUUUUUUCACUAGGAAUCAGGGAGAGCUAGUUUUCAAGCUUUUGCAAAGUUACUAGUUCGGUUUUCAUUGGAGGUUUUUGGAGAUCAAAGGGAUUAAAGAGAGAGGAGCUUCAUGCUUCGGGUCGGGGAAGGAAAGACAGAGAAUUUGGAUUUUUCUUCUUCGUAGAGUUUUGGGAAGACUAAGGCAAUCGUUGCUGAAGUCAGUAUUAUAAUGGUGAAUCGGGAUUUUUAAUGAAGUGGAUUUGAAUACUCUUGACUGUUUUGUGAAAUCGAGUCACGUCUGUGAUUGAAGGAUUAAAAGAGUGUCUAUAGGAUUGAGUAUGCGGAGUGAAUGAAAUUUAUUGGGUUAAUCUAACGAGACAGUCAGUGGAUACAAGAUCGUAAGUACAAAGCGGUAUUGAAGAUUAACAGUUUGGGUUGUUUGGGGUUCUCUGUAACGUCUAGAGACCUACCAACUGGGGCAAAAAGGACUUUGACAAGCAGUCGAAGAGCAUCCGAAUAGACUUACGGUAUAUUAUUGCAGUCGUUUAUAUUCCAGCAGUCAAAACUGAUAGACUGCUUGACUAUCGGCGAAUCUCCAUACUACCUUCUACAGUCAGACGCCCGGCGCGUUCUCGAGCAAGAUAGCACGUAAUACGACAAAAUUGGUGAAUCCAACGUGAAAGCUUGAGGUGGAAGAUAUUGGAUUUCAUUUGAUUUUAUUUUUAUUUUUAUGGAGAACGAAAAUAAAAAUUUUGAAGGAUCUUUGGGAGGAGUUUCAAGUGGGGGUUCUUCUAAAGGACAAGGUAUGUUUAUGGAUCCAUCUAUUGCUAGUAUGUGUUAAGCCUUCUCAUUAUCAAUGUAGCAACAACAAAGGAAUGAUCGAAAAGAAGCUUUGGCAACCAAAAUAUUACAAGCAGUGGUCAAUAAAAUUGAUCAAUUUGAUGGAAGGAAUAUUUCAAGGUAUUUAAGAUGUUAUGUUCGUGAAAUGGAAUUAAAUCGGGUUUCUGAGAAGAAAAUGGUUGCACUAUUUGGACUUGCCACGAUACCGGAGAUAAGGGACCACAUUACAUUGAUUACGGAUCGUUAUGGGAAUUCAUGGGAGGAUUUUUCACAUGCAUUGAAAGACGAAUAUUUCUUGGAAGAUGCUGAUCGCGUUACUAAGAAGCUGUUUUUGGGAUGGAUUGAAUGGCCCAAUAAGAAUUUGCAAGCAACAGAGCUACUAAGGGAAUUUGAGAGGCAGUACUCUCAAUUAUCGAAGGUAGAAAAAUUGACAUUGGAGCCAAACAAAGUUGAUCUAUUUCUUCAAGCUGUUGAUGGAGAAUUGCAAGAGAAAUUAGAACCCCUUCUUGAAGACAAAGAAGAAGAUGAAGGAUUGACAACGAAGUGGAAGAACGUUGAAGAUGCGGUGGGGUUGCUUAUAAAAAAAGAAAGGAGGAAAGAUAGGAGUAAUAUUCCAAAAACAAUACAAGCACCCAAAGCACCAGUACGUACAACACCACCAACAAUGCCUACAGUUCAACCUUCGACAUCCUUAUCAAAGAAAGCAGAUAUGAGUAUGGAAGAAAUUAUACGAAGAAUGCAAGAUCUUCAAAUCAAAUUGGCAAGACUUGAAGAGAAUACUUCUAUAAACAAUUCGAAUAAUAUUUAAAACAAGGAUUCGUACAAAGAUGCAUUUGGUGUGAUGAUGCUUCAUACACUAGAAAAGAUUGCAAUGAAUUUAAUAAUAUGAUACGGCAGGGAAUUAUUUGCUGGAAAGAUAGGAAGAUAGCAUUGAAAAAUAGAGAGGAUCUUCUUCAAACCAAUUUUGGCAAGGAAGAAAUGAGAGCAUUGGUUCAAGAUUACUUAAAAGAGCAUGAAACAGUAGCAUGAGAAAGUGCAAGUUAUGGUGCUAGAGUAGAUGAUGAAAUUGGUGGAAGUACGGAAACUAGUGAGUUUUGGGCUUCUACCGUUUCUACAAUGCAAGAAGGGAAAUUACCUCGAGAAGCAUUAUUGAAGACUGCAGCCAUAAUAUGAGGUACAACAGGUUGGGAGGAUCCUGUUGACUCUCUUUCAGUUCAUGCAUAUAUUGCUAAGAGCCAAUAUGAAGCUUUGAUGGAAGAAAAGAGACAAGGAAAUUUUGAUGAUACGAGAGAAGGAAAUUCUUCUAAGAGGCAAACUCGAGGAGACAAGACUCAGGAGGCAGCUUCACAAGAAUUGCCUGUAAAGGAUACCUCAGCAUCAUUGGAAGAAAAAACAAGGGAGACAAAAGAUAAGGGCAAAUCAAUUGCUUAUAAGCUACUUUUUGACAUUGAAGCGGCAACAAAUUUGAAAGGGGUUUUGGAAGAACGUAUAUUAAACGCUAAGGUGGAAUUCACAUUGAAAGAAGUUUUGGGAAUUGCAGAGAAGGAGUUUCAUGAUGUUAUUAUUGACAGCAUUAAGCGAAAGAGGCAAUUAAUGGGCAAAACUGGAAUGAGUCAUGCUAUUGAUGCAAGAAUAUGUAGAGAUGAAGAAGAGGUUGAUAUUGGUUACAAGCAACCAACAAAUGAAAAGAAUGGGUAUAAUUAGCGAGUACGUUUCGAAGAUUCUAGUGACAAGGAAAUAGAAACUUUGAGCCAUUAUACUCGAAAGCAUUGGGUAAGGGCAACUACUGAGGUAUUGGUGAAGGUAGGAGAUAUAGAAGAACCAAUAGUUGCUUUGGUCGACCAUGGUUCUGAAAUAAAUCUCAUGUCUAAAGAUCUUUAUAAGAAGCAAAAAUGGCCAAUUGAUAUGGAACAUGGAUGGGCAAUACGAGCAGCUAAUAACACACGGGGCAAAUUAUAUGGAGCUUGUCCAGAUGUCAAAAUUCGGAUUGGGGAUGUUGCGAUGGAGCAACAUUUCUUCGUUCAAGAUACAACGUCUUAUCCGUUGAUUUUAGGACAACCUUAUAUCAUGAAAAUACGGAUGGAAACAAAAGUACUUGACGAUGGUUCUGCUUAUGCAAGGGUACGGAGCGAAGAUGGGAGGAAAGCUGUACAAUUUCUAACAGUACCUCCUAACCAUGAACGGAAUCGAGAUGGGUUGAGGGAGAAACCAUUGCCAAAGAUUGUUGAAGGAUUUAAGGAUUUUGGAGAGGUACCACUGUAAAGCGAGAUUAUGGAGGUACAAAAGAGGAGGUACUCUCGCAAGAUGAAGGUGCCUUUGAUGCGAGUUUUAUUGGUAUAUUGGAGAAUGGAAAUAUUAUGUAUAAGAAAGUUGAUGAUUUUAAAAGAAAAGAAAGAAAAAGAUUAUAUAAUAUUGAAGGACAAUUACGCAAGAUAGGUACAUUGCAAGAUGAUGAGAGGAUUUUGGAUGUUUAUGAAGAAAAUGGACUAGAAGAUUCAUUAGAAUUGAUUACAUCUAUUUUGUUAGGAGAUAAUGAUAAGAUUGUUGAGAUUCAUUCGAGAGAGGUUUAAACUAUGCUGGAAUCUUUUUAGCACCAGAAGUCCAGUAGAGACGAGAUAUAAAACGGCAGAUAAGAAGGCAAAGCCUGUUGCUAGACCAUUACCAGAGGAUUCUAAAGAACAAAUGGGAGAAGCAUCAAAAGAAGCAAGUUUAAGAGAUCCAAUGAGUAUUGGACAUCAGUUUACUGAAGAGACUUUUGAAGAAUUGAAGAUUGGUUCUGAUGGUUCUUUAUUGCUGGAGGAAAUUACUUGCUUCAAAAGGAUGUUGGCUAAACAAGGUAGAUCGUUUGCUUUCGAAUCUCAUGAAAUUGGGUGUGUGGAUCCAAAUAUUAUAACACCUAUGGUUAUCUUCACUGUACUGCAUGUAUCUUGGAAUCUAAGACCGAUUCCAAUACCUAGGGUACAUUUACCUAAAUUGAUUGAACUAUUCAAAGAAAAGAUAAAGAUGAAAAUAUAGGAACCCUCGUUUGCGCCGUAUUCUAGUCGAUGGUUUACGGUACCUAAGAAGAAUGGGUCACUACGGUUUAUUCAAGAUAUGCAACCGGUGAAUGCAAUAACUAUCAGGAAUGCAGGAAUUGGACCUAUUGUAGAUAAAUUUACUGAGGUGUUUGUAAGAAGGGCAAUCUAUUCAAUGGGUGACUUGUAUUCAGGUUAUGAUCAAUUUCAACUUGCCGAAGGAAGUAGAGAUAUGACAACAAUGAGGACACUACUUGGAUUGGUUAGAAUGUGCACUCUUCCUCAAGGCGCGACCAACUCAGUUGCGCAUAUGAUGAAUGGGAUGAAUAAGGUAUUGAGAGAUUUUAUUCCGAAAAAGACUAUGCCUUUUCUGGAUGAUGUUCCUAUAAAAGGGUGGAGAGAAGGAGACAAGGAUGAAACUUUAGAUACGAGGGAGUGUGGCACAUAUGUUGUUGAUCAUAUACAAGAUUGUCAAAAGAUUUUAACUUGGCUUGGAGAAUUCAUCUUACAUUAUCGGGUAUGAAGUCCGUAUUUGGAGUACGAGAGGUUGUAAUUGUUGGACAUUUAUGUGGAUCCUACGGAAGAAAACCAGAUCCAACUAAAGUUGAUGCAAUUGGAAGGAUGAAAGAGGAUUGUGAUUCUUUAACAGAGGUUCGUAGGUUUUUGGGUGCAUGUGUAUUUUAUCGAAUCUGGAUCCCUCAUUUUGCUCACAUAGCGGAUCCAUUAUAUGAACUGUUACGCAAGGGUUACCGAUUUAAAUGGGAAGAAAGGCAUAUUCCGGCAAUGCAAAGAUUGAAGAAUUUAUUGAUGUCACCUCCAAUAUUGAGGAAGGUUGAUUAUAAGUACAAUAGACCAGUGAUUCUUACUGUGGACGCUAAUCCAAUUGCCAUUGGAUGGGCUGUGGGUCAAGAUGAUUCAAAUGGGAAUAGAUUUGCAGUUCGAUUUGGGGCUAAAGUUUUAAGUAUUCAUCAGCGUGCAUAUUCACAAGUCAAAAGAGAACUUUGGGGAGUCAUUUUGGCUAUGAAAGCUGAAAAGGAUUAUUUAAUUGGGGCAGUACUAGUAAUUGAAACAGAUUGCUUGCCAUUGCUUGGAAUGAUUAUUAUCUGUUCAACGCCCGAUAUUGCAAUGUUGAGAUGGAUUGCUUAUAUUAAGUCAUUAAAUCCGAAAUUUAAGCAUGUUACUGGGAAGGACAAUUUAGUAGCAAACAUGCUAUCUCGAGCAAGAUACGAGAGGGAGGACGAAAUGGUUGAAGAUAUUGAUGAUGUCGGAUUGAAAUUCUAUUCAAUAUCAAAUCUCAACAGAGAAGACAAGCUAUUUCUUGAAAAAUCUUAUGAAGGAGAAUUAUUGGACAUUGGUCAUUAUUUGAAUACCUUGACUAAGUAGGGGAAUUGGCCUACAGAAAAAUUCAAACAAAUAAGAAAAAAAGCAUAUGGAUUUUUACUUCGAGAUGGGUUCUUAUGGAAGAGACCAAAGAAAGGAAUUGGGAUGCCACAACAAGUGAUAGGCAAAAGGGAAGAAAAAUUAAAAUUAUUAAAGGAGUUUCAUGAUAGUUUAUGGGCAGGGCAUAGAGGAAUCUGGGCUACUUUUGCUAAACUCAAGGAACGAUAUUGGUGGAAAAAUAUGUAUCGAGAUGUGCUCUCAUUUGUAGAGUCAUGUGAAAUCUGUCAAUCGUAUUCUAAUAUCCGACACCGAGAUGGUCUUCAUCCUACAUAUCCUCUGGCUAUUCAUUUUAAAUGGGUUGUUGAUUUGGUUAUUAUGCCGGUUGGGUUAUGGCAGAUGAGAUAUUUGAUUUUAGCUCGUGAAGAUUUAUCAAAUCAAGUAGAAGGAAGAGCAUUGAGGACAAAAUCUAUAGAGGGGAUUUGUAGGUUUUUGCUUGAAGAUGUCAUUUGCCGUUACGGGUGCGUAGGAAAAAUCACUGCAGAUCGUGGAGAAUUAAAUGCACAAGAAGCUCGUAAGUUCUUUGAAAGAUGUGGAGUUAGACUAUCACUGACUACUGCUUAUAAUCCGGAAGGGAAUGCAAAAAGCGAACGCGGUCACCCGUCGAUUAUGAAAGCAUUAGUUAAAGCUUGUAAUGGGAAAGUUAAAGAGUGGCCACGGCUAUUGUCAUUUGCAUUAUGGGCUGAUCGAACAACACAUAGUUCGGUGACAGGAUAUAUGCUAGUAGAACUUAUGACAGGUCGAAAACCAAUUAUGCCGAUUGAAGAAAAGGUACUUACUUGGAGUAUGCUACCAUGGAAAGAUGGAUUGACAAAAAAAGAACUUCUGGCUAUUAGGAUUCGACAAUUGGAGCAAAGAACGGAAGAUGUCCAGAUAGUAUUGGGAAGGUUAAAAAGAGCAAGGUUACAAAACAAGGCACGAUUCGAUAAGCAACAUCGAUUGAGACCAAAAGCAAUCGAGGAAGGUGACAAAGUACUUAUUUAUGACAAUAGUCUGGAUAAUCAACAUAGUACUUUGCGGAAAUUCUCAAAACGUUGGUUUGGACCAUAUGUAGUAAUGACUGUUCAUGAUAAUGCGACUUACUCAUUACGGGAGUUAGAUGGUACAAAAUUGAAAAUACCAAUUGCAGGGAAGCGAGUAAAAAUAUUUAAACGAAGACACGCAGAGAUGAAUAUGGAAGACCUUAAUGAAGGUAUAGAGAUUCCGCAGCAAGAAGAUGAAAGUGAUUUGGAUAAUGAAGGUGACGAAGACGAACUAGACAAAGACGUAGAAGAUAUAUUCUGAAGCAAACAACAAUUGGGUAAUUUGUGCAUACCGGAGGAUGCACAGGUUCAGAGGGGGUGGAUGUCGUGUUGUAACACGAGUAUACAGUGAAAAUAAAAAGAAAGGGGAAUUUUAUUAAUAUUCAGUUACCUCGAAUAUUGAGAGCAACGACCAACUCCUGUACAAAUACUGAGUGGCCAGGUUCAGUCACCCCGGUACAGUCAUUCUGGGCAUACUGAAAUGCUCCAUUCAAUUCCAAUAACGGGAGUCAGCAGGAAGAGAAGGACCAAUUCACACGACGGGUUCGAAGAGCCAAUUGGAUCCAAUUUCAAGAAUCCAAUCCGGGUCCUCUUACCCAAUAUGAGACCUGAAUUGACUGGUCAACUCAAUGCAAUCUAAUUACGGGAACAUCCACGUUAUUACGGGCAUCUUACCCAAUAUGGGACCUGAAUUGGUCGGGCGACUCAAUGUGGAUCCGAGUACGGGGUUUCGAUUUUGUUUCAGGCUGUCCUGUUCUCUAUGCCAUUUCAGGGAACGUUGUUUGCGGUAAAUGGAUCUCUUAAAGGUAAAAACGGAGGAGAAGGCCUUGAUGACAUGAGCCAAUUUCGGAUCUAAGCUCUGACGGCGGGAGCCAAUUUUGGAUCCAAGACGGAAGAUUGAAGGAAUUCAAGAGGAUAACGUUAGGGGGAGAAUAAGUUUGAAGGGGAAUCAGUUUUUAGGGGAUUUUUUUUUUUUUUCAGAUUAGAGAUCACGGGGGGUAUUUUUUUUUCAGAUUAGAGAUCCUCUGGGAAUCAGGGGGAGCUAGUUUUCAAGCUUUUGCAAGGUUACUAGUUCGGUUUUCAUUGGAGGUUUUUGGAGAUCAAAGGGAUUAAAGAGAGAGGAGCUUCAUGCUUCGGGUCGGGGAAGGAAAGACAGAGAAUUUGGAUUUUUCUUCUUCGUAGAGUUUUGGGAAGACUGAGGCAAUCGUUGCUGAAGUCAGUAUUAUAAUGGUGAAUCGGGAUUUUUAAUGAAGUGGAUUUGAAUACUCUUGACUGUUUUGUGAAAUCGAGUCACGUCUAUGAUUGAAGGAUUAAAAGGGUGUCUAUAGGAUUGAGUAUGCAGAGUGAAUGAAAUUUAUUGGGUUAAUCUAACGAGACAGUCAGUGGAUACAAGAUCGUAAGUACAAAGCGGUAUUGAAGAUUAACAGUUUGGGUUGUUCAGGGUUCUCUGUAACGUCUAGAGACCUACCGGCUGGGACAAAAAAGACUUCAACAAGCAGUUGAAGAGCAUCCGUAUAGACUUACGGUAUAUUAUUGCAGUCGUUUAUAUUCCAGCAGUCAAAACUGAUACACUGCUUGACUAUCGACGAAUCUCCAUACUACCUUCUACAACCAGAUGCCCAGCACGUUCUCGAGCAGGAAAGCACGUAAUACGACACUGUAAGAUCCACAUAAAUGUCCAAAAAUCACAACCUCUCGUACUCCGAAUACGGACUUCAUACCCGAUAAUGUAAGAUGAACUUCUCCAAGCCAAGUUAAAAUCUUUUCACAAUCUUGUAUAUGAUCAACAACAUAUGUGCGACACCCCCUCGUAUCUAAAGUUUCAUCCUUGUCUCCUUCUCUGCACCAUUUUAUAGGAACAUCAUCCAGAAAAGACAUAGUCUUUUUCGAAAUAAAAUCUCUCAAUACCUUAUUCAUCCCAUUCAUCAUAUGUGCAACUGAGUUGGUCGCGCCUUGAGGAAGAGUGCACAUUCUAACCAAUCCAAGUAGUGUCCUCAUUGUUGUCAUAUCUCUACUUCCUUCGGCAAGUUGAAAUUGAUCAUAACCUGAAUACAAGUCACCCAUUGAAUAGAUUGCCCUUCUUACAAACACCUCAGUAAAUUCAUCUACAAUAGGUCCAAUUCCUGCAUUCCUGAUAGUUAUUGCAUUCACCGGUUGCAUAUCUUGAAUAAACCGUAGUGACCCAUUCUUCUUAGGUACCGUAAACCAUCGACUAGAAUACGGCGCAAACGAGGGUUCCUAUAUUUUCAUCUUUAUCUUUUCUUUGAAUAGUUCAAUCAAUUUAGGUAAAUGUGCCCUAGGUAUUGGAAUCGGUCUUAGAUUCCAAGAUACAUGCGGUACAGUGAAGAUAACCAUAGGUGUUAUAAUAUUUGGAUCCACACACCCAAUUUCAUGAGAUUCGAAAGCAAACGAUCUACCUUGUUUAGCCAACAUCCUUUUGAAGCAAGUAAUUUCCUCCAGCAAUAAAGAACCAUCAGAACCAAUCUUCAAUUCUUCAAAAGUCUCUUCAGUAAACUGAUGUCCAAUACUCAUUGGAUCUCUUAAACUUGCUUCUUUUGAUGCUUCUCCCAUUUGUUCUUUAGAAUCCUCUGGUAAUGGUCUAGCAACAGGCUUUGCCUUCUUAUCUGCCGUUUUAUAUCUCGUCUCUACUGUGACUUCUGGUGCUUGAAAAGAUUCAAGCAUAGUUUAAACCUCUCUCGAAUGAAUCUCAACAAUCUUAUCAUUAUCUCCUAACAAAAUAGAUGUAAUCAAUUCCAAUGAAUCUUCUAGUCCAUUUUCUUCAUAAACAUCCAAAAUCCUCUCAUCAUCUUGCAAUGUACCUAUCUUGCGUAAUUGUCCUUCAAUAUUAUAUAAUCUUUUUCUUUCUUUUCUUUUAAAAUCAUCAACUUUCUUAUACAUAAUAUUUCCAUUCUCCAAUAUACCAAUAAAACUCGCAUCAAAGGCACCUUCAUCUUGCGAGAGUACCUCCUCUUUUGUACCUCCAUAAUCUCGCUUUACAGUGGUACCUCUCCAAAAUCCUUAAAUCCUUCAACAAUCUUUGGCAAUGGUUUCUCCCUCAACCCAUCUCGAUUCCGUUCAUGGUUAGGAGGUACUGUUAGAAAUUGUACAGCUUUCCUCCCAUCUUCGCUCCGUACCCUUGCAUAAGCAGAACCAUCGUCAAGUACUUUUGUUUCCAUCCGUAUUUUCAUGAUAUAAGGUUGUCCUAAAAUCAACGGAUAAGACGUUGUAUCUUGAACGAAGAAAUGUUGCUCCAUCGCAACAUCCCCAAUCCGAAUUUUGACAUCUGGACAAGCUCCAUAUAAUUUGCCCCGUGUGUUAUUAGCUGCUCGUAUUGCCCAUCCAUGUUCCAUAUCAAUUGGCCAUUUUUGCUUCUUAUAAAGAUCUUUAGACAUGAGAUUUAUUUCAGAACCAUGGUCGACCAAAGCAACUAUUGGUUCUUCUAUAUCUCCUACCUUCACCAAUACCUCAGUAGUUGCCCUUACCCAAUGCUUUCGAGUAUAAUGGCUCAAAGUUUCUAUUUCCUUGUCACUAGAAUCUUCGAAACGUACUCGCUAAUUAUACCCAUUCUUUUCAUUUGUUGGUUGCUUGUAACCAAUAUCAACCUCUUCUUCAUCUCUACAUAUUCUUGCAUCAAUAGCAUGACUCAUUCCAGUUUUGCCCAUUAAUUGCCUCUUUCGCUUAAUGCUGUCAAUAAUAACAUCAUGAAACUCCUUCUCUGCAAUUCCCAAAACUUCUUUCAAUGUGAAUUCCACCUUAGCGUUUAAUAUACGUUCUUCCAAAACCCCUUUCAAAUUUGUUGCCGCUUCAAUGUCAAAAAGUAGCUUAUAAGCAAUUGAUUUGCCCUUAUCUUUUGUCUCCCUUGUUUUUUCUUCCAAUGAUGCUGAGGUAUCCUUUACAGGCAAUUCUUGUGAAGCUGCCUCCUGAGUCUUGUCUCCUCGAGUUUGCCUCUUAGAAGAAUUUCCUUCUCUCGUAUCAUCAAAAUUUCCUUGUCUCUUUUCUUCCAUCAAAGCUUCAUAUUGGCUCUUAGCAAUAUAUGCAUGAACUGAAAGAGAGUCAACAGGAUCCUCCCAACCUGUUGUACCUCAUAUUAUGGCUGCAGUCUUCAAUAAUGCUUCUCGAGGUAAUUUCCCUUCUUGCAUUGUAGAAACGGUAGAAGCCCAAAACUCACUAGUUUCCGUACUUCCACCAAUUUCAUCAUCUACUCUAGCACCAUAACUUGCACUUUCUCAUGCUACUGUUUCAUGCUCUUUUAAGUAAUCUUGAACCAAUGCUCUCAUUUCUUCCUUGCCAAAAUUGGUUUGAAGAAGAUCCUCUCUAUUUUUCAAUGCUAUCUUCCUAUCUUUCCAGCAAAUAAUUCCCUGCCGUAUCAUAUUAUUAAAUUCAUUGCAAUCUUUUCUAGUGUAUGAAGCAUCAUCACACCAAAUGCAUCUUUGUACGAAUCCUUGUUUUGAAAUAUUAUUCGAAUUGUUUAUAGAAGUAUUCUCUUCAAGUCUUGCCAAUUUGAUUUGAAGAUCUUGCAUUCUUCGUAUAAUUUCUUCCAUACUCAUAUCUGCUUUCUUUGAUAAGGAUGUCGAAGGUUGAACUGUAGGCAUUGUUGGUGGUGUUGUACGUACUGGUGCUUUGGGUGCUUGUAUUGUUUUUGGAAUAUUACUCCUAUCUUUCCUCCUUUCUUUUUUUAUAAGCAACCCCACCGCAUCUUCAACGUUCUUCCACUUCGUUGUCAAUCCUUCAUCUUCUUCUUUGUCUUCAAGAAGGGGUUCUAAUUUCUCUUGCAAUUCUCCAUCAACAGCUUGAAGAAAUAGAUCAACUUUGUUUGGCUCCAAUGUCAAUUUUUCUACCUUCGAUAAUUGAGAGUACUGCCUCUCAAAUUCCCUUAGUAGCUCUGUUGCUUGCAAAUUCUUAUUGGGCCAUUCAAUCCAUCCCAAAAACAGCUUCUUAGUAACGCGAUCAGCAUCUUCCAAGAAAUAUUCGUCUUUCAAUGCAUGUGAAAAAUCCUCCCAUGAAUUCCCAUAACGAUCCGUAAUCAAUGUAAUGUGGUCCCUUAUCUCCGGUAUCGUGGCAAGUCCAAAUAGUGCAACCAUUUUCUUCUCAGAAACCCGAUUUAAUUCCAUUUCACGAACAUAACAUCUUAAAUACCUUGAAAUAUUCCUUCCAUCAAAUUGAUCAAUUUUAUUGACCACUGCUUGUAAUAUUUUGGUUGCCAAAGCUUCUUUUCGAUCAUUCCUUUGUUGUUGCUGCAUUGAUAAUGAGAAGGCUUAAAACAUACUAGCAAUAGAUGGAUCCAUAAACAUACCUUGUCCUUUAGAAGAACCCCCACUUGAAACUCCUCCCAAAGAUCCUUCAAAAUUUUUAUUUUCGUUCUCCAUAAAAAUAAAAAUAAAAUCAAAUGAAAUCCAAUAUCUUCCACCUCAAGCUUUCACAUCGGAUUCACCACUUAUAUCAUAUUACGUGCUAUCUUGCUUGAGAACGCCCCGGGCGUCUGGCUGUAGGAGGUAAUAUGGUGUUUUGCUAGUACACAAGCAGUCUAUCGGGUUCUUGACUAUCCAAAUACAAUCUAUAUCGGAUUACAAUGUAAAAGCUUAAUUCCAAUAUGAAAUGCCUAGAAAUCCUAUAUAACUUCAAUCUCUUUUGUUAUUUUUAUUUUAUUUUAUUUAUUUUAUGUUUUUUAUUUUAUCUUUAUUGUUAAUUAUCUUAAUCCUAGACCGUGAACUUCGGCAAGCUGUGAUCCUCAAUCUGUCUUUUCAACUUGUUGUGAAACAUCUAUCGCUAGUAUCUCUAUAAGCCCUUUCGAAUGCUGAAGAAGUUCUAAUUCAAUCCCGCUUACAAAUUGUGAGGCUAUGCUGCAAUCUGCACUGAUGUUCCUUGGCCGCUCGCCAAUACUCCUCUUAUCCAUGUCGGUAGGUCCGCAGUUAUCAUAAAAGUCCUUAAAAAAGUCCAAUUUGCUAACUUCAAAUACGUCUUUAAACUAUUAGCAGAUAUCCUCUAUCCGUACAGUCUGAUUAAGACAACCAUGCAUGCAUUCAACAUAGUCAACCUUCUAGACAACUCUGAAUUCCAACCAGAGAAGUAUCUCCCAUUCCAUCAAUAAUCAAGAAUACCAGCCUUUUUUCUCUUACAGAAAAAAAUCCUAUUCACCAAUAUAAUACUGACUUUCAGCAACAAUUGCCUCAGUCUUUUCAAAACCCUAUGAAGAAAAAAAAAUCCCAAUUCUCUGUCUUUUCCCCCGAAAGCAUGAAGCUAGCUCUCUGACCCUUAAAAAAUUUCUAAUUCUCCAAUUUUCCGAAAGCAUGAAGCUAGCACUCUGAUCCUUAAAUAUCCAAUUUUCCCUUCUCAAACCCUUUCAUUUCUUAACCUAUCCUCUCCUUUAACCUUGAGAAGAUCCUCUUCUUCCGCCUUAGACUCCUCAAAUUGGAAUUGUUGUCAGAGCUUUCUCCUUCGUUUUUUGCCUUUCAAAAGGUUCUUUUUCCAGAAAUAACAUUCCCUGAAAUGGCACAAAGAAUAGGAUAGCCUGAAACGGAAUCAAAACCCCCGUAAUCAGAACCACAUUGAGUCGCCUGACCAAAUCAGGUAUCAUAUUGGCUAAGAGGCCCGUAGUAAGACCUGGAUGUUCUUGUAAUUGGGUCAAAUUGGUCCUUUGCGUCAGGCUCGCUCAGUCAUCGAUUUAGUCCUUUUGAUUCUGUUGACUUCCAUUAUUGGACUCGAACGGAGCAUUUUGUUACUAGUAAGUAUGCCCUGACCGACUGUGAUGGGGUGUUUGAAUUGGUCCCUGAAUAUUGGUACUGGAAUCGAUCGUUGCUCCCAAUAUUCGAGGUAACUGAACAGUAAUAAAAGUCCCCUUUCUUUAUAUUUUUACGGUAUACUUGUGUUACAACACGACAACGUUGCAAGAAGUCAAAUACUAGUAAAGAGACAAUAAGACUCUUUAUUGAUAAUAUCUAUUAUUACCAUUGGUUAUUAGAUGAUAUUAUGUCUGAUCGUGGGCCAUAAUUUGUAUCAAGGUUUUAAAAGGUGCUUUUCAAAAUUCUUAAGGUUGAUAUCAACAUUUUUUUUUGCCUUCUACCCUCAAAUUGAUGGCCAAACAGAGCAAAUCAACUAAAUUCUUGAGCAAUAUUUGAGGUGCACCAUCAACUAGCAAUAAGACGAUUGAACUUCCUACUUGUCAUUGGCAAAGUUUACAUAUAACAAUACAAUCCAUGCAUCUACACAACAAAUGCCAUUUUACUCAAACUACAAUCAUCAUCCAAAAUUGGAUAUGAUAGAGCCUUCAAAGUCACCAAAUCUAGUAGUAGAGGAGUUUGCUAUGAAGUUGACCGAACUUCAAGCAAGCAUGAAGAAUCACCUAGAAAUGGUCAACAAUAUUAUAAGCUAUUGGUAGAUGAAUUGAGGAAGGAACAUCCUCUAUAUUAAGUUGGUGAAAAAGUAUGGCUUUUUCAACGUAAUAUAAAAAUCAACAAGCUAUGUGAUAAGUUGGACUAUCAAAGGUUGAGACCUGUUAUUCUGGUUGUAUUCAAACUUCAAUAUACUAAAGCAAUUGAAUUAAUAGGGAUGGAUUCGAACAUGGGAAAAGAUUGGUUAUAUGAAUUGGAUCUAUUAAUGUCACAAUUGACUGUACUCUGGCUAUUUGAAAUCAAUUAUCAAACUACAAAACACCAAGGCUUACUACUUCUAUCUUAACUCAAGACAUAAUCCAUUCUACGACUAUCAAUUCAACAAUACAUUUCAUAUUCUUAUCCGUUCAUCUUCCACUUACUCUCUAUGCAGUUUAUAUGUAUUUAAUUACUGAUCUCCAACUUACUUAUUAUAUUCAGUUUCUCAAUUCAUCACAUAGAAUUCAAUAUCUUCACUUAACACAACGCAAUUCGAUAAUCUCAAUUCUCAAGGUCACAAAUUUUCUCCAAAUCGGUCAGUCCAAAGUCACAUUCCAUAACAUUGUAAUCACAAUUUCAACAAUACUUCUCUCAAUCACAAUUCUUCAUAAGAAAAUAAUAAAAACAAAAAAAACAAAGAAGUAGUAUGAAGCUUAUUCCAACUUACGACUCUCAUAGUCUGGCCCCGAUCUCCCAUUUCUCAACCUCUUUAUCCUACCAAAAGAUGGACCGUUGGCCUGCAGAUUCCAAAGGUUAUGACCUUUUGAAUUCUUAACCAUUUCUUCCACUAACAACCUACUGUUACUAACUAAACUACCUAAUUAUAAGUCUAAUUCUUAAGGUUAUCAAUAACCAACCAGUAACUUACCACAAAAUUUAUUUAUUUAUUCUACAUAGCCCCAGUUCUAAUUAUGUUAUGCCCUCGUAAAUAUUAUUUAGCCUCAACUUAUAAAGAUGUAGCAACGUUGGCUUCUUCAGUCAAUGGCGUUAGCUUACCACCCUUUGAAUUAAUAACCUUCUCCUCUACUACAUCUUUGUCAUCUGCUUCAGUGUUCAAUGGUUCUUCAUCCAAACGCACCGUCAAAUCUUCAUUCAACAAAUCUAUUUUCCGUACUUGAGACUCAAGAUGGCAAUUUGGUUGUCAGGCUCCUCUAACAUCUUUUUCCAUUCUUCUGUUGGUUUCAAAGGUAUCUCCGAAGGUGUUGUCGCUGAAAUUGGCGUAUUGGUCUGUACUAAAUUAUUGGCUUCCUUCUCUAAUGCGACUAGUUUAGUCUGCAACAUUGCAACCUAUACCUGUAGCCACUCUUAUCAUUCCUUCCAAUCCGUCUCUAUCUUUGCUUUCUCAAACACCAUAUUUGCCAUCUUAUCCUUUUCCACAAAAGAAAACACGAUGCUUGUUAAGAGCCCCACUCCUACUUCUUACUAUGGUCCAAUCAACUAGGUCGACUUCCCCUUUUGUAACAAUAACCCGUUCCAGGUUUAUGUAUAAUAAAGUUUAAACUGAUUGCCAUUGAUCCAUGUCGUAAAUUUAGUAUCCAUAAAAUCUUCCAAUUGUACUGAACCAUUUGAAAAUCCGUCAAUAACUUGAUAUGGUCCAAGCCAUCGAACUUGAAAUUUUGCUGGAAAAUUUUUAAAUCGACUAUCAUAAAGAAGUAUCAAAUCAUUUGGCAUAAAAGCCUUUGGUCUAAGCUUACUAUCAUCAUAAGUCUUCCUUCGUUUUUGUGUAGUUUCUAUUAUCAUUAAUGCAUUGGCUCUAAUUUCAUCUAAUUUUUAUAAUUCUUCUAAACGGUACCGUAAUAAAUUUUGAUCUUUCAAUCUAUUAUCUACAGCAAUUCGUAAACUUUGGACUUCCAAUUCAGUAGGUAAUAUUGCUUCUUAGCCAUAAAUCAAUUGAAAAGAGGUAGCAUUGGUAGUAACUUUAUACGCAGUAUGGUAUGCCUACAAAGCUGCAAACAACUUAGUGUCUCAAUCCGUUCCCGCUCCUAAAACUAUUUUUGUUAAGAUUUAACAUAAAAUUCUAUUAGUCUUUUCUAUUUAUCUAUUGGCUCUUGGGUAAUACAGUGUAGUCUUCCGAUGUUUUAUCUCGUAUUUAGCCAUAAGUGCUUUGAGUAUACUAUUUAUAAAAUGAGUUUCUCAAUCACUAACCCAUUCUCAUGGACAAUCGAACUGUGUAAUAAUAUUUUCAUACAAAAAGGUUGCUACUAUACUUGUACUAUUGAUUUUCGUAGCUAUGGCUUCAGCCCAUUUUGUUAUGUAAUCCAUUUCUAUGAGUAUAUACUAUUUUUAUUCAUUUCUCGAGGCUGAUGUAAUUGGUCCCAUAAAAUCAAUUUUCCAUUUUUCAAAAGGCGCUUGAGCUAGAAUUGGUACCAAUAGCAUUGUUGAAGUUCUAAUAGGUCGACUCGUUCUUUGAAAUAGGUCACAAUAUUAGACGAAUUGGUGGGCAUCUGCAAAAAUUGUUGGCCACCAAUAUCCAACCUGUAAAGCUUUACGAGCCGUGUUGUCCCCCGCAAAAUGUCCACCACAACUAUCCAAGUGGCAACCUUCUAAUAUAGUAUGCACUUCAGUUUGAUAAAUACAGUGUCGCAAAACUCCAUCCUUACCUUGUUUAUAUAAAGUUUCACCAAUCAUUGUAUAAGAUGCACAUUUUAAUAUUAAGUGUCGUUUAAACUUUUCAUUAAAAUUGGAUGUGAAGGUUUGAAAUGUCAAGUAUUGAAUUAUUUUACUAUACUCCGGAGUAAUUAUAUCUACUGCAAAUAAUUUCGCAUCGGAUAGUGCAUCGUUAAUGGAUUUAUUAUCCAAUAUAUUAGAUAAUCAAGAUAAAUGGUCCGCAUUGGAAUAUGAUUUUCUUGGUCUUACUUGAAUAGUAAAGUCAAAUUCCUACAAGAAUAAAUUCCUGCAUAUAAGCUUUUUUUUAUUUUAGCGCAAAACAAAACCAAGAAGUCGCUUUGUUGCUUGAUGCUUUUCAAGGUAAAGUCUUGAGAGAGCAAAAAUAUAUAUUUUUUUUAUAGACCACUUAUACAAUACGACCACUCAAUUGAGGCUUAUUAAUUAUAUAUUUUAAAGCAUCAUGGUCGACAUAGAAAACAAAUUUAUAACCAAGAAGAUAAUGUCAAAACUUUUAUACAGAAUAAAUCAUCUCUAAUGCUUCUCUUUCGGUUGUUGAAUAAUUUCUUUCAACUGCUACCAAUUGACAACUUGCAUAAUAAAUAGGGUGAUCAAAACCUCGGUCAUCUUUCUGGCUUAGCACAGAACCAAUCGCAACAUUAGAUGCAUCCAUAUAAACUUGGAAUGGUUUUGUCCAACAAGGUGCCACCAAUAUUGGUGCUAAAAUCAAUUACUGUUUCUAUGUUUUGAAUGAAAUUGUACAUUCUUUUGUCCAAAAUAGACUAGUUCCAUCAGUUAGUGGUUUCUUCAAGAGAUUUAUCAAAGAAAGGCAUAUAACUACAAAUAGAUAGAUAAAUUAUCGAUAAUAACUGAUAUGGCCAACAAAUGCUCGAAUACCUGUAAUAGUGUCUUGUUGCUUUAAUUCUAAUAUAAUCUUUAUUUUAUCUAGAUUUGUAGCAAUGCCUGCCAUCGAAACUAUAUGACCCAAUAGUUCACCAAAAGAUACACCAAAUUGGCACUUUUUGGAAUUUAAAGAAAUUCCAUAUUUGGCACAUUGAUUCAAAUAUUGACCUAGACAUUCUAAAUGCUUGGCUCUCGUACUAAAUAUAUAGAAAUCAUCUUGAAAUAUUUCCAUUGAAAUUCGUAGAUAAUCUUGGAAUGCUUGCAUCAUUACCCUUUGAAAUAUAGCUGGUGCAUUACAAAGCCCAAAUGGCAUAACUUUAUAGGCAAAGGUCCCCCAAUCUGUAGUAAAAGUAGUUUUUAACUAGUCUUCUUUUGCAAUCUUAACUUGAUUAUAACUGGAGAAUCCAUCAAGAAAUGAAUAACAUUCAUGUUCAACGACAACAUCCAAUAUACUAUCCGUGAAUUGUAAAGGAAAAUAAUCCUUCUUGAUAGUCUCAUUUAAUCUGUAGAAAUCUUGACAGAUGCGAACUUUUCUAUUUUUUUUUGGUACUAUAACAAUUAGUGAAAUCCAUUCACUAAUUGGAAUUGGAUAGAUAAAUCCAACCUCGAAGAGUUUAUCCAGUUCUUCUUUUAUCAUAAGUGAGUAUUUUACAUUAAGUCAAUGUAGUCUUUGGCGUAUUGGUGUAGCAUUCUCCUCCAAUAUAAUUUGAUGCUCACAAACUUCAGUUGGAAUUCCUUUCAAAUCCACAUACGACCAUGCAAAAGUAGUUUUAUGCGUUAAAAAGUAAUCCACCUAAAUUUCUUUUUCUUUAUCUUUUAUACCGUCGUAAAUCUGAAUGAUUUGGAGAGCCUCCCUUGUACUUAAAUUAAUUGAUUGACAUUGUAGAAUUUCAAGAAUCUCUAGAAUAAUGUUCUGCUGAAUUCCAAAAUCUUUCAUAAAAUCCGACAAAUUAGAACUUUUCAACUCUAGUUCCAUAGGACUAACGUGAUUAACAUCCUGUCUAUUCAUCCAAUAUACAAUCAUAUGAUCAGAAUCAUCAAUAACAUCUAGAGGAACUAAGUACUUUCUUAGUCCCCUGCAUUGGUAUUUCAUUCUAGUGUGCUCGACAACUUGCCUUGUAUCAGCAUAAAUUGGAUCAAAUGCAUCAAUUUCUUCUUCUGUAGACUCAUCUUCACAAUCUGAUGUGAAGAUAUAGUGGACAUUAUGCGACAAAUCUUCACAAUCUAAUGUGAAUAUAUAAUGGACAUUAUGCGACAAAUCUUCAACUUCUUGUGCAUAUACUAGCUUGCUUCAACAUUGCUUCUCGGAGACCUCUAAGCUAGAAGAAGAGGUGAUGUCACAGACAUUCAACUGAAUAAAAUUUGAGAAGGUUCCGAAAGAUACGAGUAGGUUCUAAGAAGACUCUUAAGGAUUUUAAGACAUUCCAAAAGGUUUCGAAAGGUUCUAGUAGAUUCUAAAAAAAUUCUAGAAGGUCAUAGGAGGUCUUAGAAGAUUCUAGGAGGCUUUAGAUGAUUUAGGAAGUUACUGAAGAAGGAUCUUAGGUUUGCUUUGUUUUCAAGCCUCACAGAAACUUCUCAAGAAGAUUCUUAAGACCUGAUAUAUUAUAGAAUAGAUAUUAAUUCGUUUUUGAAAGAUAUUGAUAAAAUAUAUUAAUAGUCCAUAUAAUAGUAAAUUCAAGAGGAUGGAUGAGUGAUUUAAUUAUUAAAAGUAGUUAAUUACAGAAUUACAGUUAGAAUCUGGAGAAUCAAGAGAAAGUAUAUAGGAGUUGUAGAAGUUAAUUAAGGUGCCAUCGCUGUGAUAGUUGUGAGCCGAAGUAAGCUUGGUGCUACCUCUUUUUUUUUGUUUGUUAUUUUCUUUGAAUAAGACGAUUGAAAGUUUCUAAAUAUUAUAAAGUGAAUUAUGGAAUGGAAAUGUGAUUGCUAUUAUUUGAGAAGAAGAAAGAUUGAAUGCUGAAAUUUGAUUGUAGUUCAGCAAAGAGAAUGAGUCUGUGUUUGAGUGAAACACCGAAAUGUGAAUGGCAAUUCUGUAUGAAGAAUUCCAGUGAUUGGAAUGAGGGUAAUUAUGUGCUGAAAGCUAUGAGGGCACAGUAUUACAGUUGGAGGUUAUGAGAGUGAAUAUAUUGGUGGAAAUAGCAGUUAAUGGUAUGAUUGAAUUGUUGUAAGGAAGAGACCGAUAAGAUGAAGGAAGAGAUUAUAGUUUCCUUCUGUGUUUAGAUAUUAGAAAUAGAGACGAUACAUUCAAGAGAUAAUUAAUUGUGUGAUCCUAACGUGAAUGCUUAAGCAACUAGUCAUUCUCCAUAUUUGAAUCCCCCUAUACGGGUUUAUUCCUAUUAGAUUAAUUUGGAAUAAGUAAAACGAGUAAUCACAUUUUGGCACCACUGCCGGAGAGUGAUAAUAGCAUUAAGUGUUAGGAAUUAGUUACCAAACGUGUGAGAAAAUUGGCAAUAGAAGAUGAUUUUAGUAGUGUUUGAAGCAAGAUUAUAGUUAAUAGGAAUGAGAGCAUUGCAUGGAGGAAAAUAAAUCAGUUGAGAGAAAGACAGAGAAGAGUACAAGGAAGGAACUUGCUUAGAGAGGAGCAAGAACAUAAUCUUAAAAGGAAGCAUUGAAAAAAUUGGAUUAAACCAUGGUUGCAAGCUUGUUGGCACAUCCAAAUAUAUCAAGAACUAGACAGAUUGUUAAUUCUGCAAUCAUAUGUACUAUUAAAAAAAGUGCCAAGAACACUCGCGGAAAAUUUUGUUAACAUUCCAGUGGAAAUCUUGAGGCCAUUAACUAAAAGAGAAGGAAGCAUAGAAGAAUUUGGUACUCCAUUGGAUAUUUUUUCAGUAAAGGGUACCGCUAAAACAAGCAAUAGUGGCUCUUUAGAUUGGCACAAAUUGGUCACCAAUAAAGAUGACUAUAUUCUAUUUCAAAAUCCAACGUUUUCACCUGCAAUUCAACCAAUAAAACUAUUUGCAGAAAAUAACAGUAAAUCGAGGAGCACUGAGAGCUCGAAAAUUAAAAUAAGGAAAAGCAGAGAUUAUUUUAAAAUGGAGUUUAGCAAAACAAGAAAUUCAAUGGCAUCAAGAAGACCAACCAUUUCAAUUGCAGUACAAAUGGGUGGAAUAGGCGAUCGUAUGACUAGUGUCGUGCCACUACUUACUUUUCAAGGAUUUUUGGGUGCGGAUCCCGAUCAACAUUUGUCUCAAUAUCUUAAAGCAUGUGUAGCUAAUAAUGGUAGAACUGAAGAUAUUUUGUUGCGAUGGCUGCUAGCGACCUUAAAAGACACGACAUUUGAAUGGUACAACCACCAACCAGUGGAUCAAUUUCUGAAUUGGGAAGCAUUGAAGAAUGCAUUUUUAUCUCAUUUUUGGCAAAUUGGUUUUGAGGACCGCCUUCGAGAGAGGUUAAUGAAUAGCAAAAUGAUCCUAGGGGAGGCAGUGGAAUUGUAUUAUGGCUGAGUGGGUGAUAAACUCAGUAAGUGGCCGAAUCACCAAAUGUCGGAGGCAUUUAUCUUAUCCAUAUUAAUCAAUGGUUUGUAUCCACCAGAGCUAAAAAUAUUUGUAAAAGAAGCUCAAACCGUUAUGGUGGUUGCGUCCUUUAAUAGAAGCAAGGUUUGGAAGGAAUGCCAUUAUGAUCAGUUUUUAACUGUGGGAGCCACAAUGAUUCCAGUUCAAGGUAGAUAUCAAAAUCCGACUUGAAACUAAUCAGUGGAUAGUUAUCUACGGAUGUUAGAAACAGGGACCAAUUCCAAUACCAAUAUUCAGGGGCUAGUUAAUGUCACCCCAUUACAAGCUAUACCUCCGAACGUGACAACAACGUAUGCUCCAUAUUUUCCGUAUCAACAACAAGUGUUAACUAUGGUAGAGAUACCAAUAAUGCCAGACCUAAAAGAUUCCAACGAAACCUUGUUAUUAAAUUUGAUGAAGAAAAUGGAGGAAAUGACCAUCAAUAUGGCCAAAGAUAAGGAGAAGAGGCAAAAGCCUACCAAUACUAGGACCAAUGUAUGGUGCAGUAAUUGUAAGGGCCAUGGUCAUUCUGUAACAGAAUGUCCCUCACCCUCACAAAUAAUGGGCCAUAUUGUGUGAUUGAAGGAUUUUUCAAUCGAUUUGUUCAAUUGGAUGAUUUUAUGGAUCAUCGAUUCAGUACCCGCAUUAACUAGAACCGAUUACUGUUAUAUCAUAUAUAAAACCCAGGAUGGGUUUUCAAUUUCUAGAGGAGGUUACAUCGAAUGUACUUAGAAUAGACCUAAUUAAGUACGUUAGGGUGUAGAGGCGGCUAAAAAGAUAGUUAGUAAUUACUAAUAUGUCAAAUAGGACGGAGGUGAGAAACGGACAAUAGGGAUAACAUGUUGUUGUUAUCACCACUAGGUAAAAGAAUAGGAGUGGGGCACCCAUUUAGAGUCAUUCUCAGGUGUCGCAUUCUGUUAUUGUUUCUUUUCGGUGUUACAAUUUUGGAUGUUUCGGAGUACUCGAGCGUAGUAUUGAUAAUUAAAGCUUGAAAGAGUGUGUGUCAUGGCGAUUGAAAGUGCAAAGAGAGCUACGGACAGAGAGGAAAGUGGCCAAAAUGUGAAAGCUAAACGCAAUUUAGAACCACCAUCCAUAAUAAUCGUUAUGAAUAUGGAGCUUAUGAAGCUGGAGAUUUACUGGACGCCGAGGAAAAUACAAGAUUUUUGAAAGGUGUAAAUAUUUCAGUUUUUGUGAAGGAUCAGUUGGUAAUAGAACGAGAAAAGGUCAAGUUAUUGGCGCAAGAAAAAUUGGUAUUGAGUGAUCAAUACAGAUGUAAAACAGAGUGUUUAAGGGCUGAAAUUGAGGCCUUGAACAUCGAGGUGACAAGAUUGGUAGAGGAUUUAGUCAAUAUUGGUCAAGCAUAAGUAUUGACGUUGCCAGUUCCCAAAGUUCCAAAAGAGGGGAGUCACUUUCAGCGCCAGUUGGAAUUGAGAGAUGCCCAAAUCUUGAAAUUGGAAGCUCAAGUCCGUGAACUGGAUGAGUACAAUGAAGACCUUUCAGCUCAAUUGAGGCAGGAGUCUAUGGAAGGAUUGGAGGAGGAUGAAGAUUUGCAGUUGGAACCGGAAUCAGUGGAACCAAUAAUAGAUACUGUAGCAAUUGAUUAAUUAGAUAGGCUAGAGGGAUCACAAUUUUUGUAGAGUUUUGUUAGAUAAUUUUUAGAUAGGUAUCAAUUGAGUAUUUGCGAGGAUGCUGCACAAAUAGGAGUGGGGCUAUGUAGAAUAGAUAUUAAUUCGUUUUUAAAAGAUAUUGAUAAAAUAUAUUAAUAGUCCAUAUAAUAGGAAAUUCAGAAGGACGGAUGAGUGAUUUUGUUAUUAGAAGCAAUUAAUUACAAAAUUACGAUUAGAAUUUGGAGAAUCAGGGGAAAGUAUAUAGGAGUUGUAGAAGUUAAUUAAGGUGCCAUCGCUGUGAUAGUUGUAAGCCGGAGUAAGCUUGGUACUACCUCUUUUCUUUUGUUUGUUAUUUUCUUUGAAUAAGAAGAUUGAGAGUUUUUGAAUAUUGUGAAGUAAAUUAUGGAAUGGAAAUGUGAUUAGUAUUAUUUGAGAAGAAGAAAGAUUGAAUGCUGAAAUCUGAUUGUAGUUCAGCAGAGAGAAUGUGUCUGUGUUUGUGUGAAAUAUCGUAAUAUGAAUGGCAGUUCUGUGUGAAGAAUUCCAAUGAUUGGAAUGAGGGUAAUUGUGUACUGAAAGCUAUGAGGGCGCAAUAUUACAGUUGGAGAUUAUGAGGGUGAAUAUAUUGGUAGAAAUAGCAAUUAUUGGUAUGAUUGAAUUGUUGUAAGAAAGAGACCGAUAAGGUGAAGGAGGAGAUUAUAGUUUCCUUGUGUGUUCAGAUAUUGGAAAUAGAGAUGAUACAUUCAGGAGGUAAUUGAUUGUCUGACCCUAACGUGAAUGCUUAAGCAACUAGUCAUUCUCCGUGUUCGAAUCCCCCUAUAUGGAUUUAUUCCCAUUAGAUUAAUUUGGAAUAAGUAAAAGAGCAAUCACAUAUAUAUAGGAGUUGAGGCUAAGGGGAUCCUCAGUCUCAACAAUUCACUUCUUGUGGUUUAGCUAGGACCUUCUUAUCUUGUAUCUAAUUGUUGUUCUAAUAUCAAGCUAACUCUAUUUCUUGGUCUUGAAUCCUUGUCUUGUAUAUGGUCCUUAACAAGUAUAUAGGAUGUUUCUAAAGAAGAAAUAGAAGUACUAAAUGAUCUAUAUACAUUUUCAUAUAAAUCUAUCAAAACAUAAAUAAGAUAUUAAAUUCUAAAUAUUUAAUAUUAAAUAUUAAUAUAGAUUUUUGUUUGAUUAUAUACUUGUGUGAUUAUGCACAACAUGUGGCCAACUUGAAAAUUUACAUACUUUUAUUUUUACCAAAUUCAUCUUAUCUUGUUAAUUAUUAGUACCAAUUUUAAUGUUCAUAACAAUACACUCUCUUAUAUGAACAAGUUAUUUAAUCUUUUUAAACAUCCAAGAAAUCAAGCCCAACUUCUACCAGUAAUUCACACUUACAAUAGUAAUUUUCUCACAAUAUGUAUACCAAAAAUUUCUUCUCUUAACUCUUUUUUAUUUAUUUUUUGGUUUUUUAUUUUUUUUUAUAUUAAUUGUCAUCCAUUCACAAAUAAUCAUCUAUAAAUAACUUUUCAUCCAUAAAUGACUUCUCAUCCAUUCUUAAAAUUCAUCCAUAUCUAAAUUCCAUCCAUGUUUAAAUAAUUCAUCCUUUACUUAAUUUUUUCAUCCAAUAAAACAAUUCCACUUUUAACCUAAUUCUAACCUAAUCUAGUUCCAUCCAAAUCUACUCUUAUCCAUGUCACCCGUCUUGGAGUCCUCGCCUAGAUGGAAGAGCUUGCCGCCCUGGUCGACGUGCUGUGAGACGAAUUCCAGUACAGUCUCCAAACUUUGCCACCUCUGCCUGAUCGCCCAAUUGUAGUCACGAGCCUCCACCAUUACUAAAAUCCAUAGCUAUGUCAAAAAGAAACACUUGAAAGCCUUGCAUUUGCUCGAGUAAAUCAAAAAUUCCAACUCAACCAACACUUGAGCCGAACAGAAUCCAGAGACCAUAGCAGCAAGUCUUUGCAACGCAAGUCUUCAAAGUCACCACAAAAUCACUAAUCUUAAUUUCUCUGAAUGUGUGCCGUUCCUUGUGUAGGGAAAACCCGUCUUUGUACUUAGCUACUGAGCUGAACUCCUACUCGGACAAUGCGUUAUUCCGCUUCUACUGUGUGUACUCAACCUACUUCCUGACCACCUCACCUUCUUAAUGUCACUCAACCGCCAUCAUGUAAACAAACAACCAUACGAAGCUCACAUCAAGAUAAGGCGCACAAAGGCAGCAGGAACAACAGCGGAGAAAAUGUAGUUAUUUGUCUCCCUCUUCGUGUCCAACCAACAUGCAUCCAACCUGGAGGUAUCCACUGCAGUGCCGAACCGCAUCCACUGACCACUACUUGUGAUCACUACAACCAAUAUAAGAUCAGCAUUCAAGUCUUCUACAAUCAAACCAAUUCAAAUGGAAGGAGCUUGAUCUGCACAACAUACGACUGCAACCACAGUCUCAAAUCUGUUUGAGUCCAAUCGCCAGUGUCGCAGACGAUCUAGAACACCACAAUCUCGCCGCACCCAAACCAAUAAUCGAGCUCUUUUUUUAAAAUCACUGCCUUGAUCCGAACCUCAUGUGCUCCGAGUUUAGCCUUCCGUAGGACAAACAAGAGGGAAUUGCUGCGUGAAACAACGCUAGACAGGGCCAUUGCACAGAUUCGCCGCUCCUUGCGUUGAAACUUUCGUUUGACCAACAAUUGAUCUUGCAGAGAACCAACGCUAGCUGCACUGCUCAUCUUUACGCUUACUUCUAACAAGCACUGCUCACCAACAACAACCGCUUUUGAUGGAACACCAGUCGUCCAUAACCACAGCGGUGCCAGUCGCUUGUACACCCAGCACAAAAAAAAAAAAACAAAACAAAACAAAACAAAAACAAAAAAACAAAUACAAAACAAAACAGCAUCAUCGCAGCCCCGCAGCACCUCGACGGAACGAAGGAAAGACAUACCCACACGUAAGGAACCGGCUAUCAACCAAAGGAGAGAACAAUCCGGAGCCCACAGCUCAAGUACUAAUCCAAAGCAUAAUGUACUUUUUCUAUUUAUCCACCAAUUUGAUAGUAGAAUGCCAAAGAUAGUUUUAUGUGCACCUUUAAUAUUUUAAAAAAGAUUAUCCAAAAUUUUAAUAUAUAUUGAGUCCUUUUAGCUAAUAUACUAUCUUUUGGUAAUCUAUAAUAAUAAUAAAUAUUUUAAAAAAAAAAUUAGCUAUUUCUUUAUAUAUGAUAGAUUUUGUAUAUGGUAGAAAAUGUGACAUCUUGAUGAAUCAAUCUACUAUGAAGAAUAUAUUGUCAUUAAAAUUUGAGAUUGAAAGAUUUAUAAACUAAAAUAAAUUUUUACUAGUUGGAAGUCUAUCUUAAUUAAUGUUUGUCUAAUGUCCAAUAAGUCUUAUAAAAUUUCAAUUGUAAACUAAAAAAAACUAUUCUAAUAGGUGAUUUAUUCCAACUUAUAACUACUAAUUAAUUUAAGAAUUAAUUAUCUAAAUUCUUCUACUUAUUUCUUAUUUAAAACCUUUAGAUUUUUUAAUUAAAUAAAAAGCACACUUUUACAUUUAUAACACCACAAUACAAGUCAUUUAAACAAUUCAAAAGACCACAUACUUAAAAGAAAUUUUUUAGAUGAUGUUAUUUAAUUUUUUAGAUAAAUUUUAUUUUAUUUUAUUUUAUUUUAUUCAAUAUAAAUUAUCAUUCAACUAAAAUUUCAUCUAAUAAAUUUUUUUCAUCCAUAAUUUAAUUUUCAUCUACAAAUAAAUUUUCAUUCAAAAAUAAUUUUUCAUCCAUAAAUAAAAUAUAUCUAUUUAAAAUCUUAAUUCAUCCAUUCAAACUCUAAUUUAAUUCAAUUAAUAUUUUAUUUACUUUAAAAUCUUUCAUCUAUUAUGACUUCAUUCAAUUAUGAAUUAAUUGAUCUAUACUCAAUUAUUGGAAUUCUCACAAUGAAUUGGUACCUGUCAAAGAUGAACUCCACCUUUUUGGUCUUGCAGCUCUUCAACCAUUCUAGAUUCUAUUAGUGAGACAGAUGGCUCAUAUAAGAUGAGCAAAUAGGUGGAGCUUAAUUCUUCCAAUGUAAAUUUUGUAAUUCUAAGUUGAUUUUUAAUGAUGAUUUCACUAUCUAUUAAUUGCCUAAUUUCUAACUAGUUCACAUUAAUCUACACAUAUUCAUCAAAGUAGCAUUCAUUAAUGUUGCAAAUUGACUCUAUUAGCAUAUUUUGUUUACAAUUCUUCUUGACACUAGCUAUUCUAGAGCAAGAACUUUGUGAAGAUUAUCUACAAGCUGUGGCUGAUAAAGCAUUAUUACCACAGCAAUAAUUUCAACAAUUUUAAAGCCAAUUAAUGGCUAUUACUGCAAUUGUUAAAAUUUACAAAAAGAUGUUGUUAUACUAGAAAAAUUGAUCAAUUAUAGAUGAUAAAAUGUGAACUUUUAAUACCAAGUACUACCUCCAAAAUAAAAAUAAAAAAUCCUACUUAGAAGCAACCAUGGAUGUAAUACAUUCAAAUUGAUACUCUUUGCAGAUUUAUUAAAAAAUAAGACUUUAUCCAUAUUAGAGUUGACAACAAUCAAAUCUUAGCCAACCACUCUAAGUUUGUCUUUUGUACCAACGCCAAACUAUGUAAUAUAAGCCUUUUACAACAAACAAAACAAAAAUUAAAUUCUAUUUCUACUACAAAACCGUAAGUCUAUCUACAUCUCCUCAAAUUUCAAAUUCCUAAGCUAUUUUUGUGACUAAUUAAUAAGUCCUUCACAAUGCCCAUCUUUUAAGUUCGAUGAAUAGCAACUAUACAAUUAAAAGCAGCGAUGCCACAAUAGUAGCCACACAAGAAAAAAAAAAAAAAAAAAAAAAAAAAAAAAAAAACACUAGUCCUUGUCAAUAAUUGACUCCAAUGCCUCCAUUCUCAUAUGAACAAAUUUUAAGAAGCAAGUGCACUACAUUGCAAGAUCCCAUAAUAAACAAAGAAGAAUAUCAAUAAUAGAAGCAACAUCCAACUCUAAAUGAAAAGCCUUUUUUUUACAUUGAGUUGUGCCAUCUAUCAACUCUAUAAUGCAGAUUGAUACUUAGCUCUUUCCUUUGAUAUAAAAGAAAAAACAACAAUAACAACAACAACCUUAUAGUUCAAUUGGAGCACUGCUGCAACCAUGUACUUUAAUUUUGAAAACAACCAAUUAUAGGAUAAGAUUCUCUUGAAAAUGGAGCUAAAAUGUUCUCAUGUAGUAAUACAAUCAUUAGGUAAAAGAAAAAAGAAAGUGUUUUAUUAUAAAAGAACAUAAUUAAAAUAUAUGAUAAAAAACAUAGAUAAAUAAUAGGUAGAUAGUAAAAUCUAUUAAUGUUGGAAUUGCUUUUUAUAAAAAUCGAUUCUAUUUAUUUUGUAGAGCCAUAAAUAAGACAAAUUAAGUAAGUUAAAAAAAAUAAAGAAUAUAAGCAUAUAUAUGAAAAAAUUAGGAGUUGAUUUUAGCAAAAAUUACCUGAAAAAGACAAGAAUUGAUACUUCAAGAAGACCGGUAGCCAAUCAGGGUUGAAAUUAGAACUUGAGGCACAAAACUUAAUACCUAAAGUGACUCUAAGGUUCUUUUGCAAAUUAAAGAGUGAGGUUUGAGAGCAAACUUAAGGAAAUAUUUUUGAAUAUUAAUUUAAUAUCAUUUGAAUUAAUAUUGGAAUUUUGAAGGAUUUACAAAGUUAAUAAUAUAUUUAAAAGAUUUAGAUUUUGAGAAAUAAAAACAUGUUUAUAAAUUUUAGAAUUUUCUGAAUUUUGUAAUGUGUUUAUUAAUAAAAAAUAGGCAAUUUAUUUUUAUACUUUUUAUAAAUGUGUGUGAAAAAACUUAAAUCAAUUUAGCAAUUAAAUUGAAGAAUAUGAGAAUUUUUAUAGAUAAUGGUCUUAGAUAAUUAAGAUUUAGAAUAAACAAAGGAUUUUACAAUAUAGCAAUAUCUACUAAUUUUUUUGAAGCAAAACUUAGUGAUAGCAUUUUAGACUAGAAUAUCUAUACACAGCUCAAAUUAUAGAGCAAUUGAAUGGUUCAACAAAGAAAAAACUGUAUUGAAAAAUCAAUGUUAAAGUUAAAAAAAGGAAGAAAGUCAAUAAUUGAGAUGUUUUGAGAGCUUUGUUUGCUAUUAGUAUGUGCAAUAUUCUUCAAAUUUUAUUUUGCUUAUUUCUUACUUAGUUAUUUCAAGGUGUGCAAAUUUUGAGUCAAAAUCAAUAAUUCAAUUAUUAGUUAUUAAAUUUUUAAUUUGCUAUAGAAGUUUUAAGAUUUUUUUUAGAUUUAGAAAUUAAUUAAAGAUUGAUUAGGGUUGAUUUAAGAUCUAAGGUUUGGUUAAGGUUUGAUUAGGAUUUAGGAUUUUAUUUGAAUUUGAUUAAAAUUUGAUUAAAAUUUGAUUAGAAUUUAUUUGAUUAAAAUUUCAUUAAAAUUUCAUUAGAAUUUGAUUAGAAUUUGAUUAAAAUGAUAAGUUAUCUUAGUAUUUUUUUAUAAACUUCAGUAUAUUAAUAUAUAAUAUAGAUUUAAUUAAAGAUUGAUUAAUAUUUUCAUAAUUUAAUUGAAAUUUAUUAGGAUUCUACUAAAAUUGUUAGAACCAUCUUAUCAUAAGUUCUAUUUUUUCUUUUAUAAUUAGGUGUCUAAUUUAUUUUUAAGAAAAAUUCAUUUAAUACGACAACACCGCACUAUAAUCAAUUAAAAAUCCACAGCAUCUAUACCUAGAUAUGCACAACACCAGCAACCUAAUGACAAACUUUGAGUUGUGGAGAUCAAAGUGACUAAGCAGCAAUGGAAGCAAUAUAGAGGUGUAAUCAAAGCAUCAACUCUUUUGAUGCAAUGGUAACAUAGAAUAAACUUCAAGAAAACUUAAUCUAGUUAUAUUACAACUUCUAAAGCAUUACAAUCAAGAAGAUAAAACAACACAAGAAAAAGAAAAAGAAAAUCAAAGGUUGAGCCGAAUUCCUAUUGCAAAUUUGUUAUAAUAGAAGAAGGCUUUGGUAUACUCAUUGUCAAGCUCUACUUUACCAACAUCCAAAUGACAAGGUUUGUCUAUAAUUGAUACUUGUCUAGAUUGCCCUCAUAUUAGAUUUGAUAUAAUAUUCCUAUUGUAUACAAGAUAACAUACAAUCAAUAAUUCUAUCAUAUUUUGGCUAUUUUUAUAUUAAAAAAAUAUACCAUUGUUAUGCUAGAAAGUAGCAUAAUUUAUAAAAAUAAUAUGAAAUAUUAUGAAAAUUUUGAUUGUAAUUAAAAAUAAAAUAAAAUAAAACAUUUAUCUAAUUUAUUUAAAUUUAUAGUUUAAAUUUUAUAAUUAAAGAUAGAAAUUAUAUGAUUUAUUAGUAAGGAAUGUAGGAGGGCUUUGGUAUCAAAAGUAUAAUAUUUUGACUCCUAGGCCAUCCUAUGUAAGAAGAUAAAGUGAGGGAUAGAGAACUUCAUUCUCAUUGAUUGAAAGUCAUGCCCAAUGGACUUUGACAUGUUAUCUGGAACUACACUGGAGUUUGAAACUACUUUAAGACAAUCCAUUUGAAGUUUAGAGUUUGGAUUCAAAAAUCUUGUAUUUUGGACUAGAAGUUGGAAAAUAUAUGAUUUGGAAUUUAAAUGAGGUAGAUAUGAUUAUUUGAAGUUAGGAUGUGAAUUAAGUAUCUACUAUUAUUCUUUUAAGUAUAAAAAGAAUUGUAAGAAAGCAUUUAGGAAUCAAAAAAUAAGGUUAGAAAGUUGACUUAAAGAACUAAAUUUUAUGUAAAGAAAAAAAUACAUUUCAAUCUAAAAUAAAAGAGAGAGAGCUAUUGAAAGUUAGUGUUCAAAAUUUAGAUUUGUAAGUAAGUUAUUUUUAAUGGAGGUUUUGAUUUAGACCAUAUCUUGAGUUUUUAGACGAAUUUUUGGUUUGAAAUUUCUAUAAAUAUAAAUGACUAUGUUAAAAUAUUAUAUAUAAAAAAAUUUAUGAUAUUUGAACUUUGUAUUUUUGAGAUAAGAUAGAAUCAGUGUGUAGGUGCCUAAAAAUUGACAUGUUUAGUAUCUACUAGCAAUUAGGUAAUAUUCAAAGACAUACAAUGAAUUUAUAGUUGAUUUUUUGUGUAGAAGUAGUCAAAGAUAUAAAUUAAUUUUUGGAGAAUUUUGAAUUUAGAUAAAUAAUUAGAUUAGGAGUUAUUGAAUAAUAUAUAUAUAUAUAUAUAUAUAUAUAUAUAUAUAUAUACUGAAGAGAUUCCUAUAGGGAUAGAAGUGAUUUUAGGAUAUUUAAUCACAUCUUGGAUACUCUUGUAUAUCUUAGACUUGUUUAUUUGAUAUAAUUGUCUACUUGAAGACAUGCCAUAAAUAAUAUUUUUUUUUUAUAAAUUUACAAUUUAUUUGAAUAAUUAAUAGCAGCUAAAGGCUUAAUGCUUUUUUAAGAUAAAUUCUUUCUACUACAACACUAUAUUAGUAUUUUAAUUUUUAAUGAUUAUAUUUUUACUUGUAUGAAAUAAAAUAUCAAAUAUUUUUAUAUUUCAACCAUAUACAUCCAUAUUAGACCAUAUUUAAGCCGUAUUAGGUUAUAAAUAUAUAUAUAUAUAUAUAUAUAUAUAUAUUUUUAAAUAUUUGAGAUUCCUAUUAUAUAUCUUAAGAUAUUAAAAAGAUUCUAAUUUGAUAUCUUUUAAGAUACUUUAUACUUAGGAAUUUAUAUUAGAUUUUUUAUAUUAAUUGUAAUUAAUCUACUACCUCUAUUUUACUUAUAUAUAGCCUUUUUUUACCUAAUCUUUCACUUAAUAAUUGCACUUGGAAUUCAAAUUAUAUUAUUUUAUUUUAAAACAACUUGUGGGUUGAUUAGAUGAUUCAAAAGAUUCGUAAUAAAAUCCAUAGAAAUAAAAAAAUCAUAACUUUUUAAAUAUAGAUAAUAGUUAAAAAAGUCUAUAAGUUUAAAAUUGAGGAGUUUUUGAUCUUGAACAAGCAUCACAUGUUUGUACAAAGUUUUUAACUAGUUUCUAAAUUUGAAGCCAUCAAAAAUCUUUAGAUAUUAAUUCCAUAGUCUUAUUCUUUCCAAAAUAUUUUAUAAUUGGAAAGUUGUGACAAGCUUGAAGAGCAUAUAAUUAUGUUUCAUCUUUUAGAAUAUAUAAGCAUUUCUUGAAAUAAAGUAGUUUUUUUUAAAAAUUCAAACUUCAAAGUAUUAUAAAAUUUAGAUGGAUUAUGCUUAAUACCAAAAAUAAGAAAAUUUAAGGACAUAUGUAACUGAAUUUACUUAAAAGAAAUUGAAUCAACAAUUAAUGUUGAUUUCACUUCUUAAAGAUGAAAGUGCUUUGGCAUCAAAAAAAAUAUUUUUUGUUAAUCAAUAGAUGUAUGUUUACUUUUGGUAUAAGAUAAGAAUGUUUAGUAAGGAUUGAUUGACAAACCUUAUUCUUUCCAUAAUCAAAAAAUAAACUUCAAUUCAAAUCUUGACAAAGAUAUGUUUCAAUAAGCUUGGCAAGAAUUUAGAACAUGUGUUGAUAUGAAAUACUUUAGGUUCUUGUAAUCUAUAUACACAAUGAUUAGAUUUUAAGUGCCUUCUAAAUAAUAAUGCCAUUAUUAUGAUAAAUCCAUAAUUGCAAGAAAUUCUUUGUUAUAGAUCUUAUAGUCAAUUUCAGCUGUUGAAAUUUUUUUUGAAUGAAAAUCUAUAAAGUGAAGUUUUUUAUUUCCUUCUAUUAAUAAUAAUAUUAUAUUCAAAGUAAAUUUUAAUACAUUUAUUUUUAUAAAAAAUACAUUAUAAAAGUUAAUGCAAUACAAGAUUGGUGUAGAAUUAAAAAAAUACUUCAAAACUUCAAAUGAAGCUUUUGCUUCUUUCUUCUAAUUAAGUUUAUUUUUACAAAUCAAAUGUAUAUGUAGAGCUAUAAUUUGAUUUUUUUUUAAAAGACUUAAAUAUAAUUAUAAAUUCUAAAAAAUAUAAGACAUCUUAUAUUAUCUUUGAAAUCUUCUAAUCUAUGAUAAUUUAAAACUUUUUAUGAUCCAUCAUUAAGCCAUCAUUUAAAAUGAUGUAUCUUAAGAAGUCAACUUGAAUUGUGUAAAAUACUAACUUUUUAAUCUUGGCAAGUAGUUUUGUGUCUCUAUGUUUUUAUAAUAUAUAAAAACAUAAAAUUUAUUAUUUUUUGCAUUCUUAUAGAAAAUUAAUAUAUUAUCUAAAUAAUAAAUAACAAAAGCUUUUAAAUUUAUUUUUAAAAUAUCAUUCAUAUGAUAUUAAAAAAUAGUUGAUACAUUUGUGAGUCUAAAAGAUAAGUCAUUUUUAUUUGGACUUUUGAAAUGACAAGCAAGUACAAGGCAAUAUCUUGUAAAAUCAGACAUAAUGUAUACAAUGAUAAAAAAUAAAAAAAAUAAAUUUGUUUAUUAAUUCAUCAAAAUUCAUACAACCUCCAAUCUAGUACUAUUCUACCUCAUGAUGAUAUUAUCCAAAAGUAAUUAAGUACCAUUUUCAUAGAGAGAGAGUUUAUUUUAAGAAAACAUAAGGUUUCAUUUUGUAAUCAGAUAUUGUCAAAUACUAUUUUUUUUUAUGAAUGAAUUCUACUACAUUAUAUUAUCUUUAAAUAAAAAAAUAUAAUAAUUUUUUAAAAAACUACCUUUAUAGUUCCUAUAUAUACUAAAUCUUGCUCUCUAAAAUACUACUUAUUACAUUCUAUAGGCAUUCAAAGUUAUUGCUUAUGGAAUUCAUAGCAACUGAUUCACCUUUGCCUCAAGUAAACAAUACAAUUCCGUAAUGUCUUAGAAUAAAGCAUGUGAUAUUUUUUUUAAAGCUACUUAUUUAUGCUAUAUAUACAUUAAAGCUUAUUUUUAUAAAUAUUUUAUACAAAAUCUUAUGAACAACAAAAAUUAAUGUACAUAGUCGUGCUUCAUAGUAUGUCGCAACCAACAUCCAUAUUCAUUCAACUAUGUGCCAUAACUCCAUAAUUUGUUAGAUUUGAGUAUAUGAUGACUCUUUAGAAAGCUACUCAUUUUAAACAUAUAUACAUUGAAUUUUACUCCCUAAAAUUUUCUAUAACAUAUUUUAUGACCAAAAUAAGCCAUAGAUCAUAUUAACACAAGGUAAUUGAUUCUUCUUUUUUUAAUAAGGUACCGCAACUUCAAAUUCACUCUUCUUAAAACAAAUAAGAGCUUUUUGAAAAUCUUAUAAAGAAAGAAACGACUUUUCAAAAUUUUAGCUCUAAAUUUUAAAUACACUAUGAAAAAACCUUAGAAGAACAGUUGGCUAUAUGUCACAAACUAUUGAAACAUAGAAAGCAUACUCCACACAAGUAAGUUAGGACCAGCAAGGUUGCACUAUAACAAAUAGAGUGUGGUAUGAGAUAAUUCUUCCCAUGCCAACCCUUUCCUUAUAUAUUAGUACCAAGGUACCAAGUGCUACAAUCCAUAUGGGAUAUCUCCUAGGACCAGCCCUCCCCUUGUACUCUAAUGUACUAUAGACCAGCACCCUACCUUAUGGGAUAUCCUUAACAACACUUGUACUCUAUUGACCAUUAGCAACUACUUAAAGAGUUCUUUUCUCAACACAAACAUACGCAUGUAAGUCAGUAAUUACAUGUAUAAAUAGGUAGAAGUAAAUAAAAGUAGGUAAAAGUAAGUUAAUUCUAUAAUAUUUGCUAUAGAAGCUUCUUAGAAGCUUUAUAGAUACUACUUUAACUUUAUAGGUGUCUUUAAUUGACUUUUUGGAUUAGAAAUGUGGUAAACAAGUUGGCCAUGUGCCACACAUGUUGUUAGCUUGAAGAUCAAGCUAAUUAUGUGGCCUACACAUAGAAAACCUUGCCUUAUAAGUGAAGGCAUGUGUCUUACAAAAUCAACACAUAUUGGAGGUCCUAUAGAACAUUGCUAUGUAGCCUCUAGUUAGAUAGUAUAUAUAGAGACAAGAGUGAAGCCUUCUUCAAUCUUGUCAACUCUUUGUUUACUUCUAGUCUAGUUUCAAGGGUCUCUAUUUUUUUUUUAGUUUUUGGCAAUAUCCAUUCCAGUUUCUUUCUUAAUAUAUGUAUUGAAUUAUUUCUAUUUUGUCAUCUUUUAUUGAGAAAAGUCUCCUUUAUUUAUUUAUCUUUAUCAAGUUCUUGUCCUUGAGAGAUUGACAAGAGUACACUUACAAUAUGAGAGCUUUGUCUAAUCUUGAUUAAGAAUAGAUUAUUCCUUUCUCUUAGUAAGACAUAAGCAUAUUAGAAGUUGUGGAUUACCUUCUUCUUAAUUGAUAUUAUCAUUAAUAUUUUCUUUGUUCUUAAGUCCUCUCUUUUAUUUAUCUUGAGUGAUAUUAGACAUCUUUUUUUCUAAGUGUUAUCAUGGCAGAACUUGUUGAAAUGAAGAGUGCAAUGGCACAAAUAUAAUAGCAAUUGAAGGAGUUAAUGCUUGCGGUGCAUCAACUCAAUUUACCAUGACAAAGAGCAACAAGAUUAGCAAGAAGUGAAGAUAUAGAAAUGAUUGAAGCAGCUUUAAUAUCUGCACUAAAUCAUGUCCCUUCUCCUAUGGUGGAACGCCCUUCUAGUAUUUGAGAACCUAGAAUUGUCCUACUCGAGAAGUUUGAUGGCACCAGAUCAAAAUUAAGAAGAUUUAUUAAUCAAGUACAACUUGUGAUUGAACUUCAUUUCCAAAGCUAUCCAACUCUAGGAUCGCAAGUUAGAUUCAUUAGUAUAUUUCUUUCAAGUUUAGCAUUAUCAUGGUUUUCAUACUUUUUUGAACGAUGAGAUCCAAUAUUGGAUAAUCUAGAGGCUUUUUUAGUAGAAUUUUGAUCCAUGUAUAAAGAUUAUGAUGUAAUUCAUGUUCCAACCAACAAGAUCCAUAUUUUACGAUAAGGCAAUCAAUUAGUAACGUUGUACACUUCACAGUUUUGAUAACUUGCAACUAAUAUCAAGUGGGAUGAUACUACAUUUGUUAGCCAAUUUCUCUAUUGAUUACAAUAUGAGGUAAAAAAAUUAAUGCUCAACUUACCUGAUCCUCAAACAUUGAAUGAAGCAAUUGACUUUGCUUUGAAGUGUGACAAUUGUCUUUUUGAACUUUGAUCUGAGAACCAUACAAGUUAACCUCAACGUUACUAUAAUUCAAUGGCAACACCAACAUCUCAUCAAUACAUACAUUCGGAAGUAGAAGAUAUACAAAUUGAUGCAGUACGUUUCAAACUUCUUACUGAGUAAGAAAAAACUCAUUGUCAUUAGGAAGGAUUGUGCUUAUAUUGAAGAAAACCUAAGCACAUUGCUCAACAUUACUCAAAGAAGUGAUGCAACUAUAAAAUGAGGAGUUUGGCGAUCAAAGAAAAUAGCAUGUUAAAAAAUAAAUAUAUCUAGCUACAAUAGGAAUCGUAUAGCUGGUAUCUUAUACAACACCUAGUGAAGGUCUUAUUCUCUUCUCAGAACCCUCUCCAUGUUUUACGAUAAAUAUUAUUCUAGGACCUAAAGAUCACAAAGCCUUUAUCUUGCUAGAUUUAGGAACCUCAGCAUGUUUCUUAGAUGAAGAAUUUGCUAAAAGAUAUAGCAUACUUUUAGUGAAGAAAACUAAACAUGUUCAUGUAGAAGUCAUAGAUAGUCAUUUGUUGUCUUCAAGACAUGUUACUCAUAAAACCCUUCUUAUAGAAAUAGUAAUUAAUGGUCAUAGUAGCUUUAUAAUAUUUAAUAUCAUUAGAUCUCAUUCUAAUCCAAUCAUUUUAGGUUUAUUAUGGCUAAAAAAAUAUAACCCUAAAAUACAUUGAACUUUUCAUAGUCUUGACUUUUUUGAAAGUAUAAUUAAGAGUGUAAUUAAUCAAGUAGAAAGUUAUAAGUCUAAUACAAUUAAACUUGUGUUUGUAGAUGUAAGAGCUUUCUUGCAUGCUACAAAAGAAGGAUCACCUUGUGUCAUUUAUGCCACACAUAUUUCUAUUGGUGGAAAAACUUGAAGUGACAUUCCAAGCUAAUAUCAAGAUUUUCAAGAUGUAUUUGAAAAAAAAAUGUGGAUACUCUUCUAGAACAUCGUUCCUAUGACUGCUCAAUUGACCUUCAAGAAGGAGCACAAUGGCCAUUUGAAUCAAUCUACAAUUUAUCACAAAAUGAGUUGGUUGAACUUAAGGAGUAUAUUGAAUAGAAUCUGGCCAAGAAGUUCCUACACCAUUCAAAAUCUUUAGCAGGAACUUCAAUUUUAUUUGUGAAGAAAAAAGAUGGAUCAUUGCGGAUGUGUAUCAAUUAUUGAGGACUCAACAAAAUCACCAUCAAGAACAGGUACCUGCUACCUUUGAUAUCUAGAUUCCUUGAUUAGUUGAAUUAAGCUAAGAUCUAUAUAAAAAUAGAUCUAUAAGGAACAUACAAUCUAGUAUGAUCAAAGAAGGAGAUGAAUGGAAGAUUGCAUCUCGAACAAAGUAUGGACAUUUUGAAUACAACGUCAUACCUUUUCGACUUACAAAUGCACCAAUAGCAUUCUAGCAUCUAAUGAAUGAUGUCUUUUGGGAGUUUUUAGAUGAUUUUGUUAUAUGUUACUUAGACAAUAUCUUAAUCUAUUCUAAGAACACAGAAGAACAUGAACUUCAUAUUUGUCCUAUAUUACAAAAACUAAAAGACUUUUUGAGAUUUACAAACUACUAUCAGAUCUUCAUCAAAGACUUCUCUCAAGUUGCAGAUCCACUUACGCGUUUGACUUGUAAAGACAAACUUCAAUGGAAUUAAGAAGCGGAAGUAGCAUUUGAAGCUUUGAAGACAACCUUUGUUUCUACACCAAUUUUGUAUCACGUCAAUUUUUUUAAGCUAUUUUUUAUAGAAAUAGACGUAUCAGUCUUUGCUUUGGAUGCCGUAUUGUCACAAAUGGGAACAGAUGAUAAACUUCAUCCAAUAGCUUUUCAUUCCAAAAAAAUUUUAGCAACCAAGAUGAACUACGAGAUCCAUGACAACAAUUUUUUUUUUAAUUUUAUUUCAAGAAUGGCACCAUUAUCUAGAAGGUCCUUCUAGCCUAGUCACCACAUAUACGAAUCAGAAGAACCUUAAAUAUUUUAUAUCAUCAGAUUUUUUGAAUCAUUGCUAAGCCUAUUGGAGUAUGUCUUUGUCAAGAUUCAAAUGUAAGAUGACUUUUUGACCAAAAAAAUAACAAGGUUUGUCAGAUGCACUCUUUAGAUGAUCUUACCAUGCACCAAAGGAAAGAGAUGUUACUUUUAAUCAACAACAGACAAUUCUCUUGAAGCCAAAUUAUCUUCAUCUUUGACCAAUGAAAUCAAUAUUAACUAUUGAUUCAACUUUUAUUAACCAAGUUCAAUCAAGUAUGUCUUCUGAUCCUCUUAUUUGUGAUAUUAAAGAAAAUCCUUCAAAGUUUUAUCAUACUUCUAAGUUUGAAUUCAAGAACAAUUUACUAUAUUUUGAAGGAUACCCAUAUAUUCUAGAAUGUGAAGCUUGAUUACGUGUUCUUUAAGCUCGUCAUGACUUUUCAGUAGUAGGACAUUUUGGGUACAAUAAAACUUUGGAACUAAUAUCCAGGGACUUUUUGUGGGCCCAAAUGUGGAAAGCAAUCAAAGAUUUUAUACAAUCUUGUGAUGUUUGCUCAAGAUCAAAAACUCCUCGUCAUCAACCUUAUGGACUUUUUCAGCCAUUAUCCAUUUCAGAACAACUAUGGUCUUCUAUUUCUAUGGAUUUCAUCAUGGAUCUUUCAAUCUCAGGUUCUUAUGACUCUAUAUUCAUGAUAGUAAAUCGUUUUACCAAGAUGGCACAUUUUCUACCAUGUACAAAAUCUAUCACAUGUGACAAAACAGCUAAGUUCUUUCUUGACAAUAUCUAUCGCUAUCAUGGAUUAUCCAAGGAUAUUAUAUCAGAUAAGGGAAUUUAUUUUGUAUCAAGAUUUUGGCAGACUCUUUUUAAGAUUCUAAAAAUACAUAUAAAACUAUCUUUGGCAUUCUAUCUUCAAACUGAUGGACAAAUGGAGCAUGUUAAUCAAGUUUUGGAGUAGUAUUUAAGCUAUACUAUCAACUACCAACAAGAUGAUUGGACAAUUCUUUUGCCAUUGGUAGAGUUUGCUUACAAUAAUACAAUACAUUUUUCUACAAAACAAACAUCUUUCUUUGCCAAUUAUGGUUAUCAUCCAUGACUUGAUAUUUUCAACUUUUCAAAAGUUGAUAAUCCUCUGGUGAAAGAUUUGGCAAAGCUACAUGCAAUGAUGAAGGCGCAAUUAAAAGAAGCUCAAGAAUAAUAAAAGAUCAAUGCAAAUAUCUAUCGAAAGGAACAACCACUAUUUUACAUGGGUGACAAGGUAUGGUUACUUUAUUGCAAUAUCAAGACCACUUGUCCUUGUGACAAGUUGGACUAUCAAAGGCUUAGACCAUUUUCUAUUUUUUCACAAAUCAAUCCAAUUGCAUAUCAUUUACUUAUACCGAAGUCAAUAAAAAUUCAUCCAGUAUUCCACGUAUCUCUUCUUGAACUAUACAAGACAGUGGACAUACCAAGAAGAAGACAAGCUCCAUCUCUUCCUAUAGAAGUGGACAUUAAUAAAGAAUUCAAAGUAGAAGAAGUCUUAGAUUCAAGGCGGUGCCAAAAUAAAUUGGAAUAUCUUGUCUAUUGAUGCGGAUAUGAUAUUAGAGAAUGCACAUAGGAGCCAGUAAAAAAUCUUGCAAAUGUAGCAAAGGUGAUGGAGGCUUUUCAUCGACGACAUCUAUCAAAAUCAAGAUGAAAACCUUUUUUGUAAAAGAAAUAAUAUCUAGGUAAGAUAACAUUCUAUUUUCAAUCUUUGUUUGUAGCUUCUUUAUAGUUGUGACACCAAGAAGAUGGAGAACCAAUAACCAAUGGAUUCGACUCAAGUGCCUUUGUUUACUGACCUACUGGACAAAAUAUUAUGAUUGUCACAACCUUCAAGACGACGUAAUUGAGAUGAAGAUCUUUAAGAACAACAUGUUCUUCCUCGAAUAGAUGGUGAGAUACAACGCGUUUGAUAUCAUGACCUUGGAAGGGACUCCCGAUAUUUGGUGAUUUUACUAGAGGUAGGAACAAUUCUUGAUGGUGUUCCAAAUGUUUUAUUCGAAGGAAGUUAUAAAGGCCUCAACAACAAUCAAAUAACUAGGUGGUCUUUGUGCUUUAGUAUGGGACACUAUCAAUGGUUGAGAGGCUCUAUCAAUCAUCUUUAAAGAGAGUAAAGAUCAGAGUAUGUUACAAAUACAAUUCAUCACAUCAUAGAUUUUCUCGAUAUAUGAUGAUCGCUCCUCAUGAAAAUCGUCUCUAAAAUGAGGGAUAAUAUCACAAGCAUAUGCAUGAAAGUUAAUAAUUACAUAUAUAAAUAGGUAGAAGUAAGUAAAAGUAGGUAAAAGAAAGUUAAUUUCAUAAUAUUUGCUAUUGAAAUUUCCUAAAAGCUUCAUAAACGCUGCUCUAAUUUUAUAGGUGUCUUUAAUUGACUUUUUGGAUUAGAAAUGUGGUCAACAAGUUGGCCAUGUGCCACACAUGUUGAUAGCUUGAAGAUCAAGCUAACUAUGUGGCCCACAAGUAAAAAAUCUUGCCUUGUAAGUCAAGGCAUGUGUCUUACAAAGUCAACACAUAUUGGAGGUCCUAUAGAAUAUUGCCACAUAGCUCCUAGUAAGAUAGUAUAUAUAGAGACAAGAGUGAAGCCCUCUUCACUCUUGUCAAUUCCUUUUUUACUUCUAAUCUAGUUUCAAGGAUCUCUAGUUUUCUUGUUUUUUGGCAAUAGCCAUUCUAGUUUCUUUCUUAAUAUAUGUAUUGAGUUAUUUCUAUUUUGUCAUCUUUCUUUGAAAAAAGUCUCACUUCUUUAUUUGUUUUUAAUAAGUUCUUAUCCUUAACACUAUAUUUGAGGAGAAAAAGCCCAAGCAAAAGAGAAGGAGAAAAGGAUCCACAAGUCAAUACAAGCCUAUAUCAUUCUAUCUCAGUCCAUAUUUCUUUAUCUUAAUACCAUAUCACUCCAUCUCAAUCUCAUAUCAACUUAUCUUAACUUAUCUUUGGAGAUAAAUUAUCAAAUCUAUAACUAUCUUUUUUCUCUUUUUUUUCUUUUUAACUAUUUUUUUUUAUCCAUACUAUCUUAAAAUAAAUUUAUAGACUCAAAAAAAAUAGAAGAUAAAUAAGAAUAAUAAAAUUAAAAAUUAAAGUCCAAUAAAACUUUAGAUAAAGAAAAUAAAAGUCUUAUGUAUAUAGUAUUAGAUAUUAAGUCAUAAAUUCGAUUGAUUGGUUAAAUUCACGCUACUCGAGUAGGUAUAGAUUUGAUGCUUGUUAGACUUGAUGAUUGAUACGAGAUCCUUUUAUCUUAUUUCAUUUUUUGUUUUUUUAUUUUUUUACUAUAGAUCAAAUUUUUAUAAUAUUUUAUAAUAUUUUUUUCAAAUUAUGCUACUUUUUAACAUAAUAAUGAUUUCUAUUAUAACUAAAGAAAUUUAUUUUUUGAUACAAUGUCUUCUUUAGCAAUCAUGCUCCUCUUUUUGUGAUUGUAUUGCUUCUUUGGACAAUAUUGAAUUAUGUGCUUAGAUUCCUCACAAUAUAAGUACAAACCUUUUUAAUAACAUUAAAUCUUUUUUAAAUAAAAAGAAAUUUCAAACUUAUUGUGCCAAUUUGAAUAGAUUUUGACCUUGAUAAAUAAACUUUUGUAACCAUAGAAGCUAUUGCCAUGACUUGACUUGUAUCUUUAUAAUCAAAUCUUUAUUUUUAUUAUUUUUUAAAGAAUUAUUUAUUAUAUGUAAUAAAUUGCUCUAAUGAGUCAGUAUUAGAGACCAUAUACUACACAAGGAUUUUAGAUCAAGAAAUAGAGUUAGCUCAAUAUUAAAACAAUAACUAAAUAUAAAGUAAGAAGGUCCUGACUAGACUAUAAGAAGUAAGUUGUCGAGAUUGAGAAUCCCCUCAUCUUUGACUCCUAUAUAUACUAGGUCCUAGGAAGCAUCUUAAGAAGAUUUUAUGAGGCUUGGGAACAAAGCAAGCCUAAGAUCCUUCUUUAGCAACUUCCUAAAUCAUCUAAAGCCUCCUAGAACCUUCUAGGAUCUCUUUUGAUAUUCUAAAACUUUCUUAGAAUCUACUAAAAUCUUCUUAGAGCCUAUUGGAACCUUUUGGAAUCUUUUGAAACCUUCUAAAAUCUAUAAGAAUCUUCUUAGAACCUUCUAAAAUUUUAUAGAAUUUUUUUGACUCUUCUUUAGUUGUAUGUCCAUGACAUCAUCUCUUCUUCAAGCUUCGAGGUCUUUGAGAAGCAAUGUUGCUGCAAGUCAAUAUAUAUACAAGAAGUUGAAGAUUUUUUACAUAAUGUCCACUUUAUAUUCCAAUUAUUUUUUAUGAAACAAAUGGUUUAUAGGCCCUUGUAGCCAUCGAUAGUAGCACAAGCCUUCCACUUGUGACCAAGCAUGAACUUCGAGAUCUCCAUUAUAGAAUUGCCAUACAAACACUCCUUUUGAAUGUCCUUCAUAGGCAGGUUCUACCUUAAACACAAUUACCAAUGACCUAUUACUAGAUAUCUUUUGACGUCUUUGUGAUUCAGAUGGCUCUUCAUCUUAGGAUCAUCUUCGCAAGCUACUUGGUUGAGAUGGUAUGAUUGGCACGGUGUCUAUCUCUUAACUAUCCAUAUCAUAUAAAGUAGAUAAGACCAAAAGAAUAUAAAUAAGUUGUGUGUCCCACAAAUUGAUCUUAAUUAGUGGAUUAGUUAAAAAUAUAGUUUUAAGUCAUUCAAUUAUAUAAAUGUUAAGAAUAGAGAGUUUUUUUCUAACUAUUCAAGUAUUUAUUAUAAUUUAGAAGUAUUUAUAAGUUACAAAAGUGUUAUUAGAGGAAAAGUUAUAAAAAUGGAGUCUUAGUAAGUCUUGAAGGCAAUUAUCUUAGUUAGUUUAGUAUUUUUCUUAUUGUUAAGUAUUAAGAGUUAGUUAUUGAAACCAAUAUCUUCAUUGGCUCCUAUCUAAAUGUAUUACUCAUAAAAUCCUAUUAAUGAUUAGUUAGUAGUUAGAAGAAGCAUGAAAAAGAGCUUCAUAUCUUUUUAGUUAAUUAUAUAAAAAAUAGGAUUUUUAGUGGAUUUAAAUUGAUUUUAUUACUAUAAAAAAUCACCAAGAUAGGAAAAUAUAGCCUCAUAUGGAUAUUAGUAUUAUAGAAAUGUUAUACGAUUUUUUAGAAUUUAUUUAGAAUUUAUAUAGAUUUUUUUAUGAAUUUCUAGAGAAUUUCUAGAGAAUUUCAAGACUUUGGUAAAAUUGAGUUUUAUCACCUUGAGAGCCAUUAUGAAGAAAUGAAGCAAGAUUUGAAGACUAUGUAAGGUUUCCAAGCUAAUUGGAUGUUUUUGAAUACCACGGUGAAGUCAAAAAUACAAAAAAAGUAGUUUUACUGGUAGAAAAUAGGAAGACCAGCAGCUAGUGUAGUCCUUGUAGGAAGAGAGGUGUACAAUUCUCAUGUGGGUUGUAGCACCUUGGGUAUAGGUAGGAAGAUAAGAAUAAGGCCUCAAGGCCUUUUAGAGGGAGAGAAUAUAUACUACUUGUGAGCCUUGGUGAGGCUCAAACUCUUGAUUUCUUAAGCAAGUUAUCCUUGAGGUAAAAAUUAUUCACUUAAUUUUUCUAUUAUUUAUAUUCUAUCUUUAAUCUAUCAUAACUUACUCAUAGUAACUUGGAAUUAUAUGAUUUUUAUGUCAUUAGAAAGAUAAAAAAAUUAUCUAUCUAAAAAUAUUUUUACUUUUUAUUUUUACUUUUUAUAAGAUAAAAAUCCAGUAAACGGAUUGUGACUUCGUUUGAAUGUUGUUAUUACUUGAUUUCAUCUCUUUUACAUAUAUUGUGGUUGUUCCUCCUUGGUCUUUUGCCAAUUCCUUACUUCACUUCAUACCACCAAUUACAAGCAACUAUUAAUUGUAGCCAUUGAUAGUACCACAAGCUUUCUACUUAUGACCAAGCAUGAACUUCGAGAUCUUCAUUAUAGAAUUAUCAUACAAACACUCCUUCUGGAUGUCAUUCAUAGGCAGGUUCUAUCUUAAAUACAAUUAGGAAUGACCUAUUACUAGAUAUCUUCUGACGUCUUUGUGAUUUAGGCGACUCUUCAUCUUAGGAUCAUCUUCGCAAGCUACUUGAUUGAGAUGGUAUGAUCAGCAUUACAUCUAUCUCUUAACUAUCCAUAUCAUAUAAAGUAGAUAAGACCAAAAGAAAAUAAAUAAGCUAUCGUCGUGACCUCAAACUACUAACUUAUAUUGUUUUAAACAUUUGAAAAAAUUGCCUCUUCAGAGGUUGCUUCUUCUUCUUCUUAAUGAGACCAAGAACUAAGAAUCUUCAUAGUGAGGCCAUCUUACCAAGCUACUAUUCUUCAUUUUGCCACUUUUAGUUUGGAUGGAUGUCAUUGAUGGAACUUUUAAACCUGCCUUUGUGUAUUUACAAGGUUAUCAGUUUGUUCCCACGUAUAAUCAUUGAUAUCAUAUUCAUGCCAAUGGACUAGAUAUUCAAGCCUUCUAUGUCUCAUCCUUAAAUUUAAUACCUCUUCUACCUCAAAUUCAACAUGAUCAUUGACUUCAAUCAUAGGAGGUGGUAGUUGUCUUUGAUUUGGUAUGUUUGAUUCUUCAUAUCUUUUUAAAAGUAAAAUAUGAAAGACCGGAUAAAUCUUUAUGCAUGAAGGUAAUUCUAAGUAAUAAGUUAUAUUAUUGAUUUGUCUCUGAAUCACAAAUGGUCUCAACCUUCGGUAGUCCAACUUAUCACAUAGCUUGUUGGUUUUUAUAUUACGUUGAAAAAGCCAUACUUUGUCACCAACUUGAUAUAGAAGAUGUUCCUUCCUCAAUUCAUCUACCAAUAGCUUAUAAUAUUGUUGAGCCCUUUGUAAGUGAGUCUUCAUGGUUGCUUGAAGUUUGGCAAUCUUUGUAGCAAACUUCCCUACUAUUGGAUUUGCUGACUUUGAAGGUUCUAUCAUAUCCAAUUUUGGAUGAUGAUCGUAGUUUGAGUAAAAUAGCAUUUGUUGUGUAGAUGCAUGGAUUGUAUUGUUAUAUGUAAACUGUGCCAAUGACAAGUAGGAAGUUCAAUCAUCUUAUUGCUAGUUGAUGGUGCACCUCAAAUAUUGCUCAAAAAUUUAGUUGAAUUGCUCCGUUUGGCCAUCAUUUUGAGGGUGGAAGGCAAAAAAAAAUGUUGAUAUCAACCUUAAGAAUCUUGAAAAGUACCUUACGAAACCUUGAUACAAAUUGUGGCCCACGAUCAGGCAUAAUAUCAUCUAGUACUCAAUGGUAAUAAUAGAUAUUAUCAAUAAAGAGUCUUAUUGUCUCUUUAGUAGUAUUUGACUUUUUGCAAUGUAUGAAAUGUGUUAUCUUAGUUAAUCAAUCAAUAACUACAAAGAUAGUAUUAAAUAAGUUUGAUGGUAGGAGAUCUAUAAUGAAAUCUAUGGAGAUAGAUGGCCAUGAUUGUCUUAGAACAGGAAUGGGUUGAAGAAGUCCAUAUGGCUGAUCUUGAAGAUUCUUUGAUUUUAAACAAGUAUUUUAUGAUAAUACAAAUUCUUUAAUGUCCUUCUACAUUUUAGGCCACCAAAAUUUUCUAGAAAAAAGUUCUAAAAUCUUGUUGAAUCCAAAAUAUUUACCUGUAGGGAAGUCAUGGCAUAUUUGAAGAAGGCGCAAUCAAGUUGGCCCUUUAUGAAUGAACAAAUUUUCUUCAAAGAACAAGAGGUUGUCCUCAUACUUGAAUUUAGAAGAUUCUUCAUAAAGGUUGUUAAUAAGAUGCUUGAUAUUAAGAAUAAGAGGAUUUGUAUUUGAGGCUUUAUAAACUUGAUCAAAAAUGAUAAAUCUAGAGUCAUUGAUACAUUGACUACUCGAAGAUGAAAUUACUUAGAUUUUAACAAGAUAACCCAUUGUUGAUCAUAUGCUACCUCGUCUUCUUUUGGUUCAAGGUAAGAACAUCUUAAUAGUGCAUCUUAUAAUCCUUGUUGGCUCCUAAGUUGAUACGUGAUGCAAAAAUCAAAUUAUGAUAAAAAUAUACUCUAAUACACCUAGCAGCGAUUCAAGACUCAAGCUGACAUGAAAUAUUCAAGUUUCUUGUGAUUUAUAUAUUCAAUCACUUGAUAAAGUUGCCUUCAAGCAAGUGGCAACAUUCUUAAAAAAAAUAUAUGAUAGCAAGUACUUCUUUGUUAUAGGUUUUAUAGUUAAUUUUUGCCACUCAGAAUUUUUUAGAAUGGAAUACAAUUAGAUGAAGUUUGUUAUCUUCUCUAUAUUGCAACAAGACUGCUUCCAAUGCAAAGUCUAAGGCAUCUGUCUCCAUGAAAUAGGGCUUAUUGAAAUCUGGAUGUAUCAAAAUUGGAGUUAUUGUGAGAGCAUCUUUUAAGCAUUGAAAAACUUUCUCUACUUCAAAGCCCCAAUUAAGCUUGUCCUUGCAUGUCAAUUGCCUAAGUGGAGCAAUAAUCUUCGAGUAAUUCUUAACAAAAAUCAUGUAGAAGUUUGCAAAUCCAAGAAAGCAUUGGACAUCACAUACAGUUUUUAGUUUAGCCUAAUCAAUGUUUGCUUGUACCUUCUUUGGAUUCAUAAAAAGGCCUUUGUUGGAAAUAAUAUAUCCAACAAAUUUGACUUAAGGUGCAUGAAAUAUAUACUUCUCCAGUUUUGCAUAUAGUCCAAUACUUUGUAGCUUUUCCAACAUAAGAUGUACAUAUUUUUCAUAGUCUUUAAGAUUCUUAGAAAAGACUAGAAUAUCAUCCAAAUAUAUUAUAAAAAAAUCAUCGAGAUACUUGCAAAAUAUGUCAUUCAUUAAGUAUUAGAAUAUGGCUAGUACAAUGGUAAGUCCAAAAGGCAUGACAUUAUAUUCAAAAUAUCUAUACUUGGUGCAAAAUAUUUCAUUCAUUAAGUAUUAGAAUAUGACUAGUACAAUGGUAAGUCCAAAAGGCAUGACAUUAUAUUCAAAAUAUCUAUACUUGGUGCAAAAUAUUGUCUUUUAUUCAUCUCUGUCCUUAAUGUAUACCAAGUUAUAUGUACCUCAUAAAUCAAUUUUUAUAAAGUUCUUUGCUUGGCUAAGUUGAUCAAGAAGUUUGGAUAUGAAUAGCAAUGGAUAUCAAUUCUCUACCAUGAUUUUAUUAAGAUUGUGAUAAUUGAUAUACAUUUGUAAAGAUCCAUCUUUCUUCUUCACAAAUAAUAUCGAAGCACCAACUUGCUAUAUGGAAUAUUGAAUAAAAUUCUUAUCUAGAUUUUUCUCAAUGUACUCCUUUAAAGUUGCAAUCUCAUUUUGGCCUAAAUUAUAGAUGGAUUUAAAUGAUGGUUGACACCUUCUUGAAGGUCAAUCGUACAAUUAUGACAGCGAUGCUUUGGCAAGUUGUCUACAUUUUUCUUUUCAAAUAUAUUUACAAAAUCUUUAUAUAUCUCUAAAAUUAUUGUUGUAAUAACCACAUGUUUUGAUUGUGAAUUUUCAUAGACAAUAAACGUAAUGCCAUGUUUGGCUGCCCUCACAAAUGUUCUAGCUCUAAUAAAUAAAUGUUCUUUAAGUUUUGACUUUUUGGAUAUUAGAAGCUUUUUCAUAGAUUUAGAGGUUCUAUGAUCUAUUAGAAGAAAUUCUAACUUUUGGAAUAUCCAAUCUAUUCAUGGAUUGUAUUUUUCAAGCCAUGAAAGUCCUAAAAUGACUAAAUUUGAUGGUAAUCUAAUAAUGUUGAAUACUACUUAGUUGAUAUAGUUGUCAAAGGUUAUUUCUAAUAGAAUUGUUUCAUGAGUGACAUCUCCACAUGAUAAAGGUUGACUAUCUAUUACUUCUACAUGUACGGCUUUGGAUUGUUUGACCGUACAGAUUUUGUGUAAUCUAAAAACUUCUUCAUCAAUAAAAACAUCCAAAGGCUCUUGAAUCAAGUAAUGAAUGACACUCUAGUUUUGUGAUUCUUAACUGUACAAGUAUAGUAAAAUAAUAAGAAAGGUUGGCAAAGAGUAUAUGAUCUUUUUUGAUUUGUGAUAGUGAAUAAUUUAGCUGUACAGUCCCUACUGUGGCUAAACACCAUUGUUUUCUUGCAAAGCUUUUGAUGAUGUGGCUGCACUCUUCAUUCGAUAUGUACACUAGCAUUUUUCUAAAUAUUUAUUAAUCUUGUGGCUAGAUUUUUCAUAAUAUAAGUACAGGCCAAGUUCCCUUUGACGCUUUUUUUUCUUGCAUAAAAAGAAGUUUGAAGCGAAUUGCAUCAAUUUGCAUAUCUUCUGCUUCCAAAUGCUCAUUAGAAAUAGAUGGUGAAGAAGCUCUAAAUUAAUUGGUAUAUAUAUGUGGCAUAAUUGAAGAACGUUUAUCUUAUUGUUGUUGAAAUAAAUGGUUAUUACACUUCACAGCUUGAUUAAUGGCUUCAUUGAGUGUUUGAGGAUCUGGCAUAGACAAUAAUAAGUCUUUGACAUCAUCUCUUAAUUUCCAAUAAAAUUGACUCCUCAACACAUCUUCUCUUCAAUUUAUAUCACAUGCUAAUUGUUAAAAAUCUAAAGCAUUCAUUGAUGCAGAAUACAUUCCUUGUCAAAGGCUUCAAAUUAUAGUUGUUGAAGAAUGAACCUUAUCAUGUUCACCAAAUGCUUCCACAAAUGCUGCUAAAAAUUCUUCAAAAUCAUGCAAUAUAGGAGAAUUCUUUUGAAAUAAUGAAGCAAACUGGAAUAAAGCUUGACCUGAGAGCAAGGUUCUAACCAAACUAACAUGAGAUACUUCAAUAAAAUAUUGUUGAGGUUGAAGCAAUGUGAUUAGUCAUACUUUGUUUAUAAAGCCAUAAAAUUUUAAGCGAUUCCCAUCAAACUUUUCUAAAAGGAUGAUCUUUGGUUCUUUUGUUGUUAUUAUUGUUAGAUCAUUGCCUUGAAUGGAUGCACCUUCUAUGUUUAUUGAAACACGCAUAGUCAUUUAAAAAUUUGGAACCUCUAUUGCUAUUUGAUGUGGUGGUUGAGGCACUCCGGCUCCUUGACCAUUAUGUGUGGUCAUAUAUAGUUCUUUAUUCUGCUUUGACAAAGUCUGUGUCUUGAUCUUUAAUGCUUCAAGAAUAUUAAUAAUAGAAUCUAAUUUGAUCUCUUCAAAGAUUUUCAUAUUGAUUUUUCCACCUUGUGCCAUAGGAAAUCAAAGAAAAAACAUACUAAAAAGAAAAAAACCUGAUCUAUGGUAUAAAGAAAAAAAAAUCAAAAGAAUAUUAAAAAAAGAAUAAUAUUAGUCUAUGAGAAGGUAAUCUGAAAUCUCUAGAAUACUAUAGUAGUUCCAAUAAGAGGAAUAAUCCACUCUCUAUUAAAAAAGACCAAGCUUCUAAUAUUAUUUUAUGGUAGUCUUGACAAACUGUUAGGGACUAUAUACAAAACAAAGAUUCAAGGUGAAGAAAUAGCUCGAUAUUAAAAUAAUAACUAGAUAUAAGGUAAGAAGGUCUUGACUAGACCAUAAGAAGUGAAUUGUCAAGACUGAGGAUCCCCUCAACCUCAACUGAUAUAUAUAUACUAAGUCCUAGAAAGCUUCUUGAGAAGUUUCCAUAAGGCUUGGAAACAAAACAAGCCUAAGAUCCUUCUUUGGCAACUUCCUAAAUCAUCUAAAGCCUCCUAGAACCUUCUAAGAUCUUCUAUGACCUUCUUAGAGCCUAUUGAAACCUUUUGAAAUCUUCUAGAACCUUUUAGGAUCUACAAGAAUCUUCUUAAAAUCUUUUAGAACCUUCUCGACUCUUCUUUAGUUGUCUGUCCAUGAUACCUAUUCUUUGUAUUAUCAAUAGAAAAUCUUUAAUAUUAUCUAUUAAUCCAUAUCAAAAUUAAUUGAUAAGAGCUUUGUGAAUCUAAUUCACAUUAUAAGCAAGGUUUUGGAAUUUAAUAGCAUAUAUAAUAGCUGAAUGUGAUUCUUAUUAUAAAGAUAUAAGUUUGAUUUUUACUACCUUUUUGAUUAUUUUCUCUAAAAUUAGCCAUAAAUACUUUUAAAAAUAAAUUUAAAUCAUAAAAAAGACGUAAAUUUUUUUCCAUCAAAGAUGCAAACCAAUAGAAAGCACCUCUAAAAAGAAUUGUAUCUAUGAAUCAAAUUUAAGUAAAUCCAUCAAAAUAUUGAAAACAAUGCAAUUUUAUAUAAAGUUUUACUUGUAGAAAUCCUCAAAACUUUGAAAUUUUUCUAUCAAUUUUUUCUAGCAUACUUAUUUUUACCUCCAUCAUAUUUAUAAUAGCAAGAUUUUUUGGAUUCAGUUAUAAACUUAAAUUACUUGCUUUUCUCAACUGCACAACUUUAUAGUAUAGACUUUGAACUUUAUUGUUGAUCUCUUCCAUAGGCACCAAAAUGCUACUUCUAUAGUUGACAUUAGAGAUGUAUGACAUUUCUAUCCUAAGAGUGUUGACAAGCUUGUAAAGAUCUACAAUAGUUACAAAUUUAUUCUCACUUCUAUUAAGAGUAGCAUCUAUAAUUUUUUUCUAUAAAUAAUUCAAAUUAAAUGAAAGUAAUUUACAACAUCUAAUUCCAAAUUAAAGUUUCCACAAAGAAUGAUAGACUAAUAUCUUUAAAAAAAUUAAUUAGUAUUAAAAAAAACUAAAAUAUUAGUUUAAAGGUGGAUAGUCCAUAAUCUUCAAAACAUAACAAUAGAAGUGGGAUAGUUCAUUCACUUCUAAAAGAAGAUAAGAACAAUAAAUUAGCAUUCUUGUCAAAUUGUUAAAGAUAUAAAUCUCAAAAAAUUAAAAGAUUAAUAUACUCUUGUGUUAUUUUAAAAAAACUAAAUAAUCACUCAAAGAUAAUAUAAUAUUAAGCUAAAAUGACUAUUGCCAAUGAUAAAAAGAUUAAAAAGUUUUAAAAUAAGAAUAAAAACUAGAAAGAUAUUGAUAAGAGUAAAGUACGCUUUACUCUUACUUCCAUAUAUAUUAUCUAAGUAGGAACUAUGUGGCAAUGUUCUAUAAGAUCUCCAAUAUGUGUCCAAUGUAUAAGACACAUGUCUUAACUUACACAGCAAGUUUCUUAUAUGUGUGCUAUAUCAUUAGCUUGUACCAUAAGCUACCAACACAUAUGACACCUAACUAACUUGUUGACCAAGUUUCUAUCCUACCAAUUAAUUAUAAACAUGUAUAAAGUCAAAUAUCCAUCUAUGAAGCUUCUAAAAAGCUUUAAUAUAAGAUAAUAUCAAAUCUACUUAGAUUUACCUUCUAUCUAAUACUUCUUAUCUAGAUAAAAAAUAUAUAUCUAUAUCCAUGAUAGGAUUCCAUAUAAAAGCUUUGAAAAAAUCAUCACUUAAAAAAAGAAUUUAGCUAUAAAUACUUCGGUUCUAUCUACUAUAAGAACUUGAAGAUUAUUUUACAACUUAAAAGAUAUAUAAUUUCUUCAAAGUAAUGAAAUUUUUUUAUCUAAUUGCUUAAUUUAUAAAAUACAUACAAUUAUCAAUAUAUUGACCUUAUAAUUUUGUUGAUUCAAUAAUAUGCUUUAAAGAUUGAUUUGGAUACAUUUUUUGUUACAAAAUAUAUAUUAUGAUUACAUUUAGUUUGCACUAACAAUGUAAUAUUUUGUAUUUUUAAAGCUAUGCAACAAUUAUUUAUACAAAUAUCAAAUAGAAUAUAGAUAAAUCUUUUAUUGAAGAAAAAAAUUAAAAACACCCAAAGAUUUUAUUAAAUAUUUUGAAUUGAGAUUUGAUUCUUUGUGAUUUGAAUUUAGGUAGUUUUAAUUGAAGUUGAGUUUAUUGAAAUAGGUUAAAAGGUGGUAAGAAAUUAAAGCAUGAUUACUCAGGUUUGUUUGAACUUAUCAUGCUAGGGAUUAUUUGAGCUUGUCAUACUUGGAUUUGUUUGAGCUUCUCCCAUCUUGUCUUAGUACCAAAUUAUUUAAUUUAGACAUAAAGCAACAACAAACUUAGAUAGAGAAAUGAACCAAUACAAUGCUUGCCUUUAUACAUGUUUAUAGUGUCACUUCACCUGGUCAAUAUACCCACACAGUCCCACCAAUAUGAUAACAAUUUGAGUUUCCCCCCAAAAAAUAACUACAUUGGUGCAAUUGUUGGACCAACGGAGGUAGCUACUUAUGAAUCGACUUCAGAAAAAAUGAUCAAUCGGGAAGUUAGAUGUUUCUUUCUAAGGAUGCAUAAAUUCCUCAUGCCUGCUACAAAUAUGAACCAGCACCAGCCAAGACAGCGUCAACGAGCAGACUCCGAGAGCCCACGGUGAGGGAAUGUGUACAGCCGUAAAAACUUCACGACCAAUCUCCACUUGCAGUGCUGGACGGGGUUGCGACUACCGAUUCGCAGAAGCAGAUGGAGCUUCAGUAGUCGUGGCGCACCCAUGCACAUCCUCUGCAACCACCUCGAGCCGAGGUGGCACGCCAAGUCACCCGCUCAGGCCUGUAUGACCUGGUUGCCGGAGGUGACAUGGCAUGUGACAUUGCACGCAAUCAAGCACGGCCCCAUCGCGAGCGGGAGGAGAACGUUGUGGAUUGCGGAUGAACGCCGAUCCGGCGAUGAACGAUAGCCCGCACGGGAUGGUUGAAGAAGAAGCGCAGCAGGGAGUGGCAGGACGGAGCCGGAAACCGGGGCGUCGUCGGGGAUGCUGCAGCGCGCGGACGCCCACCUUCUCAGACCUCCUCCUCCUCGCCCUCCCAUCGCGUGCCGUUGUUGCCCACGAUUUGUCUUCCUGAUCUUGCGUCGUGGGCGUGGGCGUGGCGAUCCUGGUGGUGGCGUGAGGCGUCGGGGUGUGGCGGUGGGUGCGGGAGGACCGUGCCGAGAGGGGGAGGCGGCGCUAGCGACAGACGAAAGGUGUGUGGAGACGAGGACGGAUUAGGGUUUGGAGUGCGUUCCGUUGGGUUUGGGUUUGGGUUUGGGUUGGUGGGUUGGGUGGUUGUGGUGGUGGAGGAGGAAGAUUAGGGCGAUGGGGCUCUGAGUCGGGGUGGGAGGAUAACGGUGCGGGUCGUGGAUGGGAGAGAUGUUAGCGAGGGACUCGCUCGCGAAAGGAAUCCAUGGAGAGCCUGGCGCACCUGAGCGUGCUGUGCGAGCGGCUGUACACAUCACAGGACCCGGCGGAGCGAGCGCACGCCGAGAGUACGUUGGCGUGUUUUAGUGUGAACACCGAGUACAUACAGCAGUGCCAGUACAUUUUGGACAACAGCAGCAGCCCGUAUGCGCAGCUGCUGGCGAGCUCGAGCCUGGUGAAGCAGGUGACGGAGCAUGUGUUGUCGUUGCAGCUGCGGUUGGACAUCCGGAGCUACGUGUUGACGUUUCUGGCGAGCAAGGGGCAGGAGCUGCAGGGGUUCGUGACGACGAGCCUGAUCCAGUUGCUGUGCCGGAUCACGAAGCUGGGAUGGUACGACGACGACCGGUUCCGGGACAUUGUGAAGGAGGCGAUGAAGUUUUUGACGCAGGGGAUGGUGGACCAUUUUCUGAUAGGGCUGAAGAUCUUCAAUCAGCUGGUGUCGGAGAUGAAUCAAUCGAACCCGGGGCUGUCGCUGACGCACCAUCGGAAGACGGCGUGCAGCUUCCGUGAUCUGGCGCUGUUUCAGAUAUUCCAAAUUUCGCUGACGUCGCUGCAGCAGCUGCAGAUGGACGCGGCGGACGAGAGGUUGCGGGAGCAGGCAAUCGCGCUGUCGCUAAAAUGUCUGUCGUUUGAUUUCAUUGGGACGUCGCUGGACGAGAGCUCGGAGGAUCUGGGGACGAUUCAGAUACCAUCGUCGUGGCGGCCGGUUCUGGAGGAUACGUCGACAAUGCAGCUGUUCUUCGACUACUACGCGAGCACGAAACCGCCGCUGUCGAACGAGGCGCUGGAGUGCUUGGUGCGGCUGGCGUCGGUACGGCGGUCGCUGUUUUCGGGAGAGGCGGAGAGGUCGAAGUUUUUGUCUCAUUUGAUGUCGGGGACGCGGGAGAUCCUUCGGACGCAGCAGGGGCUGUCGGAGCACGAGAACUAUCACGAGUAUUGCCGGCUGCUGGGGCGGCUGAAGACGAACUACCAGCUGUCGGAAUUGGUGAGCGUGGAGAAUUAUGGGGAUUGGAUCCGGCUGGUGGCGGAAUUCACAAUCCAGUCACUGCAAUCGUGGCAGUGGGCGAGCGGGAGCGUGUACUACUUGCUGGGGCUGUGGUCGCGGCUGGUGUCGUCGGUGCCGUAUCUGAAGAGCGACUCGCCGAGUCUGUUGGAUAGCUACGUGCCGAAGAUAACGGAGGCAUACAUUACGUCGAGGCUGGACUCGGUGCAGGCGGUGUUGCAGAACAACAUCGCAGAGGAUCCGCUGGACAACGAGGAGCACCUGCAGGACCAGCUGGACAGCUUGCCAUAUUUGUGUCGGUUCCAGUACGACAAGACGAGCAGCUACAUCGUGGCGCUGCUGGAGCCCAUAUUGCAGGUACGGCUUCUUCCAUGAGAAGCGAUUGCCGCAGUUGUCCGAGGCGCAGCAAUUUGUACUUACGGGAUGUGGGUCUGUGGGUGUCGUGUUGCAGGUGCAGUGUACAGUCGACGGGUAAAUACGCUGUUGGUUGUUGGUUGUUGUGACGACUUGUGCGGUGAAUGGGAGUGGGUUGGAGAGUGUGAGAGGUAGAGAUGCGGAUGCGGUGGAGAGAUUUGUGAUGUGGAUGAGUUGUGAGGUCGGGAUGGGGUUGUGGGAAUGUGGGGAGCGUGCGAGUCGGGGAGAGGGGAGGGGAGUCCGGCGCGAUUGUUGUGGGUGCGGAGGAAGGGCGAGGAUGAGGCAUUAUGGGUGGAUGGGCGGAGGGAGUGGCGCAUUGGCAGUGGAGGGGGCGUUGGGUUGUGAUGAAUUGGGGACAGGCUGUGGUGUCGCAAUGCCUGGUCGGUCCUGUGUGUUUGUGUGUAUGUGGUAGUAGCAUUGGUGAGUAAGGGGUGGCGGUAGCAUUGGUGAGAGCGCAGGACGGUGGGGUUGAUGAGGAGGAGGUGUGGGUGGAAGGUGAGGGGUGGAGUAGUGACGCGAGUGCGAUGUUUGUGAUGGGUGCAGAGUUAUACGGGGGCUGGGAAGAUGCAAGCGGCGGGGGAGAGCCAGCAGCUGCAGGCGAUGGAGGGUCAGCUGACGUGGUUGGUGCACAUAAUUGGGGCGAUCGUGAGGGGUCGGCAGAGCUCGAGCAGCAGCGCGGAGCCGCAAGAAGUGAUCGACGGAGAAUUGGCAGCGCGCGUGUUCCAGCUGAUUCAGGUGACGGAUACGGGUUCGCACGUGCAGCGGUAUGCGGUGAGCAGCAAGCAGCGGCUGGAUCUGGCGAUUCUGUCGUUUUUUCAGAAUUUUCGGAGGGUGUACGUGGGCGACCAGGCGAUGCACUCGAGCAAGCAGCUGUACGCGAGGCUGAACGAGCUGCUGGGUCUGCAGGACCAUCUGAUGGUGCUGAACGUGAUCGUGGGGAAGAUCGCGACCAACCUGAAGUGCUACGCUCAGAGCGAGGAGGUGGUGGAGCAGACGCUGAAUCUGUUUCAGGAGCUGGCGGCGGGGUACAUGAGCGGGAAGCUGCUGCUGAAGCUGGACGCGGUGAACUACAUUUUGGAGAACCACACUCGGGAGUAUUUUCCGUUUUUGGACGAGUACAGCAAUUCGAGGAACCGGACGAUCUUCUACUUCACGCUGGGGAGGCUGCUGUUCAUGGAGGACAGCUCGGCUAAGUUCAAGGCGUUCAUAUCGUCGCUGCAGCAGGUGUUUGUGAGCUUGGAGGUGACGCCGGAGCAGGUGUUUCGGUCGGACGGAGUGAAGUUCGCGCUGAUCGGGUUGAUGCGGGAUCUUCGGGGGAUAGCGAUGGCGACGAACAGCCGGAGGACGUACGGGCUGUUGUUCGACUGGCUGUACCCGGCGCACACGCCGCUGCUGCUGCGAGCGAUGGAGCAGUGGACGGACACGCCGGAGGUGACGACGCCGCUGUUGAAGUUCGUGGCGGAGUUCGUGAUCAACAAGACGCAGCGGCUGACGUUCGAUUCGUCGUCACCGAACGGGAUCCUGCUGUUCCGGGAGAUCAGCAAGCUGAUCGUGGCGUACGGGUCGCGGAUACUGGCGCUGCCGACACCGUCGGACCCGUACACGUACAAGUACAAGGGGAUUUGGGUGGCGCUGACGAUUCUGACUCGGGCGCUGGCGGGGAACUACGUGAACUUCGGGGUGUUCGAGUUGUACGGCGACCGAGCUCUGGCGGACGCGCUGGACAUGGCGUUGAAGAUGUCGCUGUCGAUACCUCUGGCAAGCAUCAUGGCGUUUCGGAAGCUGGCUCGGGCGUACUUCGCACUGCUGGAGGUGCUGUGCCACAACCACACGUCGGUGAUCGUGAACCUGGACACGGCGACGUUCGCGCACCUGGUGGGGUCGCUGGACACGGGAGUGAAGUGUCUGGACGUGAGCAUUUCGUCGCAGUGCGCUUCGGCGGUGGACAAUCUGGCGGCGUUCUACUUCAACAACAUCACGGUGGAGGAGAGCCCGAGCUCGGCGGCAGCGGUGAACCUGGCGAGACACAUCGCGGAGUGUCCGACGCUGUUUCCGGAGAUAUUGAAGUCGCUGUUCGAGAUCGUGCUGUUCGAGGAUUGUUCGAACCAAUGGAGCCUGAGCAGGCCGAUGCUGUCGCUGAUUCUGAUAAACGAGCAGAUAUUUAC
rnacentral:lncRNA from 1 species